AAGACACAUGGUUAAAUUUUUGUUGUCAACGCCAACAAAUCCAUGUAAGGUGAUGCUUUUCACUAAGAAGAGACUCUAAGAUUAGAUUCCCAAUGUAUAGAGUGUUUGCGCAGUAAACAAAUCAAUCACUUAUCAUUUAUAUAACAGUAGAAGUGUAUGGAGAGUGGGACUAACCUUGGAAGCAAAGGUCCCCUGAGGCCAGUUGAGCAACCCGGCAACCAUUUGCCCUGUUUGAUUGCAAUCGUCAUCAAUGGCCUAGAAAACCCAUGCCCACAUCAGAAAACAACAAUCCACCAUAAAAAGAGUCUAGGAUUUUCACGGAAUCCGCAAAUUUAUUUUUAAAUCGUUACCAAAAACCCUAAUCUCUGGGCACGAAUUCACAGACCUGUUUGCCCAGAAUAAGGAGGCCAGGCUUCUCCACAUCGACGAGAGCUUUGAGAAGCUUAGCAACUGAAAGUGGGUACAGAGUGGCGGAAGCUUCGACGUGGAUGGCCCUAUCGGCGCCCAUGGCGAGACCCGUUCUGAGCGUGUCGACGCACUGGCUGGGACCCACACUGACAGCGAUAACCUCCGACGCCAGACCCGAUUCCUUGAUCCUCAGAGCCUCUUCCAAACCUAUCUCACAAAAGGGGUUCAUCGACAUCUUGACGUUGCUGGUCUCCACGCCGCUCUGAUCGUGGGUUGGCGAUUGUUAUUGGAUGAUGAUGAAAUUACAGAUACUGAAUAACUUGAGAGUUUGGAUUUGGGUUACCUUGUCGGAUUUGACUCUGAUCUUGACAGCGUAGUCCACAACACGCUUUAUCGCCACCAUUAUCUUCAUCUCGUAUAUGGGUGGUUAUCUUCUCCGGCACAAGGGUAUUGGCAAAUGACUGAUGAUGAAGGACGAGGAUAUUCGCCCGAGCCCUACUGCACGACACCACAUCCGCUUAUAAAAUCUUUUGAUACGGAUAAGUACAAGGGAAGUGGAAAAAAAGGAUUAUUAAGAAAAAUAAAUAUAUUACCAAAAAAAUUAUUUAAAAUUUUGUUCAUGUAGAAAGAACCCGUGAAUCAGAUCGAAAAAAUUAUAUUAAAACUGCUGUAUAGCCGAAAAUUGUGUACAGAAUUUAUUUUAACAUUGUAUUAUUGAAUUUUUUAUUCAAAAAUUGCUUAACGUGAGAUAGAAAUUAAAAAAUCAUUAGUAAUUUUGUCCGAAAGUUGUUAUAUUUCAUGUGUUUUAAAAAUAGAUGUAAUUUAUUCCUAUUUGCAUUUUUAACGUACAUUUAAUUAAAUAACCCAAAAAGUUAUUGAGUUCACAUCAUCUAUGGAGUCUACCUCUCUUUGCUUUUGUUGCUUCCAAAAAUACCAUACUCCCAUAUUUUUUUGGUUCUACUCAUUUUACUUUAUUUUUUUCAUUCCAUUCAUUCCACGUGAAGUCUUCAAUCCUAAUAACAUUUACUAUAUUACAAUUAAGUUUAAUUUUUAAAAAACUUAAUUAGGGUUAAAUUUCCUUUGAGAGAACUUCAUUACAAUUAUUUGAGUUGUACGUUAAGUUUCAUUUAAAAAUAACUUAUUUAAAAAGAUGUUAAGCUUCCCCUAUUUUAUUUAUAAAGUUUAAUAUCUAUUUGAUUUUAUAUUUGAAAUCCAACUAAAACCUAAUAACGAAUUGUUGUAAAAAAACUCCAAUCAAAAUACUAACAAAAAUUAAAACAUAAAACUCUGAUAAAAAAUUGUUAAAAAAUCCAACAAAAAAACAAUCAUAAAAAACCCUAAUCAAAAACAUCAUGGAAGUUUAAAUGAAAUUGCCAAAAAAUAAAAAGUAUAGAAAACCCUAACAAAAAAACAACACCAAAACACCUGACAAAAAACAAUUACAAAUUCUAGCACAAAAACCCCCAAUUAAAAAUAUCUAUAAAGAAAAACCUAAAAAAAACCAAUUAUAAAACCUCCAACAAAAAAUAAAGAGAAAGAUGAAGAAUAUGAAAAAUUUUGAAGAAGAAAGAAACAUGAGAGAACUAUCAUUGAUCUUUAUUUGUUAAUCUUUGUUAUAUGUUUGAACUUCACUAGAAAAUGAGAGAGAGAGCAUAAACCUAAAGAGAGAAAGAGCUGAAAAUGAGAGGAGAAAUGAAUCACAAUGAGGGGAAUGACAAUUUGAGGAAAUAUAGAAGGGUUAAAUCAUUUGAACUAGGUUAACGUUUUUAUUAAAAAAAAAGAGUAAUGAAGGUCCUUGUUCUAAUUUCAAGAGUAUGUCUGUUAAUUACCAAAUGUGGCAACUCUAAAUAAAAUCCUUUGUUAUCAACUAAAACUAAAAGUCCCAUUACAUCAUAUCCAACUUUCAUUUGUUAUCAACAAAGUAAAACUAUAUACAACUAUUAUCACCAUCUCUCCUAUUUUGAUGUUAUUUUCUUAGAUGAAUUUGUAAAUCAAAAUUUACACCACCCAUAAAUUUUUUGAGCUUCCUAUUUAACACAACUUCAAUUUGUUAUACUUUGAACAUCACAAAGAUAAAGUAAUCAACAUUUUGCUUGGACAAGUUUUUCUUCUCUAAAGUUUAGAGUCCUAUUUCACUUCCCGUUUAUGGGUUGUUAGUUCAUCUAAUAUCUCACCAUCAUCCAUUCCAUGUACUGUGUUUCCGAAAUGAGUUGAUUCCACAUCCUAAAUGUCUGUGCAAAUUAAUAAGGAAUGUCGAGUUACCAAUUUUCUUAAAAGCUUAAUCUUGCAAGAUUUGGAUUCAAAAUGCAUAUCAUGCUCUCUUUAACACCCCUCCCCCCUCUCACAUGUAGCCCUAUACCCACACGUAGAGAAAUAGACUUAUAGGAAAAUUGGUAGUUUAAUAUAGUAUCAGCACUUGGUUUGGUGGGAGGUCUCCUGUUUGAGUCACCUCUCCACAAUUUACAUUUCUCCUAUUUGUUUAAUUUACAGUUCUUCCCUUAAUCUGUAAUUCUUUGGAUAUAAAUUUUCCCCCUAAUUUGUAGUUUUGUGGAUAUGAAUCUCUCUUCCAUGUUCAGGUAUGGGGCCACACAUAAGAGAGGGUGUUAAAGAGCAUGAUAUGCAUAUUAAACCCAAAUCCUAUAAGUUAAAACUUUUAGGAAAAUUGGUAGUUUAACGCUUUUAGGAAAAUUGGUAGUUCAACAUGUGUACACCCCAUUUUGGGGACUGCUAUUGCUCCCACUUCUUUUUGUCAAAUGGUGGAGCUUUUUAGGAGCACAUGUUGUAUUUGGAAAGGCUAUUAGAAAAUGGCAACAUGACUGUUAAUGGAAGUAAUGAUUUUCUAAAAAGGCAACCAUGGGAAGACACAUAACAAAGAUGUUUGGGGAGGAGGGAGAGUGUGCAUCAAGACUACUCAUGAGGGGUAAGAAACAAAAAAAAAAAAGUGUCGAAGAUAACUAAAAAAUUGGAGAAACAUAAAGGAAUAAGGAUUUUAGGGCUAUGGAUGGUGAACAAGAGUGAAUUAUGGGUGUCUAGGACAGCUAGGAAUGGUGAGAGGAGUAGGGAGCUGUAGAAGGUGAUGAGCUAGGUAAGAUGUAUUUUCGAGAAAGAAAAGAACCAAAGAAAGAAGGUGGUGAAUUAAGUGAGACACGUCUCAGAGAAGCAGAGAAAGUUGGCUUGAAGCCAAGCAAACUUUUGCUUGAGAUGAGCAUUGCCUAGUAAGAUUGUUUCGAUUCAUCGAUUAUUACUGAUCAUCAUACUUCUCUUGUCUUAUAUUCAUGUGAUUAUUUUACAUUGAUUGUGGGGUUGCUUUGGUUUGGUUAUUAUGGCUUCAUCCUCUAUUUCUUUAGUUUUAUUCAAGGAUAAAUCUAAUUGUGCUUUGAUUAGUUAUUCCAUAUUUGAAAAUCUUUGUGUAUUUUGGGUUUUUUCUCUUUAGAUAUUUUCUAGAUUAAUCCACUGACCUUUAAACCCACAAAUAAAGAAAAAUGAAAUGAGUUUUUUCAUAUUUGUUGGGUGUUUGGCCCUUGUUUAUCUUUUUUUAAAGCUUUAUUCCUUUAUAUUCUCUAUUUCUCCCCAUUUUGUACAUGGGUGUUUCAAUCAGAGUCUCUAUUUUGGCUUCCACAUUUGAGAUUUCUUUUAUGAGCGAAGACCCAAAAAUGGAGACUGGCUUCUUGUAAUUGAUAAAAUAGUUAGUCACCCAUUAGCUUAGAUGAAGCAUAGAUGUUAACCGGAUUGUGAACAUGGAUACUCUAUUUUGGGCCUAUUAGGCCUUCCAAUCCUCUCUUAGUUUCAUUAUUCUUGAGGAUAGUGUUUGGUUGUGUCUGCUACUUAUUCUGUGGCUUCGGUGGUCUGUUUGUUUAUUCUUGGCUAUUAUCAAUGCUAACAAUGGGAAAGAGACUGGUUUUGGUUAUGCUCUUACGGAUUUGAAGGUGAUCAAAGGGUCCAGUGAAGAGAAGAUUAGUAGGUCAUAUUAGGUUAAUUAAUUAAUUAGGACAUGUUUUGAGUUAUAUUAAGUAAUACAAGCUCUUAGUGGGCUUAAGUAACUUAAGCCUAGUGGGGAAUGCCAUAAAUACCCCUUAGGGGUUAGCAUUUCCAUAGGUUUUUCUAGAGAGUCAUCUUUCACCUCCAAAGAAGGAGAGUCAUAGCCUUUACCAUUUUUUCCAUCAUUAUCGAAGUGUGUCAAGAUUAAGGUUUAAGUCAUUGAGCGGAAGACUCCAGGUUUAUGAGACUUCAUACAACUUCGUUUUUCAUUUUCAUCAAAUGGAAUUAAUUUGAAAACAUUUGAAUCUGAAGUAUGGUUUUUGUUAGCAUAUUUCGAAUCCCUUUAAAGUUUAAAAAUGCAAAUUUUCCACUAUGUAUAGGAUUUAAAAUCGCUUAAGAUAGUUAAACAUGUUCCCCACUUGAUCUGAAUUGGGAAACGGAGAAAUCUGAUAUUUUCCCAUCACAAGGUAGGAUAAGAACUUGUGAUUGAUCUUUAUGGAUUGGACUAAUUAAUUAAUUGGAACCUAAUUAGGCUAAUUAAUUAAUUAAGACCUAAGCAAACUAGUUUAAGUUACACAAGCCUAGGAUGGACUUAAGUGACUUAAGCCCAUGGGAAGCUUAUAUAAACUCCUUUAGGGGUUAGGGUUUCAAACUUUUAUCAUCUAGUCUUCAAUUCCUUAAAGAGAAUAGAACUCGAGCCAACAACUCUCCUAAAGGAUUCUAUUGCUCCGUGUCAAGAUUCGAAAAAAAACUAUUUGAUGGAAGGUUGUUAUGUUUAUGAGAUUCGUUAUGUUUUUUUACACCUUUUCACUAAAUGGAAUUGAUAUAGGAAUGUUCAUAUCUCAAGUGCAACACACUUAUUCUCUUUAGAUUUAUAUUGCUUAUGGUUUUUUUUUUUUUUGUCAUGGUUUUCCGUUAAGAUUAGAUUAAGAGAGCCCUAUGUCAUAGAAUGCUUCAAAUGAGCCUCCCCGGGGGUUUGUAUAGAGCCCAUGAAGCUUCUAGAGACUCCUAUACUUAGCCAUUGGUGGGAAGAGUGUGAAAGGUUCUACAGAUGUCUAGAGAUAUUUACACAUCUCUACACUAUGGUGGAAGGCAUGAGAGGAGUCUAAGGCAUUCUAAAGAAUUAUAAAGAUCUCUUAUAUAUUCUUGUACAUAGGCUUGUACAUAGAAUUGUGUAGGAAGUUAUAGAUUAUUCUUGAGCUGUAAGGAACCCUCCAAGGUUCCAGAGAGUUCCAUUGGUGCCUAUAAAUAGGUGAAUGCCUCAUUUGGCCAAGACACUAAGCAAGUGAAUUCCAAAACACUUGUAAAGCUUCCUUUGAAUAAUAAAAGUUUCAAUUCUUCAAGAGUUGCCUAUUAUGCCUUCUAAAACUUCUAAGUCAUGAGCAUCUUAACCUAACAAGUUAAGCAUUGGGAGUAAUGCUAACUUAGCAAGAUCAAGGAUCUUGACUUGUCUAAGUGUUGCACGAUCUUAGGAAAAGAUUAAGUUUGUGACAGUUGGUUUCAAAGUGUGACUACGAAGUGAGCAUAGUAAAGGAAACAUGUCGAGCUUCAACAUGGAGGAAACUAGUGAGCAAACCCGUGGGAAAGAAACCGAGCCUACUGCAUAGGACAGGGACAUGAAGGAUAAAUCUCGUAAUGCCAUAGCCAACGUGGAGGCAAGGCUAGCCAAGGUGGAGCUAGCCAUGGCAGACACCCGGGAAGGGGUGGACUUAAUCGAGCAAGGCAUGGAAAAUGGCUUAGAGGAUCUAAAUGAGCAUAUCCAAGACCUUCAUGAGAGAGUGCUAGGCUUACAAGUUCGGCCGAUGUCAUAUGAGGAGUUCAUGUCCUUCCAAAACGAGGUCAUGAGCAUGUUUGCUAGCAUGGAGUCGAAGGUGGAGGCCUUGGCUGCACGCAUAGAGGCCCAAGACCAAGAGGUUCAACAAGAGCUAGCUAUCUACAAGACUGUCUUAUCAGCACGAGUCAUGGCCACUCAUGAGGCACUAAGGGUGGAAGUGCCCAAACCACACACGUUCAAUGGCAAGAGGGAUGCCAAGGAGUUGGACAAUUUCUUGUGGCACAUGGAGCUCUACUUUGAGGUUAUAACACUAAUAGAUGAAGCCACUAAGGUAUGUACCACAACCCUCUACCUCACCAAUAAAGCUACUCUAUGGUGGCGUCAGAGGUUUGCCAAUAUAGAAAAAGAAAUGUGCACCAUAGACACAUGGGAUGCCUUUAAGCAAAAGAUCAAAAAACAAUUAUACCUUAAUGAUGUGGCUUACCUAGCAAGGAAAAACACAAAAUGUCUUAAGCACACAGACUCGAUCCGUGAGUAUGUCAAAGAAUUCUCUACACUUAUGCUUGAGAUACCCAACAUGUCUGAGGAAAAGCUACUAUUCAACUUCAUGGACAACUUGCAAAGCUGGGCCGAGCAAGAGUUAAGGAGAAGUGGUGUCCAAGACCUAGCCACGGCCAUGGCGGUAGCGAAGUCCUUGGUGGAAUACAAAAAGGGAGACUCUUUUAAGCCCAAGCCACAGUCUAAGGGUAAUCAUGCUAAAGGUGGGGAAACAAGGGAUCAAGGAGGUACACUCCUAAGGAAUGAUCAAGCAAGACCUCUGGUGGCAAGGAUGGUAAGGGUAAGGAUAAACGGAAAUAGUUCACGCCUAAGAUCAAUUGCUUCCUAUGUGAUGGUCCACAUUGGGCGCGAGACUACCUCAAAAGAAAAGCCCUAAAUGCCAUGAUCGAGGAAAAGUAGAAGGAAGACAAUGCUCAUGUGGGAUCAUUACAACUCUUAAAUGAUAUCAAGGCUAAGUCAGUGCUUAAGACACCUCAAAGUAAAAGUCUAAUGUACAUAGAAGCCCUUGUAAAUAGGAAGGCUACCAAGGCUUUGGUGGACACUAGUGUCACUCAUAACUUUGUCUCGAAGGAUAAGACAAAGAACUUAGAGCUCCAAGCAUCUAAGGAAGGAGGUUGGCUCAAGGCAAUUAAUUAAGUUUCCAAGCCAUCACACGAAGUAGCACGCAGGGUGGCAAUGCACAUUGGCUCAUGGGAAGGAAUGGUCGACUUCACAGUGGCACCCAUGGACUACUUCAAGAUGGUACUGGGAAUGAACUUCCUAUAGAAAGACAAGGUCAUGCCACUACACUUCCUACAUUUAAUGGUUAUCCUAGAGGAUGAAAAGUCAUGCAUAGUCCUUACGGUCACCGAAGGUUCACCCAAGACCCCUAUGAUAUCGGUUAUGCAAGUAAAGAAGGGAUCAAAGAGGAAAGAGGUGACCUACCUCACCACUCUUAAGGAGGAAAAUGAUGAUGAGUUGGGGGAGCCCAUGCCUAAGGAAAUCAAGAGAGUCUUUGAUGAGUUCAAGGACGUGAUGUUGCCUAAGUUGCCUAAAAGACUCCUUCCUAGAAGAGAGAAAGAUCAUAAGAUCGAGUUAGAUGCAGGAACUAAGCCCCUUGCUAUGGGGCCAUAUAGGAUGGCACAACCCAAGCUGAAAGAGCUAAGGAAACAACUUAAGGAGUUGUUGGAUGCAGGGUUUAUCCAACCAUCCAAGACUCCCUAUGGCGCACCGAUUUUAUUUCAAAAGAACCAUGAUGGGUCCCUACAGAUGUGCAUCGAUUACCAAGCACUCAAUAAGGUAACAAUAUAGAAUAAGUACCCCAUUCCACUCAUUGUUGAUCUAUUUGAUCAACUUGGUAAAGCAAGGUAUUUCACUAAGUUGGACUUGAGAUCAGGCUACUACCAAGUGAGGAUUGUGGAAGGAGACAAACUGAAGACUACAUGUGUGACCCGAUAUGGCUCAUAUGAGUUCUUAGUGAUGCUCUUCGAUCUCACCAAUGUACCAACAAUGUUUUGGACACUCAUGAAUAAGAUCUUCCAUCCCUAUUUAGACUAGUUUGUGGUGGUAUACUAAGAUGACAUAGUCAUCUACAAUAGCAUCUUAGAGGAGCACGUGGAGCAUUUAAGGAAGGUCUUCAAGAUCUUAAGGUAAAACGAGUUAUAUGUAAAGAAGAAGAAAUGCUCAUUUGUUAAAGAGGAUGUGAGCUUCCUAGGGCAUCGCAUCAAAGAUGGCAAGCUGAUGAUGGAUGACAACAAGAUGAAGGUCAUCUAGGAAUGGGAUCCACCUACUAAGGUACCUCAACUAAAGUCUUUCCUUGGCUUGGCUAACUAUUACCAGUGGUUCAUCAAGGGUUACUCUACAAAGACAGCUUCACUCACUAAUCUUCUUAAGAAGAACAAGGCAUGGGUGUGAGACAAAAGGUGGCAACAAGCCUUUGAAGAUCUAAAAAGUGUUGUGAUUGAGGAGCCAAUGUUGGCAUUACCCAACCACAUGAAGGUUUUUAAGAUACACACAGAUGCCUCAAACUUUGCUAUUAGGGAAGUUCUGAUAAGAUAGACAUCUAAUCGCCUUCAAGAGUUGCAAGCUAAAUGACAUAGAGAGACGCUACAUGGUACAAGAAAAUGAUAUGACUGUCAUUGUCUAUUACUUGCACACCUGAAGACACUAUCUUCUAGGGUCUCACUUCAUAGUGAAAACCGACAAUGUUGUCAUUAGUUACUUCUAAACACAGAAAAGUCCUAAGUAAGCUAGGUGGCAAGACUUUCUGGUUGAGUUUGACGAUGCGCUGGAGUAUAAGACAAAAAGUACUAAUCAUGUGAAUGACGCCCUAAGCCGUAAUGUAGAGCUAGCAUUCAUGACGAGCCAGCCCCAAUGAGACAUAAUAGAUCUUCUAAGAGAGGGGUUGCAACAUGAUCUAGUGGCUAAGAGCCUUAUUACCUUGGCCCAUGAGGGAAAAACUAAGUGUUUUUAGGUAGAGGACGACCUACUCUACACUAAGGGGAGACUACUCUACGUGCUUAAGUGGGGGAACAUAAGGUAGAACUUGAUUAAGGAGUGCCAUGACACCAAGUGGGUUGGGCACCUUGGGCAACGACGCAUAAAGAGCACUACUCGAGUCAGCUUACUACUGAUCUUAGAUACAAGAUGAAGUUGAGGCAUAUGUGAGGACUUGUCUUGUGUGCUAACAAGACAAGGUAAAACAACAACAACCUAGAGGCUUGUUGGAGCCACUACCUAUAGCAGAGCGUCCAUGGGAGAGCAUCACCAUGGACUUCAUCAUCGGGCUACCUAAGUUGGAGGGCUAUGGCUCGAUCAUAGUGGUAGUGGAUAUGUUCUCUAAGUAUGUGACCUUCAUAGUAGCCUCUACUGACUGUACUGCAAAGGAGACAGCAAGGCUAUUCUUGAAACACAUGGUCAAAUACUGGGGGUCGCCUAAUUACAUCAUCAGUGAUCGCGAUUUGCAUUUCACUAGGAAGUUUUGGACAAAGCUCUUUAAGCUUAUGGGUUUGAAGCUUCACUUCUUCACAAGCUUUUCACCCGUAAACAGAUAGGCAGAUUGAGAGGGUGAACGCCUUAUUAGAGUUAUACUUAUCCUUCAUGAGUGUCAACCAAAAGGAAUGGACUAAGUUGCUAGAUGUAAUCCAAUUUUCAUACAACUUGCAAAGAAGUGAGACAACCAACAAGAGCCCGUUCAAGCUAGCCAUAGGGCAGCAACCAUUGACUCCUCACACACUACCAAUAGGCUAUACGAAGAGAAGUUCAGCGGCUUUGAAGUUCACUAAGGGGUGACACGAGCCAACUGACAUAAUAGCUCAUACUUGGAUAGGGCCGCUAGAAAGAUGAAGAAGUGGGCUGACAAAAAGCGACAUCACACUGAGUACAAGGUCGGAGACAUGGUCUUUGUCAAGCUCCUUCCUAAAAAAUUCAAGUCACUAAGGCCGGUACAUAAAGGCCUUAUGAUGAGGUAUAAAGGACAUUUCCCCAUACUUGGAAAGGUCGGCAAGGUGUCCUAUAGAGUUGAGUUACCACCGAGGUUGAAGAUUCAUAUCGUCUUCCACGUAAGUUACAUAAAAUCAUAUCACGAAGACAAGAAUUAUCCAAGCCAAGGGAUGUCCUAGAUGACACCUACAUCGAUUAUGACCUUCUAUGACAAGGAAGUAGAACACAUCAUUGCAGGCUGAGUCAUCAAGAGAUGAGGCGUGCCUCCUGCUACGGAGUACUUGGUGAAAUGGAAGGGACUACCAGAGAACGAGACUAGCUGGGAGCCAAUAGAUGCACUAUGGCAAUUUCAGGAGCACAUUAAGUGGUUCUAGGUGGAAGGUGCGACAAGGACGUUUACGGUUUAGGUAGGGGAGAGUGUCAUAGAAUGCUUCAAAUGAGCCUCCCCAGGGGUUUAUAUAGAGCCUAAGAAGCUUUUGGAGACUCCUACACUUAGUCAUUGGUGGGAAAAUGGUGGAAGGUUCUAAAGAUGUCUAAAGAUAUCCACACAUCUCUACACUAUGGUGGAAGGUAUGAGAGAAGUCCAAGGCUUUCUAGAAAAUUCUAGAGAUCUCUUGUAUAUUCUUGUACAUAGGCUUGUACAUAGAAUUGUGUAGGAAGUUUUAGAUUAUUCUUGAGUUGUAAGGAACCCUCCAAGAUUCCAAAGAGUUUCAUUGGUGCCUAUAAAUAGGUGAAGGCCUCAUUUGGCCAAGGCACCAAGCAAGUGAGUUCCAAAGCACUUGUAAAGCUUCUUUUAAGUAAUAAAAGCUUCCAUCCUUCAAGAUUUAUCUACUACGCCUUAUAAAGCUUUCAAGUUGUGAGCAUCUUAACCUAGCAAGCUGAGCAUUGGGAGCAAAACUGACUUAGCAAGAUCAAGGGUCUUGACUUGUCUAAGUGUCGCACGAGCUUAGGAAAAGACUAAGUUCAUGACACCUAGGACUAGUAGCAUGCACCCUAAGUAAUCCAAGGCUAGAAAUGAAAUGAUACAAGGAUUCCCAACACUUGACUUAAUUCCUUAGAAAUUGAAACUCAAUAAAAAACAUUAGUGUCAUUAACCUCAUUUUUUUUAUUACCAAUACUUAAUUAGGGGAAACCUUGAGCUAACAACCUCCUCAUUUUUUAUGAUGAUAAAACUGUACCAUCUAAAGAAAGCUUUCCUUAAUGUAUGCAUAUUAUAAGCAAUUUAAACAUUCAUCAUAAAAGAUGGAAAACAUAAACUCAAAUGGAGACAUGGAUAUAUAGAUAUAAGAGACAUCAUAAAGGUUGCAACAUGAUCGUAUAUCCGAAAUAGCAUCCAAAAGCAUGUCAUCCAAAAAAAAAUCAACCAUAAUAACCAUGUUCAAAUUGUCCCAAAAAGGAAAAAAAUAUAUAUAUGAAACAAAAAGUAUUAAAUAGUUUACUAAAUGUUAUGCCCUAGAUACCUAAAGAUAUCUCCCCCUUAGGCAACAUCGAAACAAUGAGGGAACUAUAUGGCUCAAGGUUGAGGUGGUGGAAACAAGGAACAUAGGACAGCUAUUGAAGAAGCUAAAAUUCUUCAUAAAUGAUUGAAUUUUAUUUCACCAUGAGAAACAAUACAAAGAGGGAUUUUUUUUUUUUUUUUUUUUUUUUUAUCAAGGGGAAGACCCCUUUCUCUUUACUACUUAUCCCUUUUAAUAAAAAUUCUUCCACAUUUUUCCACUUUAUUUUGCCAACAUUCUUUCAACCCCUUUUGCACAAAAAUGCCAAAGAUAGUAUUAGGAUAACCUUUUACAACCAUUGCUAACUUUUGACACAAGUUGCUAAAAAUUGUUGAAGAUUUGCUUUUAAUGUCAGGUAGGAUAGCAGAUUGGUUCUAAUUGAAGGUCAUUUCUUGUGGAGGACCUUACUUAUAAGUGAGAUGAUUGUUCCUAUCUUCAUGGUUUUAUGUUGUAUAGUUAUAGAGACUUUUUAGAGGCUAUCAGCUUUAGAGCAAAUUUAUGUUGUUUGUUAGGGAUUAAGUAUUUUAUUCAAAUUGGGUGAAUGGUACUACCUCUUUACUUGAGAUGGCUUUGAGAUUGGGUGGUUGAAUAGUAGUACUUUGGAAUGGUCUAGUUUUUGUUCGCUUUAGCUAUCAUUUUCUUAUGCUGUGUCUAUAGACGAGUGGAGACGUCAUUUGGAAAUUGGUCAAAUUGCCCGUGAAAUUGAUCAAAUUGUCAAGUUGUCAUCCUAAAAUUGACUAAACCUAGUUUGUAAAAAUGAGAAACGACCGUCACUAGCGACUAACAUCUUCUCAAGCUAAGUAUUAAUAGAUCCAAUCUGAGCAUAAAGGGCAUCUUAAUGUUGCAGGUUCAAUGCUCAUGAAGCAUAAUAUUUUGGAUACUUGGUGUGAGACACCUCAGCAUAAGUCUAAUCCAUAAGGAUAGUCUCCUCAGGAGGUUGAGAUGUGGGCAAUUGAAUGGUGGCAUCCAUGCCCUUGGUUUGCAUCUCCUGUUGAACAUCCUCACCCCCUAAUCCUUUAUGGUCACCCUCAGUCUCUAUCUAUAGAAUCUCUGCCUCUUACUCAACCCGGUCUUCAUUCAUAGCAGGACCCUUUCUUUUUCUUUCCAAUGAUCCAUUAGGCAAUUUCUCAAACAGCAUUCGGUCUGGAUUUUACGUUAUAGGUAUCAUAGGAUGAGGCCUGAAUGUUUUUUUCUCUUCUUAUGUCCACAUUGAAUGCUUUCAGGAUUUUUGUGAUCAGUCUUCUUCCGUUGGCCACUACUUUAGAAUUGCUUUUACAACAGUUUUUCAUGUGUUGAAAGAUGAUAAGGAAACCUUAGAAUGGAUCGGAGUCAAUAGAAAAUGCUACAUAAUAGGACACCUUGUCUCUAUGUCCACCCUUAGGUAGAAAAAUAUGUUUGAUCAUGUGGUGGUGCACCCUAGAGAUAAUGCUCAAGGCAUGGGCAUGGAGCUUUGAAGUCACUGUGUCGAUGGGUAAGUUACAUAUCCUCUAGAAAGCCCUACCUAGGUUAAAACUAGACACUAUAGGCCAUCCCUUCGUCUCAAAUAAACAAAGUCCCCCACAAAGGAUCUCCAAAAUAUCACAAAGCAUAUCAAUAUUUAGUUUAAUUCAACUCCUCUAACAAAUGUGCUAAUUGGCCUUCAUAUAUUUUAGGUUCAAGUAAAAUACCUGAACAAGGUUGGGGUAUGUAGGCUCUCUUGAUGAGAUGGUAUUGGUGAGUAUUUUUUUUUCUUCAAUACAAAACUAUUACAACACUUGGUUUUUUUUUUUUCUAAAAAAAAAAGAAAAAUAAAAAUAGUUUUAUAUUAUACUUAGUUUCAAGAAAAAUAAUAAUCAAAGCAAAAUGAAAAAAAAAUUCUCAUAUUGGUUUCUCGUGAAAAAUAUAAAAGCAAAUAAAAUACAAUUAAAAUUAAUUAAAAUCUUAUGUAUUUUUAAAUUAUUAAUUUUUAUAUAAAAAAUGAAAAAUAGUAUAAUGAAUUUAGAAGAAUAUAUAAAAAUAAUGUAUUAACUUUAAAUCUUUUUUUCUUUAUAUAUAUAUUUUCCCUUCAAUUUUCUAAUACCAACACAUAAUAAGGUUAAUGUCUUCUAGCCAACCAAUUGUAAGUCAAUUUUCAUAGAGCUUUUUUUUUUUUUUUUUUUUACAUGCCACCAAGUAGUUAUAUAAGCAUUUUUGCAUGUUAUUGUUAUCCAACAUACAAUAACUAUAACAUCCAAUUAUUAUGAACAUGAACAAUAAAAUUAGAUGCAACUAACUAUUUAGUGUAUAACAAGAAGUUGGUGAAGUAAUUCAUCCUAACAUGAUUCAACAAUUUUUGUUUAUUUUUCAAGAUUAAUUAUAACAUACCCAUUCUAUUAAAGUUGUUGAGAUAUUUGAGCAAAACUAAAAAUCAACAUUAAUUCAUUUUAUACCCACAAGAGAAAUAAGAUUUGUUUUUUUGUUUGAUAAUAAAGUAGUUGUAGUUAUUAAUGAUAAUUUUGAUCCUAAUUUAAUAGGUAUCCAAAAAAAAAGGAAAAAUGCAAGUAAACCAAUUCUUAUCUAACACAAUUAUUACCACCUUAAAAUCCUGAGGGGUAGCUCAGUUGAUCAGUUCGAGUCCCUUUAGGACCAUGAAAAGCUUACCCGAUGGUUCACCUUAAGAAAAGCAAAGCAUUUAUAUAAUUCAACUGGUAGUUGAUAAGUCUUAGAAAGGGUUUUGCCAUCAUUGGCUUCUCAGUAAAGGGCAAAUUUGGGUUGUGGCUGACAAUUAUUGAAUUUGUGAAGAAAUAUGUGAAGAAAGGAAACAAAAAGAGUUGAGGACAGAAUUCUUCAAUUAAAAAAUGGUUAGCCCAUGAACCCAUUCUUCAAACAGUAAGCCAAUGAGCCAAUGAGCCAAAAAGAAAGAAGAACAGCUGGUUUCAUCUUUUUAUCUUAAUGACUUUGACAACCCAUCUUUCUUUUAAAUACUUGUGACUUUGGAAUAUAAUUAAAAUGAAACUUUGGAAUGCCCACAUCUGAUUCACGGCCUUUUUACCUGUUUUCUUGUUUAACAUUUUUUUAAAUAUUAUAACAGAUGGAAAAACAUGAUUCUAACAGGCUGGAAAAUAGUGGAAGUUGGAACACCAACCAUAACCAAACUAUACCUUCCAUCUUUCUCCAACACUCGGAAUUAUUGAUACAAGUUGGUGGUUUUAUGAUUGUUUCUAUUGAGGGGACCCCUCUCCAUUUCCAAUUUCAAUGGAAAGGUUCUUCUUUCCCUACUUUUUUUUUUUGUUUUUCAAAUUCUUGUAGUUUUGUCUGUCUCUCUCAACAAAGCAAACUGCAAUCACUAAUUCAAAGAAAAGGAAUCCUAAAUGAAAAGAAAAGAAAGGAAAGGAAUGGUAAUUUAGGCUAUGAUGAUGCUCCUAUAUAAUGGCUGUAAGUCAAUAACAACACACUGGACCCGCCUCCUAUCUCAAAAGAUCACAAACCCAAAUAUCAUAUACUUCCAAAUUUCAAUUUGGUUCCCUGUUUAUAUCACAAUCUGUCCUAUAUCCUCUUAAUACAUCUAAAAUCUCUCUAUAUCAUAAAAAUAAUGAUGGAAAAAAAAAUUAAAAAGAAAGAAGGAAAAAAUGACAAAAAAAAAAAAACCUUGGUGCUGCUAUGGGUCCAUAGGAAUUGGCAGGACUGCACUUCUGGAUCCCCUUCCAUGGCCAAAAGAAAAGAAUGAUCUUCGGAAUCUGCUGCUGCAACCUUCACUAGGGCUGAAGUCACUGACAGGCCUGUUCUGUUGCAAAAUCUCUUGAAUUGCUAAAUACAGCUGCCUGUCGUUGGAUGAGUCCAUUGAAAAAGACCUCCUGAUGGGUUGGAUUGAGAACUGAUCAUCUUUGCCUCUAGUGUCAAUGCACUCAUCACCCAUGCUUGCAACAUGAUGAAACUUCCUUGCCUUUUUAGGCACAAUUCUCUGCUCUAGCUUCCUAGGUGAUGGACUAAUUGAUGGCGCAGAUAACUCUCUGGAAUUCAGUCUUUCUGGUGGCCUAAGCAGUGAUGAAUCAGCAGAACUAUCAUUUCCCAAUUCAAUUACUACAAAAUCUUCAUCCCCUCCUAUGUAAUUAUUGGCGUAGGGGCUUGGAUCUUGGGGGGAAGAGCUAGGAGCAAUGAUUUGGUGAACAGGAAACCGGGGUGUGGUUGAAAUGCUUGUUCUGCAAAGUGGGCAAUUAGCAUUGCUUUGAAGCCACACGUCUAUGCAAUCUAUAUGAAAUAUGUGACUGCAGUUUGGUAUGAUUCUUAGCUUCUCUUCUUCUUGAAACUCAUUCAAGCAAACCGCACACUCGCAAUGGCUUCUUUCUCCAAACUCUCUGCCACCUCCUUUCCUGAACUGGAAUAUUGGGAUUGAUCUGAUGACUGACUCGUCCAGGCCUCGACUCUCGAUUGCUGGGGAGUACACCAUUAAAGGGUCUUCCGGGUGCCGACUCCUUGAGAAAGAAAAUCGUCUCAGCAGAUCAAUCCGGUGCCAAUUGAGGCAGCAUUUGAUUACAAAGAUGUAGUAGCUCACCAGCAAGAAAGCAGUGGCCAGGAUUCCUAUUACGGCAAUGGCUAUAAUGGGGAAACUGGUGUCCGAGGAAUGAGAGGGAGAAGGAAGCACUGAGCUCGCCUGGCUUUUGAUGGGAGAAAAGGCUUGUGAUCCAUGGAUGGAGGAGUCUGUGCUCACAAGAUCCAUGAGAGAGGCUAUGAAAAACAUUUAGAAAUGAGUCUAUUCGGAUCUUCAAUUCACAGAAACAUGCAAAUGCUAGAAUAAAAUCGACAGACACUCAGAUAUAGACCCUACAGUUGUAAUGCAGCAUACCAUAAAUGUGAUUGAGUGAGUGAGGCUGAAACAGCAAAUGGGUCACUUCAAGAUCUCAACAAGACAGAAAACCCAUGUUGAAUUCACCAGGAGAGUAUUGAAAAGGGAAAAAUUAAGGACAUAUAGCUGUAUUGAAAGUUGAAACAAAUGCAGAAACAUAGAGAAGAGAGAGAGAGGGAGAAAACCCAGGAGGGUUGAAUGAGAGCGCUGCUGGGGAAGACAUCAAAACGCUUCAAAUUCAAUGAGAAUCUGUUGGGGACCUCUUUAAGAGGACUGCACAAAGCCUGAGCGUAGGGUACGUGGUUGGUUGGUGAAUUUCUCGGCUUCCAAAAGAGAAAUUUGGUGAGAAAAUUUUCAAGUCUCUUGAUUAUAGUAACGUAGCGUUUAUUUUAAUUUUAUGUAACCGAAACUAAUGGGCUGGUUCAAAAAAAUAAAAAAUAAAAAAAGGAACUUUCUAGGAUAGGCCAGCAGUCCACCGUUGGUCAUGUGGUUUCUUUUGCAUGUCCACAUCUUCCAACUAGUGGAGGUCCCUGUCACAACAGUAAGAAAACACCCAAUUGAAUAAAAGUAUGAACUUUUGGCUCCCAAUAUUACUUAUGCCCUCAUUCAAUACCUCAAAUAAAGCAGAGAUUUUGUGUCCCAACUUUUAUGAUUUCAUUUCAUCUUACUUCAAAUGCUAAUGACAAAAGUCCAAGUAUAUUCUGUAAUCACCCACACCCCAAUAGUUUUGAAUCACACUUGAAAUAGUUCCCAUGCUUUCUUAAUAAUUUAGAUAAUUAUUUACAGAAAAAAAAAUUCAGAACAGGAUGAUAAUCAUUUUGUGAUAGCAUGGAAGAAACUUUACUAGCCACUUUGGCCCCAUGAAGUUGAGUACUUGAUGCCAAUUAAUGGCAGGGUGGAAAAUAGAGAAAAGGGAUCAUAGUCAAAUCUAGAGUACAAGGCAUUGAAUCUUUGUUAAUAAUUAACAAAUGGGUAAAGCAUGGGUCACAGGGUCUACAGUUUGGAUUGCAAAAACCUCAGGCUUCUAUAAAAAGCUCAUCCAUUAUCAAUCAUCAAUCUGAAAGCCAGAAAGUCCAAGGCACAUGCAACCCACGACAGGGGUAAGAUUUCUGCAUCAUGUCCCUGAGUUGCAUUCACAUCAUAUGUUUCCCUCCGGGCCGUUCCAAUUUGAAAUCUCAUGGAAAUCUUCAAGAGCAAGGCUACAGAGUUUAAGAUAAUACUAGGGGUGGGUCCUGAUGGGAAAAGAGGUAGUGUAGGAUAGUCAAUAAAGGGCAUGUGUCUCUGGUGUGAAGUCAAAUCCAGUGUACCAUCCUCAAUGGAAAAUUUAGAAAUAGAACCGACACUCUACAGACUGCCGUGUUGACAGAUUAGAGAAAGACAAACCCACUUACACUUGCCUCAAAACCCAGUCCUGCCAUUUCAAAGGCAAAAAAAAAGGGUUUCUUUUUAUAGUCAAAGGUUGAGGCCUGGCCUGGCCUAGCAAAGAAACUUCACCUACUCUUUUCUUAUUUUUCAAAUUAAGGCCAUUCAACUUUUCCUGUUUGCAGGCUUGCUGCCAUAUCUUACUCCAAAAAAGGUGAAAACCCAAAAGAAAAAGAGUGUUUGCUUCAAUGGAAAACUCAUGUUUAAUAAAUUCACCGCACGAGUUUUGUUCCAGCUUUUCCUAUGAAAGCUGUGAUGCGUUUGGUAUGAAGUUGAUUUUGUUCCUAAAAAUUUUGAUCUUGGCGUGGAAGGCAACUUUUUCCUUUUCCCCCUUUUUCUUUUUGAAAAGUUCGGCAUUAGUUACCAAAUGUCCUUUUACUUGCAUGUAGGACAGCGGAAGCAUUACACAUCGCAGCAAAAUCCCAUUUACCCGAAUUUUCCACUAACUCUUUUUAUUUUUUACCAUCAUUUUUUAAUAGAAGUGAUGCACUCUUCAAAUUACAUGAAGCUUUUAAGAAGGUAAUAACCCGUUUCAAAGCGAACUUAACCUACAGAGUAUGUUUUAAAAAUAUUUAGGUAUUUGAUAAAAUUUAAAAAAUAUUUUUUAAAAUCUUUAAAAUGAUUUGUAAUAUUGAAAAUUUAUUUAUACUUUUUUUAAUAAAAAAACAUUUUAUAGGUAAUUUUUCUAAAAUACUUUUAGAGAAAAUGUCUUCCCUUCACUAUAAAUAUUAUAUACUAUCAAAUACACUUUAAAAAUCUGUUUAACAAUAAUUUUAUAAAGUGUUUUUAAUUUUAAAAAUAUUUUUAAAAACAAAUUAAAUUUUUGAUAAAAUUUAAAAAAUCUUUUUAAAAAUUUUGAAAAAUAUCUCGUAAUAUUAAAAAAUAUAUAUAUUUAUAAUGUUUUUUAUAUAAAUACUCAAAAUUCAUUUAAUAGUGAUUUUAGGAAAUGUUUUUAAUAUUUCUAAUACUUGAAAAUUUUUUAUCAUUUAAGUAUUAAAAAUAUUAAAAACACUUUAUAAAAUCACUUUCAAAUGGACUCUUAAUGAUUUUACUAAAAACACUUUUCAUAGAAAACAUUUAUAAAAAAUAAUUAUGAAAUACACUCUAAAUUAAGUAAAAGUUGUUUUUAACAUUACCACUAUUUAUUAAUAGUGCAUUUGUUUAAAAUAUUUAUAUGAAAAAUUCAUUAGGGUGGGAUAUAAAUAUAGAAGUGUUUUUCUUUAUAUAUUUUUUAUAAUAAAAAAUGAUUUUUGAAAUUAUAAAAUUUGAAUUUAAGAAUCAUUUGAUAAUAAUUUUUGUUAAAGCACCUUUAAUACGUGGUGCUUCUAUUGAUAGCGCUUUCAUUUCUAUGAAUGGCUAUAAAUUAUAUUUGAAUAAAUUUUUUAUAAUGUAUUAUAUAAUAAAAAAAAAGUCAUUUUUAAAAAAAUUAUACAUUAAAUGAUUAUUCAAAUAGUAUUUCCUAAAUUUUAUUAAACAUUUUUUUCAAAAAAAAAAAAAAAGUUUUCAAAUACUAGAAAACGUUUUUAAUCUCUCACACGAUCACAUCCAAACAAGUCCUAAUGCUACUCCUAGAAACACUCCAAAACAAAAGUCUUCCUCUAUUAAUGUUCAUAAAAUCCACAUAUAUUCUUCCAUCGUUUUUUCAAAAUUCAAAAUCAUUUCUAAAACAUCAAAUCAUGUUCUUUGGAUUGGCUGACUUGUUUUUUGAAAAUAGAAGGCUCAUUAUUGACGUCCGUUGACUUCAUAACCCAGUCUUGAUCUCUUGAUGGAGGGCAUAAAUGUAAAUUGGACGAAACCCUAGGGUGCGCUAGAGUGUAGAGGAUGAAAGGUUGGAAAAAGGAUGAGGUGGGGGUGUAAUAAAGAGGAGGGUUGGGAGAAUGGGACAUGUGUAGGUGAAGCAUUAAAUUCAAGACUAUGCUUACCAACAACAUAUAAAUAAAUAAAUAAAUAAAUAUAGGAACAGCACAUGGGGUGAGUAGGAGACAUCAGAAGAUGUGAACAACCCCUUGUCAGUCCAAUUUGCGUCUUUUAUCUACUCUAUUAUCUAUAUCGAUUUUCGUAUUUAUUUAUUUAUUUAUUUAUUUUUACCAUUUGAUUUUGCAUGGAUGUCGAAGGGUUUAUUGGCUGCCACGUGUAGGGUUAUGGUCAAGAUCACGUGGGGUGCCUACAUGGGAGUCACGUGAGUGCAUGAGGCAGGCUUGAAUUGCAGGAGGAGCAGGAGCAGAGCAGUGGCUGUUGUCUUAAGACUUUGCUCUCUUGGUGGAACUGCAGCUUAAGCAGCAUCCACGUGUUGUCACGUGCAAUGCGAGCCAUCCACACCACCAGUUUCUUUUUAGUGAUUUUCUAAAGUCAGUUAAGGUUGCAGUCAAUACCUUCAAAUGUUGACAGAGUUAGGGAUCUUUGUUAAAUGGAUUUUAUUAAGAUAUUAGUAAGUUAAUUAAUUGAGGGUCAACAUAACAGAUGGGUCGGGUUGGGUUGAAUCUGAAUUUAAAACGAUUUAAUUUAUGUUUAAUCAAAUUUAACAUUUAACUCGAAGCACUCAACUUAAGUUUAAUUGAAUCUUAGUUUUCAAAACAUUAUUUAAAUUUGGGUCAUUUGGAUUAAAGUCAAAUGGGUUAGAUUAAUCGGGUUAUAUGGUUCAAAAUCCACUUACCUUAUUUUUUAUACAUUAAUAUUAAAAUUUAAAUAAAAAAUAUUAGAAGAAAUUUCAAACUUGGGAUUAGUUGAUUGUAGCCAUGCAUUUGGAUGUUGGUAUUCUUGUUUCUUGUCUUGUUUCCAAAUACCCUUUCAAAUCGCUUUGUUAUUCAAUAGCAUCCUCCCGAUCAUUUAAAAAUUUAAAGAGCAUUGGUAUGAUGGAGGAAUUCAGAAAUUUUAGUUGAAUAAGUAAAAUUUUUCUCUCAUAAAACCAAAUAGCCUCUAUAGCUCAGUGGUAGAGCGUCAGUCUUGUAAACUGAAGGUCUGUAGUUCGAUCCUGCAUGGAGGCAACUUUUUAUAUUUCAUGAUCCAUUAUGCUCUAGUGAUUUAGUUUUCAUUAUAAUUUUAGAUUAAAAAAUUACAUCAACAUUUGAUAAGUUGGUUAUGACUUUGAUAUAAGGAUGAAACUAUCAAUAAUAUAUAUAAAUAUUUUGACACAAAAUAUCUAAUAUAUUAAAAAAUUAAAAAAAAACUCUAAAAAACAUUAUAAAAUUAUAUAUAUAAUUUAUCAUAUUUAAUAAUAAUAUCUUCUACCCUAAUAAAAAAUAUAAAUUUUAUAAGCAUACAUUUAUUAUUACAUUGUAUUAUAUAUUAUUUUACAAGAAUAUUAUGAUAACAUGUCUAAUUUUAAAAUAUAUUUAAUAUUAAAAUUAUCAUCAAUUUUAAUUUAAAUGUAUUUAAUGAUAUCAAAUAAUAUAUAUAUAUAUAAUUUUUUAAUAUUUAUAUAUUUUUAUAUUUAAUAAAUAUAUAAAUUAUGUAAAAAAAAAAGACCUAUUAAGAAGAUUAUGUUUUUAUAUUUGGAUCAAAAUUAAGUUUUUCCGAUAAAAUAUAUGAAACUAUUGAUAAAUUAUUGAUUGAAACGUGAAAAAAAAAAUUCAAAAAAUAGAUGAGAUAUUAGUAAAAUAUCCGAAAAUAUUGAUUGAUGAAUAUAUCAUUUCAAAUUUUGCAUCAACAUCCACAUAUGUUGGAUAUAUUGGCCAAAUAUAUUUAAACCUUGUUUCCAUGAGAAGUCUUUCCUUCAACAAUUUCAAAAGGUUAAUGAGGUGGUUUCCAAGAGAUGUGUGUAGGGGUCUCCAACGGGCGGGCCGGGCCAGCGGGCUUUUUGAAAUAAGCCAAAAUGGCUUUCAAAAAAGGGAAGGGAGAGGAUUUAAACCCCUUCCUUCAUGCUUAAAUUUCAAGGUUCUAACCAAUUGAACUACAUUCCUUUAAUGUUUAUUAAUUGAGUUAGUUAUAUAUAUAUAUAAAAAUAAAGUAUAUUAUUUUUUAAAGGGGCGGGCCUACGGGCUGGGCCGGGCCGAAAGCGGGCCACGGGCCACGGGCUUUUUGGAGACCCUUGGAUGUGUGCAAUCACAUUUGGUAUUAUAGGUGACAAAGUUUGAUAAAUGAGUAAUUAUUAGGUUAACUUAUAAAAUCCGAAUUUGAUUUAAAUUGAUUCAUUUAAUAAUCCCAUUUAUUUACCCAAUUAAAACUUUAAAUUAUUUAACUUAUAUUUAAUUUAAUUAAAAUUUGUUUUUAAAUAAAUAGAUCAAUUAAAACAUAAACAUAUUUGAUUGAAACAUUAAUAAUAUAGAUUUAAAUAAGACCUAAUUCAACCUAACGAUCAAAUAGAAAUAUCUAAUUAUUAAAUAAAUUAAACAUGUUACUUGCUUAAUAAUUAUGUGACAUUUGAAUUUAUGCUUUUGAUAUAAUUAUUAUUUAUAUCAGGUUUAUAUAAUGAAAUAUCUAGACUUUGACACCAGUCAACAUUGUCCACCAAUACAGAUUGCAACUCUUAUAUGCUACAUCACAUCAUGUUGAAGGAAGAGGAUGACGUUCAUUGGCAGCAGAGCCUCCAAUCAUAAGGAGCUUGAGCAAAUUCAAUCUCAACACUGAAAUUCACUAGAAAAAAAGUUUAUUAUUGAUACUUCAUUUGUGUAAAAGCAUUAUAUUUCUUGCAUCAAUCGUAAAGCAUGACAUUCCAGUAGGUACGGAAGAGAAAAUUUGUUAUGAAUUGAAAAAUCUGUCAAGCUUAAUUUGGAGGGCCCAAAAUUGACACGUUUAAGAGCUCUAUCAUUAGCCCAAUGAUAAGAGUCCAUUUCUUGAGUUUCAAGGAAGGCCCAAGUUUAACUUAGAGGGCCCAAUCUUGGUACCUUCUAAAAGGUGCAAACUUUGGCCCAAUUAUAAAAGCUUAUCCUUGCUUCCUAAGCAUCAAUGAUAUAUUUGAUCGAAGUAUUCACAUAACUAUCACGAAAUGAAAUGAAAUGAAAAUGUAUAAGUAAAUGAUGAUUUUGAGUUAUUUACUGACAAUAAAGAAUUAGGUGGUGUUUGUUUUUUUUUUUUUGGCUUUUUACUAAAAGCAAUUUGUUUUCAGAAUUUAGGUUAUUUAUUUUUCUAUUUUUUCAUGACUUAUUAUAAACUUUUUACUAAAUAAGAAAAUCCAAAAUAUAUAGUUUUUUCUAAAUAGAAAAAAUAACAUAUUGGUUUUCUUUUUUUUUUACUUUUUAAUAUUUAAUAGAAAUAAAAUAUUAUAAAAACAAACAACCUAAUAUUUAACACUAUUAAGUAUUAAGGUUUUAUUUAGAAUUAAGUAAAAAAACAAACACUACCUUAAAAUGAAAAGUAUGUAUAAUGACCUUAUACAAAAAAAGUCUCAUUAUUUUCUUCCAAAGAACUCAUACUUUUGUUUUUCAACUAUUACUUUGUUUUUAUUUUUUAAAUAAUAUUUCAAGUUUUUUUUAAUAAUACCUUUCUCUUUAUUAGAUAAUUUUAAUGACUUUAAAAGUAUUUUAAUAUAUUAAUUUAUUAUAUAAUUUUAAUGAUUUAAAAAUAUUUAAAUGUUGAAAUAUUUAUUUUCAAGUCUAAUUUUAAUUAUUUAUUUUUUGAAGUAUUUAAAUAUAUAAUAAAUGUGGGAUUAUGUAAAUCUAGUUGUAAUUAUUUAUUUCAUUCUAUUCAUGUUUUUAGUUGAAUUUGCUCAAAAUUUACACCUCUUUAUUUAAAGAUCAUGGAUUAGUUAGGUGUCUUGAGAUUUUUUUUCUCUCAAGACACUACUUGUUACACUAGAAAAUAAUUUGUGGCUAUAUUUUUUAGGCAAAAAGAAUUAUAUGUUAAAACUUCCUUUAUUGACUAGUUUAUCAUAGGGUGUAGAGGAAAGUUUGUGAUGUCUUUUUAUGUCAACUUUGGGAGAAAAAUAUCACUUUAGCAUUUUCCUUAGAAAAUUUUCAUACAUAAUUGAUUUUGGAACUAUGGAGGAGCAUAAGUAGGGAUAGAUAAUUCGAUUUUGGAAAAAUUAUAAUAGCUUUUCAACUUGGUGUUAAUGAUAUAUUGUUUAUUUCUUAUUUUUUUUCCAUUUUAAUAUAUAAUUGGGGAUUUUAAACUUGUAGAACAAGGCUUUUUCAAUUGAAUUGACACGUACAUAUGAAAGUUCUCUUUGGUUGCUAAUCACAUUUUUUUUUCUUUUGCUUUUUGUUUUUAUCAUAAUGAAUAUUGAACUCGAAAUUCAGUUUUUAAAAUCUUAUGAUGUUUUAAAGUUUAUAAAUAUUAUUGAUUUUUAUAAAUGAUGUUAUUCAUAUCUUGGUAAAGACAAUAUUUUCAUAUCGGUCAAGAUGAUUAAUAACAUAUAAGUUCAUAAAGAAAAACCUAUUGAUUAAUGGAUAUUUAAUGAUUUUUAUUAGGAAUGUUUUUUAAUUAGUUUCAAUACUCAUCUUUUAGAGCAUACAUAUAGGGUUUUAGAUGCUACAUUGGUUUUCAGCUUGUGAUUUAAAUUAUUGAAGCAAAAAAUGAGGGUUUUGCUUUAUGGAACUAUCUAAAGGGAGGUGAAUUAGGCGGUCUUCCUUUUUAAAAUCCAAAAAUUAGAUUUUUAAUACUUAUAUUAGUUAUACAUGUGUUCAAUAAUUAAAACAAAGAACAAGUCCAUAAUUUACAUGUGAUGUGCAUGGAAAAACACCUACAAAUUCUCUCAAAUACUUUACAAAUGAAAAAAAAAUCAAGGAUCGAUCAAUCACAGAGCAACUUCACUAAAUAUGAAAACAUGACUAUACAAUUUUACUUGGAUGAGGUGCUACCUUCUCUUAAGGGUUUUUACACUAGCCAACAAUUACACUCACCUUCACUCUCACCAUGCACCUCUAUUGUGCUCCAUAGUAAACACUUUAAUGACUGUAGCAAGAUUGCGAUAAAUUACUGCGAUUAAUUUGAGAGUGUUGAUAAUGAACAAAAAAUAAUGAUAAUUAACUAGAGAGCAUAUGAUUUUGUAAAAACACCAAAAAGAGGCAUAGUUAUAAGUGAAAACUUUAAUGGAUUGGAUUGAAUAUAUAAUUGAAGUAUGAAUGAAAAAUUACCAAAACAAUGUUCAAAACCGUGCUAAUCAAAGCACAAUCACUUGAGUACUCUCAUGGGGCACUUGAAUGCUCCUUUUAAUCACCGUAAUGCUGAAAUUAAUAAUUUGUCUCAAAUUGUUUUUCCAAAACAUAAAGCAAAAUAUUAUAAAUUUAUAUAAUCAAACCCAAUUUCAUCUUAAAGCUAGCCUACUUAGUCUUAAUUCAUGUCCAAAAAUACUCAUACUUGUCAAAGAAUGAAUAUGGUAUAAACAAAUUCUUUAUUUUCAAUUAUAUUCAAUUAUUGAAAGAAUAAAUCGGUUUACAUACAUUUUGAACAAAGGUAUAUACACAUAGACUAAAUCAAGGAAAUGAGGAAAUCAAUCACAAUCAAAUCAAAAUCAAAUGAUAGGUUGAUAUCUAGGAGAAGGUUAAGUUAGAACCAACUCAUGUAUUCAAUAUUCCCCCUUAAGAUGGCAUAUGGAGAUCAUGAAUAUCAAACCUAGAAAGUAAGGGAUAUGAAAUAUCUAUACCAAGGGAUUUUAUGAAAUAUCAACCAAUUGUUGUUGUGAUUAAACAAAUUGAAUAAGAAUAAUUUCAUUUCGAAUCUUUUCAUAGAUCAAGUGACAAUCAAUUUCAACGUGUUUAUUCUGUUCAUGGAAAAUUAGAUUAAUAGCAAUGUAUAGAGUUGUAUUAUUGUCACAAUAUAGAUGCAUUGACCAAGGAUGAUGAACUCCAAAAUCUAUAAGUAAAUAUUGCAACCAAUGCAAGUAGUAAUCAUUAAAUAAUAUUUCACUUUUCUUCAUGAGUGUUAUAUCAUUGAUUGCUUUUUAGAUCUUCAAGAGAUUGAUAGGCCACCAAGUAAAAUACAAUACCCUAUAAUUGAACAUCAAGAUUAUGCACAAUAGGCAUGGAGGAAGGCAAAAGAAUUCCUUGACCUAGACGAUUUUUUAAAUAGUAUAACACUCAUGUACUUGUGAGAUAAUUGAGACUACAUUGGCUUGUCAAGAAUUUGAACAUAAUUAGCAAUAUUAAGCCCUAUCAUUAUGAGUCAAAGUAACUUCCCAAUCAAAUGCCUAUAAUAAGAAGCAUCCAACAAAGGUUCUCUAUCUAAUUUACUCAAUUCCAAAUUUUGUUUCCUAGGAGUUUUUAAAGUUACAUGUUCCAAGAAAACCAAAAUCUUUUAGUACUUCUAGAGCAUGUUUUCAAUAACUUAAAUAAAUCUCAUUCUUAAAAUAUGUCAUUUCAAUGAUGAUGAAGUACUUUAAUUUUCCAAUCUCUUAGUUAGUUUGAAAAUGCUAUAUAGGUUUUCCUUGACCACCUUAAUUCCUUUAAGAUCAUUCAUUGUAAUAAUUAUAUCAUAAAUGUAAACAAGAAUGAUUGUGAAAUAGUUAUUUGAGGCUUGAGCAAAUAAGAAGUAAUAUGUACGUCUUGGCUUGCUUGUAAACCAUAAACAUCAAUGUGAUAGAUAAUUUGGCAAACCAUCAACGUGAAGCUUGCUCAAGGCCAUAAAGGGAUUUUUUAACUUUGCAAAUCAUAUUUUUGGUUCUAGAUUUCCUACAAACUUGGUGGAAGCUGCAUGUAUACCUCUUUAUCUAAGUCUUCAUAAAGAAAAACAUCGUUGAUGUCAAGUUGGUGAAGAUGUCAAAUUCUAAUUAUACAAUAAUUAGGGGUGACAAUGUGUCUUAUCGUGUUGAGGUGAGAAAUAGUGAAAAUUUACUUAAUCCGACUAUGACCCGUUUGAUAAUCGUGUCAAAAUAACCUAACAUGAAUACAAUUAGUUUAUUUCAUGUAACAUGACCCUUUUAACAUGUUUAAUAAAUAUAUUAACUUGGAUUAUGUAUUAAUUGACAUGAAUAACUCAUUAACUUGAUUUCAACCCCUUAAACUCAUUAACACAAUUCCAACCCAAUAAACUCGUUAAUAUGAUUUAACUCAUUAAACUUGUUAAUAGGAUUAUAACCUCUUUAACCUAUUUAAAAUUUUAAAUUUAUAAAUAAUAAAAUACUUCUAGAAAGUUUAAUUUUUAAAAUUUGAACUAUAAUACAUGUAUGCACCAAUUUCAUGAAGUCCUGAAAAAUUAGCAAAAUUAUAGAAAAAUAAUAUAAACAAAAAUUUGUAUUAAAAUUAAUAAGUAUGGGCUACAAUAUUAGUCAUAGUACUGCUUAUUUCUGAAUGACUUUAUUAAAAAGCGAAGAAUACAUGUGUAGUUCUUAUGUGAUUUCUUAAACUUGUAAGGCGAUUUUAUAAAGUUUUUUUUUUCUUUGUGAAACCUCUUUUUCUAUGUGAAAUUGUUUUGCCGAUUUGAAAUCUUCAUUAAAGGAAGUUACUAUUAUUUAUAAUUGAAAUUAGAGAAUGAAAUGUGGAAUCCCCAUGAUUUAGUUGCUUAAUUCAAGGAAUUUGAUUAAUUGAUUUUGGUAACUUGUCUCAUAAAAUUUUCUAACAAGAAUAUUUAUUUUUAAUCUCUUUUAUUUCAAUUGGAAUAUUUGUUUCCUUUGUAAAUUUGUCAAUAGAAUAUUUAUUUAUUUAUUUAAUUCUCUUUUGACUACAAUGAGAAGAUUUGAUUUUGUUUGUAAGACUAAAUUUUAUAACCUUUCAAAUUUGGCCAAGUGACACCUUUUGAAUAUAUGUCACAUGUCAAAUGUGUGUGACUCAUUAGUUGUUGAACCUAAAUUUUCUUGAAUUAGAAAGCUAUACUUUUGAAGACUAAUUUAGUGAUAAUUUAAUUCAUUAAAUUUUUUUGGUGUCUACAGUAUAUUUAUAAUAUGAAAAGUAAAUUAAAAUUUUAAUUUUUUUACUUGUUUAUUAUUUUAUUUAUUAUUUAAUGAUAAAUAUUUUUAUUCUUUAUUGAAAUAUAUAAAAUUUUAAUUAAUAUUUUAAUUUUUUUAAUUUCUAUAUAUAAAAUAUAUAGAUUUAUAUGGUCUAAUUGAGUCAUUAAAAUAAAUAGGGUAAAUAACUCACACAUAAGUGAUGGAUCAUUCUAACAUGAUUAAAUUAACAAGUUAGAUGAAUUGAGUAGUCAAAUACAAACAUGAUUUGUUUAUUAAAUAAGUUAUAUGAAUUGAUACGAUUAUGACAUCAACUCAAUUAAACUUAACUCAAAUAAGCUUUGUCUUUUAUUUUAAGUUGUCUAGUUGUUCACACAAAUUUUCUCAAAAUAAAGAAAUUAUAUAUAAAAUUGUAAAUUUGAUUAUUUGAGGGGACCAUUUUCAAUACUCUUUUUUAAGUAAUCUGGUGUUUAAUUUUGAAUCAAAGGGGCUUUCAUUAACAAAUAAUAGACUGUAGUUUUCAUAUAAGAAGAAAUCUCAAGCCUUUUUUUCUUGAAGGAAUCUUUAAAUUUUCUUUGAUACUUUAAAAAAUCAAUCUUCUUUGAUUUUUUAAGAAAUCUUUGAAUUUUCUUAAAGUCUUCAAAAAAAAAAAAAAAAAAAAAACUGAGUUUAAGGAAUUUUUUUAAUAACUCUCCAAAUUUCUUUGAUAUUCCAAAGUGUCCUUUAGAAGGGGACAAAUCCUCUAUUUACAGGAUUGAGAGUUUUAUUUUAAUAUUAUCUCUUAAUUUUUAAGAAAUAACUCUCUUAUUUAUGAUAAUUACUAUUUAUUUUAUUUAUCAUAAUUAGUUGCCUAUGAUAAUUAUCAUAAUUAAUUUUUCUAGAGAUAAAUAAUUAUAUAUAUUUAAUUAAUCAUGAUAACUAUAAUAUUUAUUUAAUUUUUUAUUAAAUUAUUUUACAUAACAUAUCAAUAUAUAUUAUUAGUCAAUUAUUAACACCGAAAAUUAAUGAGUUGGCAUAAAAUUUAUCUCUCUAUAAUAGUAUCAAAGCGAGCCUUAAUAAUAACAUUGCUUAUAGUCAAUUUCACAUGCCAACUUUUUACUGGGCAUUGGCGAUUUCAAUUUUGAUAGUCCGGUUAGAAAAAGUAGGUAAAGAUUAUUUGAUGUGGUAGGUCAUUUCUUUCAUAAAGACGAUGGCGGUGAAUUCAUGAGACAGGUGAUAAAGGAGAGAUUCUUUCUUUUGGCUUUGGAAUUUUAAUGAGGUCCUCGAUCCUCAUCCAAAAUACACCUCUCCAAUUAUAAAAAUCUUAUUAAAAAAAAAAAGAUUUGACAUGUGCCUUUCGAACUGCUGGUUUUCUGUUCCAAAAAUGAGAAUGGUUUCAAGUGGAUGAAGGAAGGUGAAGAACCCUUGGUUUUGUUAAGCGAAAAGCCACAUGAUUAAAUAAACAUAAGGCGGCAAAGGCUGAAAAUUUAAAAUUAUACUAAGGAACCCACCCCACAGGGCGACUACACUUUUGGUGAAGCCACGAGAAUGAAAGAUAUCGAAGGUGACACCAAGACAUUAAGCAGCACCAAGGUUUCGAUAUAUUAUAAGAUGGGAUCUUAUGAAAGACGAUCUCUAAUCUCUCUCCAAUCUCUUCUUUAACCUUUUCUUACUUAAAUCCAUUUCCAUGGUAGGGCACAUGUCCAGCUGACCCUACCCCCUCACCUACCUAUACUGCUAUACCCUUUUGUAUAAUUUGAUAUGGAUUGGAAGCCACCCCAACAUCUUUCUAAUUGCUCGUAAAUGUUGAGGUGCCUUUCCAUUUUGAGGCUGCCCUAAUGUGUGGCUGAAGUACGUAGGAAAAAAAAAUUGUGAUACAUGCACUGACGAAUCAAAUCCCAAUGUCAAAUUAUUAGACUCACCUGGUUCUUAAAUUAUUGUGAAUGCCGCUGGCCAUGGAUAAAUGGAAUUAGUGCGUGGCUUAAUGAAAAUUUAUUUUGAAAGGGAUAUUAAUUUGAGAGAAUUUUGGCUGAUACUUGGAGUUGAACGUAAGCAUAUAUGACCUCAUUUCGGGUGUGAUAUUGUGCUUAUAACGAACCUUUCGUUCUUUCCAAUUCCAGUGGGUAUUAAAUAAUUAAAGAAUUCAUGGUUCGAAGGCGAAAGGUAGAAGACCAAAAAGGGAUUACAAAGCCAUCGGCUUGACCAUCCAGAUGCAAUGGAUACAAACUUUGGACUCUAUCGAAAGUUCUUUGGGCACGUGCCCAAGUGUCCUACCCAUAUGAUAAGUUACACGUGGCUAAUUGCGGACCGGUUGCUCGUGCUAAACAGGGUACUUUUUCUACGCAUAUAAGAUGUUUCACUAGUGGGGCUUCACCAUGCAAACUCAUGGAUGAAGACCCUGAGGCCAAGAUGAAGGAACAGAAAGAAGGCGGAGGAGAGGUUCGGUAUCGAGGCGUUCGGAGGCGGCCAUGGGGGAAGUUUGCUGCGGAGAUACGUGACUCGACUAGGCAUGGAGCGCGCGUCUGGCUCGGGACUUUCAAUUCUGCGGAGGAGGCUGCAAGAGCAUAUGACCGAGCUGCUUAUGCCAUGAGGGGUUCCUUGGCGAUUCUCAACUUCCCUAAUGAGUAUCAUACACCCGGCACGGCUAGCUCUUCAGCUUCAUCCUCAAUGCCCGAAGGUGAUCAGCAGGGAAAACAAGUCAUUGAAUUGGAGUACUUGGAUGAUAAGCUGCUAGAGGAUCUUCUCGACUCUGAAGACAAAAAGAACAAGAAAACCUGAAGUUUCUGCUGCCUCGAAUCCCCUGAAAUCUAGUGCUUCAUCGAAAAAAAAUCCCCUCGCUCCUGAUUAACAACAUUUUUAUUUUAGUCAAUGAAUGUGUUCUCGGAUCAUUAUAAGUAUUUCUGCCGAAGUCCAUUGAUUUUUGGAGACUGAAAAAUGUCAGAAAAAUUGGUGCGAACAGGUUUACUCCUUUCUAAAUUAUGCAAUUGAAGUAUUUGGAUUAGUGCGCAGUGUAAACAUCAAGGAAAGCAUGAUCCACUAUUUUAAGGAGCCUAAGUGCUUUCCCCUUUACUCUUUUAGGAUGUCUUUUCAGUGAAGAAAGUUGGGAGACCACCACUUACCCUUUUGAUUGGUAUAUAACUGCCAACUAAUAACUGGACUAACAUUUGGCCCGUCUGGCCCUACUUCUUUGACUUUGUUGUUAAUUUAUAACUUUAUGUGAAGUGGGGGCUGUUUGGGAAUGUGUGAAGCAAGGAUUUGAGCCGACUUCGCCUAAUCUGAUUCUCCAUAAGUGACUUCAUUUUAUCAUAUUGGUGUUUUUUUUCUUCUUCUUUUUAAAUGGCUGGGGAGGAGGGGAUUUGGGAGGGAUGCAAUGCCAUGGUUGCAUGCUGGAUUAUCCUUCCAAAUGAAACAUCCAUUUGGUUUCUAGUAACUAAUUGCAAACAAUUAAAGAGAAUAAAAUUUUAAGAUGAUUAAACAAUAAGUACCUAUGUCCAUGAAAAGGAGAGAAGUUCACUCAUGGGUGUUCAUGAAAGACAUCACAAAGAACCAUCAAUAUGAGAAGAAUCCUGAUACAAUUAACUUUCAUGCAUAAGAAAAGACGCUCAAAAAAGAAUAAUGCUUACAAGGAAAGAAUCUCACUACGAUCAACUGAAAAAAUAUUCCAAUUUAAUUGGAAAUCCUUACAUGGGAAGAAUAUCAAUAAAAUCAACUAAAAAAAUAUUUUAAUUUUAUAUCAAAAUAUUUGUGAUUUAACCCGUAUCAUUUCAUCAUGACUUCUUAUAAAUUUUGUUCCUUUUUAUCAACACCACCCCUUGAGUUGGAGCAUAAAUAUUUAUUAAGCUAACUUGAACAAGAUCUUGAGAAAUUUUGUCGCAGGAUUUGUUUGCACUUUUUUUUUUCAAAUAAAGUCAUAAUUAACUUUAAUAUGUUUAAUCAUUUCAUGAAAUACUAGAUUUUAAGCAAUGUUGAUAGCAUACUUAUGCCUGAAAGCUUUAUCCCAAAUCACAUGAGUACAUGAAGUGAUUGCAUCAUUAAUGGUAGUAUUAUUACUUUAUAUUCAACUUCUCCACUUGAUAGGAUGCAUGAAAGCAUUGUGCUUUCUUCUGUUUCAAGUAAUAAAGAUUAUCACCAAGAAAGGUGCAAUUAAUACCUAGUAACAGAGUACCUAGUGGUAGCAUGCACCUAUCCACUGAACUUGUACUCGACUCUAUGAGUGUACGUUACAUAGUCCUUUUUUCGAAGUCUAAAUGUCCCUUGAUAAAACCUUCUAAUAUUUGAGGUUUUGGUAACAUUCAUGUAUCAAUGAACAAAUUAAUUUACUAGCUAAACUUUAAAAUUAGGCAAUGUUUUUCAAUGGGUGAUCAAGAUCUUGGAAUUUUCAAUGUUGUUUGAAUAGCUUCCACACACAAGCAUAUUUUCUCCUAUUUAGGAAUAAUCCCUUUUUUGAAGGUGUGAUCUUUAUGCUCAAAAAAUAAAGAUACUCAAAAAUUUAAUAUUGACCUUCUCGUGAAGGAAAAGCUUUAUAACUAAUUUUUUUUGUGCAUUAUAUAUAUCCUCAAUAUAGACUUUAAAAAAAAAAGAAGUAACUCCCUCUACAAAGAGUGAAGAGUCAAUUAAACUUUUUUUUUUUUAAAAAAAAGGAACCAAUUACUCGUAAAAGUAAUGAUUAUUUUUACAUACCAAACUUGAGGAGAUUACUUAAGAUCACAAAAGUUUUUAUUAAAUUGCAAGCUAGAUGCAUUUGAAACGAUCGUUGAUGUCUUAGCAACACCUUAUGUAACUCAUCAAUCUUUAUGUAAAAAUGCAUUUUUAACACCCAUAUAAAAUAAUGAUCAAUCCUAAUUUAAUAGAAACAAAUGGUAAUACAUGAAUAUCAUUCAUAUUAAUGAGAAAAGUAAAUAUUGAUUUAUAAUCAACUUCUUAAGUUUGUGUCAAUGCCUUAAUCAUUAGUUUAACUUUGUCAUUCAAUGAUACCAUCAUUACGACAUUUAAUUAACUUAGAUUUGCGUAAAUCCCUUAAUCACUAGUCUAGCUUUAUGUCAUUCAAUGGUACCAUCAUUAUGGUAUUUAAUUGAUCUUAUACCCCCAAUUUGUAUACCCCAUGUUUUUCUUAAUUUACCAUACAUCACUUAACAAUGUUCCAUGCAUGGAUUUUGUUAAGUGCCUUAAGUUCCUUUUGCAUAGCCUUUCUCCAAAUUGGAUGAGGAUUGGCUUCAUUAAUGUCAUUAGACUCAUGAUAUAUGGAACUCAAACAAUUGUUAAGUGAUUUUGUAUAUAUAUAAAAAAAAAAUUGUAAUUAAUGUGGUAGGCAUAAAAAUCUCACAAAUGAGGAUUGAUUAAUUGUUAUAAUUGAGCAACAUGCUUGAGGCUUAGUCACAAUACUAGAACUUGAAGUCAGACAUUCUCUUCAAAUAAGGACGUAUAUACAUUAUAUUGGAUCUCCAUUAAACAAGUAAAGAACUAUUUAGUAGACAAUGAAACCUCAUUGAUCAAUGGUGGUAGAGAGACACAUGAUGACCAGACUAUUCCCCUGGAAAUGAGAAUAAAAAAUAUCAUUAGCCGCAAAAAUCUCAAAAAAAUUUAGAUAAUGGGAUAUAAAGAGUUUAUGAAUUUUACAAUCAUAACUCUUAUACUGGUUUAAGUGGUAGAGUAAUCAAGAACACAAAACGAGUUUGAUGAGUGGUUGAGAUAUGAACAAAGCAAAGAUUUCCAAAGACACCAAAAUCAGAAAUCUCAAUUUUUGGGCUAAGGAUUUCAAGAAGAAAUUUAAAAUUAACUACAUGACUAGAAAAUUUGUUCAUCAAGGAAAUAGAAGUAACGAUAUCAUAACAUCAUAAUUAAUCAAUAUUUUUAAUAACAUGCAUUUGGAACAUGAUAUACCGGCUUUCUAAUAAUCAAUGAUUUUUGGUUCAACCACACCAUUUUGUUUUGGGAUGCCAAUACAACAAGUUUAACGAANNNNNNNNNNNNNNNNNNNNNNNNNNNNNNNNNNNNNNNNNNNNNNNNNNNNNNNNNNNNNNNNNNNNNNNNNNNNNNNNNNNNNNNNNNNNNNNNNNNNAUGUAAGUGCCAAAUUAGGUAGUGUCGACAAUGAAAUGGAAAUUUUGGAAUAUAGAAACAACCUCAUUUUUAUGUUCUAAUAAGUAAACCUAUGUAGCAUAAGAAUAGUCAUUAAAAAAAAAGGUAACAAAAUGUUGAUUUCCAUCCUAUGGAUCAAUUAGGACACAACCCCAAGGUAAACUAAUUUGAAAGUUGCAACAAAAAUGGAAAGAGAUGAAAAAAUAAUAGAGGAAUUUAAGGUUGUUUCAAAAUUUCAAGACAUGCUAAGAAACACAUGAGAUUAUAGAUGAUUAGGUAACAACCUUGGUUAAGUAUAUUCAACAUAUAUAUCCCACGAGGAUAAAUAUCUUCACUAAACUUUUCCUAUUAUUCAAUCCCCUAAUACCAUACAAGUGAAAAAUUAAUGUCACGGUCAAAAAUUUUAAUAAGCUUCCAAAGAGAUAAUAAUUUUGGGGAAAAAAACAACCUAAGAAACCUAUGAAUUGAGAUAAUUUAGGAAAAAACUAAAUGUUCGUUAGCUCUAGAAGGGAAUUGAAGCUCAUCAUCAAUAAAGAUUGUUGCUAUCUCGAAUAAUAUCAAGUAAACCAUUAAGAUCGCUAUUAAUGGUAUGAUUAGCAGCACCAAUUAUCGACAAAAAAAUUAUUAAAAAUAUAAGAAAUGAGAGCUUUAAGAUUAUCUAAUUGAUUUGUAAACCUAGGUAAGUGAAUCAGUAUUACGUUUUGUUAAGGAAGCUUAGAUCCAAUUGGUAUCAUUCACCAAGUUAUUGGAUUAAAUUACACUAUCAAACUUUGGCUUUAAAUGAGAAUGAAGAAUCUAACCACAAUCCUUAUUGGGAUUAGAUAUGUUAUUGCAAUAAUGUUUACAAUCGGAUGAGUGCUAAUUUCUAUUGAAAUCAUGAAGCAAUCUCUGAUCAUUGGUCUUCUUUGUAGAAACAUGAGCAUUGAAUUUAAAAUUAAUAAUUGUUACUUGGGAUUCAACCUUCAUAAUCAUUGCCUGGGUUUCCUAAUCACUUUCAAGAAUUACUUAUAUAGUGAAGGCACUCGAAACUAAUCAAAUUUGUCCUCUUAUAAAGUUGUCAUAUUCAAGCUUCAGAAUAGCCAAUAAUUGAAAAACUUAUCAUACUCCGCAAUUUGUUGAAGAAUAUUUGGGUCUAUUGAAGGGGACAAUAUAGGGAAUAUUUGUCCCAUAUGCUCAAAAUGUUCAAUUAACAAAGUGUUCUGUAUGUUUAGGGAUUUGUUAGCUUUAAUUACACAAAACAUUAGCAGUUUUAGAGAAAAUUAAUUUUUUUUUGCAAUCUUAGGUUCCAUGAAAUUAAAAAGCCAAUAACAAGUCAAUAUGGCUUGAGACCCAGUCAUCAUAUUCAAAGUCAUCCAACUUAGAAGCAUUCAUUUUGCCACUAACAUGUGCUAAUUUCCAUUUUCUAUCUUUCAAGAGAAAAAGACUGCUCUUAACCAUGGCAAAUAAUUGAACCCAUUAAGAAGAUUGAGGAAAGUAUCAUAUGAGGGUUGUCAUUUUCCUCCAUGACAAAGAAAAAGCAACAGAGAAAAACUCAUAAUAUUAGAAAGAGAAUGAAAGAAAUUGAGUCAUAGAUACACACAGAAGAAUCCAAAAAUAAAGCAAUAAUACAACCACAAAUAUGAGAAGAAGCUCAAUUACAAAGAAAGGAACUCAAUACAAUCAACUAAAAAGCGUUCCGAAGUUCAUACGAAAAUAUUCAUAAUGUGAAGAUCAUUUCAUGAUUCCUACAAUUUCUUCCUUCUACCAGUCCACUCCAUACAAGGUUUGAUCAACAACUUCUUCAUUGAUUUUCUGGUCUCUCUCCGGUGUAUCAUAGAGCAUUUUUGACAUGUUUCUGCAAGAUACACUUGUUAACUUUAAGCGACAUAAGUGCAAAAAAAUAAGAUCAUGUUGUAUUGCCUGUGCUUCCACUCUGCCUUGUUUAGUACUAUUAUGGAGCAGUACUUCCAUAUAGAACCAGUGAUCUCCAGUUCAUUAUGUUGCCUUCUUUAAACUAACUUUAAUUAUCUAUACAUAUAAAACAAAGUGGUCCCAUCAAGGGGCUAAAUCAAGAAUCAAGUGGGGCGAACAGGAAACAGUGGCAUCAAUUUUUAAGUCCAUAAGCUUUAAUAAAAGGAAUAAAACCAAGGAUAUGAAUAUGUUAUUUUUUCAUUUGUUCAUGCACUGGAAGAUCUUUCCUCUUCAAGCAUUGAACCAGCAUCCUUCUGUGCAAGUUGCUGUCGGAACCUUCUAUAAUUGUCAGAAGUCUGUUUCUGAAAUAUACAGAUAAAACUUUUAGCAAGUCUUGACAUUGCUCAUCACUAGGACAUUGUACUAGGAUACCAAUUCAUCUAAUUAGGGUUAAGUUGGCAUCUCGUACACUAUUUUUUAUUUUUCCUUCAUCUUUUGUUCCCAUUUGCAGUGGAAGUGGCACUUAGAAUAUCUGAUCAUGAAGAAUUAGCUUUCGGUGAGAUGAUACUAGGUCAAUUGCCAUUAUCUUUUUGAGUUACUGUGCGAGCAAUCUUGAAAAUAUUUUGGGAUAAAUAGAAUUUGUGCUUAUCAUAAACAUGCUAAACAUCCAAAUCAAGUGCUUUUACUAUUGAUAUCAAAUCAGUAAUUGAUUUUAACCUUUAUGCUUAUCUUUCAGAUUCUCAAUUAUGUAUCUUGAAUAAUGAUAUUAAGCAGAAAUCAUGAAUUGAAUUGCUUUAAUUAACUGUGCCUUAUCAAGCUUGUCAGCAGUGCUAUUGCUACCGCGAAUCAAAUUCGCUGUGCUUCCCGCCUUCUCCAAAUAAGCCACAAGCCCAAUUAUAUCCGCCCUCCUCCCAUCUCCAAGGGAUCAAAAAAUAAAAUGACUUCAAUCAAUUUUCAAGUUUUCCAUCUUGAUCAGUAGACCACCCGGCAUGAAUGUUACCCUCAGUUUAGGAAUAGGAAUUCCUUUUACUAAUCAUUUGGCACUAAAAACUAUGACCCCUAGCAAUUCAUUCCCUCCAUUAGAUAUCUGGGGGCAUCUUGGCUCAGCCAAAAAUGAUAAGUCAUUGCAUUUCACAUUGCAUUCAUUUGUAUUAAUGAGCUAAUUUUUUUUCACAGAAUGUGAUGUGAAUCGAAUUACUUCCAACCAUGUGUCUCUAUAAGGGUUUAACAAAUGUAAUUUGCAUUGUCUGUACACUUUUUUUUCGGUUUCUUUUCUUUUUUAUGCAUGAUUCAUUAGUCCACGGAUCUUCUAUGCAAAGUGUGCAGGCCAAACACCUCCUUCAAUGCAUUAUUCUAGAAGUUAAGACUCAGUUUACUCCUUAAUUGAUCUGUUCCAUUUACUUCAAAUCAUUUGAUUACAUUAAAUGAAUCUUGAAAUUCAAAAAUGCAUCAAAGUUAAAAGACCUUCCAAUGCAUUAAGAAAUCAUCUGAUACAAAUAUAUGUGAACCUGCAACAACAAUAAUGUCAAAAUGGAAAACUUAGGUAGAAAAUAUUAGAACGGAAACUUACGACGAACUCAAUUUUUGGCGCCUUUCUUCUUCUCAUCUUCUGAUCCAAGAAGCUCUUCCAACACCGUGUCAUCCAAACACUCGAACUCAAUGACUUGCUUUUCUUGCCCAGAAGAGGAACCUCCCAUCUCUAAACUCCUACAAGGCCCAGAAGAUGACGAGGAAGACGAUGAGGAUGGUGAUGGUGGGGGGCGAUGGGAGCCCAUGAUUUCAGAAUAGUACUCAUUAGGAAAGUUAAGAAUGGCAAGAUGACCCCUUAAGUUAAAGGCCGCUCGAUCAUAGGCGCGAGCUGCAUCCUCCGCCCUGUCAAAUGUGCCUAGCCAUAGACGAGCACCUUGCCUAGACGGAUCCCUAAUCUCGGCUGCAAACUUCCCCCAUGGCCUCCUCCUCACCCCUCGGUAUCGAACUUCUUCCUUUUCCUUCCCUUCCUGCUCCUGCUUCUCAUUCCCUUUCGAAUGAUCUUCCAUGCUAAACGUGUCGAUUUGCUAGGCGCAAUUUUUUUGGUUUCAAAUGUGCUGGUUUACGAGAGGCAUGGAUGCUUAUGUAUAUAUAUGGUUGCCACAGUCAGGUCUGACGUCACCGCUCAAUGUAUGUUCCACAGCGUGGGUUGACGAGCUUUCUGAGGGGGUUUCCUCGAAUUCAAAGCAAGUAUAAAAAUUCGAUUCUCCGACCUUUCCAAUGAGGAUCGAACAGGCCUUUUAUUAGAACCGUAUGAUAACUCCACACUGUUUUCAAAUAGUCAAUGUGAUCUAGAUUCUUCGUUAAUUUUUUCCACCUGACUGAUUGUUUACAAUUUUAUUUUUCACCGUCCCAAAUUUAAACCAUUUACGCGAUUCCCUGGAUUGCAUUUUUCUUUAAUGUUGACUUUACGAGGCAAUAGGACCCCCCAGCAACCCCACUAGGGCGACUUCAUGGGAACCAGAUUACUUUUGGAUCCAGAUAUGGUCCAGAAGAAAUAAGACAAAUCAAUUAAUGUCCACUAAAGUUUUGAUGGAACCCUUAGUCCGUGUUUCCUGUGGAUGUAUGUAUUGUAUGCACCUCAAUUUUCACCAAUCCCUGCUACGAGUCCCUUUAAUUUUGACGUUAUAAAUGUUUUUCCUGACAUUAGCAGAGUGUUUUUCUGCCGUCUUUGAGGACCUUCCACGGCCCAUAAACUAAUAAGGAUCGUCCAGUGAAUUUAGUCUUCCCCAGUUAAUUAUCCUGCGAGGGAAACUUGGGCAGUAAGUUGCCUACAUGAGUGGCUCCCGCCUACAUGAGUCAAGGGACCAUACGUCAGGACGACAACCAGUGUGGUCACACCAAAGUGGGUUGCCUGGACUCCAGGGUGGUCGCUUCAAAGUUGUCAAAUGAAGGCUAGCUUGGCAAGUUUUGGAAAACAAUUAUUGAAAAACAUUUUUCAUGAAUAACAGUUUCUAUGAACAGAUUUUAAGAAAGUUUAUUUUGUGAUUUUUAGGAAUAUUUUUAAUUUAAAUUUUUAUAUUUUUAAUUUUUUAUUAAUUUAUUGAUUAUUUAAUAUUAGCUUAAUUAAUGGAUUUUUCUUGGUCCCAAAUUAUUAAUUUAUCAAGAUUUAAUCGCAUCCAUAAUUAGUCUAAUUUCUUUUGGAGUGAGUGUGACAAAGUGCAAAUUUCUAGAGUUUUAUUAAUGUUAUUCAAUGUCAUAAUUUAACUAAUUAUAUUAAUUAUUUAUUAAUCAAAAUAAAUCAUUCACUUGAAAUAUGAUAAUUUAAAUUAAAAGUUUCAAUUAUUUAUUAAUUAGCAAAGUAUGAACUUUUCUUCUUGUUUUAUUAUUGUUAUUCCAUGUAUAUAAUUUAAUUAACUGUUUCCAAUAUUAAUCAAUAAAAAUAGAAUAUAAGCAUGAGAAGAAUUAGUAAAAUUCAUUGAUUUGGAAUUAGAUAGCUAGAGGAAGAACUUCAUCAUCUUCCCAUUACUUAAAUUUGUAUAAAUUCUAAAUAUUUAAACCCCCCCCCCCCCCCCCCCCCCCAAAAAAAAAAAAAAUGGUAAAGAAAGACUCCCCAAGCUUUCUUGGUUGGUGUUACCCUAAAAUUUGUACAAUAAGAUGAACCAUUUGGCUUAAAGCUUGGUGCGAAACCCCUUAUCAAUUGAAAAUAUCAAUGAAGUUGUUGAAUGGUUUUAGAGGACUAUUCUUAUGCAGAGUGGCAUAAGAAGCGAGGAGAUGAAGAGCGGAGAGACGUUAACAUCGGAUGCUGCUACGAAGGUGGGAAUACGGUUAAUUAAUUAGAUUUUGUGAUGGCUUUGAGUUUGAAGGAGUUAGUUUAAUGGGUAUUAUUAGUGAACUGAUAAUUGGAUUUGAUGUAAAGAAGGUUGGUCCAUUGGAUUAGCAAUUGGUUUGGCCUUUUGGGGGCCCCAUUUCCAAAUGCAUUGCCUUUUACAAGCAUUCAACAUCGCUGGACGUAACCAGGCUUGGUUCACCUAAAAGUAUCGCAUGGAUUGAAUUGACUAAGUUUUCAUUGUAGACUAGCCUUGAUUUUCCCUUGACCUGCCCACCAAAUCCUGAUGCCCACGCGAGGGAAUACCUCAAUUUUCUAAUAAUUUAUGCAGUUUCUCUUCAAAGCUCGUGUGAUCACUUGGGUCGGUAAAAUAAUGCAUUCCUCUACUUUUUCUCCCUUCCUAGAUGCAUGUUAUACCAUUAAUUCAAAUGUGAACAUGGGCUUGGCUUUGAAACUUGGUUCAAGGCCCAACAUGUUGACCCACAAUUGAGGUGUAAUUGAAUUUGUACACUUUUCGACUUUGAUACCAUUUGUCAUUACCAUUGACAUUGGGUCAUUGUUGAUUUUGAGUCCACAACUUUUAAGGUUGUUAUUACAAUUUUAAAUUGCGCCCACCCAAUUUAUAUGCAUUAUCCCUUAUAAAUACCGAUAACCUCUCUUUCUUCGAUAAUAUAAAAUGUCACAUAUAUUAUAUAUCUCAAUGUUUUCUUUUACUUUUUUUUUUUUUAUCGAUCGACAUUCUCUCUCAGAUGAUAUGAGAUGUCACAUAUAUUAUAUGUUUCAAUGUUUCUUUUACUUUUUCUCUUUUUCCUCAUGAUUGACAUUGUCUUUCUCAAAUGAUAUGAGUUGUCACAUAUAUUUUAUGUCUCAAUGUUUUCUUUAACUUUUUUUCUCUCUUCUUUAAUGAUCGACGUUCCUUUUCUCAGAUGAUAUGAAAUGUCAUAUAUAUUAUAUGGCUUAAUGUUUUCUUUUACUUAUUCUUUCUUUAUUAAUAAUCGACAUUUUAAGCAAUAUGUGAAUAUAAAGCAUUAAAAUUAUCUCCAUCGUUUUUGGAUGUGGUAUAAAUACACAAUUCUUAUUUUUGUUUUAAAUAUUUCUAUUGCUAUCUAUUGAAAUUUUAUGCAUGAAGCUACCAAGUUAAUUAUACAUAUAUCUUAAGAUUUUUUUUUUUUUUUUUUAUAGGAUAUAUUGUCCAUGAAUAUUUUCUGCAAUGGUAUCUUGUUUGAUUACUAUAAGAAAUAAUAUAUAUAUAUAUAUAUAUAUAUAUAUAUAUAUAUAUAUAUAUAUAUAUAUAUAUUAUAUUUCAAUGUUUCAUAUUUGCUUAAAAUAAAAAUUAUAUUUUAUCACAAUAUUUGGUAUUAAAAAAAAUGAAAUCUCUCUCAUUUAUUAUUACAAAAAAAUUAUAAUUUAUAAUUUUCUAAAUAAGUUUUAUUUAUUUGCUAACUAUAUUCAUGAUUAAAAGAUUUAAAAUUUAUAAAUAAAAAAUAUUAUGUCAUGUCAUUAAAUAAAUAAAAAUAUAUGUAUAUAUUAAAAUUAUGUUUUAUUGUAGCUUUUAAUAUUUUUUUUUUUAUUCUUUUCUUUUUUGAACUACAAUUUUAAUUUUUUUUAAUCAAAAUUUUUUAAUUUACAAAACGAGUAACAUAAAACUUGCCUUUGAACUUUAUUGGAAUGUUAUAUACUACCAUUUGGCUUUCAAGACAUUAGAAAAGGCAUAAGUGUCCCUUUUAUUUUUCCGAAAGGCAUAUUAGACUAUAGUAGGAAGUGUUGUAUAGAGGCAACUAAAAGUUGCCUUUAACUUUAUGAAGUCAUAUACUCCUCUUUGGCUUUGAUGACAUCAACUAGCAAAUUGGAUUUUGUUUCCUUUGCAACAUUUUUCCAUCCAUUAGCCAGUUUUUUUAUACUGUUUGGUGCUUGCCAACAUGGCACACACUAUGGUUCUUAAAAAGUAUUUUUUUUUUUAAGAUACUACGAAAUAAAAUACACGAUUGAAAGAUGAGUCACAAUAAUUUUCAAAACUAAAUUUUUUAAUAUUGUUAAGAAAAUUUGACCACCAAAUGAUUGAUUUUAAAUUACAAAUACUUUUGUUAGCUAAGAAAUUUGUUGUUCUAUUUGUUUCCCUAUAAAUAUGACAACAAUCAUAAAUAUUUUCAUUUUAAGAUAAUUUUCAAAUAUCUUCCAUUAAUAAUAUAAUAGAAUUAGGAAUUUUUUUUUUAGUUAUAACAAUCUAUAAUUAUUUAAGAGUCUUCCUCAAUCUCUAGGUUUAAGAACUUAUUGUUCUUAACAACUAACAUGUCAUCUCUUAAAAUAAUACAUUCUGCAAUAAUUAUUGAAAUAUGAUAUAAUAUAUAUAUCUACUUACAACCAUUUUUGUAGUACCAUUAGAAUUUUUAAUUACCCAUUCUAAAGUAUUUUUAUUCUCUAUUCUUAAACCAUCAAAAUUUAAUUUAAAUCUUUCAUUAAUUGGAUAAAUCCAAUGAAUCUAACAAGUUAAAGGAUUAUGAAUCCGACAAAACAGUUGAUAAUAAAUUAAUAAUGCCAUUAAUAUGAUUUUAAUGUGAAACACAAUUAUCACAUUUAAUACAGUUAGUCCUUGUAUGAUUAAUGUUUUGGAAGCUAAAAUCAAUCUUUUGACUAUAAUAAGAGUUUCUACUAUUUCUAUUUUUGGAUGAUUUUAUAUUUUUCUUAUUGUUUUAGUUUAAUACAAAAAAUAAAAAUAAAAUUACAUUAGUAGAAUUUUUUUAACUUACUCAAAAACCUAUUUUAGUUGAAUGAUUUUUUUAAAAAAAAUAUAAAUAUUUUGUUAAAAGGGAUAAAAUAACCUUACCUUGUGAAAAAGACCUCUUCACCCAAGAUUACUUGUUCAUAAUCCUUUUAAGACGAAAAUGCCCCCUUCCUAAAAAAUAUUUCAUCUUAAACUUAUUUUUCUUUUUAUUGCCCUUUGUUCCAUCCUUCCGGCUUGGGAGAGAAAUUCAUUCUUCUUUUGCGAAGAAAAAUUCCUAUUGCGAUUUUUCAUUUCAAGUGGAAAAAAAAAUUCUUAUUUCAUUUUAAAGAAAUUGUACAUUUUCAAUCUUUCUCUUUGUUCCUAGUUGAGGGUUUUUUUUGUAAUUUUAUCUUAACACUACAAAUUUAAAGGUGAGAUUAAAUCUUAAUGGUUAUUAGUUAAAUCACAUAUCUAACUUUGUUUUUGUCAGGACCUAUAAUAUGAUUGGAACCACCAUCCAAACUUCAUUAGGUGGGAUACUCCCCACCCUCCCCCUCCCCCCGCGAAAUCCUUGGAUUUUAGUUUUGACUUGGAUUUCAAUUGCCCGUAUCAAUUUUUCUUUAUUUAUUAAUUUAUUAAUUUUCAACUUUAACAAAAGCCUUGAAUCAUAUUUAAAUUCAAAUAACUUAAUCCUAAUUAAGUUCUUUUUAAAUAAAAAUUAAUCAUUGAAAAGUUCAUGUGACUAUUAUAAUUGAGAAUUUAUCCCAAGUUGGGUUUUUUGCAAAUAAAAUUUUAUUAUAGGACAUCAUGAUGCAACAUAACAUAAGGUUGUUACUUAAGUUUGUUUUGACCUUGUAAUAUGUUAAAAUGAAAAUGAAGCCAUUGUAACAGGAGAGAAUGAUGAAGCUGUGGAGAGAGCUUAACAAAGCUUGGGUUGGAGAGACUUCACAGGAAGAGAGAGAGAGAAAUAAAGGGUAAAAUUAUCAAAAGAGAAAAGAAAAAAAAAAAAAAAAAAGAAGGUUAUGUCUUCAAAUAAUCAAUAAGAGAUGUCAUUUUUCUAAUUUUCAAAGUUCUUUUGGUCCUUCUCUACAAAUAUCCCUAUAAAAAUAUUAUAAUAUCAAGUUAAUUUGUCAAUACCAAAAUUUAUAUUUUAUAUUAGGGCGACUAAAUAACAUAUAGAAAGAAUUUUAAAUGAGUAAAUCAAAUCAAUUUUGAAACCAAAACUUAAUAAUUACCAAACUUGUAAUCUUAGUCAUUAAAAGUGUACGAUGAAAUCUAAAUUAUUAAGCAAUGAAACAAAAAAUUAAGAUUAAAAUACAAAACGUUAAAAUCAAGAUACAAACUAUUAAAAUGUAAGUGGGAUAUGAGAUGAUAUUAUAAAAAAUAGUGUGAUCCAACAAAAAGUCUAGUACAUCAUUAUCUUCACUUCCAACCAUGUUUAAAAGGUCACAAGUUCUAGCGGUUUCCAAGGACAAUGUUAAAAAUAAUAAAAAUAAAUCCAAUUAAAUAUUAAUUAAUUUAUUUGAAUUUGAGUCCGACAAAAUAGUUGGUAAUAAGUUAAUAAUGCCAUUAAUAUGAUUUUAAUGUGAAACACAAUUAUCACAUUUAAUACCCGUUAGUCCUUGUAUGAUUAACUUUUUAGAAAUUAAUAUCAAUCUUUUGAUUAUAAUAAGAGUUUCUACUAUUUAUAUUUUUGGAUGAUUUUAUAUUUUUCUUAUUGUUUUAGUUUAAUACAAAAAAAUAAAAAUAAAAUUACAUUAGUAGAAUUUUUUUUAACUUAUUCAAAAAACCUAUUGUAAGGUGAAUGGUUUUUUUAUUUUUUUUUUAAAUAUAAAUAUUUUCUUAAAAGGGAUAAAAUAACCUUACCUUGUGAAAAAAGGCCUCUUCACCCAAAUUUACUUGUGCAUAAUCCUUUUCAGACGAAAAUGCCCCCUUCCUAAAAAAUAUUUCAUCUUAAACUUAUUUUUCAUUUUUAUAACCCUUUGUUCCAUCCUUAUGAUUUGGGAGAGGAAGUCAUUCUUCUCUUGUGAAGAAAAAAUUCCUACUGCCAUUUUUCAUUUCAAGUGAAGAAAAAUAUUUAUAUUUCAUUUUAAACAAAUUGUACAUUUUCAAUCUCUCUUUGUUCCUAGUUGAGGUUUUUUUUUUUUUUUUUUUUUUUUGUAAUUUUAUCUUAAUUGUACAAAUUCGAAGAUGAGAUUAAAUCUAUAAUGGUUAUUGGUUAAAUCACUUAUCUAACUUUGUUCUUGACAGAUCGUAUAAUAUGAUUGGAACCACCAUCCUAACUUUAUUAGGUGGGAUCCCUUUUUUUUUUUCCCCAAACCCUUGGAUUUUAGUUUUGACUUAUAUUUCAAUUGUCUGUAUCACUUUUUCUUUAUUUAUUAAUUUUCAACAAGUUCUUUAACAAAAGCCUUGAAUCAUAUUUAAAUUCAAAUAACUUAAUCCCCAUUAAGUUCUUUUUAAAUGAAACUUAAUCAUGUGAAAGUUCAUGUGACUAUUAUAAUUGAGAAUUUAUUCUUAGUUGGGUUUUUUGUAAAUAAAAUUUAGUUAUAGGACUGUGAUGAUCCGUUCUCAACCGUAUAAAUAUUGUUCGUUUUGAAUUCAAAAUAACUUUUACGGCUUUAAAACAUGUUUACAAGAUUAAGAGGAGUCCAUAUUUAUAUAGCUUCACGAACUUUCCCCCCUAUUCGAUGUGGGAUGUCACAAGGACAUCAUGAUGCAACGUAUAACAUAAGAUUGUUUCUUAAGUUUGUCUAACCUUGUAAUGUGUUAAAAUGAAGAUGAAGCCAUUAUAACAGAAGAGAAUGAUGAAGUUGUAGAGAGAGCUUAACAAAGCUUGGGUUGGAGAGACUUCAUAGGAAGAGAGAGAGAGAGAGAGAGAGAAAUAAAGGGUAAAAUUAUCAAAAAAGAAAAAAGAAAAAAAAGAGGGUGAUGUCUCCAAAUAAUCAAUAAGAGAUGUCAUUUUUCUAAUUUCAAAGUUCUUCUGGCCCUUCUCUACAAAUAUCCCUAUAAAAACAUUAUAAUAUCAAGUUAAUUUGUUGAUACCAAAAUUUAUAUAUUAUAUUAGGAUGACUAAAUAACAUAUAGAAAGAAUUUUAAAUGAGUAAAUCAAAUCAAUUUUGAAAUCAAAACUUAAUACCUACCAAACUUGUAAUCUUAGUCAUUUAAAGUGUUCCAUGAAAUCUAAAUUAUUAAGCAGUGAAACAAAAAAUAUAAGAUUAAAAUACAAAACGUUGAAAUCAAGAUUCAAACUAUUAAAACGUAAGUGGAGACGUAAGAUGAUGUCAUAAAAAAUAGUGGGAUCCAACAAAAAGUCUAUUAAUCAUUAUCUUCACUUCCAAUCAUGUUUAAAAGGUCACAAGUUCUAGCGGCUUUCAAGGACGAUGUUAAAAAUAAUAAAAAUAAAUCCAAUUAAAUAUUAAUUAAUUUAUUUGAACAAUAGAUAGGACCAAAAUAAUAUUCUAAAAGGAAUCAUAGGGAAGUCCUUGGACAACCUACGACAUUGAACAAAGGUACAGUGAGACAAUGCACUUAGCCCUUCCUUGUCAUUGCGAUGAAUAUAAAAAGACACCCUGAUUGAGGGUGCCCCACUAAGCCAAGAGUGAUUCUUUUGUAUUGUAUAACGUGAAUAUUUUUGAACUUUGAAUGACCCUUCCUAUAGUCAUCAUUGUCAAAACUAGAAAAUCAGAAAGAUGCGAUGUACGAAGGCACCAUUGAAUAAGAGGCUUAAUUCUCUUUGGCAAUUAGGAUAAAGUUUCAAAAUAGAAAAAUUAAACAAAUGUACAGUGUACGGACACUUGGGCAUUGCCUAUUUGUUUUGUUCUUCUAGAGUUGUAUAUGGUAAAGGUCAUAUUGGGUUGGUUCUAUUUGGUUAUUGAAGUCGGCUAGAAUAUUAGAUUUGGUUUCAAUCUAAUCCCAUAUGAUAUUAGAAUACCAGCCCAUACAGAAUUUUUGACCAAAUAUAAUAUUUCUUUUAAAUAUAAAUAUAGUAAUUAAUUUUAGUCUAAGAUUAAUUAUGUAGUUUCCUAAAGAGACCACUUCCUAAACGGUAGCUAUGUGGAAGUUGGGCCAGGUCCUGCCGAGAAGGUUUCCACGAGCUGAGCCCAAAACUGAGUAGCUGUGAUGGGAUCAUUCUAGCAUUCAGCCUGAAACUUGUAACAUAACGGAUCGAGAGGCCUGAACUCCAAGACCAUGGUUCGUCAGCCCAUUAACUUCAACAGCACGCAUUUUAGAGGACUGGGCUUGCAAGGGGUGAGGUUUCCGGGCCGCGACCCCAAAUAUGAACAGCCUCAGAAGUGAUAUUGCUUACUGGCACGUGAAGAGCGCAAGCGUAACUAGAAGAUUUGUAAUGCCGCUUUAAUUGUUUGAUUAUAGAAUCCCACGCAUUACGCAUGGAAAGUGUAAAAGAUAAAAGAUGUAGAAUUUUUUCUUAGAGAAAAGUUCGUUUGGAUAUAGUUAUUGUUUUUUUUUUAAAUAAUAAUUGUUUUUUUUAUAAAUUAUAGAUAAUCUUAGAAAUUUAUCUUUAAAAAAAUAGUUUUUAAAAAUAUUUAAGGAGAAUAAAAGUGAUAAAAAAAAACUUUACAAUUUCAAAUUUUUAAAAAAUGAAAAUUAUUUUUAAGAAUAUAAGUUAAUCUCCUGCAUUUAAAUCUUAGGUGGUUUUUGUUUUUUUUACUUUUCGCUGAAAACAAUUUGUUUUCAAAAUUUAGGUCAUUUGUUUUUUCUAUUUUUUCAUGAUUUAUUAUAAAUUUUUUACUAAAUAAAAAAAAUCAAAAUAUGUAACUUUUUCUAAAUAAAAAAAAUAACGUAUUGAUUUUUCUUUACUUUUUAAUACUUAAUAGAUAUAAAAUACUACAAAAACAAAAAAUCUAAUAUUUAACACUAUUAAGCAUUAAAGUUCUAUUUAGAAUUAAGUAAAAAAACAAACACCACCUUAUAUUUUAUAUAAAAGUUACUUAUAUUUUGGUUUUUGGAAAUAAAAAAUAUAAAGCAUAUCCAAACAUGAGCUUAGCUAUUUUAAAUCAUAUCAAAAUAAUAAUCCCAAUAAGGUAAAUGGACUUUUAUACGGAGAAUAAUCUUUAAGGUUUUCAUUUUUAUUGGAUUUUUUUUUUGUGGUGUUUUUUCAAUCCAUCUUCUCAAUUAAUUCCUUAAAAUUAUUUUACUGUUUUUUUUUUUUUCAGUUUCUAAAUAUUUGAUUUUUCCAAAAUGCUUAAAUGGAAGACACUAAUUUUUCAAGAUAUUUGGUAUUACAAUUUUCCCUGUUCUCCCUAUUAUCUAUCAGAUUCAUGGCCCUUUUGUUUUUUCAUUGGUUUUCAAUUUAAUUUUCCAAAUAUUACAUUGUUGUGUUUUGAAUUUGUGAAACCAAUUUUAUAUAUAUAUAUAGUAUGUAAGUCUACUUUGGGUAACAUGUACAGAGAGGUUUUCAUGUGUUUGAAACCUUUUACCUCAAAAAUUAAUUAUUUUUAAUUUUAUAAUAAAUCUUUUUUUAUUUUUUAUUUUAUUUAGGAAAGCCUAUAUUUAAACUACAUGUUUGCAACGCAACACCAUACAUACUCCUAGUGGAACUUACCUUAGUGCUUGAGGGGGAUGCAGAUCUUCUUCUAAACCUAACUAAUAAGCAUAAAAUUGUUCACUAAUUAGCAUAUCUAGUAAAUCAUACAAAUUGGCAAUAUUUCAUGUUUUUCAUGUUUUGUCAAUAAAAGGCGUCUUGACCAUUUUGUGAGUUUUGUAAUAAAUAAAAAAAAAAAAAAAAAAAGGGCAAAAGGUGACUAAAAUGAGGCACUUUGGAAAGGUUAAUAACCUAAAAGGAAGAUGAAUUAAUACCCCCUUAUUCCUCUUCAAAAACCAUUGAGAAAAUGCAAGAAAUGCUCUUAGUUGUAUGCUAGGCUAACAGCCUAGCAACCAUAAUACCCUUCUUUGCAAUUGUAAGCAUUUUUUUUUUUUUUUUGAAGGCCAAACAACGUUGCAAACUUCCCAAAUCCCUUCUUUAUUUUUUAUUUUUUUAUUUUUGUUUUUAGAAGGAGAAUGAAUUUGAUGACAAACUCCUUGUCAAUCUUAUCCAAACCACGAUCGAACAGAACUCCUUGUCAAUCUUAUCCAAACCGUGUUCCACCUCAAAAACAUGUGUAGGACUUAAGGCAGCAACUGGCAAGCAUGACUGAUAGGGCCAAGUGCCCUUGUCUCUACAAUCCAUUAAGUUAACCAAGGGCAGUGAACCAUCAUUCUUUUCAAAAGCUUCAUUCCGUGUUGAAAAUGUGAGACUGAAGCAUGGUGCCCCCAAAAAUAACGAUCUAUUUACUAGCAGCAUGCCUGGACCCAUUAAAAAUACUCUACUUUAGGAAUAGAAAAAAUUACAUCUUUAUCCAAUAAUUUUAUAACAAUUCAGACGUUUCAGUCUAUAAAUAAUUGUACAUAGUUGCCAACGUUUAGCUAGUUUCAAAUGAAUAGCCUAGGUUCAUGCACCAGUUUGGCUGGUGGAGGAAAGGGAUUCGAGACAUUGAACCCUCUUUUUAGUGUGCCAAAUAUUCCACAAAAAUCACUACCUUCUCUUUGUGUUUGUUCACUUUUAGUUUAUAUUUAAUAAAUCUAUGUUUUCGAGUAGAGGUUGGGUUCAGGUGCGACCCACGUCACCUCUCGGACGGUCUUGAAAAAGGAGACCGGACCACGUAAUUUCAAAUGUAGUGACCAUCUCACUUUUACCUCCAUCCUUGAAGAUGGUUUCCCAAAUCAAUAUUAAUCUUUUGUUUACGACAAUAUCGAUCACUUUAUGUCUAUAUCGUUGUUAAUUUACCUUUUUUUUUUAGCCACAUUAUUUGAAAAUUGAUGCAAACUUUACCAACAUCUUGGUACCAUUUUAAAAUAUUAGAGUUAUUUGAUUAAAAAAAUAAAAUAAUCUCGAUAACUUGUUUAUAAAAUAAAUAUCUUUUAACAUUUAGACUAUUCUCACGCAUGCUUUAAAAUUGUAAAGAUAUUCAUAAAGUGGAACUUUAGACUUAAUCAAUAUCGAUCACUUUAUGUCUCUAUUGUUGUUAUAUUUUUUUUUUACAACAUUAUUUGAAAAUUGAUGCAAACUUUACCAACAUCCUAAUACCAUUUUAAAAUAUUAGAGUUAUUUGAUUAAAAAAAUAAAAUAAUCCCGACAACUUGUUUAUAAAAUAAAUAUCUUUUAAUAUUUAGACUAUUUUCACCAUGCUUUAAAAUCAUAAAGAUAUUUAUAUUCAUAAAGUGGAACUUUAGACUUAAACAUGAUAAUAGUUUUUUUACAAUAUUAUAAUUAUUUUAUCGUUUUAAUUAAGCCCUUUAUCAUACAUAUAAAUGUAAAUUAAUGCUAAAUUUUUAAAGCAACGUAUAACCUUUUACAUCUUUUUUUAAGAUGGUGCGAAAAUCCUAUGAAAAAUAAUAAAAGUCGAUGCAUAAGAAGAUUGUUUUGAUAAUUCAAUAGAAAAAUUCUUUUAAAAUGAUAUUAAAAAAUACCCAUAGAGCCUUUAUUAAAAAAAUCAAUUAUUUUCAUAAUAAAAAUUAUAAUUUUUUAUUAUGUAUUAUUAUUUUUAAGUAUCUUUAUUACAAAUACUUUUUUUGAGUUUAUGAGAGGAAUCAACAGGUUGGUACAAGCUUAGGCGUCCUCGUACAUGUUCCCGCUGUGCAAGGUUUUUGUCUUGUUUCGAGCUAGUCGGAAUUUACGUGUUUGAUAACGUUUUGUCCUAUUUUUGUAACGCUUUAAAGGGCGGCCCACCGUUGGAACAGUUCAAGCCAUCCAAAUCAGCCCGGAGGGUUAUGGCGACGUGGCAUGACGCCUACCACCUUAGUUCACAUGAACCCUAUGAUCGUACUACCCUCACAUGACAUCUGUGAUUCUUCACCUCCAAACCCUCUUUAACUUGGUAAUGUAUUCAAAGCUUCAUCAAAUCAUAGCGAUUAGCGACCCUCUUCCACCCUAAUUUUAUAAUAAAAAAUAAAUCUUAGUGGACAUUAAAGUAGUAUUUUGUGGGGGGAAAGAAAAACUCUAUGGGCGUAUCCACUAAAUACGAGCCAAGUAUAAGAGUUAUCACCAUGGAAUCAAAUUAUGAAGCAUUGACAUUUUAAUUGUAUUCAGAUUUGAGGAGGGCACCGCGGCACCAGCUGGCCCAGUGUAGUCUGCUAGCCUACCCGCCAUAAUGACCAAAUUAAUAAAGUAAAAAGGAUUACAGGGAUAUUCCCAACUUUAUUCUGGGUCUGAGCUGGAACUUGGGAGUUAUCACGAUCAACGGGAAAGAUGGUGGGUAGGGGACGAGGAUUGAGGGCUCCAUAUUCACAUCAGUGAAAAACGAAAUGUAUUGAGACAAGUCUUCUAAGGAUUUUCUAGCGUAUUAUAUGGUUUAAAUGAUUAUAAAUCUGUAGUUACUGGUAAAGAGUAGAGAGUGAAGACGAAAGACGUUGAGUGAAAAGGAAGGAGGAGAGGGGAUGGGGCCAUCUUACCGUGUCGGGGAGGAUCCAUAAAAGGACUACGUUCCCUGAAUCUGUAGGCAUCAUGCCUCGCCUAACGGGUUAGUCAAAAUACAGUGAUGUGUGUGAGUUGGGGGCCUCACUCCUCAUUUCUUUCCUUCUUUUCACCCCCACCCCCACUUUUUUUUUUUUUUUUUCGAAUUUUUCUUUGUCCUUUUCUCUCACUUGCGCACGCGGGAGAAGGACCACAAACUAGACAAUUCCUCUGCUCACGUGACCCCGAGUUUUUAAAUAUUUGCCUAUUUGGAAAAUAGUCAUGAAUCAUGAUCGUUAACAAACAAUCUUCACUUUAUUUAUUUAAGAUCUAUUUUUUGGAGCUCUAGUUUAGUUUAUUAUUAUUAUUAUUAUUAUUAUUAUUAUUAUUAUUAUUAUUUAGUAACUCCUCUUAUAUUAAUGAAAAAGAGAGGAGGAAUCCAAACUUGUUUAUUCUUCCUCUUUUAAGGUGUUUGUUUUUUUUAUUUUAUUUUUAUGCUUCAUAUGUCUUCAAUUUCUUAGCAUUUGUCUUAUAUUUCUUCUUAUCCGAUUCAUUAUUGCAUCCUUGGUCAAUCUUUCACGAGGAGUGCCUACUUUUUUCCUUUUUAUUAUUUAAUUCACUUUAUCUUUAUAUUUUCCUUUUACACUUUAUUUCCAAUUCAAAACGUGUCAAAAAAAAAAAUUGGUAACAAAAAAAAAAAAAAAAAUCAAUUGUAAUGAUUCUUAUAUAAUUUUAUUUAAUUUUUAUUAAACAAUAAAGAAAUUAAAAAUAUAUAAAUUUUUAAAUAAUUAUUAUAGUCUUUCAUUUUUGUGUAUAAUUUCUUUUGCAAGAAAUAGUGUAGGCUUUCCACGGUCUAAAGGAAAUGGAAUAUCAAAUGAGAAGGUAAUAAUAAUAAAGUGAGUUAUAGAUACUAAUCAAACUAAUCCACUAAUGAAUUAUUUAUUUUUAUUUCACAUGGACAAAUCCUAAAAGUUGGAGUUCUAAUUUACUUUUAUGUUAAGCUUUUUUAAGUAAAAAUCUUUUAUUAUUAUAAUUUAUAGACAAAAAGAAACCCAUUAAUGUGAUGGAUAAAAAAUUUCAAUUUAAAAAAAAAAAAAUUAAAGUUGCUAAAUUUUUGUAUUUAUUAUUUCAAACUCAUUUAAAUAAUUUAAAAAUAUGUCUUCAAUUAAUUUUAAUGAAACAAAGCAUGAUUUUUUUUUAAUUUUUUUUUCUUUACCAAAUAAAGCAUUAUUAUAAUACGUUGAUUAAAUUUUCAUCAUGUCUCUCAAGAUUUGGAUUAAAUAUACUUAGUUGUCAUAAAUUUGAAAUUUUAUUUAAUGUAUUUUUUAUUUUAAAUUAAAAAGAUGAAUGCAAAUAAAAAAAAUAUGUAUAUUUUAUAAAAUUUUAAAUUAAACGAAGGAUACGUGUAUUUAACCAAGGUGAAUGAAAUUAAUCCAAAUACUUUUUGGUAACUUGCAAAAUAUCUUGACGAAAUCAUUAUGGCAGGCAUCGUACAAGCUCAACCCUUGUCGCCUUGCUAGAAAUAGAGAAACAAAAAGACCCCCAAAUUGGGUUGCAUCCUAAAUAUGAAGAAGUGGUAACAAAGGAAGAAAAAAUGCUGUGUUAUUGAAUAGUUAAUACAUUGAACAUGAUAUGUUACAUAGAGAGCCAGAUUAAUCCUAGUGGAAUUCCACUGUCACGAUGGUAACCUAGGGUUAUGUUUGGUUAUUGAAAAUACCAAGAAAAGAAAAAAAAAUAUAAAGGAAAAUAAUUUUUUCAUUUUUGAUUGUCUUAUAAAAGAUAUAAAAAAAAAACAAAUAUAAUUAAAACUAAUUAAAAAUUUAGGUAUUUUUAAAUUAUUUAAUUUUUAUAUUAAUGAGCGAAAAUAAAUAAAAUAAGUUUAAAAUAACAAAAAAAAUAAUUUACCGAUUUUUAAUCUAUAUUUUAUUUUACUUUUUCUUUGUAUUUUUUUUUUCUUAUAUUUUCCCUCAAAUUUUCUGAAUCAAACAUAGCAAAAAAGGAGCUACCCCUUUCGAAAGAAACUCCCAAGAAUUUCAAAGAAACCUGCUGAGAUAAUGAAUGAGGGAUCACUGUCGGUAAACAGUAUCCAUUCUUUUGGGAGGACUUUCAAACUGAGAAGUUGUUUUCAUGACUUGGAAACAAAAUUUUGAGCUCUAAGGGGGUCUGUAUUUGGGCCCUAAAAUUCAAUCCAUCAAUCUGAAAAAUGCUUAGGAUAAUGAUUUGAUUUAGCCACAAUCACUAAACAAAUUCCAGAGGAAAAUUUCGCUACUCAUAGGUGGCUGAUUCUCAUAAAAAGACAUCGUGGUAGGGUGUCUCAAGUGCAGGCUCACCAUCAACUUGCUGCCCUUUUUAGAUUAUUGUAAAAUGAUUUCACAUGAAGCCCAAUGCAAAACUUUGAAAGAAAAGGUUGGUGGAGACGUGAAGAAUAUGUAACCCAUAGGCCAUAACUAGUACCGAAGAUUAUUGAACAAACAUUCAAGGUUUUUGUAUAGACGAAACUGAAAAGAAUGUGUACCAGACUCAGGCGUUCAGAUCAGAUGAUGCCGUAAUGUGGAUUGUGGAGGAGCAUUGUGCAGACAGAUAAUGAGAUUCUGAAAGCGAGGCCACUGAUGGGCCCUUGGAAGGGGGGCGUGCCUUCAAAAUUAUAUAUAUAUAUAUAUAUAUGUCAUUGAAAAUUGGAAGCAACUUUUCUUCUUAAGUUAUUUUAAUCGAAGAAGAAACAAAAAGUUAAAAACAUACAUUAUUCUUCCUUCUUACGAGGUUUCCGGGUCUAAAUUACUAUGGUCUCUGCAACUGGCGUCGUUUUCUCUCCCCUCUCUCUAUUUUCCCUUUAUUUUUUCACUUUUAGAAAGAAGCAUCCCAUCAAGAAUCUACUACAACCCUACGCUUCCAUUUUGAUUUAGAAAGUUAAAAAUAAGUUUAAGUUAAAAAAAAAUAUUUUCUUAUAUAAUUAUUUAAACUUAUUUCUUUUCCUUUUUAUAUAAAGAAACAAAUAUUUUGCAAAUAAAUAAAUUUCUAAUUAUUUUCAUUAACAUAAUAAUAAUAUUUUUCAUAUGACUUUAAUCACAAUUUUUUUUACCACUUGUCCAAGGCGGUGAGAGGUGAUAAAAUGUAUUAAAAAAACGAUUAAAUUGCAUUAGGUAUAGAAGUUUUGUGCUUCAAUUAUCACUUAUAAAAAUAAAAUAAAAAUAGUCAAAUUUGAGUGUGCAAGUUGGUAUUCGUAUGUAGAAGGAAUUGGGGGAUUUGGGGGUCCUAACAAAUUUGAUAUGAUUGAUGGAAGGAAAUGAUUAUUAUAGGAUAAAGUCCGAAUGAAACGCUGACGAGGGGGGAAAAACAACAGUGGCAAUGCACUAUCCACAGAUCCAUGAUUGAUUUAUGUUAGCAAUAAUGAAUUAUUUUGACUUUGAUAACCUUGGUUAAGAGAAUUUGGUCUUGUUAUUAUCAUUUUUUCAAAAAAAAAAAGUGUAGGUAACUAGGUAGUUGAUUUAUUAGAAUUUAGAAAUGAGGAUCCCCUCCUCCUGCAAGAGCCGUGACAGACAUGCCUGCUUUCUUGCCAGAUUAUACCAAUGUGCCCAAAUAAUCCCCCAUCUAUCAUCUCUGCACCCUGGAACACGUCACUCCCUCCUUUGAGCAAUAAAAUAUCUCUUUUAUUUUCUUUUGAACCACUCUUCUAUUUCUUUGUACCAGACUGGACCCAUUUAAAUUCUUCGCUACGCUGUUCCCAAGGACUACGAGAAUCAAAAUAGCAAAAUUCUUGAAUCAUUUUAAUGGGUUCAGAAACCACAUGUUUCUCUAGAUCAUAAGAGGAAAAUCUUUUUGGAUGGUGUUUGUGUUGUGUUGUGUUCAAUAUUAAAUACUCAAUUAAAUAAGCUAAAUCAAAUAUCACAUGAAAAAUAAUCAAAUUAAAAAUAGGGAGAAUUAUGUUUUGAGGGUAGAUGGACCCCAAAUUAACAAAAGGUUCAUGUAACUCUUCAAAUUGAGCCCAGACCCAAUGAAAAUAUGGAAAUUGAGUUGAAGUAUAUCAUCAUUCAGUAUUUCCAAAAAUGUCCUUUGUUGAUUUUGAGAAAAAAAUUAAUAUUUUUGAAAAAUAUUUUUAUGUAAUUUAAUAUUUUUUUAAAUACUUUUAUUUAAUUUAAUAUUUUUAAAAAAUAAAUUUAUUUAAUUUAAUAUUUUAAAAAAUAUUUAAUUUAAUAUAUUUUUUAAAUACUUUAAUUUAAUUUAAUAUUUUUGAAAAAAAUUUUAAUUUAAUAUUUUUGAAAAAAAAAUUAUUUAAUUUAAUAUUUUUUAAAACUAUUUUUAUUUAAUUUAGUAUUUUUGAAAAAAAAUUAUUUAACUUAAUUUUAUAAAAUAUUUUAUAUGUGUUCUUAAAGGGUAUAUUUGUCCGUUACUAUUUCAUAUCCUUCAACUCAAUUUAAAGAGUUAUAUGGACCUUUUGUUAAUUUGGGGACCCAUCUACCCUCAAAAGAUAAUUCUCCCUUAAAAAUAUAAAUUUAAAUAUGACAUAAUUAUUAAAUAUGUUAGAUCUUGUAUGAGUUUAUAAGAUUUAUGUUUCAAAAUAACAUGUUUAUAAUUCAUCUAUUGAUUUAUAAUCAAAUUUUAAAUAAAUUAAAGUUAUUCAAGUUAAUAAAUAUGAUUUAUGUUAUAAAGACUAACUAAAAAAUAAUUUAUUAAUUAAACGGAUCCUGGUCAAUAAAAAUUUGAUUUAAAUACGAUCAUACUUAAUCAAAACUUAGGUCAAAUUGUAUUGAUAAAUUACAUCAAAACCUUGUUGUGUUCAAUAUUUUAUAUUAAACUAUUUUUUAAUAAAAUUAUUUUUAUAAAUAUAAUAUUACAUCAUUUGGAGAAACAAAAUAGUAUUAUAUUGAUUUUACAUAUAAAGCAACCAGUUAACCCCUCAUUAUUUUGAUCCAUUUCACAUCCAUAUCAUUCUCAUAAUUUUUUUAUAAUAUAUUAACAUGAUGGACGGUAAUUGAGGGUAGAAAAAAAAGAUGAGAAGAAUAAAAUAAUGUGAAUCCUCUCUAAAUGUUACAUCUUCUGACAAAUGAAGUCUAUAGAAAUGUGUAAAAAAAAAAAAAACACUUAAUUGUGAGGUUCACUUGAUUUAGCAAAAAAUUAAUAUUUUAUUUGUUGUGUGAUUUAAAAAUAAUAUUUUAUUUUUAAAAAUAAAAAAUUAUUUUUAAAGUUUUUUAACACUAUUUUACUAUUGUUCUUUGAAAUAAUUUUUAAAAUUAAAAUGAAAUAACUAAUAAUUUUUAGAUAAUAAAUUAAAGUUGUUUUUAUUAGAUUUUAAAAAUAAAAGAAAAAUAUAAAACCAUUUGAUCAAAUUUUUUUAAACUUAUUUUUAAAAGGUUUUUUUUUUUUUUUUUUUUUUUCUAUCCUAAGUUAAAAGAUAAAAAAUAAUUUUUAAAGAUAGGUUACGAGCAAAUGCCACAAACUUUUUUCUUCUCUUUCCCUUGUUCGGAUAGAAGUGAAAAAUAUCCUCCCAUGGAUCGACAUUACGUGAGCCAUCACCAUUCCCCAACUGCAAUUCAACCGCCAAAGCUGAGGUGUCAUUAUUAGUUUGAACAAAAGUCAGCAUUGUCCACGUGGUGACAAGCGGAACUGACCCAACUUGCAAGGCAAAAAAAUAAAUAAAAUAAAAUGAAAAAAUCAGAUCACCAUUAUGACGUCAGUCCAAUUGCUGACCUGGCCGCCGUCCCCCAUUUGACCCACGUGUUCAUUUAACCCAUUCGCCGUAUGCCGUGGCUCCCCACCCAUAUGGCCAUAUCUGCCAUUUAUUUUAUCCGUUGCCUCCAUUCGGUUUUUGGAUUUUACCCAUUCGCCCUCGUCUAUUCCCAUUUCCGUAUUUGCCCACCAAGGAAAUUCAAUUCCCAUGCUUUUGUUUUACAUUCAAAUCCUCCCCCCUCUAUAUAAAGGAGGGAGUAGGGCUUGAAAGUUUCUCAAGCCAACAUGGACUGUUGAGAGUGAAAGACAGAGGAGCCACAAACAAAUAUCACUCACUCAAACCAAAGCCAAAACCAAUACCGAAUUCAAUUCAAAUGACUUCUUUCUCUCUCAUCAAUUCCCUGAAUUCCGAUUCCGAUUUCAAUUUGUUAUCGGAUUCUUUUUCCUGGGAAAACUCCCUACCUUUCAAUGAAAACGACUCCCAGGAGAUGCUCCUCCUGGGCAUGCUGGCCAGCUCCACUCAGGAAACCUCAGAAACAGUUUCUUUGAAUCGAGUGAAGGAGGAAGAAGUGACUUCCCAGGAAAAUCCCGAGAAGGAGAAGUCAUACAGAGGCGUUAGGAGGCGGCCAUGGGGGAAAUUCGCAGCAGAAAUAAGGGACUCGACCAGGCAUGGCAUAAGGGUGUGGCUGGGAACAUUUGACAGUGCAGAGGCAGCUGCUCUGGCCUAUGAUCAAGCUGCUUUUGCGAUGCGGGGCCCUGCGGCAGUCCUCAAUUUCCCGGUGGAAAGAGUGAAGGAAUCGAUGCAGGAGAUCAAGUGCAUCUUGGAGGAGGGGGGCUCACCAGUGGUGGCCCUCAAGAAGAGGCACUCUAUGCGGAGAAAAAGUCCUUGCAAGAAACAUAAAAGUGAAGAGGUGAGGUUAGAAAAUGUGGUAGUGCUGGAGGAUUUGGGUACUGAAUACUUGGAACAGCUCCUCACUUUCUCUGAGACCUCUAGUCCUUGAUCAUCAUCAUCCAUCACCUGGAUAGCUUCUUCUCUUUGCUCUGUUUCUUACUUUUCUCUCUCUCUCUCUCUCUCUCUCUCUUUUUUUUUUAUGUAAUUUUUCUUAAUGUAUUUUUGGAGAUGGCGGGGGUGUAGUGGUGGCAAUUAUCCAUCUAGAAUUUUUCAAAAGAUAUGUUCUUUUGUUUCUUUGUAUAAAGUUGAAAAGUGGGGAUCAAUUGUGAUGGUGCUCUAUGUUCAUCCACCCAAUUUAUAUAAUCAAGGUGAUUAAUGUUUUUUGAUAUCAACAAUUUGUGAAUGACAUAGAGAGAGAGAGAGAGAGAGACCUUAUUUUCUACACUCAUUACGGUGGUUUCCAUUUGGGGAAGGAAAAGGAAAUGGCUAAGAAUGUUACCAAAAGAAGUGGGGUGGCUUUCAUAUGCGUGGUGGCAUACUUGCAUACAAACUUUUCAAUUGUGUUCUGCAUGCCACUCGGGUCAAUUUCAUUUCUUUUACUCCUAGUAGCCUAAUUGGAUUUCCUUUUUCUCAUGAGACAUCAAAUAAAUUUCAUUUUUUUAUAUUUAAAUAGUUAGGUAAGUUUGAUAGUGAGUUAUAUUUUAUACAUUAAUUCAUCUUUUAGAAUGUUGUCUACAAUAUAAACAGUGUAAUUAAUUUCAUCAUUACAGAACAGUCAUCUUAUAAAAUAACAUAAAAAUUAUUGGAUCACUUGUAUGGCACCACUGAUUUGGACUUGGUAUGGCUCUGUUUGGCUUCAUAGAAAAAAUUUGGACCCAAUUUGAAUGUCUUGCAUAAAAAGAGAUACGUCCCACUUUGAAUGAUAUUGAAGAAAAAAAUUUCUGAUGAAGAAUAUAUUGUUGGCAGGGUCAUGCAGGCCAAUAGGGAAACGAUAAAUUCAGAAGAAUGAGUCCAAACCAGUGGGCUUGAAAAUUAAGAAGAGAAUUGCUGUAUAAAACAAUCAUUUCUUAAUCGAGUUCACUUUCUGAAUAAUCGUCACUUUGAGAAUGCAUACUUAGGAAGAUGAUGAUCCUUAAUGGGAAUAAUCAAAGGCAUCAAAAAAUUGUUCUGGAACAAUUCUUGAUUGUCUCCAGUAAAAUUCAAAGUCAAAAGUCAAAAGUCCAGUCGGUCAACACCAAACCAGGCCAGUCCAAAAGACAUUAAUUUGCAAUCUAGAAUCUAUGAUGAGGUGGCGAAAUCAAACCUUGGCUUUUCACCAGGGAAUGGUACUCUGAAUUUGGUCAGUUCACUGUUUCGAGUGAAUAGGGUGUAGUAAUUAGUAAAUCAUAUUUUAGAUUUGUGUCACAAGUUACAAGGGAUAUGGGCUGACGUUCAAUUUUGGCGACAAUUUGUGGGCCCGUAUAUUUGUUGAGAUGUGGAAAUUGGGUGUGUGCUUUUUUCUGCUACCACAUAAAUAUAUUUCUUUGAAUUGAAGAGUGUUUCAGACCAUUUUUUUUCAAGUCACAAAUGGACAACUGAUUGAGAUUGUAUUGGUGAGAGUAGGAGUUUAUUUUGGGCUGGUUGAGCGAAGUUGAAAGUCGAGUUGGACCUAACCCUUGAAUUCAGCAGACUACAGUCCGAUCCUGUAUUUUGGAUUUAGGGAACCUUCUUUCCCAGAAGCUUCGUCUGGGUUUUAAAGUCUAAAUGUGGCUACUCUUAAACAUUGGAGAAAGGAUGAGCGUUCACAAGCAAAUGGGUAAUUGUGGAUGGUUCAAGGACCUGGCCAGCUGGUCUUCAAGUUUGGAUGCCGGUUUGGGCCUGAGAGAGUCUUUGCAAAGUGACUUCACUUCAGCCUAUGAGAUCAAGAUAUCAUGGUGAUGUCCGAUCACUUAGGUUUCAUUUUCACCUCGGAUUACCGUUACCAUGUUCAUGAAUAAAAAUAAAUAAAUAAAUGAAGCCUUAUAGAGAAAUUAAUGAAGUGAGCUAUACAAGCAACUGGGCCAGGAGCCUACAAGGCAGAAAUUCCCUGCCCUAGACUAGGCCGAAUAAAUUAGAUGAAUGAAUUGGGGAAACCUGGGCCAGCCACACAUCCUCCUGAAGGCUGAUGUCGAACUCGCUUACGAGGAAUGGACAUGGGAGAUUGGGCUGGGACCAAAUAACCAAUUGACAGCCCUAUCCUUGUGGCAAGACGUCAGUAAAAUGGUUCAUUCUGAUUUUACGCUGCCAUUCAAUUUAAUUUUAAUUUUUGUUUAAAGCGAUGUACAAAUUGAAUGGUGUCUAGUCACUUAAAGAGUGGUUCAUAAUACACUUAAUUUAAACAAAAAAGAAAUUAUUAGAUAGGGGAUUCUCCAAUAAAAACCACCCCAUCUUGUCAGCAAGUCCGGAAACUUCCUUCACUUAGGGCGUAUUUGUUUUUUUAACUUUAAUAUUAAAGAAAGUUGGUUAAACCUUAUGACACUUUUAUAUUAUUUUAUGAAUUUUUUUUAAUUUUUAUUUUAAUGGAAUUUUAACUUUAAUACAAGUUGGAGUAAUUCUUAUCUUAAAAACAAAUCAAAAUUACUUUAAUUUUAUAUAGAAAUAAACUUACAGUAAAUUUACCAUGAAAAUUUCUAAGUCAAAUACACCAUAAGUGCUAGUAUUUUAUAAUAUUUAGAAACAUGUUAAAUUAUUAUUAUUAUUUUUUAAAAUUAUUAGUUUUCAUAUUAGUUUUAGGGAAACUUGUGCUUUAGGUCUUUUAUUUGCAAAUAAUAUGGUUUUCAAAUCCUAAGAAUAGAAAAUAUGAGAAUCAACUGUUAAUGUGGAAAAUAAUAUCAAUUUUGUGCAAUCUCUAUUGACUCAUUUUUUUGUGCCUAGAUUGCCUUCACCCACUUCCAUGUCAACAACCACAUUAAUAGAUUGUUUUUUUUUUAUAAAACAAAUAAUUAUUAUGUUUAAAAUUUUGGGGAAACUCUCUAUCUCUCUUACUUCUUCACUACAUCCGAGACCCAUCUUCCUUAAACGUUUGCCUCUCAUUUUGCCCUAACCCCAAAUCUCAUAAAUUUCUCAUUUUCUUGCCUCAUUUGAAAUAUGAAGAUGACCGAUUCUCAAACAUCUCUGUCUCUCUCUUCACGUUUUGACCAGUCUAAUUGGAAACCCAUUUUCCAAAAACCUUCUUUCUUUCAUUUUGCCCUAACCCCACUAUCUCCCUCUUCAAGACCUAAUCACCCAAACUCGAUAUCUAUCUUCCCAAAACCUUCAAGCAAACUGAACUAGACCCAUAUCUUCUUUUUUCAUCAUCAAAGGUGAAAUUUUUUUAAGGCUUUUGGAAACCGAAUUGGAGCUUUCCCUUCUUCUGGGAUUAAUCAUUCGCAAGUGAGUUUUCCAUUUAAGGCUUUGUUUGGCUGUUGAAAUCUUGGGAUCAAAGGUCUUUUAUUUUCAGGUUUCUUGUAUUUUGCUUUAUUUUCUUGUAUAUAACAAUAAUCAUUGUAACAUAUGCUAGUAGUUACCCUUGGUGCAACUUUACAUUUCCAAAUACCCUAAAGUCCAAAGCUUUUAAUUCCCUUUUCAAAGCUUUCAACUUUGAAAGCAGACUAAACCAUAAGAACUAUGAAACUUAUAUCUCUAUCACCACUAAUUAAGCAUGUCUAUGAAUCCUUCCACUUUAAGUCACUUAUUCUCAAACCAAGAAGGGCUCCUCUCAUUCUCACCCCACCUCAUCUAAAUGAGGGAAAUGAUCAAUUGCAGCCAUGCUUUGCACCAAAUUAGAGAAGUGAUCCUCCCAAUCAUCCAUUACCAAAAAUUGAUCAUGCUGAUGAGAUCAUAAGAGUCUAUUCGGAACUCCCAGUUUACUUGCCUCUUAUCUCAGGAUCCUCCAUUACCCCCUGUCUUUCCAACAUCAAAUCAACUUGCAAACAAUUCCUUUGUAGAUAAAAUGUUUUUAAUAUUGCAAAAGGGGACUUAUCAUAAUGGUUGAAUCGAUUUAUUUGAUAUAAUCACUCAAAUUCAAGCUUAAAAUUGAUCAUAAUAAAAUGUUUUUAAUAUUGUUAAAAGGAGAUUAUAAUGGUUUUAUUUGAUAUCAUUACUAAAAUUCAAGCUUUCAAACAUGCUCUACAAAGAAGUUCUAAAAGACUACAAGAAAGAGUUUCCACUAAAGAAAAACAAUGAAACCAUUUCUACUAAAGACAAACAAUGAAACCACAGAUGCUUUGUGAAAUAUGUACCCGCACAAUCCAACAAACUUUAGAAAUUCACAAACACUACCUAGAAUUUUUGCUGACCAGCAAAAAAUUUAUGCAAUUUAAUUCUUAUUGUUAUUAUUAUUUUCAAUGUGAACAAAUAUGAUUGAAUUAUGAAGUAUUUGGCCAGAAGAGGAUCUUGCCUAAUUAUAGUCAUUAAACAACCAUUUAUACCAUAGCCUCUAGACUUUAAAAAGUUUAUAAAACUCAAGGGCUUCCACCCAAUUUCUAGAUAUCUCCAUAACAUUCUUCUGACUAUUAGAAAGCAAUUACCACUUUAAUUUUUCAUUUCAUGAGUGUUCAAUUCAGAAAAAGACCAGGAUCGAACUUGCGAUCAUGCAGUCGAAAAUCCACCUGUGCAUGAAACUAUUGCCUCACGAUUGCAAACUCAAGUUGGAGUCCAGUAACAACUCUAGGUUUGCUGAUGUGCUCCAUUUGAAAUAAAGGAACUAAAGAAUACUUUAUAAAGAUUAAUUACCUUCAUAUUUUAGGUUGGGGUUAAGGCAAAAUGUGAUAGAUUGAGAGGAAGAAAAUAUAUCUUGUUCAGGAAGCCAAUAUUUUGGAGUUCACCUUUCCAUUCGAGUCCACUCUGCUAUAGCAAAAUCAGAGUCACAACUAUGCCUCUUUAAGCUAUCCUUUAAUUGGAUGAAUUGCAGAUUUGGUUGCUGAGAAAGUGGAUAAGAAAGAAAAAUGCAUACUGUAGCUUGAGAUUAAGAGUUUGUUUUCUAAAAUGAGAGAAAGGGAAAGAGAAAAAAUGCAUAUUGUAGCUUGAGAUUAAGGGUUUGUUUUCUAAAAUGAGAGAAAGGGGAAGAGAAAUGUUCGACAACUUUGAGAUGACAAAUUUUUAGAUUUGGAAAAUUUGAGAUGAGUCUCAGGUUUUUUUUUUUUUUUUUUUGUCUUUGUCUUUGUUUUUUUUUUUUUUUUUUGUUUUUUUCCCAAAAACAACCUGUUAAUGUGGUUGUUGACAUAGAAGUGGGUGAGGGCAAAAUGGGCAUAGAAAAAAGAGUCAACACAAAGUGCACAAAACCCAUAUUAUUUUCCACAUUAAUGACUGAUUCUCAUAUUUCUUGUUCUUGGGAUUUGAAAACCAUAUUAUUUGCAAAUGGACCUCCCAAAGCACAGGUUUCCCUUAGUUUUAUGUCUCCAUCUACAUUUUACAUAUAAAUAGAUUAUUUUAUAAAAUUUGUUUUGUAGAUAUAUUAGUUAAUAAUUAUAUAAUUAAUGAUAUAGAAAACAUAUAAAAAUCAUAUUUAAAAAAGAUAAUUACAUAUUCCUCAACAAUCCAUCCCAAGAAUUCGAGGUUGAGUUGAAAACAUGUAGAGUCUUUGAUGUUAUUAUAAUCAUAUCCAACACAUAUGAUUAUUGUUUAUGAGAUAUUAUUAGAAAGUUUGUCUUAAAAUAAUUGAUUUAUUACCCACCUUUAGCAAAUGCCCAUUUUUGCGUCUUUCAAAAUUUUCAUUUUUUUUUUGUUUAAAAGAAGUAUUGUAAAGAAUGAUGAAAUAAGAAAUUUGUUGAGAAAGUGUGAGUAAAUAAUUUUACAUAAAAAGAGAUUUAAUACUUGAUAAAUAAAAUAAUAAAAUCAUGAUUUCUAGUUGUAUAGGGCCGGGUGGAUGGAGUGGCUAAGAUGUAAUUCUUGAAAUAGAGGAGACAACAUCAAUGUAUAAAAGUUUAACAGAGAAGGAAAGUGUGUUUGAAUGACUUUAUUUUCUUCAUUUAAAGUUUUGACGAUGAGUGUUUAUACAAGAUAAAUUUUCAAAUGAUAGGACUCCUAUUUACAUGGAGUUUGUGAUAUACUAUGAUUAUACAAAUUUAAAAUUCAAACAGAUUCAUGAGUUGAUAGGAGUCUGCUCAAUACGCCCCUUCAAAAUGGUGGGAGAUAGCACACCAAUCUUGACUCGAAGGGCCUAAACUCGUGCAGAAGAUGAGGGCUUUGUUAGAGCAUCGACAAGUUGAUCCGUGGUUGACAUAUGGGACACCUUGAGCUCACCUGAUUAAACCUUGUUUCAAACAAAAUGAAAAUCAAUCGCCGAUGUGUUUCAUGGAGAGUGAAACAUGGGAUUUGCACAAAGAUAUGUUGCACCCACGUUAUCACAAGAGAUAGGAGGUGGUGAUAAAUUUGAAACACUAAGUUUUGAGAGAAGAGAAUUAACCCAAAGAACCUUUGAGGCUGUAGAGGCCACGACGUGAUAUUUCGCUUCAGUGGAAGAGCGUGCUAUGAACUUUUGUUUCCUCGAUGACCAAUACACAAGAUUGUGACCAAGAAAAACAAUGGGAGCAUUGGUGGAGGAUCUGACAUAAGGAUUCCUUGCCCAUUCAACAUUCGAAUAUGCAUGUAGAUUGAUGGGCGAUUUCUUAUGCAAGAACAGACCAUGCACCAUUGUGCCGACUAAGUAUCUAAGCAAUCUUUUAACACAAGACCAAUGUGUUGAUGUUGGAUGGUGCAUAAAUUGAGAUAAUUUAUUCAUCAAGAAGGUGAUGUCAGGGCUAGUAAGAGAGAAGUAUUGAAGGCUUCCAACAAUUGACAUAUAUUUAGUGGGACCAGGAAAAGAGGUGUCAUCACACAGAUUUGGAACAUUGUUGAGGAACAUCAAUGAUUGAACUGGUUUGGUAGCCACCAUUUGUGUUUUCUUAAGAAGCUCUCGAAUGUACUUGAGAUAAAAAUAAUCCUUUGGAAGUAUGUAUCAUUUCAACACCAAGAAUAAAAGAUGAAGUCCUGAGAUCCUUAAUGGAGAAUUUGACUGCUAAUUGAGAGAUCACGCGAGCACGAAAAACAUUAUUGUUACUUGUUAAAAUAAGAUCAUCAAUAUAAAUAAGUAGGUAAACAAUGAGACCACUCUUUUUAAAAAUGAAGAGGGAUGUCUCGGUUUAGGAGUUGACGAAGGCUAUUGAGAGGAGAAAUUGGCAAAGUUCAUGAUACCAUGAUCGUGGAGCUUGUUUAAAGCCAUAAAAAGCCUUACAAAGUUGGCAAAUGUGAUGAUGUGUGUAUUCGUGAACCCAGGAGGUUGAAUCAUGUAAACAUCUUCAUGAAGUGUCCUAUGCUAGAAUGCAUUAUUAAUGUCCAAUUCAUGAGUUGAUAGGAGUCUGCUCAAUACAAUGUGGGAGUGUGAUUUCAAAAUUAGGGUAAUUUCGAAAUGGAUUUUGUAUUCACAAGUUGAAUUUCAAAAUUAUUUUGAAAUGGUCUUUUAACUUUAAGCAGUUGUGUUCAAAAGGUCAUAACUUCUUCGUUUCAAUUUUGAUUUACACAUUGUUUAAAACAUUGGACUCUUUACUUCCCGAGCUUCAAAACGAUAUAUAGUAUGCUCAAAAAUGACAUCAGGAUUGGUUCAAAUUUCAUCUUGAUAUUAGAGUACAUGUUGUGAUUAGAUUUUGAGUUCCAAAUUUCCAUGUAAACUUGAUUGCAUUUGCUUCAAACCUCCUUCAUUAUGGUUGCUUGCCCUCUAUCUCACUUUGCAACAUUUGUUACUAGUAUUUUAUGUCCAUGACUUACUCAUUUCAACCUUUCUUGGAUUCUUCAUGGUUCACAAAUUAUGGAUUCUUCAUGGUUCACAAAUUGAGUCUUUCAAUUAUGCAUGUUUAACUCCUAUUUCCUUGGUUGAUAAUGACUUUUACACUUAUCAUUUUCUUUUAUUCUUUAAACCUGAAUUUAGACUUACAAAAAAAAGUUAGAUCCAUAACUAGGGUCUUAGCAUCAAUUUGAGUUAAGUUGGAUGAUUUGAAAAUUUUAUAUUACAUAAAUCAUAUCAUACAUGUGCCAUUGGAGUGCACAUUUUGGCUCUAAUCAUGUUCCAACCCAUUGUUUUACUCUUGCAUGAAGUAUGUGGCCAUUGAUUUUAAUUUUAUUUGCGAUUAGGUUCAAAAUGGUGCUUUUGUGUUGCUCAUGUGUCAUCAGAAGAUCAACUAAUGGAUUCUCUAACAAAACUACUACAUCAUAGUCAUUUUUUUUUUUCUUAAGACCAAGAUUGAGAUCUCCAAUCGGAGCCAACUCCAUCUUGGGGGCAUGUUAGUGAAAGAUAAAAUUUAUCUUUAAUUUAAAUAUUAAUAUUUAUCAGUUAUUAGUUUUAAUUAGAGUAAAAGAUAGAGUUUAAAUUGGAGUAGGAGAUAAACUUGUGUUUGAACUAGAAUAGAAGAUAAAGUAUAAAGAUUUAUGUUUGAAUUAGAAUAAAAUAUAAAGUUUGAAUUAGAGUAGAAGAUAAACUUGUUCUUUAUUUGUAUAUAAAUAUUCAUCAAUUCUUGAGAAGAAGAUUAUUUCAUAGUUUUUCUAUCUUCUUUUUUCUUCAUACAUAUCUGCAAGAAAUUGAAGAUUUCAAGUAAAAUAUUUUCUGUUUUAAAUAGUGAAAAAAGCUAGAAAUUCACUUUGUUAUCUCUUGGGGUAAAUUGACAAGGUUUAACGUUAAGAAGGUGAAUUAUUUUUUCAGAAAAACUGAAGUAGCUAGGAUAUCUGGCCAGUUGUGAUCGAUAAAAAAGUUGUAAAAUCUCUCAUAUACUAAACAGGUUUUGGAUGUUGGUAUGGUAAAUCCAUCUGCAGUCAUUCGUCAUCUCAUCUAGUGAGAUGUUUGGGAGGUGGUGACCGCCGGAUUGGGUUUCAUUUGGUUAAAUCUGUCAGUGGGUUGGCUACUACCCGAGCCUCUUGCUUUGGGGGAGGUGGGUUCUAGAUAUAAUGUUCAAACCAUUUUAGUUAUCAUAUGCAUGACAUGUAAGCAUAAUCUCUUUAUCACUUCUUCAAUGGGAGUUCAUGGUUAGGAAUUGACUUCUUUUCUUCUGGGAUGCUUGGCAUGUAAUGGACAAAGUUACUUUUAUAUCGAUCGAAUUUCUAGUAUUAUAGUGAAGACUUACCCUUUUGACAUUUUAUAUCGAAUUAUAGAAGAUGAAAGGGACAUACAUGCAAUCGACUGACGCUUUAGUGAAUAUGCUGAAAAUAUGCUGAUGCUGUGGAGAUCGUAUGAGGACAGAGGAAAAAGAUAGAAAUGGAUAUAUAAUUAGACCUAGGUUUUUAUUAAAUGAGAUGGGGAACAUAGAGUGAGGGAAAAUCAAAAUUUUUGGCUGCAGUUCACAUUGGUGAUAUUUUGGAUUGACAAAGACUAACGACUUUUCUAUUUUUCUUUUCGGCCUGACUGGAUAGUUGGACAUGGACAAUACAGAAUCCACAGAAGGAUUGUUGGGACCGCUGAAAAUUAGCUAGAAGAAGCUGAGGAAGUAGUCUACGUAGUCAAAUACCAAACACAAAGAAAGAAAGAAAUGGAUAUCAUGGAUGCCUAGAGUUAUACUCCUAAUACCGUCACAGGUAUUUUUCUUUCCUCCUUUUUUUUUCUACGAUAAUUAGAGCAUUUCUCCUCCUCCUCCUCCUCCUCCCCCCACCCCACCACCAAAAAAUAAAAAAAUAAAUUAUUGCAAGUAACACUUCAAAUAUUAAUUUAUACAUUCUAAAGUAUAUAUUCAUGAAAUAACUUGAGUAUCAUACAUUAGUUCUCAAAAAAAAAAAAAAAAAAAAAAAAAAAUUACUGGAAGAGAAAAGUUUAAGAAAACAUAAAAAUAUUCAACUACUAUUUUAAAGAGAAAAUUUAAUUUUUACACUAUAAAUUUGAAGAGAACUUUUACAUGCAUCUUAUAUAAACUACCAUUUUUUGCUAAAAGGCUUAAAUUUGUCAAAAAUACCCCUUAGGUGCUUAACGUUCUGGUCAUAAUAUAAUUGGCAUCUUUUCUCAAACAUAAGGCCUGUGUGUGGGAACAAGAUUUAAUGUUAAUGAGCUUCGCCACCGACAUUUAGUUCCAGAAAUCAUUAUUUUAAUAGAGUGGGCUCAAUUUACAACUUUAAUUAAACUCUAACCAACUGCAUUGUGAAAUGAAUAUGUUUCUUUCGUGGUGAAUCCAAUGAGUUGGGAGUCAAACUUUGCUUCAUUGUGUAUAGAUGAAAUGUUAAGACUCCAUGUAACCUCAAACAUUUCCGCAAUNNNNNNNNNNNNNNNNNNNNNNNNNNNNNNNNNNNNNNNNNNNNNNNNNNNNNNNNNNNNNNNNNNNNNNNNNNNNNNNNNNNNNNNNNNNNNNNNNNNNUUCUUUCGUGGUGAAUCCAAUGAGUUGGAGUCAAACUUGCUUCAUUGUGUAUAGAUGAAAUGUUAAGACUCCAUGUAACUCAAACAUUUCCGCAAUGAGCGGGAGUUCUAAAUUUAAUAAUUGAAAUUGUCAGUGGAACCAGUGGACAAGAGUUGGUUUGUGGUUGACAAACUUAUCCGUUUGAUCUUUACUUGAACAGUUCCAGUGUGUGGAUGGGUACUGAUGAAGUGUGCGCAUUUAUUUUGAGAAGCCUGCUUGUUCGCAUAGAUUUUAACGACAUGAACAUUGUGGUAAGGUUAGAGAGUAAUGCGAAUGUAGGAGCUUAUAUUAGAAAUGACACAAACACGUAAAUAGAAGUAAUCUAUAUAUGAUAUUACUCAUGGACUACAAGCAAAGAAGUACAAUACAUGGAGUAAGUGAUGAAAUGAGCAUUCCUCACUACUACUGCUUGACUGAUGGAACAUGAUGCACGAGAUAGCAUAAGUAGUAGUAGGAAGCAGCUCUUAUUUGUGGCGUCGGUAUACAUCAUACUAGGUAGAUGGUUCAAUUGGCAUGGAUGGGUGGUGGAGCCUUGAAGUGCUUGUGAUGGGGAGCCCACGGCUUCUUCUCAGGAGUUGGUGGCUUCUUGUAUGGAGUUGAUGGAGGUGUUUCUACUGGAGGGUGGCCAGGGUAGUGACCCUGGGGUGGUGAAGGUUCUUUUGUCGGUGGUGGCCUCACUAUUAUUGGCGGUAGAGUUGGUGGCUUGGGCGUUGGCGGUGGUCUCACUACUCUUGGGGGUAGAGUUGGUGUCUUGUGUUUUGGUGGUGGAGGUGGCUUAACAGGAGUUGGUGGCUUGUAUUCUGGGGGUGGUUUCUCCACCGGAGGUGGCUUAUAAACUGGAGUUGGUGGCUUGUAUUCUGGGGGUGGCUUCUCCACUGGUGGUGGCCUGUAAACAGGGGUUGGUGGCUUAUAUUCUGGGGGAGGCUUCUCCACUGGAGGCGACUUAUAAACAGGGGUUGGUGGCUUGUAUUCCGGGGGUGGCUUCUCUACGGGAGGUGGCCUGUAAACAGGGGUUGGUGGCUUCUCCACCGGAGGUGGCUUAUAAACGGGGGUUGGUGGCUUGUAUUCUGGGGGUGGUUUCCCCAGUGGUGGAGACUUGUAAACAGGAAGAGGUGGUUUGUGCUCAUAUGGGGGUGGCUUGUGGUCAUUAGCAAGUGAGGGAGUGGUGAGGACCACCAAUCCAAGGAACAACACGAGUGAGCAAGCAGAAGACAUGUUUGGGCUCUGGUGAUGCACAAGUAGAAGAAAUGGGAACCAUUUAUAAUGCUUCGAGACCUUGGUUAGCACCAAAAUAUGUCAAAAUCUUGAUUACUUCAUUUCAUACAUAGAUUUAAAAUUAUUUCAAUCAACCAUGAUCCUUAAUUUUCUGGGUGGUCCAUAAAUGUAAUGGGGUCAAUUUGGGACCUAACAAGCUGAGAAGUUUGACAAUGCUGCAAGGCUUCAUCCGAAAGUCCGGGGAAGAAUAUUAGGAGUUACACUCCGUUUCCUUUUUUGGGUGCAUUUUUCUCCUUUAACAUUCUAUUCCCUUUUACAUUAGCAUUUGAUCUUAGCUCAUUUCAAGUACAAGUUUCUUGAACCCUAUACCAUUGUCAAAGUUGAGUAACCAUCUCUACUUUGCUCAAGAAACAUAAAAGACAAUGACAAUAAAGAAAAAGGAGAGAGACCAUACGUGACUUGGUUUAUAGGUGGCUUUGUGUUGACAUUUGAGUAUGGAAGCCGACAUGCAUCUUAGCUUCGAUUUUAAUUAAAUUUGUACAUUAGUGUCUGUGUCAUUCAUUUUGGUAUAAAAGGUCUCUUGAUUUCGUAAGUUUGGUAAGAACCGUUGAAAAUAGCAGUAGCAGCACAUGGUCCACUUUCUUUCACAAAAUAAUUUUAAAAGUUUAGAAGCAUAGGAGGUAACAUUAGUGGCCUUGUGGCUCAGCCACGAGUACUAUGUGGUGCUCGAGAAAUUGAGUUUAAUUUCCUUCCGAUAGUUCAUGAUAAGGUCCGUCACUGUCCUGAGACAGAUUGCGUUUUUUCUUUUUUCCUUUUUUAGUGUUUUAUUGACUAGCUAGGUGUGACUUUUCCUACUUUAAGGCACGAGGCAGAAAAGAAACUGGGAUUUAGUGCUUAAGAAGGCAAAUUUAAUUCGAUUUGGAUCUAAAAUUUGCCAGCAACAUGAGAUUUUCCAGCCUAUCGUUGCUCCACAUAUAGACAAGGCACUUGUAGAAGUGGCUUGUUUGUAGCCAUUCCCGAUAUUUGGACUCACUUGAUUCACCGGACACUUUGAUAAAAUUUAAUAUUUAUUAUUUAAUAAUUUAAAUUGAUUUAAAAUUAAAUUAUACCGAAGUUGUGAUUUAAAAAUUAUUAUUUAAUUCUUACUUUUAAAUAUGAAGAUUAUUUGAUAAAAAUAAUUUAAAAUUUAUUAUAAAUUAUCAAAUUAACAUAUUUAUCCUUAUAAAUUAUAAUUAAAACAGAAAAGGUCAAAUGAUUUGAGUAUCCAUAGAUGUGGUAAAAUAAUAAAAAAGAUUAUAAAAACAAUUAUGAUAAAUAAAGAUAAAAAGUAAAAUGAAUAUGUGAAUUUAAAGAAUAAAUUAAUUAUUUUUAUUUAUUACUUAAAAUUAUUUUUGACUUUAAAUUAUAUUAUUAAAUUAUUUUACCAAACAUACUUAAUUUAGUUAAUAAUUUAAAUUUAAUUUAAGUUAUUAAAUUGAUUCACCAAAUACCCACUUAAUCAAAGACUGAAGUAUACAUUAUUUGGCCAAAUGCAGCUAUUGAAAUUUAACUUUUUCCAAACUUAUUCAUUUUGUGGAAAUAUUUUUAGAAAUGAUUUUAAAAAUGCACUAUUCUGUGUGUUGAUUUUAUAUUUUGGCAUUAAUCCAACAUAGAAAACGGUUCUUAUUUUCGCUGUUAAAUAGGUACCAGAUCCUUAAUUAGUGCCGUGAAUCCGGCAGCUUCCAAUGAGUAAUUUGGACUUGGGUAUUGACAAUGUGUGGCCAUGCUUCUACUAUUUUAUUAUUCUUGAAACAUAUAUGAUAUAUUGGACUUUAUACAGGGAAAAAAAAAAAAAAAAGUCUUCACCAAAAAUGAUUCCUCCUAAAAAAUAGACUCCACAAACUAGGUUUAACAGGAAAAUGAUUCUAAUCUAGUAGUUUCCAGCCACAUGAGCAUUUACGUAACAAUAGUAUAGUUGAUAACGACUUUUAUUUUAUUUAUUUUUAAAUAGUUAAAGGGAUAAUUUUUGAGCUUAAAUUUUAUUUUUUUAUUUAGAAACAUUUUACUUUAUUUUUUAAUCAUAAUUCUAUUAUAUUAAUGUUUUAUUUUCUAUUUUUUAAUAUAUAAGGAGAUACUAAAUUUAUGUGAUUAUUUUUUAAAAAUUUAGUAUAUGAAAUUAAAUAAUUGGAUAUAUAUACAUAUAUCAUAUAAUGUUUUUUAAGUGUGAUUUUUGAACUUUUUAGUCAUUUUAUAAGUUUAAGCUUUUGAUUUUUUUUUUUAAACUUUGGUAUUUUUUAUUUUAUAUAAAACUAUUUUGAUUUAAUUUUAUUAAAAAAUAUUGGUAUUAUAAAUUAUUGUAUUAAUUAUUUUUUUAUAUUAUAAUGUAACUGGUAUAUACUAAAAAAUGUAUGCAAGUUCAAUUUAAGUUUCAAAUUAAAAAAUUUCAUUUAAAUAUUUAAUAACUUGUUCAUAAUAAAAAAUUAAACAACAUAAUACAAAUGAAAAGAAACAUAAAAGAAAAAGGAAAAAAUGGUCCUCUCUGUGUGUCACAUUACUAGGUCAUCCUCUUUUUCUAUGACCCUUACAAUAGAAUGGCAUAUUUGUCAAAUCUACUUAUGAAAGUUGGAAUGUUUCUACAUGUGUAGGGUCCAUUGGAACUAAUGGAGGAAAGGCUUAACGUCUAUGUAAAUCACAACGUUGCCUAGGUGGGCAUAGAUCUAGUUGUGUAACAUGAGAUGGUGUGAGAGUACAAUAUAUGCAUUGUAGUCUCUAUGGGAAGAGAGAUAGGUAAUGGUAGGGUGGUAGACGGUAGGGUGAUCUCUAAUAUAAUGACAUUUGAUGUGGUGGCUUCUAAGAGAGGAGAUAUAAGAGAUGGUAGAAUGACAUUUGGUGUAAUGGUCUCUAGUGCAAUGACAUGUGAUAUGGUGACCUAUAAAGAAGAGAUAUAGGUGAUGGUGAAGUGGUAUGUGGUGUAGUGACCUUUGAGAUAGAAAAUAGAGGUAAUGGUAGGUUGGCAGGUGGAGUGGUCUUUGGUGUAGUGACAUCAAUUAUAAAUGUCUCCAAGGGAGGAAAUAAAGGUGAUGGUAGGUAGUAAAUGUUGAGGUGGUCUUUGAUAUGUUAUGCUCUAAGAGAGAAGGUAUAGGUAAUGAUAAUAGGGAAUUUGACAUAGUGGUGUUGGAAAUAAAAAGUGAAAGUGACCGUAGAGGUGAAAGGGCAAGUGUAAAAGCCUCAAGUACGAAUGGAGUAAUUAAUGUGGAUGGUGCUAACAUAGUCUUAGGUGGAUACACAAAUAGUCAUAGUCAUCAACUAGCUUGCCCACCAUCUGUCUUUCUGCUAGUGAUAGGUUACAUCUUAAUAGUAAUGGCCAACAUAAGUGGUGUGGAUCCGAUUUUUUUACGUGUGUCCCCACUCAAUCGACAAGACUUAUUUUUUAUUAGUGAAAAAUUAAUUUUGGAAAAGUUGGAGUCACCACUUAUUUUAUUUUAUUUUAAAAAGGAAAGUAAAACAAGAAAGAGAACUCUAAAGAAGUGACUUCAUAGUUUUGGAAAAGUUAGUCUUAAAAAAUCCAAGUCUUGGUCCGGAGAUCAGGUUACUUAUUGGGAAGAUACCUCUAAGAGGUAAUACCCCUCUAAACCCUAAAGAAGUCUCUAAUGACUAAGUUGAGGAGAAUGUGGUAAUUAAUUAAUUGAUUGAGGGUACCUAGGUAGACUAAGGUGAUUUCAGAAUUAACAUACCAAGCUAGAAAGUCCAAUCAUGAUCAUAAAAGAGAGUCAAAGUAUGUACCUGAACUGCUUCUCAAACGCUAUCAUAAAACAUCAAAGUUAGUAUAGAAAUAUAACACAUAAUAUUUGUUUUAUCCAAGCAAAUAAAGCAUACAUCUAAGCACCCAAGAAUCACAUCAAGUAUGGAUAUAGUCAUCAAUAGCAUACGUGUCCAUAGAACUAUCGAAAGUAAAUGUGGAGGAGCGUAUCUGGACAACAUAGAUAACUUAUAAUGUGCUUCCACAAGACAUGGGGGUUAGAUAAAAGUUAUAAUAAUAAUUAGUAAAUGAAAGAAUUCUAGCAUGUUUGGUAUCUAAAUAACAUAGCAAAAAUGAACAAGAGUACACGAAAACAUCAAUUAUCACACGAGUCAUAUUGGCUAGUAUUUAAUCAAUAAACCAACAAUAAAUGACUAUAAACAUAUAAAAUGACAUAUUCAAAGAGACCCAAACAUAAAGAGCCUAGAACACAAGCUUACACUAAAUUUAGAAAACUAAAACAUGGAAUUUUAAAAGCAUAAAUUAGCAAACAAAUUGAUGGAAACUAAAUUUAGAUAACUUAAGAAUAUUUUUCUUAUCCUUCAAUUUAAAUCAGUAAGCCAACAAUAAAAAAUUAUAGAAACAUGGAAUAUCAAGAUCAAUGGGAUACCUAAACUAUAAUUUUUAAAAGAAAAUAAACUAAGCAUAAUAUCUACAAAGCAACUAAACUAACAUUUUUUUAAAAAUAAAUUAAACAUGACAUUAAUGGAGUAACCAAACUAAAUUAAAGUAAACUAAAAACAUUUAUGAAUUUUCAAACAUGGAAUCAGCUUUCUUAGUAAAUUAAAAUUAUUAAAAUAAAAUCUAAGCUUAAAAAUGAAUUAAAUACUAACUAAAGCAAAUCUAAAACCAAAUAUUUAACACAUAGGAUCAAUUAUAUUAACAAACUAAAAUUUUAUAAGAACACUUAAACCUAAAGUUGAAUUAAAAACUAACCAAUUUUUAAAACUAGAUCUUUAACCCAUAGGAUCAAUUAUAUUAACAAAUAAAUAAUAAAUAAUAAAUAAAUAAAACUCAAACCUAAAGAUGAACUAGAAAUGUACCAAAGUAAAUUCAAAACAAGAUCUUUAACACAUUAGAUCAAUUAUAUUGACUAACUAAAAAAAAAAAAAAAAAACACUCAAACCUGAAACGAUGUAUUAGAAACUAACCAAAGCAAAUUUAAAAUAGAGUCUUUAACACAUAGGAUCAAUUAUAAUCACUAACUUAAAUUACAAUUUUUGAAACAUGAACUAAUUAGUGUUGGAUUAAUUAAACUAAUUAACUAAAAAAAACUAUAAACUAGAAUACGGUGAAUCAAGAAUUCAAAUCAACAAACAUAAAAUAUGGGUACAAUGAAAUGAAAAUCUAUUAAACUAAUAAGACGGAAAUAUGACAAACUCAUGAACCCACAUUUUGAUCAACUAGGAAAUAGAAAUUAAUAGACCUGUAGCAUGGAUACAAUGAAAUGAGAUCAGUUAAAUUUAUUUGCCGAAAUUCUAAAAAACACAUACACUCAAAUAAGAUCUAAAUCUAAGACCAAGCAAAACUCAAACUUUCUCAAUCUAAUGCAAUGAAUCAAAACUAAAAUUAAAUAGAAAUCAAACCAUUUUUUUUUUAUCUAAUAUAAUAAAUCAAAGCUAAAACUAAACAAAAUCGAAUUUUCUUAAUUUAAUAUGAUGAGUCAAAGCUAAAAUUGAACAAAGUUCAAACCUUUAUAUAAUGGAUCAAAGUUAAAUCUAAAUGAAAUCCAUACUUCCACAAUUUGAUAUAACAAAUCAAAAAUAAAACUAGAUAAAAAAAAAGUCAAAGCCUUUCAACUUGACAUAGUGAAUCCAAACUGAAACGAAACAAAAUUUUAACUUUUCCAAUGAAACCCAAUAUAGAAAAAAUUAGCUUACCUUCUUUAGAAUAUAUGUAUGGGCCAUAAAGAAGUCACCUUGGUGCAUGUGUUCCUCACUUUGACGCCAAUGGACGACUUUCUAUGGUAGCAAAUGGAGAUCCUUUUUGGUGGUAACUUGCGUGUGGAAACCUAUGGUACAACCAAUGUCAUCUUUUAUUGUGCGUGUGGACCAAUUUCUUCUCGAGAACUCAUGUGUGUUGUGCUCAAAAUAUGUUGCCUGUGAGAAUCUAUUGGUAUACCCCACAUAUGGUUUCCUUGAGAGAAUCUGUGGUUGUGUGUGGGCGUUUUCUUCAUGACAGCAUGUGGAUGUUCCCAUCUAUGGUAGAUUGGUUGUGAUGCUUUAGUGCAUGGUCUCCAUAGGAAUAGUGUGUUAUGGAAAUUUGGUUUUUUUAUUGGUGCAUGUUGUCUAGACUUUCCCAUAUGCGUGGACUGUGUGUUCAUGCUUUUCUUUUCGGAUGGUCGCCUGUGUUAAUGUGUGGCGGUGUCUACAAUGAAAGAUACAACCCUUUCUCUCCUUCUGCGUGAUAGAAAAGUCAAUCCCCCAUGGUGCGACUAUGUUCCCUCGUCCUUUUUGAAAAAUUUUGGUGUUUUCCCCCCAAAAAAUCCCCUCCAAAAAUCUAAUUAUAAAUGUCUGCUUUGGCCUAAUGUGUGUGCUACUUUUUUUUUCCUUCUUUUUAUGGUUGUGCGUGCUUUUCUUGAUACGUGGCUUAUUUCUUAAGGAUAUGAUUCGCUCCCAAUUGGUGUCUCAGCUGAUUCAUGUCCUUUCAAUGGUCCCUGACAGUGGUGCCAUUUGAUUCGUGUCCAGCUGGUGUCCCUUGAUUGUGGUCCUCAGAAGGGAGUAAUCAAUAAAAUUUAUAACCUAUUACACCAUGUAUUAGGAUAGCCUUAGCUAGCAUAGCAUAGUGGCUCUAGGGUCGUUUAUUGGGAUGAGUUUUCACUUCACAAUUGAUAUUAAUUCAAGAGCUGAAUUGGUGCCUUUUCAUUUCAAGGUUAGCUUUAAAAGAAAACAUAAUCUUUGGUGGAAAAAGGUUUGGUUUUAAACUAACCAAAAAUAGUAACUGAUUUUACUUACAAAGAAAAGUGUUCUUUGGAGUUUAGAUCACUAGGCUCAGGUUCCUCAUACAAAAAGGAGAGUUCCGAUCAUUUGUUUCUUUUCCUCGCAUUAGAGAAUUAACAUAUAGUUAAUUCUCUAACCGGUGCGGUACAUAUGCUUCCCAUUAAUGGGUUCAAACACUAAAUACCUCUCACUGAUGCACCUUGCAAUGGCUCGUGCCUCUCACCUAGCAUUUAUCAUUCAAGGUGAUCUUUAACCUUGGAUUACCCAUCAAAAGCUCGCAAGAGAUAACUAAAGGAUGUCUCCUUAGAGUCCAAAAGCUUACCAAGUGUUGGUUAUUCUAGAAAAUCCUACCUUCAAACCACCUCCCAAAGGCUCGCAAGAGAUAAACAAGUGCAUCUCAAUGGAUGAAGAUCACUUGCCUUACCAAGUUUUGGCCCAGAUGAUUUAAUGACAUUUUAAGUUAACUAAAAAGAUAAAAACCAUUAACGGGUCACACUUUCUCUUCAUUAAAAACUAAAACAACAAAACUUCCAAUUUAUGCAUGAGGAAACUUACCUGGCUUUCUUCACUUCAAGAGAUGAAGAGCCUAGCCACUCAUCAUUUGAGGAAAAAUCCUCAGAGUUUGAUUUGCUAGAAAUAAAAAUAAUGAGAAAACAAAAAUAUAUAUAUGAAAAACAGAGCAAGUUCUCUGUAAUAUAUUUUUCUUCCUUAUACAAAAGGUUGUCUCUAAGAACAAGUUCCCGAGAUCUAUCUGAUUGUAAAUAAAAUUACAACUAUAUAUAAGAGGUUAUUCACCCCUUUGUUCUUUCUUAAAGACUAAGGAAUCCUAUGAUAGGUGGGUUACAAGGAGAGUUUGGGGAUUUAGACAUCAAAUAUCUAAAGCAAAAUAUCUCAAGAUGUUAGUCGGAAAUAUCAGGAAGCUUCAGGAGAACACCGCGACACUGUAUACUGAGAGAAAAACUCUCCGGGUAAGCUCUAUCAAAGGAUCCAGACAUGUCUGACUGGGAAAGUUGAAACGUCCUUCUCUCCCAUCCGGAUGUGAGAUAUCCGGAGAAAGUGAAAUGUCGGUCGGACAGAAUUCUUUCCCCGGGUGGAAUGAGUUGUGUUGCGCGUCGCAAGGGGGACCGUCUGCGUGUACAAGUUGUAGGGACCCCUCUCCCGGAUGACACCGAGCGCGUAAGGCUAUCCGGAUCAACUCCAUUCGGAUUCCCCAAGAGGACAUGUGGCGUGCUCCCCUAUCAGGACUCCCUUAGGGAGAAGCACACGACACUCGUGAACAUCAUACCCGGACGAUAGCAUGUCCUAUCCGGAUGUGUUGUCCGGAUCAUUGACUAAAGUGAGCAAGCCUUGCUACGUCAUUCGGACAGCUUGCCACAUACCAUGUUCCGUCGCCAUCUGAUGGUGUGUCCGAACGCCUUGUCCGGACAUCUUUUGCUCCUUGCAUUCCGGAUUUGCUUAUGACAAAGGACUUCAAAGCUUCGGUUCUUCAUGUUUCUGAGCUUUCCAUUGCUUUGCCAUGGAUUCCAAAGAACUCUCCUUAAUCACGGAUUGCUUUGGUGAUCAAAAAGUUAUCAAAACACAAAAACUUAACAUAGUUUGAUUAGAAUUGAUUGCAAGGGUUCUUAAUAUGUUAAUUGGGUUAAAAGGUGAUAACUACUACUCAAAAGUGUUUAUAAGAAUUAAUUACAAGCUAUGAAAUAACACUUUUUGAGUAGUAAUCAGGAUACAUCCUAGUUUUUCAUGGAAUUGAUAGUGGGUUGUUGUGCAUGAAUGCCACCAUUUCAACUAUGCUGUUGUUAUUUUUAAAAAAAAUAUGGAUUAUGCGCGAGUGGCAAUUCUCCACUAUGGAAAGUGGAUUGCUCCUUCAACCCAUGCAUGGCUACGUAUUCCUAUGUCUUUCUACUUGUGUUUGAUCCUCCAAAAAAAAUUUCGGUUUAGUGCUAGUAGAUUUUAAGUGGUGGAUCCCCAUUUUUUGAAAAUGAAGUGGCAGCCUCCCAUUUCAAGACAAAAUGGUAGCCUGCCUUUAAUCUUUGGAGAAAAAUCUGUGCAUGACCUUUUUUUUUCCCAAAAAAUCCGUGCAUGGUGUCCUUUAAUAUUUGGAGAAAAAUCUAUGUUGGAUCUUUUCUUUUCUAGAAACAUUUGUGUGGUCUUUUUUGUUAGCCCAAGGGUUCUUCUAAUCAAGUUUUGAUGAUAACAAACCAUGGUUAAGUGACUAAUUGGUUUAAUGAUUAAGAAUCUCAAACAUAAAAUCGAAAAUUCAUCAAAGGACCAAAUGGAUACAAGAUCGAGACGCUUGGAAGACUUGUAAUCAUAGGAAACUAAUGUAAGAUGAAUGCAUGAGUGCACUUAGGAUUUUCACACGUUUCAUGCAACUUAGAAAACCCAGUUUAUUCUUUAAAACUUCAUCCCAGUUUAUUCUUUUUAUGGUUGUGUGUGCUUUCCUUGAUACGUGGCUUAUUUAUUAAGGAUACAUCCCAGUUUUUCAUGGAAUUGACAGUGGGUUGUUGUGUGUGAAUGCCACCAUUUCAACUGUGCUGUUGUUAUUUAAAAAAAAAAAAAAUGGAUUGUGCGCGAGUGGCAAUUCUCCACUAUGGAAAGUGGAUUGCUCCUUCAACCCAUGCAUGGCUACGUAUUCCUAUGUCUUUCUGCUUGUGUGUGAUCCUCCAAAAAAAAUUUUGGUUUAGUGCUAGUAGAUUUUAAGUGGUGGAUCCCCUUUUUUUGAAAACUAAGUGGCAGCCUCCCAUUUCAAAACGAAGUGGUAGCCUGCCUUUAGUCUUUGGAGAAAAAUCUGUGCAUGACUUUUUUUUUCCCAAAAAAUCCAUGCAUGGUGUCCUUUAAUAUUUGGAGAAAAAUCUAUGUGGGAUCUUUUAUUUUCUAGAAAAAUUUGUGUGGUCUUUUUUGUUAGCCCAAGGGUUCUCCUAAUCAGGUUUUGAUGAUAACAAAUCAUGGUUAAGUGACUAAUUGGUUUAAUGAUUAAGAAUCUCAAACAUAAACUCGAAAAUUCAUCAAAUGACCAAAUGGAUACAAGAUCGAGACGCUUGGAAGACUUGUGAUCAUAGGAAACUAAUGUAAGAUGAAUGCAUGAGUGCACUUAGGAUUUUCACACGUUUCAUGCAAUUUAGAAAACCCAGUUUAUUCUUUAAAACUUCAAUUUCAUUAAAACCCGAGUUUUUAACUAAUGUACCUUAGGCAAAAUGUUUUAUAAUUGGCUUAAUAAUUCACCUAAAUACAUUUUCUAAGUGUUAGAAAAGAAAGGAAUUAAAAAAAGGUUUUCGGGGCAAAAAAGGCUCAACCGGUCGAGGCUAUGGUCAACCGGCUCAACCGGUUGAGGAACCAAUCGAUCGGUUGUGCUUGUCCGAUCGAAGACCAAUCGAGGGAUGCCAAAAAAUUUCUCUCUCUCCUAGUGGCCUUCUCUUCCCGGUCGAGGUUCGGUCUAGGCAACGGUAACAUGUCAAGCAUUAAAUGCUCCGACGACUAGUGAAUCGGUCGACCCCUAGCCCGAUCGGACGAGGUUGCCUUUUGCUGUUUUUGACUCCCGAGCUUAGAAACCUAUAAAUUGAGAGCUCCACUUCAUUUAUUGAUAAAAGAGAACACUUGCAUUCAAUAGUCUACCUACCUUUUCUUGAUCAAAAAGCUCUCAUUUCCUUCAUAGUGCAUUAAAUCAUCACUUGCAUAUCCUUUAGUGCACUAUUGUGUGUCAUCCUAGCUUUGUUUUGUAUUUGAGCUAUCCUUAAGCUAGGUUGAGGGAUUAUUUCUUAUAAAAAUCUGAGUGUUAAAGCCUUCAAGAGAUUUGAAUCUUGAAGAGAUUGUGUAAGAGCCCAUUGGAGCCGGAGUCCAAGUGUAAGAAGAUUGGAAGCUUGGUUGAAGCUUCAAGUUAGUGGAACCCUCACUCGGUUAGGAGGUUGAGGAGAGUGGACGUAGGUAAGGAAGUGUCGAACCAUUAUAAACCCGAGUUUGAAUUCUCUAACUCUAUCUCUUUAUUUUGCUUAUAUUGUGUUUGAAUUUGUUGUGAUUGAAAAGAUUUUAAAAACCUAAUUCACCCUCCCCCCUUUUGGGUUUUUUUUUCUUAAUUAAGCAUAACCUUUGUUUUCUAAUUUUCUUUUUAGGAAAAUCCAUGCGUGGUAUGUCCAAACUCUCCAAGUGGCAGUCUGCCUUCUUCUAAAAAAUUUGUUUCUAUUUCUUUAUUCGACUACCUUCCAUGUCUUCCUAAUGAGUGCUUGUGCUCAAUGGUCAAUCCCUGGUGGUUGCCUCCUUUUCCCAUAUAUACGUGUUGCAAAAUCAACAUCCCACUAUAUGUGGGUUGCCUCUAUGGCAAGUUCACAUUUCCCACAUGAAACCUAUGAGUUUCCACCAAAAAUUGCCAUGAAAAAGUCUUUAUAUGCAUCUCAUGCAAUAAAAAGUCAAGCCAAUACUCAUCUUAUCUCGAAAAAUAAGUAACCAAAAUCAAGAUCAUGCCUAAGUGAACUAUGCCAAAAGAAGUGUCCAAGUGACCUAUUAUGAAAAAAGUGCCUAAGUGACCUAAGGUGAAUGUGUGUAAGCUGGAAGGUGUCUAGGAUGUUUAGGACAAUGCCUAAGCCUAAAAUAGGGUUGCCAAGGGUCACAAUGGGGUUAGAUAAAUCUCUCAAUCAGAGUCUCCAAGGUGGCUCAUAAAAGAUAAGCUACACGAGUAAUGAUGGGCCACCAGGGAAUUAUUGUAAAGCACCAAACGAACACAUAAUAGGACAUGUGUUAGAAUGAAAAAAUGGAGGGUUUACAAGUGGUCUCAUGGAUGAGCUUGAUAAUUUAAAUGACUCACAUAAUGAACGUAUGUGAUGUUUCUCUCCAAUAACAAGCAAAACAUCACUAGCAAUAUGAUGAAUGUCUCCUAAAUCACUUGAAGUAGUCCUAGCAAAUCAAUUAGAAAAAUCACACAUAUUGCUCUAAUGUAAUAUUAUAUACAUCUGUCAAUGAAUGGGAGAACUAAUGACACAACCAUCAUGUUGAUAUCUCGAACCCUCUAAUCUCAUAUGUAGGUGGGAUCACACUUAGAAACUCAUAACACAGUAAUGACCAAUCUAAGUCAAAAUGUGUUGGUGAUCGGAGGCCCAUGAAUAUGAAGUUCUAGGAUGAUAAUGACAUCUUAUAAAGUAAUGAUCAUCUCCUUAAUAGAUAGGUGAAAUGUGUGUGUCUUAGGACACCAUCUCUCAACAAGACUUGUGAUCAAUCCCCAGUCUAGUGUAACAUGCCUAUUAUGACAUCCAUCGUAAAAUCUAGACUAGAUAAUAUAAGGACAAAUGUGAGGGUUCAUCUCCCUUUCCCACAUAAAUUUAAAAAAUUAUUAUUGACAAGUUAAGACCAAACUAAGUUGCAAAAUAUAAAUAAGUCCAUUAGAUAACAAAUUUAUGUUUUCUCAUUUUCUCAUUUUUAAAGAGAUAUUAUGUGCUUCCAUGUACAUACAUGCUAAAGUCAAUUAUACGAGACUUAUAUCCAUCUUGUAGAACCAAAUCGAACCUAUCUAAUAGAUCCAGAUUAGAAGUAUGUCCUCUAUACUCCAUAUUUAUAACACAUUUAUAAAGAUAAAUGCUAAAAAAAUGUUAAAGAUAUAAAUUUAAUGAACCAUACUUUAUGAUUUUAAUUCUCAAUUAUUGUUCAUAUUUAUAAGAGAAAAGUUAAAAAAAUUGAUAGAGUUUUCCCUCUAUCAUGGACAUUAUCCCAAAUAAAAAUAAAUUGAUUAUGCAAAUUACAUUAAUAUUUGUAACCAAAUGAUCAAUAACUAUCUUGUAUCAAUUUAGUAAAUAAAUUUAAGUAUAUCUUUUCAUUUAUGACUAACAAAUAACUCAUACUUGUCCAAUAAAAGCCACACCUAAUUUCUAAAAUUUUGUCUUCACCUCAAGUGAGUGUUACAUUGAGAAAGAAAAAAUAUGAAAGAAAAAAUGAACACCUUUUUCUUUUAAUAAAAAAAGGCCAUAACGAAACAUUAAAUCUCACUGUUACACCUAUCUUCAAUGGAAACAUGAGGAUGUGAAUGGUGGCGGUGAUAUUCUUUGCUUGAAGCUCAUAAACAAAUAUUCCUUACUAAGCCUAUGCCAUUUAGUAUUUCAAUAGUGGACCCCCCCCCCCCCCCCCCCCCCCUCCUUGCAUUUCAGAUUUAGCAAACUUAGAACCAAAUAACAAAGUGCAUUUGAACCCAUAAAGAAGUAAUGAGACUCUCCUAUAUUGGCAAUAGAAGAAAUUUUUGGAGGUAUAGGAGAUUCACGGAUGAAGAAGUUGGGCCCCAAUUGAGAUAAGACCCAAGAAAAGAUGGGGUAGAGAGGGAUGGUUGGAAAUUGUAAAGUAAGAUUUUCAAAAUGUAGUUGAUGACUAAGAUUUUGACAAUUUAAAAAAGGUUUAAAAAUGUAGUUAGCAAUCGGGGUUUUGUAACAUUUAAAAAAUAAAAUAAAAUCUCAGGCCACAUGGUAGCCCAUGUGAUUCAGAAGCUUGAGAAUUAUUUUAUAAGAAGACUUAAUUUGUGAUUUUUUUAUAACUAUAUUAUUUUUUUUCUUAACACACGAAAAAAAUUAUGAAAUAAGACAAUUUUCCUAAGAAAGCAUGUAAGUGACUCUUGGUUAUUUUAUUUAACUUCUUCUAGUUUGGAGAGGAUUAAUACCUUUGCUUUUACUCACUUGCUUGGAUAUGUACACGUUGUUCAUGUCACUUUUCAUUUAAUUUUCUGAUUAAGGGAAUUGGAACCGUACGUAACUGUCUUUAUUCCCUCUGAAACUUGGACUUGGAGUUGGACUUUCAAUCUCAUCAGUCGUGUUUCCAUAAAAAAGAAGAUGGAUUAACCAAUUUUCCUAUGCCUACUAAUCAUACACAAAACUCCACUUCCAAAUAAAAAGGAAUGGGAUAUCACUUGUUAAUAGUGGCUAAAGACUAUUAAUAACCAUGCAAAGAAAUGUCACAUUUUUUGUUCUACGCAAAUUUUAUUCAUCAACUACUAGAACCAUUUCAUACAAUAGUAGCUUUUCGAUCCUUUGAUAAAUGGACACUUGAUGUGAUAACACCAACUACACCUAUAUAUUCAAGCAAUCAUGCGUAUAUAAUAGUGGAUAUGGAUUACUUCUCUAAAUGGGCAAAAGUUUUGUCAUUCAAGGAAAGUGAACGAGGAAACACAAGUUUACUUUCAUCGGAACUAAUAUUAUAUAUUGAUAUGACUUCCCAUUAUUACUUACGAUGGAAUAUGCUUCCAUAAAAUGGCCUAGAUGAACAAACUAUCCAAGAAGUUUGGGAUCAAAUAAUAUAUAUAUAGUUCAUGUGUGAUUCUUUGGUUGACAACCUUGUUAAGGGGUGAGUGAAGCACUUUGGGCAUACCACAUACUACAUGCUAGACUUCCACCCAAGCUACCCUAUAUUCCUUAUGAACAAAGUAGAAGUUGUCAUCUCUCUUGAAUACCAAAUCCUUUCACCUAAUAAUGCUAUCUAAAAAGGUCUUAAAAAGGAUAAAAAUGCGCAUAUUUGAAUUUUUGAAUUAGGAGUGCUACUUAAAAAGAAGCUAGAUAUACAAUAAUAGAAUGUUAUCAAGCAUAUCUCUUCAAAGUUUUUGACCAAAAAAUAUAUGAUUUCUCAUUUUAGGUAGGAGACUUAGUACUCACUAUUCAAAAACCAAUUAUCAUUACUCAUAAAAACUAAUAGAAAGUUUGGGCCAAAGUAGGAUGGACCUUAUAUUAUGCAACAAUUAUGCCUAUAAAAUUGUUGCAAAAGAGGUUUUAGAAUCAAAUCAAUGAAUGAAAAAUUAUUAAAGCAUUACUAUGCUUGAAGGCUAGUCAUUUUCCCUUAAAGUGCAAUAUUAAGUUGCAUAGUACUAUGUGGAUCCGCAUUUUUCACAUGCGUUCCCACUCAUUGUCGAGACUCACUUUUUAGAAGUGAAAAAUUAGUUUUAUUAAAGUCGAAGUUGCCACUGGGGAUUUGAACCCUAACAAAAGGUUCAAUUUAAGGAUAAAAAUAUCGAUAAUCACAUAUAUAUAUAUUGGUACUUUGAUUUUAUGAAUAUAUUGAAGAAAUAUGGACAAAUAUUUUGACACAAAAUAUGUACAAAAUAAAAAUUAUAUAAAAAGUAAAAAUAAAUAUUUUAAAAUUAUUUUUUUAAAUAUAUAUAUAUAUAAUUUGACAUAUUUGAUAAUAAUAUAUAAGGGUCUCCAAAAAGCCCGUGGCCCGCUUUAGGCCCGGUCCGACCCGACAGGCUAAAGCCCGGCCCAAGCCCGCCGGGCCCAAGCUCGGCCCGAGCCCGUUUAUGGGUGGGCCGGGCCGCGAGCCCGUAGGCCUGCUCCUUUAAAAAAAAACUACAAAAAUAAAAAGUAUUAAAAAAAAUAUUCAUUUCAAAAUUUUAUUCAUUGAAUGUAUAAUUACAUUUGAAAAUGUGGGAAAAGUUUACAUCACUACAAAAUAAAUACAUCCCAACUAGGUUGGCACCUAUUUAUUUGUCAAUCAUCUGUAUUUUUCAACCACAAAAAAUAAAAAUAAAAAUAUAAUAUACAUUUAGUCAUUAUUUUCUGGCGGUGAUGGCGAACUAUCAUGCAUCCAUGAAGAUCUUGAUAAUUUUAAAGAUUCCAUAUCGGUAAGCAUCUUUGUUUCUCGAAUGGAAUCAUACAUCCUUUUAUCUGCUAUUUCCCAAUCUUUCACACAUAUCCCUGCUUUAAUAACAUCUGACGCUAAGUUGCAUCGUUUUUUACUAACUACUCUUCCACCUGCACUAAAAGCAGCUUCUGAUGCAACUGUACUCACAGGAACUGUUAGUACAUCACGAGCAAUUAUAGAAAGCACAGGAUAUUUGUGUUGAUGUGAUUUCCACCAUAUUAAAAUAUUAAAAUCUUCUUGAUCUUCAAAUGAAAUUAUAUCAGUAUUAAGAUAUUUAUCUAAAUCAGAUGUAUUAUUUGGAGAAUUAUUUGUUGUCUUUUUUCGACUUUUCAACAUUUCUAGAGCUCCUUUAUAAAAAGAUGAGGAGUUUGUAGAUGUAGGUGGUAAUUUAAUAGUAUUAAUAUCAUUACCAUAUUUUUCUUUAUAAUAGUUAUAUAAAUUAUAUAAUAAUGAAUUUAUUUCAUUUUUAAUUUCUUCAAUUUUUAUUUGGUCAUUAAAAUAAAUAAUUGUUAACCAUUCAUCCAAAGCUUCAAAUUUCAAUCUAGGGUCCACAAUUAAAGCAAUAUAAAAAAUUAAAGGUAUUUCUCCCCAAUAUUUUCUAAAUUUUUAUAUCAUUACAAAUAUUGUAUCAUUAAAUAUUUCAAAACUUAAAUAUUUUUGAAGUACAAUAAAAAUAUUAGUUAUUUGCGUAAUAACUCGAUUUGAAGUUGGAUAAUAUACACCACAAAAAAUGUUUGUUGAAGUAUCAAAAAUUUCAAAAAGAUCUCUUAAAACAUCCGCAAUAUGCCAAUCAUAAUCAUUUAAUGCAUAAAUAUCUGCUUCAUAAUCAUUGUUAAUUAAUUGUAUUUCAUAUAAUUCGACUACUUUUCUAUAUUUUGUAAUAUUUUCUAAAAGUUUAUAUGUGGAAUUCCAUCUAAUAGCCAUAUCCAAAUUUAUAUUUUUUCUUUUCAUAUUUAACAUUUUGCAACAAUCAAAAAAUAAUUCAUGUUUUGCUUGAAAACUAUUAAUACUAUAUGCAAUGCCUCUAAUUUUUUUCCAAUGUACUAUCAACAUUUUUUAAUCCAUCCUUUACAAUUAAAUUUAAAAUAUGUGCACAACAACGCACAUGAAAUAUUUUAGCAUGAUCUUCUUUUACUUGCCAAUAUCGUUUUAGUCUAUGUAUUGCUGCAUCAUUAUUAGCAGCAUUAUCUAAUGUUAUUGUCAAUAUUUUAUCACGAAUGCCUAAAUCUAUAAUUUCAUCAUUUAUUAAAGAUGCUAUAUUUUUACCACUAUGUGGAGUAUUUAUUAAUUUAAAUAAAAUUAUUCUUUUAUUUAAUUUCCAUUCAUUAUCAAUGUAGUGAACAAUUAUAUAUAAAAAACCAGUAUGAGUUAAAGAUGUCCAAAUGUCAGAUGUUAAACGAAUAUUUCCUUCAAAAUUUGCAAAAUUUUUUUUUAAAAUUUCUUUUUGUGUAUAAAUUUUUUUCAUAAUAUCUCUUUUAACUGUAUUUCCAGAUCAACCUUUAAAUUGAGGAUUAAUACCUCGUUGAAUUGUUCUUGCAAAAUCAUGAGUUUCCAUCAUGUUGAAAGGUUGUUCUGCUCUUAUUAUAUAAUCAAUCAUUUCUUCACAACAGUUAGAUUCAUCAUAAGAAAAUGUUUUUAAAUUUCCACUUUCAUUUUUACUUAAUUGCAUAUAAUUUCUAAUAUCUACAUUAUUUUUAGUUUUACAAUUUUCAUGAUGUCUUUUUAAAUGACUUGUAUCUGCAUUUGAGCCACCAGUAAGAAAUUUAUUACAAAUUUUACAUUUUGCUUUUAUUUUUUUUUUAUUAUUUUCUAAAAUUAUUUCUAUUCUAUCAAAAAAAUUCCAUAUAUUUAAAGUAAAUUUUUUGUUUGAUGAUAUUUCAUCACAUGGACUAGACGAAGAAGCACUUGUCAUAUUAUAAUUAUUGAUAAAAUAUUAUGCCAAAAAUAAUAAAGUAAUAAAUAUAAAAAAAAAUGUAACAAAAAAAAUAAAGUAGUAGGGGUGAAGUAUGUUACUCAAUUAGAGAACCUAUGCAGAAAUUCCUAGCAAAUUUGAACUCUUGGAGCCACCAAUGCUUGUUUUGCACCAUCAACAAUAUUGUAUAAUUUGAGGGAAAAAUAAAAGAAUUUAAAAUAUUGUAGAAUGUGAGAGAAAUAGAGAGAAUUUGAUGAAAAAAUGAAAAGGAAGAAAAUGUAUUUAUAGGAAGGUUAAAAAUAAUAAUAAUAAUAAUAAUAAUAAUAAUAAUAAUAAUAAUAAUAAUAAUAAUAAUAAUAAUUGGCCAUGUGACCGUUGGAGGCUUAGCUCCAACGGUCACAUGGGCUGGAGCUAGGCUCCAACAGUCACAUGACCGUUGGAGCCUUUAAUUUUUUUUUUUAAAAUAAUAUACUUUAUUUUUAUAUAUAUAUAACUAACUCAAUUAAUAAACAUAAAAAGAAUAUAGUUCAGUUGGUUAGAACCUUGAAGUUUAAACAUGAGGGGAGGGGUUUGAAUCCCUCCCUCUCCCUUAGGGGCUUUUUUAAAAGCCAUUUUGGCUUAUUUCAAAAAGCCUGUCGGCCCGACCCGCCCUGCAGCCCGCGGGCCUAGCAUUUUAGCAUGGCCUGGUCUGUUGACUAGUCAAAUGGCUCAUAGGCUCGGCCCGAACUGGGCCGCGGGCCUCUUAUUUACGGACCGGCCCGACCCGGCCCGCCCGUUGGAGACCCUUGAUAAUAUCUUCUAUAUUAAGUUACAUUAUAGUUUAUUUUACAAUAUUAUUAUGAUAAUAUGUCUAAUUUUAAAAUAUAUUUAAUAUUAAAAUUAUGAUCUAUUUUAAUUUAAAUGUAUUCAAUGAUAUCAAAUAAAUAAUAAUAUAUGUAUAAUUCUUUUAUUAUUUAUAUUUAUUAUUUUUAAUAAAUAUAUAGAUUAUAUAAAAAAGACCGGAUAUAUCUUUUCAAAUUUUGUAUCGCUCUCCAAGGAUAUUAGAUGUAUGGGAAUUUGUAUUGCUAUCUACGGAUACGUUGAUAUAUGGGUGAUUUAUCAGGAUAAUUAGAAAUUCUAAUUAUGUAAGCAGGUACGGAGUUCUGUGUCGGUGCGAUCUUGUCGACAACAGCUCCAAAUUGUGCAUCUUGCUCAUAGAGAGUAGCGGAAUGCACCAAUCGUAGGCUCAGAGUACCACUGAGUCGUCUGGCAGAGACCCAACUGAAGGUGCCUGUGUUGUUCCUGAUCUGAUCAGGCUUCAAACUACAAGGUGGAAUACUGGUUCCCCUAUAUCAGAAGCUGGAGAUACCCACCCCAUAUGCUCGUCUGGAUGUGCUCCUACCCUUUGAAGCCUUCUUCCGAGUCAAGUCCGAAUUGAUAAGGCUAGUGAGUUCCCAACCAACUGUACUCAGCAUGCUGCCAGGUGGAGACCCUCCAUAUUUGAUGGCUUCCUAAUAUUAAAAUGCUGACCACUGGUCUUCAUGUUCCACAGGCUUAAUUGUGUCCUUUGCUGAAAGAAUGGAUAGUGAUCCAUUUUAACACAUGAUUCACGCCGUCUUUGCCAUUCUUCAUGGUCUAGCCCUUUUAUAUAUAUGCUUCCUGAACUGUUGCUAUUAAUAAAAUGUGGUAUCUAUCCCGUACACCUUCCUGAUGGCCAGCGAAUGCAGAAGCUACAGAAACGGUUCCAUCUUUUGCUUCCGCCACUUUGGCAUCCUCCAUGAUGAGAUCGAAGGUGAAUAAUCAUAUUCUGGGGAUUUAUGUCCUGGAUAUUCUCAGUAAUGCCCAAUUUCCUGGUGCCGGCCUCAUUUCCAUGGGAACUGAUGGAUAACUUAAGGCUUCUACCAUCUGCGUGGUUCGCUUCUAACACAGGAAACUUCACGGCUAAAAGCAAGAUACCAAGAACAUCAAGGCUGUGACAAAAAUUAGUAUUUUUAACUUGUAGGAAUUUGAAAGGCAACCAACCAUCUAGCUCUGUUCUUAAAGCUCCCAUAGGAGGAUCAGAGGCUGGAUUGCUCAAGAUGAACUCAUCCAUUGUUGCACUUAAAAAGAAUUGGCAUGAAUUGUGGCCGCUCUAAUAGGUUCCCUAAACCAUCAUCCAAGUGGGCUUGCGGAAGGUAGCGAGUUUAAAACACCUAGGGCGAUGAACAGUGGACUGUGAUGCUCACAAAAGAGAAAAGGAAGAAUUCAAUAAUUCCUAAGAAUCCAUUUGCCUGUCAUCCAAAUUUUUAUAUUCUCUUCAGUCUGACGCGUUAUGCCAUAUAUUAAAAAUAGCGGCUUCUUCCAAGCCGAGACAGACUGUGCAAAGUUCGCAAGGCCAAUCAUCACCAUAAUCUGAAGUUGGCCUCCUCAAUCGCAGCUUGUAUCCGAAUGCUCACUUCACGGGAUGGAUUGUAAUGAAAACUAAUCUCAGUCCCAGCUAUGGCAGCAUCCUCACUUGACAGCAUUUUCUGCAUAUUCUAGAACAAAGCAAUAAACCCUCAAAGGCUCCUUCGGAUCAGAGUUAGAAGACUGUCCCUCAGGAACGUGAACACUAUGGUGGUUCUGAUAAGCAGUGAUAUUGCAUUAGAGCCUUUUGGAACAAGAGGAUCUUUUCAGGUGGAAACUGUAAACUGCUUCAUGUUGGGCUGCAACCUUUUCUUCAAGCAAUACUUUCUUUCUGUAUCACGACUUAUGUUGCUUCCGGAGCCAUCCCGUGUGGACUGCCCUUCAGUGAAAGAAUAUGUGUGUUGACAUGUUGGAUUGUAAUCUUUGUUCCACUCUAAUGGCUUUUGGUCCUCCUCUUUCUCUUUAUGACAGAGAACCAUUUAGUGAUCCAUCUCUAUAUUGUAGCAUUGCUGGUGCUUUGCAAUACUACACUCUCACCAAGCAUAACAUCUAUUUUUCCGUGACCAAAGUAUGUCGGUUUAUGCAUGCGCAAACUCUUAUUCAUUGGCAAGUUGUCAAGCGUAUCUCAUGAUUUCCCAAAGCCACAAGUUCUUAUGGUCUUUCUGUUCAAGCUUACAAUGAUCUAUCUUUUCUUGGUUAUACUGAUGUCGAUUGGGCUAGUUGCCCUGAUAACAAGCACAAUACUAGUGGGUACAACACUUUUCCUGGUCCUAAUCUCAUUUCAUGGGCAUUUUCAAAGCAGAAGGUUGUGUCUCACUCCAAUAACGAAUCUGAAUAUAGGGGACUCACUAAUUAAUGUUGUUGCCAAGGUCACUUGGAUUGAAUCUGUCUUACGUGAGUUGCGUGUUUCUCUACCCCAACCACCAAUUUUGUUGUGUGACAACAUUAGUGCUACACACUUGGACAAACCAUGUUGAAAUACACUAUCAUUUUAUCCAUGAAAGGCUUAUGCAUCACACACUCAAAAUUCAAUACACCUCUUCUAUAGACCAACUAGUCAAUGCUAUGACCAAAGCUCUUCCUUCAUCUCACUUGUACAAUCUUCAGUGCAAGCUGAUUGUUCUUCCCAAACCACUCAACUUGAGGGGAGAUGUUAAGCCAAUUUAAUAAAUUGAUUUCUUUUGGUUAAUUUGUUAGAAUCAUUUUUAUUAGAGGUUUGUUUGUACAAUUACAUCCAUUUAUCAGGAGAGUACACGUGUACAACUCCUCUUUUAAUCUCACCAUUGUAUAUAUAUGAUACACGACCUUACUCAGAAUUGCAUAACAUUUCCUCUGCUCAUUCCUUUUCUUCUUUGAAUUUUCCCUUACCUCACUGAUUUUGAUUUAUACCUGGUGUUUUCACCUUUGGUCUCUACCUUUCUAGCCAGUUUUCUAAUUAAUCCGUAUAUGGUAUACCUGUCAACUAAUGAGGAGAAAGAGAAAAGGGGAUUGCUGUUCCACCAGCUACAUAUAAUAAUUAAUUACAAUCAUGGUAAUGGAUCCUGAAAUCCAUCCUUUGUGGAUUUUGUACGGAAUAUUGUUGUUAUGUAUGUGGGCUCACUUAGAUGUAUAUUGCUAGCCUGUCUGGGAAAUGUGAUUGCAGGUCCAGAUUAUGAUGUUGAUAUUAGUGGGAUAAGCAAGAGAUGCAGUUAACACGUAUGUGAUGGACUUGAGUAACUUUUCCAUUUCAGUCCAUUUUUUAAGAUUAUGCUUAGUCUUAUUACAAGGAAAGACCAUAAGAAUCAUGAGUCAUUGGCAAGGUAAUAUCAUUCCCUCUUUACAGGCUUCUUCACCUUUUGGUUUUUUUAAUAUCCAUCAAGAUCUUUUAAUUGGAGGACAAUUACAAGUAUAUAUAUAUGUAUUAAAAGGGGAAAAUAUUAAAACAGGAAAUUUUAGGGAAAAUAUAAUAAUUAUUUCUUCCUUCUUUCCCAUAUAGAACUACACAAAAUAAAACUUUAAUAAUUUUUUCUUAUCUUUUUUAUUAUUAUUUUUUCUUAGAAACAUCCGUGGUCUCACAAGCUUGUAAUCCUAGAUUGUUAGGCUCCUUUAACAGUGCCCCAACAUCGUGGUCCAAUGACAAGCUUCCACGCCUUAAAAUCAGAAAAUGCCAUUAAACUUUAUCAGACAUUACAGUUCAAGACAAAGCUUUCAUUUGCUUAAUGUGAUAAUGAAAUUGUUAAUUUCAUUUCGUGGGCAUCUAAAUUUGGACGAGCAAGACCUCUGAAUUCCCUGUUUUUAUCACCAGCAGAGGAGAUAAAAUCUUAAUGGUGAGAAUCUCCACGUGAAAUUUAUGUGUACUGUCAACAUAUUUUUGUUUAUAUAGUCCAGUAGCUGCAGGAAGUCUAGAUUAUAUAGGUAGCAGUAGCACUAUUUAUAGCACUCGAUAUUCGCUGUAUGAAUACAUUAAACCUUGUUUUCAAUACGCAUCACAAGCAAGUACUAGAUACUACAAGGAGUGACAGUCGCAUCAACAUUUCUUGAUAAUAGCAGUGACUGAUUUAUACACAGAACAGUACUGUACACGUACCAGUCACCAGAGAUAGGAUCUUAUUCCUACAUACGACUCUUAUUGAUCGAAGUCACUCAGUUGGGGUAGCCUGGAGUUGGAGGUUUGUGUGGUGGCUUCUUCUUUGGAGGAGGCUUUAUCUUUGGAGGCAUCAUCUUUGGAGGCAUCUUGUGUGAGUCUUCUUCAGCAUUCUCUACAGGAGGAUGGCCAGGCUUAUGACCCUUAGGUGGUUUGCCAACUGGGAUUGGUGGCUUGUGUCCUGAGAGUGGCUCCUCUUCUUCGGGAGGUUUGCCAACUGACGUUGGUGGCCCGUGUCCUGGGGGUGGCUUGUGUUUUGGGGGUGGUUUCACUCCACCGGGAGGUUUACCAAUUGGUGUUGGUGGUUUGUGCUCAAUCGGUGGCCUCUCAACUGGGGGGCGCUUGGGGUAAUCAGCGAGUGAAGAAGUGGUGAGAACCACCACUCCAAGCAACAACACUAGCAAGUAUGUGGAAGACAUCUUUGAGUUUGGCUCAGAUGGUGUAGAACUAGAAUCCUGGGUGGCCUUUUAUAUUAGUUGGGCCCUAUGCCCGAACGACAAGUGUCAUGGUGACACAUAAAGUGAUGGGGUCGAUUUGGGCCUACCGGAUUUGAAAACUUGGACAAUUCGAGAAGCGUCUCCUGACUCCGGGUUGUAAAGUGAAAGAUUAGGUAUCGACCAUUGAAGUAUGAUCACAACUUUUGGCCUUUGGCUCUCUCUACUGCCGUAUAGCUUUUUUCCUUUGGAUAUUUUUCUUAGCUAGACACAAUUAUUGAGCAGUCUAAUCUCGAAAUGGGAUUAGUAUAGCUUUAAGCAAAUUUAUUAUAGUUAGUGGAGGACUUUUAAGAGUGCAGACGACAUUUAACACAUGCAUGCAGUAGUAUAGGGGACAUAACACUAUUCUUUUUCCAAAGAUUCACAUGAUUUUUAUAUUAUAGUAUUGGCACAUUGUAUGUAGCUGGUUUUGUGGUUAAAAUUCCAUAUGUAGACACUGGCGUUUCUCCAUUUCUCACAAUUGAUGUUUACCUCCACGAUUACUAGAUUAGAUAUACCAAACAAUAACACAUUGUAUAAUCUAUCCGCCCUUCAAAAUCUACUGUAUGAUGAAAUGUUUCAUGUGUGUGUGAAGUGUUAGAAAUGCACUAUAGGCAACAUCAUCUUCUUUUGUCUAGGCUUGGGCCUCAAAUUAUACUCCCAUGCCAUGAUAAAUUUUCAUGUGCAUUCUCUAAAGAAGAGUGUCUUGAAUGUGCCAAAUCAUUUUGAUUGAUUUUAUGAUGUUAAUUGCUCCGCAUAUGGAUGGGUAUGUGCUUUAUUUGCUUAUUCAAUCCACAAUUACCUUGAACUGAAGUCCUAUUGGAGCUCUAUUAUUUUAGCAACGUCCUGUCAAAUAGGCUGCUAACUUGGGGUGGUAUGGACCCAAUGAUCCAUCUUAAUCUUGGGUUGAUUUUGUCUGACUCUAUCUAUCUCAGAGAGAACCAGGAUCACCAGUGCUGGUCUGCUUAAAGAAGACUCAGUACUGGAUUAAUAUUGGUUUGGGUCAAUAGCUUAUAAUGCAUUGAAUGCAGAAUAAACAAGAUCAAUGAAACCCAAAACACACUGCCCACACAACUUCACUCUGGUGUCUGUUAUUCAUCAAUUCUAUUCCCACAUGAACUGGUUCAAGUUUAAGAAAAUGACAACGGAUCCACUGUAUUAACUUGGUUUUGCUUGGUUUUGAGCUAGUUGCCAAACCAGCCAUGAGUUUUACCUCUAAUGUCAAUGAACAAACCCCAAAUGAACAACUGCAACAGCUUAAAGAGAAGGAAUGGAGAUGAAAAUCCCUGUUUCUUCUCAUUCUGGGGACAAAUUAGAACAUAACUACAAAGGUUCUAUUAAUUGACUUACUCUACCAUGAAUUAUGGUUCUUUGGUUUUCCAAAUUUAAAUUGUACAUGAGAUUAUUUUUUUCCUUUAUAUAUAAACAUAUUAAGGUUUUCUUAUUUCGUGGGCAAAUGCGCUAAGGAUGAAAGUCAUUUCAUUUGGCUGCAACAGCAUCUUAUAAUCAACAUGCAUAAGCAGCAGUUUUAAUUGAUCGAUUGAACACCGACUCACAAGAAUAGAUAGAAUGGUACAAGACAGCUCUUAUUAAUUUAUACUCGUUACUCAUUUUAUGUAGCCCCAUUAAGAUGGCUGGCUGGACCACCGAGGUCUGGGGGUGGUGUUGCUUGUGUGAUGCAGCGGGCCGGGCAGACACUUCUCUAGUUGCUUCUAUUUGGAGUUAGAGGAUCAGUCUCUGCCAACCUUGAGGACUCUCUACCUCAGAGGGUCCAGGUGGUGGACUCUGGUGUCGGUAGCUUUGAACUCUCAGUAGACUAGUGUGUCUUAAUCAGUCACUGCCAGAGGCUGGCGUAGGCAGUGACGAUAAGGUGAGACAAAUUACCGAAUAGUCAAUAUCGACUGCACUUGACCAUUAUAGAUUUGUUCUGACAAAAGUGAGAAAAGGGAGAAAAUCGGAUGUUGACCUUUAUAGAAAAAGAUAAGAUUUACUGCAACACAGAGCACUGAUUUGUUACUUGGAAACCAAGUUAUGCUAUUAGCUAGCCUCCAUUAGCAGCAGGGUACCUUGCUGCCUGAUCCUAAUCUGAGUUCCCAAGGUUUCAAUCUUCGUUUGUUAACGCUUCAGGAUUUGGAUAUUUCAGCUUCGUUUCUCCAUUUAGCCAACGCUGCCUGGUUUGGAUUUCAAUCCUCAUCUGGAACAUUCUUUUUUCGGUCUGAUUCAGGAAGUGUUUGGUGAUAGUUGAUUAAAAUUAAACAGUACUAUCAUACAAAUAAAGCUGAUCUAAUUUUGGUGGGCAAUAUACCAACUCAUUUAUUCUUGAAAACACCAUGGGGAAUUGGAGGUCCAUCCGAAGUACUAUUUGAUGGGACUCACAAAAAGAACAGGUGCACAUUUAUGAGAUCCGUGGAAGAGAUAACUAUGACAGCUAUGCAUGUACAACAGAUUUAUGUCGAGUUCACCUCGUAGAUAUUUUGUUUUCAGUGUCGGUGGACCCCAAAAUGGAAAUCGGAAAUUAAGGUUAUAUUUAUUUUUUUAUUUAAUUUUAAAUAGAAUUUUAAUUUUUAAUAAUAUUAAGUAUUAAAUUAUUUUUUUAAGGGUAUUUUAUUUUUAUUAAGUAUUAAAAAGUAAAAAAAAUUAAUAUGUUGCUUUUUUAUUUUAAAAAAAUUAUAUAUUUUAAUUUUUUCUAUUUACUAAAAAGUUUAUAAUAAAUUAUAAAAAAAUAAAAAAAUAAAAAACUUAAAUUCUGAAAAUAAAUUAUUUUUAAUAAAAAAAUCCAAAAAAGCAAACACCACCUAAAUUUGAGAUGACUCAAAAUUUUAUAUUUUUUUUCACCUAAAUUAUAUUCAUAAAUUUAAAAUUAAAAAAUUAGGAAGUUGAAUUUUAUUUUGGAUAAUUGGAAACUACAAGAAAUCAAUAAAAAUAUUUGGAAAAAAAAGAAAAAGAAAAACUAUCUAUAUAUUCACCCCCUUCUAAGAAACAUAACUUUAGUUUUUAACUAUUUUUUAAAAUAAUUUUUGAAAAAUGUUAUAUAAUAUUUUAUAAAACAAAAAAUCUGUUUGACAAUUUGAUAUGUCUUUAACUUAUUUUUAAUAUUUAUAUAUAUAUAUUUUAAAAAUAAUUUUAUAUUUAGAACUUUAUCUUUAAUUAUUAUAUAUAUUUAUAUAAUUAUUUUUUUUAAAACAACUCUUAAAAAAUAAGUGAAAGUAAUUGAAAACAACUCAAAGAUAUUUGAUGAAAACACUCUAAUUUGUAUUUUUGAGAAUAAAAAAAUAAAUAAAUAAAUUUCUAGUUAUCAAAUGUAUUUUUUAAUUCUUUUAUUCUAAAAAAUAGAAAAUCGUUUUUGAAAAUAAUUAUUAAACAACAUUCUUAAAAAUUCACUCGUUACAAUCUAGAUUUAAUGCAAGAAUGAUUGAAGGAGUCCUCCAAUAGAACCCAAAGUUAUAAACAUGAACAAGAAGCCCUAGAAACACCAAAGAUCUCAUAUGGUAUAUAUAUGAGCUUGAUUGAGAACUGUUUUAAAUUCAGUUUUUUUUUUUUUUUUUUUUUUUUGUUUUCAAAGUCAAAACAAGUUUACUUUUAAUUUUUACUUCUUUUUUUUAAUUUUAUAAAUAACAGUUUUUUAAUAAUUUAUUUUGAAAACAUGAUUAUUUUUAAAACUUAUAAUGAAAAUAGGAAUUUUUUUUUUAAUAUCAUGGUUAUUUUCCCUUCUUUUAAGGAGGGCUAUUUUAAAAAUAAAUUUACAAAUAUGAAAAAUGAUUCAAACUAAAGCAGUACAAAUAAAAAACAUUUUUAAGAAAUAUUUAAAAAUAGAGAAAAUUAUUUGAGAACAUUUGAAGUCCUUAAAUAGACUUUUGUUUUAGAAAAGGCAAGAUAAUUAUUUUUGAAAAUUGUUUUCAUAAUGAUAUGCAAAAACCUACGUAAAAACCAUAAUUAUAAUCGGCCACAUAUCAAAUCUACUAAAUAUGAAAAGUAAGUACAUAAUUAUAUUUGACUUAGAUGCAAGGAGGAAAAUGUCGCGAUAUUAUCGCCGAAAUAUCGUGUGUCGAAGGGUAUCGACACGAUUUUUCUUGCAGAAAUAUCGGCCAGUCGAUUUUUCGGGAUAAAUCUCGAGAAAUCGGCAAUUUAUCGCGAUAUAUCGGCGAUUUUUCCUCGAUAUAUCUUCUGGUCAACGCGGGUCAACGGAGUCAACACGCUACAGUGAAAGUCAAAUGUGCUACAAUGUCCCCGCUACAAUCACCUCCCCAAACAAAUUGCCAAAUUGCUUCCGAGGGGAUUUGAACCAGCCUUCUUGCCAUUUGGGCUAACUCGCCCUUAUGAUAUAUAUUGCAUUAAACAUAUAUAUACUUAAAGUCCUUAUAUAAAGAAAAUGUUAAAAAAAUAUUUUAAAGAGCAAAUUAAUUAUAAUUAUUUUAUAAUUAAAAGCAAAAUUUUCUUUUAAUUAAUUACCAAAAAUAUAAAAAUUAUAUAAUUUUCUUCAUAAUGUUUUUAAUAUCAUUAAUAAUUAAUUAAAUAUUAAAAAAUUAUAUAUAUAUAUAUAUAUAUAUAUAUAUAUAUUAUAAUUUAUUUUAUAUUGUUUAAUACAAUUGAAUUAAAUGGAUCAUAUUUUAAUAUUAAUAUAUAUUUUAAAAUUAGACAUAUUGUAAUCAAAUAUCAUAAUAUUAUAUGUAAUUUAAUAAUAAAUGUACACUUAUAAAAUUCAUAUUUUUAUCGAUGCAUACAAUAUUAUUAUCAAAUAUGAUAAAUCAUGUUAUACAUAUAUCAAAAUUUUCAAUAAAAUAACUUUAAAAUGUCUAUUAUACUUCUAAUUAUAUUAUUAUGAGGUUUUCUUUACAUUUUCAUGAGUUUUAAACAAUUUUAAGCACCAAUAUUUUUUUCCAAAAUAUCCACCGAUAUAUCUCCGAUAUAUCCAAUAUAUCUCCGAUAUCUCCGAUAUAUCCGUAAAAUCGAAGUACCGAUAUAUCCGUGAUUACCGAUAUUUUCAUCAUUGCUUAGAUGCAACCUUCUUCCAAAUGACAUACUUUAGUCAAUACUUAUAUUUUUUCGUUUCACUUCUUUGAUACAACACCUCAUGGAUUUAUUGUUUAAUUUAUUUGUAAUUAUAAAACUAUUUUUCAUUUUUAAUAAGACUUGAAUUAAUUUAAUAAAUAUUAUAUAAUUUGAAUUUAUAAUUCUUUUUAUAAAAUCAAAGUAUAUUAAAAAAAAAACAAUUUAUCCGAAGAAAGUUUUUUAUUUUUUAUUUUUUAAAACCGAUUUUAAAAAUAACUAGCUAGACACCCUUAUUUUGAUAAAAUACGAAAUAAAAGUGUAAAAACAACAUGGCCAAAUAGGGGCUUAAAUUUUAUUUUUAAAACAUUUUUUUACACUAAAGUGCAUUUUAAAAACACCAUCAAAACCAACUACAAGUUAUGCUUCUUCCCGUAAUAGAAAUAUUUUAGGCCAAAAUAGAACCUCCCCAAAUAAAGACCCUAUACUAAACUCCUUUUCAUUUUAUUAAUACAAAAGUGGGGAAAAAAGGUCUAUGCUCACCUAAAAAACAUGAAUAUUGUGAAUUCACCAUUUCUAUAAGGAAGUUGAAAACUUCAAAAUUUUAUCAACAAAUUCUCUAAAAUCCUCAAAAUAUAUAGGGCCUGUUUCACAAAGUUUUUUAAAAUUUGUUUUUAUAAAUUGCUUUUAAAAUAUAGAAUAAAUAACAGUUUUUUAGAUUUUUUGAAAAAUAAGAGUGUUUGGUAAGAUGUUUUUUUUUUUUUUUUUUUUUUUAAGAAUUAAAUAAAAAAUAAAAAAAUUGUUUAGAUAAAAGAAUUUGUAUUGUUUUUAAAAACAAUGUCUUACUUUUAUGUUAUAAAAAUUUUAUUAAUUUAAUUUAUAAUAAUAUGAAAUGAAAUUCAAGUUAAGUCUUAUUAAAAAAUACAAAUUAAAUCUAUAAUUAUGCAUGAGUUAAAGAUAAAUAUAUAUUUUUUAAAACUAUAAAAUAAAUUUUCUAUUAUAGUGAAACAAAAAUUACUAUAAAAUAAAAAUAAUUUUAAUAUUCAUUUUUAAUACAAGUCAAAUAAGUACUUUAAUUAAUUUUUUUUAUCAUGAUUUCUUAUGUUUUUUUUUUUUUCUAGAAAUUAUUUUAAGUAAUAUAACUAAUUUUUUUUUUAAUGUUUUAUAAAAAUAAGGAUAUUUGGCAAGUUGUUUUUAUAAAAGGAUUUUAAAAAUAAAUGGAUUUUUUUUUUUUUUAAAAAAAGAACAAAAUGAUUUGUUUGAAUAAAUUGUUUUGAUUUUGUAAAAACAUUUUAAAUUCAAUUUAUAUAAUAUUAAUUAAUUAAAUUAAAUUGAAGUUUUAUUGAAAAUAAAAAUAAUUUUGUAAUUAAAAUUAGAUUAAAAAAUAUAUAGGUUUUAAUAAAUCGUAAAUAGUAAUAUUAUAAUAAAAUUAUAAAUUAUAUUUUUAACAUAAAAUAUACUAUUUAUUACAUAUUAAAAAAAAUAUUUUAUUAUAUUAAUAAUUUUAUGGUAUUAAUGAGUUUAUUAUUUAAGUUUUAAAUUAUUUUUAAAAAUUAAUAAAUUUGUUAACAAAUGCAAUGUACUAAAUGUGGUUUAAUUUGGAGUUAAUUUGUUUAGGGAAAAAAAUAAAAAAUAAAAAUCUUAUGUAAAAGAGAAAUAAUAGAGUGUGUGUGUUUUUUUUUAUUAUUUUUAAAAAUCAGUAAAAAGAACUUUUACUUAUUGCCUAAAAAUUAUUCUCUAUUUUAUUUUAUUUUUUAAAUCUAGAAAUAGAUAACAAUAAUAAAAAAAAUUAAAAAAGAAAAAUGUUUUUUAAAACUCAGACUUAUAAUUGCUUUUGUUUCUCAUUCGCACCCCUGGAUUCCUGGAUUCUAAACACAAAAUUAAGUUGAAUCGUCCAUCUAUCUUGUAAGCCAAGAAUUCACAUAGAAGAAAUAAUCGGAAUUUGAUUUGAUAUCAGAUUUAGAGUGGCUCACUACUCAUGCAUUGUCCCACAAUAGUAAUGCUUUGGGCCGAGAUAAACCCAUUUGUGGGCCCAAAUAAAACCCCUGGUUUGAAAACAUCGAUUUUACAGUGGCCCAAAAGAUUAUCUAUGAGGGGAAGAUAACUUGGAAGUCAAGCAAACACAUUUAUCGCUAACUUUUCUCUAAUUAUAAAAUUAUAACUUGGUCUUCUACACGUCUCACUUAAGAGGCGGAGCCACUUGGCACUACCUUUCCAUAUUGUAAAAGGAGAAGAAGCAGAAGGAGAAGAUUCUUAUGCCAUUCCACACACCAUGGCUAGUACUGCUAUGCUGCUUGGCCCGCCGGCUCUCCGCCAUCCUAAUUCUCCCGCCGGCACUGUCUUUGAAGAUGGGGUCAUUCUAACGGAUUCCCUGAUCGUCCGCACCAGUAAUCUGGAGCUUUCUGAAAAACCGCCACUGGAAUCCCUGGCGUAGUGCUCUGUCAGUGGGGAUAUUGCUAUGGAUUGUUUGGAUUCCCAAGCCCACAAUCUUCAUCUUCCCGGGAAACCGCCGAUGGGCUUAACGGAAAACAAGUCUCCGACCUUUUUGUCUUCCGGGAACCCGUGCUUGGACUUCUUCUUCCAUGUGGUUCCCGAUACGUCGUCUGAUGAUCUGAUCCGACGGUUUGAGUUGGCUUGGGAAUUCAAUCCGCUGACGACGUUAAAACUGAUAUGCAACUUGAGAGAGGUGAGAGGCACCGGAAAAUCUGACAAAGAGGGUUUCUACACGGCGGUUCUCUGGCUCCACGACCACCAUCCCAAAACCCUAGCCUGCAAUGCUAGGGUGUUGGCCAGCUUCGGUUAUUUCAAGGAUUUUCUCGAGAUUCUCUACCGGCUUCUGGAGGGCCCUAAAAUUCGAAGAAUCGAAAAGAAAGACUGGCUGGAUCGAAAAGGAAGGAAGAAAAAUUCCCGGAAAAGGAACUCAAUAUUCAAGCGAGAAAAUAGGCCUGGAGUUGAAUUUCCUGUAGAAGAGAAGGAUGUGGAGUAUAUGGUGGAAGAAUUUGUGGAUAAAGAAAAGGCUAGGGUACUGAGAAAGGAGAGAGAACUUGCUCUUGCCAAAAGAGCCCUGCACAAGUAUUCUACUGAUUCUAAUUAUCAGUUCUUACAUGAUCAGAUUUCAGAUUUAUUUGCUGAACUUCUGAAAUCUGAUAUUCAGUAUUUAAACUCCGGUGAGCUUUACAAGAUUAGUCUCGCAUCCAAAUGGUGUCCCACAAUUGAUUCUUCUUAUGAUAAAUCCACCUUGAUAUGUGAAAAUAUUGCUCGAAAGGUUUAUUCUCGCGAGGAAUAUAUAUCCAGAAUACCAAGGAAUUGAGGAGGCUCACUAUGUUAAUAGAGUCAGGGAUAGGUUGAGAAAACAAGUACUUGUUCCAUUACGUAAGGCCCUGGAGUUGCCAGAGGUUUUCAUGUGUUCGAACCAGUGGGGAUCACUUCCCUACAACCGUGUGGCUUCAGUGGCCAUGAAAUCAUACAAGAGCCUCUUCUCAAAACAUGAUACAGAGCGGUUUGGUGUGUAUCUUGAGAAAGUGCAAACUGGGAAGGCUAAGAUUGCAGCUGGUGCAUUACUUCCCCAUGAGAUUAUAGCUUCAUUGAAUGAGGAGGAUGGCGAGAAAGUUGCAGAGCUUCAGUGGGCGAGAAUGGUGGAAGAUUUAUCAAAGAAUGGGAGGCUCACAAAUUGCAGUGCGGUAUGUGACGUAUCAGGAAGUAUGAGUGGAACUCCAAUGAAGGUGUGUGUGGCUCUGGGGCUGUUAGUUUCAGAGCUCAGUGAAGAUCCAUGGAAAGGUAAUGUAAUUACUUUCAGUGCAAGUCCUGAGCUUCACAAGAUCCAAGGAGACAGCCUUGUAUCCAAGACUGAAUUUGUGAGGAUGAUGGAAUGGGGUGCGAACACUGAUUUUCAGAAAGUUUUUGACAGAAUCUUACAAGUAGCAGUGGAGGGAAAUCUGAGUGAAGAUCAAAUGAUAAAGAGGGUUUUCGUUUUCACUGAUAUGGAGUUUGAUGAAGCUUGUGGGAGGUAUAACUAUUGUGAAUAUGACUAUGAUAUGGAGGAAAUUGAUGAGAGUCAGAAGGCAUCUCAGAAGUGGGAGACAGAUUAUGAAGUGAUACAGCGGAAAUUCCAGGACAAAGGAUAUGGAAAAGUUCCGGAGAUAGUGUUUUGGAACCUUAGAAACUCAUCAGAGACUCCAGUGAUGGCCACAGAGAACGGGGUGGCCUUAGUAAGCGGGUUUUCGAAGAAUCUGUUAGACCUUGUUUUUGGAAGGAGGUGGAAUUCUGACCCCUCAGGAUGUGAUGGAAUUAGCCAUCUCUGGUGAAGAUUACAAGAAACUUGUUCUAUUUGAUUAAGAUAUCAAGAGAUUUAUCAAUAAUAAUAUGUUUUUUUUUUUCUAUGUGAAAUACAUGUAAUAUUAACUAUGGAGUUAUCAAAGUUCUGGAAAUUUAAUUAUUUCUUCUUUUCAAGUUUUGUUUGUCUUUGUUAGGAAUUCCCCUUGGGCGGACCCAGCUGGGGACUUGGAUUGAGGAAGUAAGGAGGCGAAAUUGUGUUCUUCUAUGGACAGAGAAAAAAGAUAAAAAUAAAAAAUAAAAAAGGAGGUUAUUUGCAUUUGGAUGUCAUGUGGUUUCAGGGUACAACUACAAGUUCGAAAUUGUACAUAAUGUGAAAAUUCCUGUGUGGAGAACAGCAUAAAUAUGUAUCUCAGUGUGUUUUGUUUGAGCUAAUUGGCAAAUUCGCUUUAAACAUGGUCACAUGGAUGCAUAUUUAUUUGUGAAAUGAUAGUAGUCGAUUACUUGGUCAGUAAGGUUUGUAUCUCUAACUCCAACAUCUUAUUGUAGUCUUUUAAAAUGUCAAAAGUUUAAUGCUAGCUUGAGAAAUUUUGGAAUGGAGACAUUCUAAACAAAGUUAAUAAUCCAUGAGACUUGGUAAAACCGAUCAGAUGAUGCUUACGUACAUGAAUGCCUUCUUUAAGCCGUAUCCUAUUUUCAUUGAAUGAGACGUGCCAUCUAGUUUUGUUCUUGUCUUGAUUGGAUCAUGAUCCCGGGAAUUGAUUACUGUUCUGAAUUUGCGAAUGUUCAAGGUAUUAGAGAAAGUUAAUAUUAUCGUUAAUUUACAUAUUAGUAUUUAUCUAGUUAUUAUAUAUUAGUUUGAAUUAUAAUAUAAUAUAGAAUUUGAAUCAAGUUUACUAUUAGUUUGAAUUACAAUAGGAAAUAAAGUUUGAAUUAUAGUAUAACUCAAAUAUAUUUGUAUAUAAAUAUCCAUCUUUAUCAAUGAGAAUAGUAAACCAUAUUUUUCUCUAUCUUCUUCUUUCUCUAUAUAUAUGGUAUCAAAGCCUCCAAAUCCUAAACCUAGUCUCAACUUAGAGCAAAUUUAGGGUGCAGGGUUUAGGCCCCGCCUCCCCCAACCCUUACCACAAAUGGUAGUGACCUUGUUAUGCCUAUGUAUUGUCAAUGCCUCAUUUUCUAUGGUCUUCAAUACAAUAUCUAGUUUCAAUGUCUCUUUCCUUACUAUCUCCAAUGCAAUAUAUUGAUUUCAAUAUCUCUUUACAACCAAGAGCUCCAAAUUUUCCUGGUUCAAAUCUACCAUAAUUUUUAUUCUCCUUUGCUUUUUACCAAUAUUAGUUCCCCUAAUUUAAUAUAUAUCUCUUUAUUACCUUCAACUCUACCUCUCUCUUUCUUUAAAAGCUUCCUCAAAGAUUUGAUUGCUUUCUUGCAUGUUUUGGGAAAACAAACAUGCUCAUAUUCUAUUACCUCUACUUGAGAUCUGCCUUAUACUCUACCUUCUUCUUUACCUCCUAUAUCAUCUACUACAUUAGCUUCAAAAACAUUAUUUAGUUUGAUGCUAAAUAAGGCUCCUAAUCCUACCCUUCCUUCAACUAACUUUCUUUUACAAGUCCCUCAAAGUUUUUUUUUUUUUUUUUUUGGAAAUUUGGCUUAGAAAGAUUUCAUUACUCUUACCUAAUCUUUCAACCAUCAAGUCGAAUCCACUUAUCUCUUGAAUCCAAGGAGACUACCCUCCACAAAAACAAGGAGAUUGACCCCCACAAUAACAAAGAGAUUGUCCUCCAUAGAAACAAAGAGAGCUUCCUUCAUGGAAGCCGAAUACAUCGCAAUCUAUUUUCUUUCUCUCAAGAUCAAAUCUCCAAUCGGAGCUCCAUCUUGUGGGGAUAUAUUAGAAAAAGUUAAUAUUAUCCUUAAUUUACAUAUUAGUAUUUAUCUAUAUUAUAUAUUGAAUUAGAAUAGAAUAUAGAAUUUGAAUUAAGUUUACUAUUAGUUUAAAUUACAAUAGGAAAUAGAGUUUGAAUUAUAGUAGAACUCAAAUAUAUUUAUAUAUAAAUAUCCAUCAUUAUCAAUGAGAAUAGUAUUCCAUAUUUUUCUCUUUCCCUGAGGCUUCAGAAUGUGAUCUUGAACAUUUGAUCUUUUGGAUUCUUCUUGUUUCGGUGGUUUAAUAUAAUGGAAUGUUUAAUUAUAGCCUACUUUAUCACCAUGGAUGUGCUCCUGCAGAUUUCUUGAGGGUGAUGGUUAUUUUGUCAUGUUUCUUGAAUGGUUUGCAUCAGCUGCCUGAGCUGUUGUUGCUGGUCACUUUUGCAACCAGGGAAAGAAUCAUGGCUUUGGAGAAGCCAGCUUCUGUUUUUGUUGCCCAGCUGUUAGUUCACUAAGAUUGGGGGUCCUAACAUGUAUGUAUAAUCAUAAGCAAGGAAAUUUUAUGUCUUACGCUAGAUAGGUACCAUGAUAUGAUGUUUGAUUGAUUUAUUAACUCUACCUGUUUCAAAAGGCAUCAACAUUAAUUUUACCCUUUUAACACAUUGGAUUGUUUGACCUUACGAGAUUUUCUAUUUCUGUACUAUUUGAACUGCAAUCGUUAUGGUCCUUAGGUCUCUAAACCUUCGUUUAAAAUAAAAGUAAGGAGCACACAUAGUAAAAGUUAAUUUUGGGUAACUUUUAAAACAAAGAGAAAAGUAAAAGUUGUUUUUGAGAAAAACAUAUAGAAAUUGAAAGAUUUUUUAUUUUGAGAAAAAAAAGUCAUAGAAAAGAAAUAAUAUCCCCAUAUAAGUAGAUAUGAUCUAUCCGAAGUGUAGCUACUCUCCUGGAUUUAUUCUAACAUUUUAAAAUUUUUCUCAAUGGGCAAAGGAAUAUCAAAUCAAGCUUGAGUAGGAUUAAUUUCUUAAUUUUUAAAAUAACUUAUAAUUAAAAUUUUUUGGUGUUUUCUUUUUUGGACAAUUUUUUAUGAAGACUCUGAAUCAUGCAAGAGAUAUGGUUAUUUUAAAAAAAAAAAUAAUUUAAAACUCAAAUACAUAAUCAAUGUCACAAAUUUAUAAACAAAAGGUUUUUAAAAAAUACUAUUAUUUCCCCUCUACACAUAAUUUUACUUUUCCGAUUUAUUUAUUUUUGUUGGAAAACAGUCUUCAAAUCAAGUAAAAUUAAUAUGUUAAAUUUGUUAAACAAAUAAAUUUUAAAAUACAAUUUGGAACUCAAAAAUCAAUUCAAGUAAUGCUAAAAUUCAAAAAAUCAAAUUUGGAAUAAAAUGACUUUGUAAAUUUUUUUACUAAACAAAUGAAUUUUAAAUCAAGUGAGAUUUAAUACAUUGGAUUUUUAUGAGAAUAGUAAUUUUAAAAAUUAAUUUGGAACUCAAAAAUAGACACAAUAAAUACCAAAAAUCAAUGAACCAAAAUUGGUUUGGAAUAACUCCAUAAUUUUUUAUUUAUUUAUAUAUUUAUUUUUUUGUGCACACGAAUUUCUUACUAAGCAUAUUGCUUCCAAAUUGAGAAAAAUUUACUAUUUAGAUUUUUUUAAUGAGUUUAAUGGUAUUUAAAAAUAAUUCAAAAAUUCGAAAAUUGACUAAUUUAAUAUUAUAAAUUCAUAAACCAAGACUAAUUCAAAAUGCAUUGGGGGCUAAGGGGGUUGAAAUUAAUGCUCCAUUUGGUUGUGGCCACCAAUUGGCAAUGGCCACCAAUCAACCAAUCAAGGUGGCUAAGGGGGUUGAAAAUAGGGACAAUGGGGUGGGUUUGGGACAGGACACUCAUAUCCCAUUCCCAUCCCAAUUACACAGUUAUUUCCCAUCCUUAUUCCAAACUUGUGUUGGGGCAAGUUGAUUUGUUCCCAUCUUUGUUAACGAAAUGACUAAUAACCUCAUCCUCUCCUUGUCUUAGAUGUACAUUUUCUCAAAUUUGGUCAGGUAUGAUUGAUUCAAGCCCUAACCUUAAUUGGUAAUGAGUGGAUACCACACCUAAUUGCAUUCUUCUUUCGUUGCAAAAUAAUGAGAUUAUAAUAAUCUAGCAAAUAAGAAAAAAUAGUAUGGAAGUUCAAAUUAACACCAUAACUAUCAAUAAUUUUAAGCUUAUAGAUGACUUAAAUGAUUGAAAACUAAUGCAAAAUACUAAAAAAAAAAAAAAUCAUCUAAAGAAUUCACAAGAGAAUAGAACGAACAAAACCAAAUAGGAACAUGGGUCAACAUUAGUUACAGAUUUUGAUCCCUUUCAAGGCCAAUCUUUGAACCAAGACUUCAUCAAAUCUACUACUUCAAAGGCUUUUGUGUUCUUCUUGAGUUGUACUCUGGAACAAAGACUUCGAGGUGAUGCUUUAGAUGAUUGCAUUACACAUAUUUAGGGUAGGGAGAUUGGAGAAGCUUGAAGAUGCCAACGAUGGGUACAAUUGAGUGGUCAAUAAGAACAAUGUGGCCUAUGACUAGUUUGAUGUCAUGGUAUAGGAGUUUUGGGCAUUGAGGUGAAAGCAAGAGCAACAUGGAAUUGAUUUCAAAGUCUUUCAAUUAGUGUAAAGGAGGAAGAAGAAGUGGUAUUGAUCCUAGAAAUAGUGUUUUAGGUGUUGCAUUAGAGGAAAAGAAAAAGAAAAAGAAGGAACCAUUGGAAUUAGUACGAGUGUGAAGAGAGAAGUGUAUACAUAAGGGGAAGUAAAAGCAAAGUUCUAAAAAUUUAUUUUUUUAUUGGUGGUGUAUGGUUGCAUGAUUAUCCCUAUAAAUAAUAGGAGUUUUUUGGUGUUCUACUAGUAGUUGAAGGAUAAUUUCAUAAGAUAAUAUUUAGAGCGGGGUGGGGUGAGUUGUGACAAAAUCCAUACCCGUCCCAAACAUUGGUUCAGGUUUUUAAAAUAUUUUCAAACUUAUCAUAUACCCAAUUUUAUAUUUCAUACUUGUCCUAAUAGAGACAGGUUAGUCAGGGUUACUUGAGUAGCCUACAAAACUAUCAUCCCUAGUUGAAAUGCUCUUUUUGGCAGUGGCAGCUAGAAGCUCGAUCGAUUGACCUACAAGACUAGUUGUCAUCAUUUUAAAAAGAGUUUUGGCUUUGGUUGUGAGUGCAAUUGAAUCUAAACUAACAUUUCCUUAAUGCAUCUACUUCAAUCCUAAACUUCUUACUUAAGCCUCAAUUGUUGUUAAGAUUUUGGAAAACCCAUUUCCUUAAAUUGUAAAUUUAAGAAAAAAAAAAUUAAAAGUGAGACAUUUCUUGAUUGAAUGUUGUUAAAGGUCCCUUGGAAUUAAGACUUGGUUGAAGCCUUGGAAGAUUAGCAGAACUCUCAACUUAUGUUUGAACCUUGAGGAGAGUGGACGUAGGCCAAAAUUUUGUCAAACCAUUAUACAAAUUGAGUUUGAAUUCUCAUUUCUUGAUUUCUUAUUUAUUUGCUUUUUCUUAUUAUUACUUGAAUUGUCAUUUGCAUUCAUUAAUGUUAAAAUUGGUUAUAAUUAGCCAACACUAAUUCUCUUUCCCCUUCCCUUAAUUUCUUGGGUGUAAACCUAGGUUGGAUUAACUAGAUUUUAUCAAAUCUAUUAAGAUGGUAAAAGAAUAAUUAUUCUUAACAUACAUAAGAUCAUCUUCAAUCAAAUGACUCAUUGGCUGAUAUGUUGAAUUUGCUUAUUACUUGCAACUCAAAAUUGUGUUCUAGUUGAUAUGUCAAGUCCUGAGUGUAUGGACAUUAAAUUUGUAGUACGUGAUGAGUAUUUAGAUGGUCCAAUUCCAAGAAAGUGAUUGAAAACUAGUUCAAGAAAGGUGCAAAAGGGAAUUGUUUUGGUAUUUUCGUUUUUAUUCUUGAAGGUGGCAGAGCUAAAAUUUGAGAAAUCAAGCAAAACAUACUGAAAUUACAUUGAAAGAAAGAAAAUGGGAGUUAAUGUCUUGCAGUACAUGAUAAGGACUUCAUGCAUGUAGUGUGACCCAUGUCUUGGACUGAUGCCACACUCACGGUUACACUUAUACCCUUAGUUCUCUCUUUACUACCUUAGCUAACCUAGAUCAGGUUAUGAGAUAGGCACCUCACCACACCAUUACUUGCCCAUUAAUUAGUGACAUUUUCAAGCAAUGAGGUAACAUGGUGACACCAAGAGGGUAUAUUCCUCACCCCCAACAAGCCUAGACCUGGUCUAAAAAAAAUGGAGAAAAAUGACGUGUUGUUAUGCAGAAAUAUAGCAACCAUGCCUUCCUCAUUACUUAGAUUCAGAAUGUGAAGGUGAAAUUGAGAAACAGAAACUCUUGAAACCAAAAUGAAAAUUGAUACUUUUACGAAGAAUUACAACAACAUUAGAGGAAGACUACAUUCUUCCUCUUUAUUCCUACAUUUCUACACUACUUCUACUCCACUCCAUAUUUCUACAUACAUCUUUAAUCAGUCUUCCCUCCUUUAUAUAGAGCCAUCUUCACACAAAUUCCGCAAGGUAGAAAAGAGGAAUGAAACUUGGAGCAAGGUUCGACUACUGGCUGUAGCUUGUCAAGGCUGAAAGUGAACUUUUUUUCUUGGCUUUUCUGGGCAUAGGUAGUAACUUGUAGGUUCCUUUUUGGAAUGAAAAUGGUACGGCUAGAACAUGUGGCACUCUCUUGUUGGAUGAUGUGUCAAGCAUGUGGCAGCCAUCUAGUGGAGAUUAUGUCAAUUUUGGGAUGGAGAGUUGGCAUCCAAUUGCAAAGAAAUAUGACAUCUACCAACAUGCAAUGUCAACCUAUGUAGAUCAUAUGAAGAUAGAGAGGAAAAAUAUAGAAAUGGAUAUAUAACUAGAACUAGCUUUUUAUUAAAUGAGACGGAGAGCCAACAAUGAAGGAAAAUCAAAAUUUUUGGCUCAUAUCAAAGAAUUCACAUUGUGUUACCCUAGGUUUUCUUAAAACUUACUUUUAUGAUAAUAAAAAAUCAUUAUUGUUUAAUCCUUUGUUUUAAACGCAUGUUUAGCAGGUUGUAAAAUGUAAAUAUCUUUCGAAAUUCAAAUAUGAAGAUAUGACAUCAUUUCAAGCAAUAUAGUCUCUAGGAAUUAAUGUAAAGCUAAAUUAAGGUGCAAUUAAGUUAGUUCAAUGCAUUAUUUUAAGAAACUUGACCUAUCAAAACCUUGUCUUACUUCAAAGCCUCUUUUUCUUUUCUUCCAACUAACAUUUUAAUAAGUGAUCGCAAAAGUACAAAAUUAGAUGAAAUCCAUUUCAAUGGUUAAAAUGAUCAAAUUCAAACUUUUUCUAAGUAUCUUUUAAAAGCAUCAAUAUUGAAAGACAAUUUUAUAUUUAGUCAAAGCUUGGACAGAGCCAAAAAGCACACAAAAAUUUAUAUUUUCUAGCUCUCUACCUUGGAUGGUCUCUUGAUCCUACUUGGAGAUGUGCAUAAAUAAAAGGAUUUGAAAAUGACAAUUGACUAAGUAUGUAGUCAAUCAAUUACUCAUUGAUUGACUAGUUGAUCAAUUAACUUUGCAACAUCAUAUGCAAUCCUAAUAGCUAGUCAUCUAAUCAACUAGGUAGUAAAUCAAUAGGCCAAAAAUAUGUUUAUAAUGACUAUUUUGUACAAAAACCACUUAUAUAGUUAAAUAUAAUGCAUUUCAUUUAUAAAUCUUCUAAUUCUUGAAUAACAAUCCUAUCAUCCUUUGAAAGUUUUUAUUACACCUUUUCUACAUUUGUUCUAAAACUUAUACAUCACCCUUAAUUGUACCAUGAGAACCUAGCAUUUUUUUUUUUUUUUUUGUAUUUCAUCAAAGUUAGCUCUUGUACUCAUUGUUGUAUUAUUUUUAUUGUAACUUAGAGAGCGAGUGUUUUCAAGUGAGUGAAAUUGACUUGUAAAUAUUGUAAAGAUUCAUUGAUAUGUAUCUCAAACUAGGUGUACAAGUUGAAACAUUUGCUAGUAGAUUUUCUCAAGAUUUAGAAUGAGCUUAAGGCUAUCGAAUUAGGUGGGGUUGCGCCAAACCAUAUCACAUCGUUGUUUGCACCUUUUUUUUCACUCUCUUUUACUUAGUUGCUCUAUAUAUAUUGUCUAGCAAUAUCCUAAAGGCUUGAUGGGCUAGGGAGCAUCCCUCUGAAUGAAAAAUUUUCAUUCAAUUCUUAGUUGUAUUACGCAUAUAUAAAAUGCCUCAUUGUUUUAAUGGUAUUCAGUCGUGGCACCACAGAUAUGGACAUCUAAAUUUUAAAAGUUUGAAACUUUUAGCUAAAGAAAAUAUGGUGCUUUGCCUUUUUGGAAAGCAUGUUGAUGAAAUCCAUGAGAAUUGUAUACUUGGAGAGCAACAUCGAGAUAACUUUUUUUUUUUCUUUUUUUAUAAUGCAUUGUUUGUCCAAAUUCCGUACAAAUUAGGCCACCACAUGUUCAUAAUUCUCCCUUCUUGAAUUUGAAAACUCGGACAAUUUGACAAUGCGACACCUAAGUCCGGUUUUUAAAUGCUAAAGUGAAAGGGCAGGUAUGGACCAUUGAAAUGUGAUAACAACUUUUGGCCUUUUCCUUUUCUCUGUAGCCAUGUUGUCUCUUUUUAAUUUCUUUUGCAUGAUUUUCUUACCUAAACAGAAUCAUAGACUUGUUUAAUCUCUAAGUGGGAUUUCAUCCACCUUAAGCUACUGUAUUAUAUCUCGGUGGAGGACAACCGACAUAGAGCACAUGCAAGUGGGUAUAUGGGACAUGAAAUAUCUUCUUAUAAAGCUUGUUUUGCAGUUAAAUUAAUUGGAUAAGUAGACACUGGCGUUUCUAAAUUUCCCACCUAAGAUAAUGACCUUAUCCUUGACUGCUAGAUACACAAACAAUUAUACCUUCAAAAUCUACUGUGAAGUGCUUCAUGUAUGUGUGAAGUAUUAGAAAUUUCUUUCUUGGCAACUUGUUUUUUUCUUUGCGGUCUACUGAUAGGUUUGACUAAAAUUAUAUUCCCUGUCCUGCUAAUUAAUUUUCACGUGCAUGCUCAAAAGAAGAGUAUGACCUUAGUGCACCAAAAUCACUUUCAAUAAUUUGUGAUAAGUUUUUUUGCAUGACAUUAACCUUAUUCAUUUAGAUAAUGUUUAGUUCUCAUAAAUAUUAAGAAAAUGAAAAUAAAUAUUAAGAAAAAUAUUCUUAUAUUUGAUUGUAUUAUGAAAAAUAUCAUAAAAAAUCAAAUAUAAUUAAAAUUAAUUAAUAAUUUAUAUAUUUUAAAAUUAUUUAAUUUUUAUAUUAAAGAUAUAAUAUAAAUGAAAUGAGUUUUAAGUAUUAUAUAAAAAUGAUUUAUUUAUUUAUUUAUAUAUAUAUAUAUAUAUAUAUUUAGUUUUUCUCUUUAUUUUAUUUUCCUUAUGUUUUCCUCACAUUUUCCGGAAUCAAAGAUAGGGAAAUCCACAAUUACCUUCAACUGAGUAGAUUCUAUUGUUUUAGCAAUGUUAGGCUGCUAACUUGUGGUGGUACGAACCAAAUGAUCCAUGUUAAUCUUGGCUUGAUUUAAUUUGGCUCUAUCUCAGAGAACUCAAGGAUCACGUCAACUCUGGUUUCUACUAUUCAGGUCCAUUCCCAGAUGAACUGGUUCAAAUUUGAGAAAAUGGUAACAGACCUUUAGUGAUAUUGGUUUGGAGCCAGUUGCCAAACCUGCCCUGAGCUUUACCACUAAUGUCAAGGGACAAAGCCAUUUGAACAAAAACAAUAGCUUCAAGAGACUGAAUCGUGGAUGAAAUCUGAUCCACAUUUCUUCUCAUUUUGGGAAAAAAUGAGGACUUAACCACAAAGAUUCUACUGCCUCAUAGUGCUUUUCCUGAUCUAAGGUUGGCUCGUUUCCCAAAUUGUGAGGUGCACGUGCCACUCUCACGCUCAGGAGUGUAUCCACGUGGUGGACAUAAGAUGGUGGCUUAAUAUCUGGUGUCGGUGGCUUUACUUUACUAGGAGAGUAGUGUGUCUUCAUCUCAUUCACUGCCAGAGGGUGGCGUAAGCAGUGACGCUAAGGUGGGGCACAGUCAAUAUCAUUUGCAUUUGACCAUUAUAAUUUUCUCCCGGCUUUAAAGUAACCUUAUCGUGAUAAUGGAUUACUAGCACUAGUUCAGAUGACAGUCAUGUUAAAUUCGGACCAUGUUUGUGUCACAUUAUCAGCAACCAUGUGCUUGUGGUUCAUGCUAUCUGCAACUAAACUUGAUAUAUAACCAGGUGAACUUCAAUCUAAAUUCUGGAAGUACUCAUGUGAUAGAUGGUGCCUGUCUGCAGUGAGUGUAUCUAUAAGAGGGAAGGCUUGGCAAAUGUUCAGUUUUCUGGGAAUUCAACAGGGAUCUAAAAUAGAUUGUUUUCUUUGCUGAUUUCAAUGGUUGAAAUUUGAGAAGAUUGUGUCCACAUAACACAACUAUUACUGGUCCUUCUGUUGCAAUUUAUCCUCUAAGGCUCUAACAUGUCUUCCAAUUCCCACUUCCCACUUCCCUGUUACUCCAGGAAAGCUGUUUCUGUCAUUGUGAAGAAGAAAAGAGACUGUACAUAUCGAUGCUUUUAAGUGGACUGGAGAAUUCAUAUCAGGUGGUCUGCAGCCAUACAUGCCACUUUGUGAAGGUUGGAACAGUCAAUCACUAGGCUAUAUUAGUGGGGCCCAGCCACUUCAAUCAAGGACAAGUCUUCAUACUUAAAGUCAAAUUCUGCCUUUAGUCUCAUUAUAAAUUGCUGUUUAAAUAUCAAGCAAACAUUUGUUUAAUGCGAUUAAGACAGCACUAACUCAAUACUUGUUCUAUUUUUGGAUGCAAAUGCUUGAUAGUUUCAUCAUUGGAGGGGAUAAAGGUGCAUUCAUGAUUAUGAAUACUUGUAGUUAUAUUUUCAUUCUCUUUUUUCUCAAUGGGACUUGUUGGCACAAUUUUGCUGUUCAGAAACCUACCUCUCCAUGGAAAAUCAGUUGUGAUUGAUAUUACUGGAUAUAUUCAAGAAAGCUAAAUGUAGAUAGCACAAAAUAUUAUCGACAUAAAUAGCAUUAACAGCGUACGUAUGUCUCAAUGCUCAUCAGCUAUAAGCAAGGGGCAAACACUUACUAUGAGCAACUUACGUCAAAAUUCCGGAAUAGGACAUAGAAGUGACAGGUCAGUAAAUAUAGAACACUGCAUAUGAGUCACAAGAAAGGAAAUUACGGGUACAUAGCAGCUCUUAUUUUACAUCCUACUCAUACUGAUCAAAGUCACUCAGUUGGGAUGGGUGGGAGUGGGAGGUUUGUGGGGUGGCUUGUGCGGAGGAGUUGGCAGCUUCUUUCCAGGACCUGGUUGCUUCUCUGCUGGAGUUGAAGGAGGCUUAAUCUUCCGAGGUGGCUUGUAUGAGUCUUCAGCAUUCUCAGCAGGAGGGUGACCAGGGUUGUGACCACAAUGUGGUGGCUUCUCUCCCUUAGGUGGUUUGCCAACUGGGGUUGGUGGCUUGUGUUCCGGAAGUGGCUUCUCUUUGUGUUCAGGAGGUGGCUUCUCCACUGGAGGCUUGUGUUCAGGAGGUGGCUUCUCCACCGGAGGCUUGUGUUCAGGAGGUGGCUUCUCCACCGGAGGCUUGUGUUCAGGAGGUGGCUUCUCCACCGGAGGCUUAUGCUCUGGUGGUGGCUUCUCCACCGGAGGCUUAUGCUCUGGUGGUGGCUUCUCCACCGGAGGCUUAUGCAAUGGUGGUGGCUUCUCCACCGGAGGCUUGUGUUCAGGAGGUGGCUUCUCUACCGGAGGCUUAUGCUCUGGUGGUGGCUUCUCCACCGGAGGCUUAUGCUCUGGUGGUGGCUUCUCCACCGGAGGCUUGUGUUCAGGAGGUGGCUUCUCCACCGGAGGCUUGUGUUCAGGAGGUGGCUUCUCCACCGGAGGCUUGUGCUCUGGUGGUGGCUUCUCCACCGGAGGCUUAUGCUCUGGUGGUGGCUUCUCCACCGGAGGCUUGUGUUCAGGAGGUGGCUUCUCCACCGGAGGCUUAUGCUCUGGUGGUGGCUUCUCCACCGGAGGCUUGUGUUCAGGAGGUGGCUUCUCCACCGGAGGCUUAUGCUCUGGUGGUGGCUUCUCCACAGGAGGCUUGUGUUCAGGAGGUGGCUUCUCCACCGGAGGCUUAUGCUCUGGUGGUGGCUUCUCGAAUGGGGGAUGCGUAGGGUAAUCAGCUAGUGAGGGGGCGGUGAGAACCACCAGGCCAAGCAACACUACUAGCAAGUAUGUAGGAGACAUCUUUGGGUUUGGGCUCAGAUGGUGCAAAACUAGGAGAAUUGGCUAGCCUUUUAUAGCGGAUCGUACCCAAUAAUGAAAUGACACGUGUCAUUAUGACCCAUGUGUCAUGUGGUCGAUUUGGGUCCUACAGUGUUGAAAACUUCGACAUCCACUUUUUUGGCCUUUUGCUUUCUCUACAGUCGCCUUGCUUUUUCCCUCUUUUCUUUUGUUUUCCUCCUGCCCCAUUCUAUCAACUAAUCACAAUUAUGUAGUUGUUUAAUUCUUAAAUGAGAUAUUAUCCGUCAAUCAUAUUAUCUUUUAUCAAGAGAGAACGGAGUGAAAAGUGGCAAUCCAAAGAAAGAAGAUCCAUAAUGCAGCUGUAAUUUUAUCGUUUACUUUUAUCUCUAGGACCACUGCAUUUUUGUUGAGAGGUGCAAUAAUACACGUCUUUAUCUGCCAUUCAAUGUUUACAGUAAAGAGAGGGCACAAAACUCUUCACUGCUCUGCAUGUGCCCCAAAAAUGCAAUUGGACAAAUUAUGAUUUGCAUGCUAAAAAGAGGCAAAUGAGGUUAAUUAGCACCAAAAUUAUUUUGUUUUCUGGACACCCCGGGGCCCUUUGGUUGGUUUGGGGGUCAGAAAAUGAACAUCAUAGGGGGUUUUUCCCUAAUGUGCAUUUGCAUUUGUAUCUGAUGGCUUUAACUCGCCUUGUUACUACAAAGAAAUUGUCACAGAUAGGAACUUAUUCCAGGCUGAGUAUCUCCGCAUGGACCCUAUAAAAGAAGACAAGUCAUAAUGAACAUCUAACCUUUGUUCAAUUUGAUUCAAUGCCCCUAUUGUGUCCAUCUCACAAAUCUGAAUUAUUAUAUCCAUUGAAUACAUAAAUUAAUGAAGAAAAUAUGAAACCCAAGAUACAUCUCUGCACAACCUCAACCCUGGUUGCUAUGUUUCACUUCUAUUCACAUGAGGAUAUUGAUUACGGAAUAAGGAAACCUAGCAAGGGUUUACUCGGCUCUGGUUUGAUGCUAAUUGCCAAACUUGCAACAAGCCCUGAGUUUGACACCUAAUCGAUGGGCGAAUUAAAAGUCUCCUCCAAACAUAUAUUCCACAGCUUGAAGCUCACAGAAGAUGCUAUACAGGCAGGGAAAAACCUUCAGAGUUAGCUACCAAAGAUAAUUAUCAAGGAGAUAUCACCAAGAGAAUUCCAUGGAGUCUGAAUCAAAGACAAAUUGCUCGCUCGUGGGGGUUCUUACUUAAUUUCUUUUGGGUAUAACUCACUGAGGGCACUGGCUUUGUUAUUUGCAUUUCGCAUUUAGAGUUCUGUUCUGGAAGGUUUGUUCUGGAAACAUAUAAAAGGAGCAUCAUUUUGUUCUAGGGUAACCCAUAGUUGUGAGUGGGUCCAUUUGCAUGCUACUUAGUUGAAAAGUUGGACAAUUUGCUCCGACGCCUACCUCCUGGAUUCCAUGCUCGGAUAAAGCAAGAAUAAUAAAAUAUUUAUAAUUUACAAAUGGGGGAAAGAAAAAAAUGUCAACAACAAACUAGGAAAAAAGAGUAGUAAAAUUUAUGCCACAUGCUAUUGAUAGAAGGGGCAUGUAUUAGAUCCAUCACCAUUUGGUAAGAUUUUAGUAUUAUAUUUUUCAAGGUUCAUUAUUUGAGGGUGUGUUCUUCAUCUCUGUUGCAUUGCUUCUUACUAGGCCCACUGAGGUGGGUUCUUCACCUUUUGUAUAUUCUCUGCACUAGAUCAAUGAGAAAGGGGGAAUUUUGGUGAAUUUGCAGCCGUUGGAUGAUUGAUUCUAGGCUCAGUCCACCAAUGAUGCUCUCUUCACUCUUUCUCAUCUAGUGUCAUUCACAACUAUGUUUUGAUUCAUAUUUGUACUAUCAAAGAUAUCUCAUUAUUCUAGCUCAUUAGGUAGAGUUCCUAAUCUUCCUCCUUUUUGGUCUAUGGACAGUAUUGGCUUCAUAUUAAGAUCAUGUUUCAAUAAUUGCACAUUAAUGAAUGGAUCAUGACCCACAUAAACAGAGUCAGGGUUGAGUCAGUGAACCCUAAAAUUUCACAAUUCUAAAUUUGGGUUCUUUAACAAUGCAGGGUCAAGGACGCGUGGUGAUGAAGGAAAGCUGGUAAGCUCAGUGUUACUUCAAUUCCUGCCAUGUAGGAUGGUGAGGAGAUAUUCACUAUGCAAUUAAUAAUAGACAAUAUUCACUAUGCAAUAAUAAAGCAUAAAUUAAGUUGAAUGAAAAGCAUUUUCUUUGCAAGGAGUUGAUUUUGGUUUCAUAGUUUGUUCAACUGCUAUUUUGGAUAGGAAAGUGUGAGGAGAAGAAAAUAAAAAAUAAAAAUAAAACAAAAAAUAAAAAAUAGAUUUUAUAAAUUCAUUUAAUUUAUUUUUUUUUUAUAAAAAUUAACUAAUUUAAAAUAUAUGUAAAUUUCUAAUUAAUUUAAUUACAUUUUUUUUUUCAGUUUUUCAUAAUAAACCAAAUAUUAGAAAAUUAUUUUUAUUAAGACACCCAAGAUGAGGUAAUAUGCAAUGAAAACAUGAAUUAUAUUAAAAUUCAAAACAAAUUAAGAGAAAUCGGAAAAUAUACAUAGAUAUCUAAACAAAGAAAUUUAAAGAGAAGGAACCACAAACUUUAUUUACAUAAUUUGAAAAUAAAAAACAUAAAACAUACUUAUAGUAAGGAGAAAUUGAAUAUCUUACAAUGGAAGAAGGGAGAAAAGCUUUGAAGAAAGCUUUUGCUUGGAAGCUUACAUGGUGAGAGGUAGAGAAAGGAGAGAGAGAGAAGAAAAUGAAAAAUGAGAAGUGGAGAAAAUUGGAAGUUUUGUGUGCUUACAACUGAGGAUAGAGCCUCCUUAAAUAGCAAAAAAUGGAAUAUUAAAUAGUACCAAUCAGGAGACAAAAUAUUGUUUGCUUUUGAAACCCGUGCAUGAAUAGUAAUCCCGUGAGUGAAUAGUGAAUAAUAAAAGUGAAUAGUAAAAGUCACUUUCUACUAUAGCACUUUAGACUUUUUCAUCGAGAAUCUUACUUUCGGCUGAGUGAUGAUAGCUGAUAGGUUGCUUUGGAUUGUGGAGUCAUAUGUUUGAUGUUUUCGGUGCUGAAACCGCUUAGUUGGAGAAUAAUCUCGUCAGUAGAGCAUCAUGAGAAGCUUGAAUGGAGAGAGCUUAAUGAUGCCAUAUGAUUGGAAGGAAUCCUAUUUUAAUUUCCUUAUUGGAGGGAGAAUACCCUCACAAUCAUCUUCAUUAUCUUGAAGGUAGUUUGAUAUAGAGUCAUCUGACUCAGCAUAAGAGUCCUCUUGGGAGAAGCUUGAACUGCUUUUGUCAAGGAUUUUCUGAAAUUCUUGAGGGGUUUUUGCUAUUGCUAACAUGGUUUGGAGUUGCUGUUUCUUAAGAAGAAACUGUGCAAUAUCAUAAGAUGAUGAAGCUUGUGUAGGAUGCUUUAGGAAAUAUUGCUUUAUUGCUUGUAGUGAGGUAUCAUUUUUCAAGGCAUCCCACCACUUAGACUUGAAAGUCCUUCCAAGGGUUGGAAAGGCUGCUGAUUCAUCUGCUAUAAUGAUAUAAUCCCACUGGACUAUCCAGGCAAGGCCAAAUUCACUAAAAAAGAAUAAUAAUUGGGGAAAACUGAAAGUUCUCUAGGGAUAACAAAAGAACUUUGGAAUAGCUCAAAGCCAUCCAAAAUGGGUUUUGGGAGAAUUUUAAUAGUUGGACCAAAAUAUGUCCACCAAUUGUGGAACCAAAAUGGAAAAGAGGGGAGUUGAUGCUUAGAUGGGAAAUAGAACAUCCCUGAAUGAUGGAAGUCCUUGUUCUGGAUCAGAAAAGCAUUGAACCAUACUCUUUGGUAGUCUCAAUAAUUGAAAAUUUUAGGUUUUGAAGGCUUAGAAAAUUCUCUUGAAAAAUUAGGAUUCCCACCCCACUGCUUAACUGUAAGGAUUUUAUAAAUAUGGUAAGUGGAGAAUGCCAAAUCCAAAUUGCUGAAUUUAUCAGCAUUGUGCUUGAUUUUAACAGAGCCGGUUUCCAUAAGGAUUGCUUCAUAAAAUUCUCUUGUUUUUAAAAGAUCACCAAAGGGAUAAUGAAAAUUUUCAUGAAAAGCUUUUGCUGCAAUAUCUCUAGGGUUUUUAGAGAAAAACUCUUUUUCAAUAACCAAAAGAGGUUGAUUUAAAUCUUUUUGCCAAUAUCUUGCUUUUGCUGAAAGAGGUGUGGGGUUGGCUACCACCACAAUUUGCUUAUUUGAAAAAGAAGAGCUUGAUGCUAAUUCAUUUUGAGAGGGAUUAGCUUUAGUAACCUGCUUAAAGGUCUGAGACACAGUAAUAGUUGGAUACUGAGUAGCCUUGACUGGUUUAGAAGGAUUCGAAGGAUCAUAGUACAAGGACAAAAUCUUAUUAGGCAUAUGGUCAGAAGAAUGAAGCCUUGCUUCUUCUUCUAGCUCAACUUGUUGGCUCCAAAGUAUUUUAUGGGGAGAAGGUUCUUUGCUGGUUUUAGAAGACUAGGAUUCUGGAAGUUUAGGAGCUUGGGUAUUCUUUUUAGGGGCCAUGGUUUCGUGAAUCCUGUAAAAUUCACAAGUUAAGAAAUCAGGGCUCGAAGAAUGUUCUCCUUUAAUAUACUCAAUUUGUAAAUUAAAAUUGCUUAAAAUAGCUUGAUAUAUAGCAAAAAUAUGCUUAGAAGUUAUAUUCUUAACAUCCUUUUGUAAAACUAAUUUUGCAAAUUUACAAUCAACUCUUAAUAAAAACUUUUGAUUCAAAAGAUCAUCUUGAAAUUUUGAAAUGCAUAAAACAACGCUUAAAGUCUCUUUUUUAAUGAUGUUAUGAAUGAGUUGGGUAGUAUUCCAGGUUCUUGAAGUAUACCUAACUAACAUCUCAAGGUUACCAACACUUUGCUUAAGAAUCCCACCAUAACCUAUGUCUGAGGUAUCGAUCCCAACAAACUCAAAGGUUUCUGGAUUGAUAGAGCCUAAACAUGGUAGGGUCUUGACUUUGGACUUAACAUCAAUAAUGAAAACAAUGGUGAAAACAGAAAACUGGUUAAAGUUUUCAUCCAUUAUAUUCUGGAAUUCUGAGGUGCAUUCUUAAGAUCAAAGGGCAUUAUGAACCAUUCAUAAUGUCCAAGAGAUACCACAAAGGUGGUCUUAUUUGGAAUAGGACACCUAAUCCAACUUAAUGUAUCAUUAAGAGGCAUGUAGUUGACGACUAGUCUAGGUGUUCCUUUUUCUGAUUCAACUUGUUCCUGAACAUAGAAGGUUGAACAACUCCAAAGGGACUUAGACUUCCUUAUCAACUUUUUAUCAAGAAGAUCCCAAAUCUCCUUAUCACAAUAGCUUAACAAACCCUUGUUCAUCUGGAUAGGUCUUGAUUUAGUGGGAAUAUUCUUGUCACUAAAGUCUAGUUCAUAAGGUAAUUCUACCUCAUGUUGUUUCCUAUGCCAAAAUGCAUUAGGAAUGUUAGAGCAAACUUCUUCAACAAUCAGAUUAAUUUCUUGCUCAUGACUUUCCUUAGCUUGAAUCACCUGAUCCCUUAAGGUGUUUAUAUUUUUCUUAUUAGGUGGUUGGCAAAUUCAAAAAUAAUUUCCUUAUCUAAGAGCUUUGUUCUUAUACUUUGGUCAUCUACCCACAUGGGAUAGAUGGAGCUUAAAAAGGGGAUUCCAAGGAGAGCUUUCUCCUUAAGAUCCUUAACUAGAAUGAAGGUUUGCUUGAUGCAAAUGCCUUGGUUAUUUAUGUGAGCAUCUGACAGCUUAUACUCAAUGUCAAGCCUUUUACCAUUAGCUCCAAAGAGAGAUUCUUUGGUUUUCUUACAAAACUUAAUAGGACCUAGACCUUCUUGUAGGCAAUUCAAAGCUGUUCCUGAAUCAAUCAAAGCAACAAUAUCAAUGACAAAUUUACUCUUAAUUACUAUAGUAAGGGAGACUUUCCACCUCUGGAAAAUAACCCUACUAACAGUAUUUAAGUAUCCAUCCGUCUUUUCAUCAUUAGCAUGUGAAGAUUCUAGAACCUCUUCAAGGUUUUCCUAGUUAUCAACAAGAUUUUCUAUAACAAUCCUAUUUAUUUGUUCUUGGAGAUCUGAAAAACCUAAGCUUGUGUAUUGUCUUAAAUCUUUAAUUUCCUUCUUAUACUGUCUUACUUCUUCUUGAAGAUCCUUAAUGGUUACGUCUUUGGUAGACUACUGGUUAAAUCUUCCUAAGAUUUCAUUUAAGUUAUAAGAAUUUACUGUCUUCUUAAUCUCUUGCUUAUCGACAAAUUUCUUAAAAACUUCAUAAAGAUCUUGUUUAGUUUUUUCAUCUUCAACUUUCCUUAAAACAUCUAGGACAAGUUCUUGAUCUUGGCUUAUGACAUUUAUAGUCUUAGGUUGGCAAUCACAAUUAUCCUUAAUGUAUUCUUCUUGGUCACUAGAAGUUUGGCUUGAGAUUUCCUCACCACUACUAUCUAGUUGGUUAAUACCAUUUUCAUUAUCUGAAUCAAUCCUUGAUUCAGACUCUGUGGAAUUUAACAUUACUUUACAAAGCAUAUCUUUUAAGUCUUCUGUGACAUUUAAGUUAUUAAUUUUCUGCUUAACCCUACAAUCUUUCUUAUAGUGGCCUAUCUUACCACACUUAAAACAAACUGGCUUAGAUUGUGAAGGAGCUUCUAGCUUUUUAUGGGCUUCUUUGUUCAUCAUUCUUUGGAUGUGCCUUUGUUUCUUAGUUUCAUUCAUCCUAUAGUUGCCAUGAGUUCCUCUCUUGUUGUGAUAGGACUUUUCCUUACUAGGCUUUGUACUUACUUGUUUCUUACGUUGCUUAGAGGGGGGCUUAGUUUCUUUUUGGUUGAAUCCAAACUAGCUACAAAAUGAACCAAACUCAUUCUUGUAGAUCCUUUGUUCAUUUUUCAUCUGUUGCUUAAGCUUAAAGUCAUUGCACAGUUUAAUUGCUUCUGAUGUGACAAUGCUUAUAAUUUCUCCAUAAGAAAGCUUAUCAUAAGGGAUUUGUCCAUUAAACUGUUCCCUUAUCUUAAUCCUAAUCCUCUCAGAGAAAAGUCUAGGUAGUCCUAAGAUGAAUUUUUCUUUCCAAAAAGACUGGUUAUAGUUUGAUCUUAGUAUGACUUUGGUUAGGAAAACUUCUCUAUACCAUCUAAAGUCAUGAAGCUUGGGACACUUAAGGUUGGUUAAGAGAUCUACAAUCUUAUCCUUAAUCUUUGCAGGAUCUCCAAUGAAGUGCUUUGAAAUUGAAUAGAUUAGAGUAGCCACUACAUCCUCUAUAUCUUGUCCAUCUUCAUCCUUAACCACUUCAUUUUCCUCAUUAAUCCUAUAGGCUUUUAGGAUACCAUUUCUAUCCUCAAAGGUGAGAUAAUUAUCCCACCAACCCUAAAGUUGACCUGUAAACCCAACAACAAUUGUUUGAGCUACAGCAUGGCCUGACAAUCUAUUGUUUAACUUAUAGGUUGUACUAACCAUGGUCAUUUCUUGAAGCUUAGUGAGUAUGUUGUACUCAAUCAUACCAUCUAUGUUCCAUUCAUAGAUAGUGUCACUAGUGUAGGAAGCUUGAGUAUGCUGGUUUCUUUCCUCAUACUACAUAUCAGGAAAAGUUGGUCUAGGGUAGUAAUUCCUAGUUCUUGGUUGUUGAUAAUCCUCAUAACUGUUUGGUUAGGAGGUUCCUUAAAAAUCUUAAUUAGUUCAUCAGCCUCUGCUUCAGAACUAAUUUCUCCUUUAACCAUAUUGAUUCUCUUGUGAGAUGGUUGAGGUGUCUCAGAGACAACAAGGCUAUCCUUAACCUUUUGGCUUAUCCUAUCAAUGAGGGCUUGAUCAAUAUGGAGAUUCUCUAGGAAUUUCUUAGAGAAUUCAAAAGGCUUAAAUAAAGACUUAUUAUCUUUCUUAACAAACGUAGUCUUAAUGUAGUCUUGUGUUUCAAUGAUAUCCUCAAACUUGUUGAGUUGAUCGCCUGUAGUCUUAAGAAACAUGUUAGUGUAGUUGUUUUGUUCCAUGAUUCUUCUAACGUCAACAACACUAUCAAUUCCUUUAUUCUUUGGCCUAGUCUUAAAAGGUGAAGCUUUGACUAUGGUUCAAUUAAUGUUCUUUUAUAUCUUAGCUUCUAGAGGGUGGAUGGAUUCUAUGAUAGUAUCGUCACUAGUUUUCCAUAUCUUAGUUUUUUUGGAUGUGUCAUUGACACGCUUACUAGGGUAAUCUAGAUAUUCCUCUUGUUUGAAGAGUUCAAACCAGAUCCAAUACUUAAUGUUCUUCUUUUCUUGUCUUAAGUAUGUGUAGAAUUCUUCUUGGUAGAGGGUUCUAAUGUCUUUAAGGACCUUGCUAAAGAACCAAACUCUCCUUUUCUUAUUGACUUCAGAAUAGAAGUCUUUCCUUAAGAGGUCCUUGUUGAUUCAAAGUCUUCGUUAAUUAGGCUUACAGUGUUAAUCAACUGAGAAUAAGUAGGAGACAUAUCAGGAGAUUCGUCCUGAUGUGAUUCUUGAGUAAACUCAUUUUCCUCCAUGUAAAAGGGUUUGGCCACGUUGGUGUGACUUCUAACACCUGUUAGCUUAAUAUUCUUAGGAUUUGCUGAACUAGAUCCUUCCUCUAUCCUAGUGGUUCUUAUUGGGAUAGAUGAACUUGAAGCUCUAGAGGGCUCAUAAUAUGAAAUUCUAAGGCUGCUAGAAUGAUGAAAAGAGUUGGAGAAAAUUAGAUCUCGUUCUCCAUCAGGAUAUUGAACAAUCUGUUCAAUUCUUUCAGAUCUUUGCUCUAUGGCUGGGACAACAUUAGCAAAAUGCCAAUUUUCUGGAAACUCAACCUCAUUCCACUUGAUUUUCAUGGGGACUAUGAAAUUAGACUUGUUUAUCAUAUCUAAGUGGAAGAUAGUGGUUUCACCCUUGGGACUGGUGCACAAUGCUCCAAAUCCAACGCUUAUGGUCAUGCUCUUAUAGGCAAAUCUGGUGAUGAUGGAAACAUGAUUGUUUCCUUGCUUGAACUUAAAGUCAUGGGUCUUAACAUGAAGGACAACUGAAUCUAAGAUGUUGACAUCUCUUAGUCUAACUGUGAAGUUAGGGAAACACUGGAAAUAAACAGGACCAUCAUUUAAUCCUGCUUGGGUAGCUCCAAUAAUAGAAUCUCGGUAAUCAAGAUGUCUAUUAUCUCUUAAACACAUGACAAUAAAGGUGUUUAGACCUAGUCUUGUCAAGGGCUUAGCUGCAACUUGAAUCAUGCCAAAGUGUAUGAAGUUGUAGUCUCGCUUAUGCUUAUCAAUGGACUUACUAUCCAAGAGUCUUAUGACUUGAUCGUCGUGUUCUAAACUUACUGACAUUUCAGGGGUUUUAAUGGUGUAAUCUGUAAAGAACUUAAAGGUUCCUUUCUUAUAAAUUUCUUGAUUAGGUACCUUGGGUAACUUCCAAUCAUCUAAAUCAUCUUGGAUCUUAGGAUAAUUGAUCUCUUCAUUGUUUACUCUUGAGAAUUUGUGGAUUUCCUAGACAUGGUUCUGAAAAUCAAACUCAUUUUAAGGUUUUAAUCUAGAGCCUAAUAGCAGAUUAACAGACCUAGUGAGUAAUCACCCCAACCCUUUUCCAACCUUAACAAACGCCUAUCUCCAGCUAACAAUGGGCUCAACUCGGCAAGGAUCGCACUCAGGCACACUACUAUCUUUCCUAGGAUAGAUCAAAACACCCAAAACAAACCCGACUUCCUUUUCCUAGGAUAUAUAUAGUAUUUUGGGUUUGAGUAGGAGUUCAUGUUUUGUAUGUAAUUGUAGUCUACGUUGGACUAGGUUGUUUGCUCCUAAUUGAAAUAGGAAUGGUUGGUGUCACAUCUCAUUCAUUUUCUCAUCUAUUUCCAUGUUUAGAUAACUCAAGUAAUCAUAGGAAUGAAAUUAAGAAUGAUUUGAGGGAAAUGAAAUCUCACUUGUAAGUGGGAUCUCAAUUCAUCAUUAAUAGAAGGUAUUUUGAUUACAUAGUGCAAGUUAUUUUUAAAAACACUUUUCAAAAAUUGAAAAACCAAAAACUCUCUUGGAUAAGUUGUUUUUAAAAAGAAUUUUUGUAUUUUUAUUUUGUAAAAAAAAAAAAUAGUAAUUCAAUUUAUAUAAUAUAAAUAGACUUUAAUUUUAUUAAAAAUAAAAAUAAUUUUUUAAUUACAAAUAAAUUAAAAAAUAAAUAUUUGUAAUAAAAUAUGAAUAGUAAUAUUAUAAUAAAAUCAUAAAUAAAUUAAAAAUAUUUUUAAAAACAAAUAAGUUUAAUUUUUUUGAGGUACAAAUGAGCCAAAUUUUUCAUUAGGUACACAACCAACAAUUUUUAUUGGAAACAUUCCUCAAAAAAGAAUUCGUUUCCCAUAUAGCAAAGAUAUUUAUUAUUUAGUAUCUAACCAUCCGUAGUAAUCAUAUCAAUUCUACUAAGUUAUUUAAUAAUUCAUUUAUAUAUAGUACUCAAUUAUGAAUUUUUUUAUUUGAUGUAUAAUUAAUUAAUCAAUGUUUUGAAUUUUGAAUUAUUCUUAAAAUUUAAAACAUUAAUUAUGUCUAUUACUUUUUAUAGUCAUUAUAUAUAUAUAUAUAUAUAUAUAUAGAGAGAGAGAGAGAGAGAGAGAGAGAGAGCUUAAAUUUAUCUUUAAAAAUUAUUAAAUUUAUUAAUAAAUUCAAUACAAAGACUCAUUUGAUUUGAAAUUCAUUUCUUUAGUGAAAAUUUUGAAACUAAAUAGUACUUUGUUUUACUUUGUUUUUAAAUCAUACUCACAAAUAAGUUUUUAUCAUUUAGCCAAAAAAUCUCAAAGAUGUUUCUAAUUUUAUUUAUUUAUUUAUUUGUAAAUGAAAAUAAAAAAUUAGUUUAAACUAAAUAUGCGGAUAUUAUUGUUAAUUUAUUUCAUUUUUUAUUUCCAUUGUUAUUUAACAUUGAAACGGAAACAAAUAAUCAUUCCAAUCUUACAUUCUUAUAUGCAUCUAAACACAAGAAUUGAAAUCACCAAAUUCAUAUUCAAGGCAAAAUAGAAAUGGAAAAAAAAUAUUCAUUUUCAUUCCUCAUUCUCAUGUGCUAAACAUGACAUUAGUUCUACUACCUAUUUCACCAUUCUUCUUGAUAAAUUUGGUAUAUGCAAUAUUGAUCUAAGUGUGAGGUGAAUAAGAAUGAUGAUGGGAUGGGCUUGGAAAUAAGGGCAAAGUUUCUAGGUGCUAUCUAGAGGGGCAACGCGACUUUUUCAAAUUUCGAAUAUUUGUUCUCAACAUAAAGCAAAACUUUACUCACACAAUAGAUAAGACUCUGUUUGUUUUCUUCAUCCACGACUAUAUAAUGUAUAGCUCUUACUCAAGGGAUGAGCUACUUACUAUUAAGGAUUGGGUAAGAUAUUGCCUAAUGGCCAAGAAGGCAUGUCAAAAAAUAAAUCUAAUCACCAUAAAAAAUAAUAGGGGAAAAUUAAUAUAUUAUGAAUGAUGACUUUACUAUUUCUCUAUAUACAUAAUUAUAUAUUUUGAAUUUUCUCACUAGGUAAUGAGAUUCUAAAUCAACUGAAACAUAAUUAAUAAUUUAUAUUUUUAAUGAAUCUUUUAAUUUUUAAAAAUAAUUUAAAAUUUUAAAAAACAAUUCAAUUAAUUACAUAUUAAAUCAAAACAUUUCAAAAUAUUGUGUUUGUAGAUGAGUACUAAAUGCUUGCAUAUAAUAAUAAUAAUAAAAAAAUUGACUCAUUUAGAUGUUAAAAAAGUUAAAUGUUUUUCAUUAUUCAUUUUAAGUAAAAUAUUAUUGACAUUAUUAUUAUAAAAUUAUUAUUAUUCAUUUUUAACAAAAAACAAAAUAAGUUAUUCUUUUACCAAGAUGUCAAUAUCUAUAUUUUUCUAACAUAUAUUAAAAUAGUAUACUUUUCUUUUAUUAAAAAUAAUAAUUAUUAUUAUAUUAUUAUUCAAGUUUUAUUAAAAAAAUUUAUCUUUUAAUUCAUUUGUAAUUACAAAAUAAUUUUAUUUUAUUAAGAAUUUAAUUUAAUUACGCUUUUUUUUUUUAUAAAAAAAACAGUUAUGCUUUUACCAAGAUGUUAAUAUUCAUAUUUUUCUAGCUAACAUAAAUAGAAUAGUACACUUUUUCAUAUAAAAAAAUAAUUUAUGAUUUUAUUAUAAUGUUACUAUUCACAUUUUACUAAAAAUAUUUAUUUAUUUUAUUUAUUUUUAAUUAUAAAAUAAUUUUAUUUUCAAGAAUUUAAUUUUAAAAAAAUAGAAAUCAUUUAUUCUUUUACCAAGAUGUUAAUAAACAUAUUUUUCUAACAUAUACUAAAAUAAAAAAGUUUACUUGUUCAUUAAAAAAUAUAAUUUAUGUUUUUAUUAUAAUACUACUAUCUAUGUUCUACUAAAAAUAUUUAUUUAUAAUUAAAAAAUAAUUUCAUUUUUAAUAAGACUUGAACUAAAUUAAAUUUAUAAUUUUUUUUUAAAAUAAAAUAGAAAAUUAUUUUUUAAAAACAACUUAUUGAAAGAAAUUUUUUAUUCUUUACUUUUAAGAACUGUUUUUAAAAGCAACCUAUAAACCCCUUUGGGUCUGUUUGGCUAUGUUUCAUGCAACUUGUUUUUAAAAAUUGUUUUUUAUUCUUUAAUUUAAUUUUUUUUAAGUUAAAGAAUAAAAAACAACUUUCUAGUGUUUUAUAAAAAUGAGAGCUUUUGACAAGUUGUUUUUAAAAACCAUUUUUAAAAAUAAAAAAUAAAAAACUUAUUUAGAUAAAUUGUUAUAUAUAUAUAUAUAUAUAUAUUUGUAAAAACAUUUUAAAUUCAAUUUAUAUAAUAUAAAUUUAAUUUAAUUUAAGUCUUAUUAAAAAAAAAUUGUUUGGAUAAGUUUUUUUUUUUAAAUAGUUUAUUAUUUUUGUUUUGUAAAAACAUUGCAAAUUCAAUUUAUAUAAUAUAAAUUAAUUUAAUUCAAGUCUUAUUAAAACCAAAAUAAUUUUAUAAUUACAAAUAAAUUUAAAAAUAAUUUUUUUAGUAAAACAUGAAUAAUAAAAUUAUAAAUUAUAUUAUUGUGGACCCUGCAUUUAUGCUCAUGCGCUUCCACUUGUUGGCGAACUCAUUUUUUAUUUGAAAAUGAUUUAUUUUUUUAGAAAAUGACUUAGAGUCGCCACUUAUUUUUGUUUUAUUUUUAAAGGGCAAGCAAAAUAAGAAAGAAAACCCUAAGUGUGACUCCUUAUUCGAAAAAGGUAGUCUGUGUAAAACCGGAUCAGGGUUCAGGGAUCAGGUUACUUAUUGGGAAGGUAUGACAAUGACCGUAGCACUCCUCUAAGUCCUUAAAAACGGGCCUCUACUAAAAAAAAUAAAGUAAUCAUGGCAAUCAGUAAGGAAAUCACUGGAUACCCAGAACAAUUAUGCACAUGUGAGAAUUAAAACAUGCAUAAGAAUGGACAAAGUGAGAGUGGGUGCGUACCUUGACAACGAACCACAAUGCGUUAUCAAGAAAUGGGGUUAGUGCACGAUCAAUGAACAUAAAACACGUCACACAUGUCACUAAGCAGAGUGAGAAAUCAUCAGAUAUUACAAUUCAAUCAAAUUUAUUUUUAGAAGAAACAUCUGUUGAUGUAGAGCCCCUACCAAAGCCUAAUUUAUUUUUGCAUGAAUCAAUUUCAUAAAUUCAAUCGCUUGGAAUUACAGAAUUAAAUUCAUGCUUAUUUUAAAACAUCUUUUUAAAAUCAUGGAAGAUGUGAAAAUGGUUUUCCAAAGAGAAAAUGACAACUGAUUUUAUUGAAAAUGGGAUUUUGGGGACCUAAACGUUAAAGAGGGAUUAGGAAUUGAAAAUUAAAUCAUUUGAAAAUUGAAUUUUUCAAAAAUCAGUUUUGAAAGCAUGCAUGCAAGUAUGGACUGUGAAAGUGGGCCUAGGGAGGGUGGCCAUGCAAAAUGAGGUCAUACACGUGGGCCUUGGGUACAAUUGGGACUACUUUGCUGGUGCCAGUGGUGCUUGCAGCUGUCAUCCAUGAUUUCUUCAUUGGGAUCAAUUUCCAUUCUUACUGCCAAACAUUCCAUAACAAUUGACCAAACUAGUAACCCUGACCUUGCAUGAAAAUGAACGUUACCUAGAAACUCACUGCCAGUGAGAUUCAUUGCUCUUUCAAAAGGUCUCAUUUUCUUUCUCAUCCAAUUGCUUUAAGGAGCAUUCUAGCGUCACGAUUGGUGACUGCGCAUCAUCUAGAGCCUUCUUUCUUCUCAGAAUCAGGUUUGCGUGCAGAGGCCUGUGCUUGUUCAAGGUUGACCUAAAUUCAUCUAGGUUUAGAACCGACCAGUUGAGCUUGGGGAGCAACGACAAGAAUAUCAGUCACUUGCGAAGAGAAAACUCGAGAUCUUUCAAGUAAUGCCUGACAUAGAUUCCUCCAACCUGUGGCCAAUAUCUCAUUCCUUGUUGGCCAGACGCCUAUUAGGGCGUAUCUCAAUCAAUAAUAUGAUUUUUCGUUUGUUCACAAUAAAGACCGGAAGCCAUGGUUGUGAUUUAUGCAGUACAGAAGAAGUUGCCAUGGCUGGUAUCCUUACAAAUUCUGGUGUUUCUGCUAUCUGUUCAAGUGCAAAACACAACAGCUUUAUCAAGUUUGUCCCUAACAACUGAUAUUGAGCCCUCUGGAGGAAACCUUGAUAAAUUCAUAAUCACUUUUGACUCAUGCAUGGGCUGCCCAUCAAAUUUUCCUAGCAACGAGACGACUGCUGUCAUCUACUGCAAAGAGAAUUUCUUCUCGCAAAGACAAGAGGAGUUUAAGAAUACACACUAUUCUGCCAUUUCAUUUCCUCUUUCUCCACAACCAACAUAAACCAUAGUGUCUACAUUAGAGUACUUAGAAAGAGCUUAACUGAUGACCGUUUUUCCACAACCAAAUGCCCCAGGUAUGGCACAAAUUUCACCGAAAACAGAAGGGAAAAGGGCAUCAAGAACACGCUGUCCUGUAAGUAGUGGGGUAUCAGGACUACUCUAGGGAAGUUAUUUCUGUCAUUUUGAAAAAGAAAAAUUAAAGAAUGUACACAUGCUUUCAAGUGGACUGGAGCAUUCUACAUAUCAGGUGGUCUGUAGCCACAUGUGCCACUUUGUGGAAGUUGGAACAGUCGAUCACUAGGCUAUUUAGUGUGGCCAAGCCACGUUAAUCAAGGACAAGUCUUCAUACUUAAAAGUCAAAUGGUGCCUUUAGUCUCAUUACACAUGGCUAUUUAAAGAUGAACUAAUCUUUAGUGUAAUGUGAUUAAGACAGUACUAACUGAUCAAUAUUUUUUCUAAUUUUGGAUGCAAAUGCUUGCUGGCUUCAUCAUUGGAUGGGAUAAAGGUGCAUUCAUGACUCUGAAUACUUGCAGUAAUACUUGCAGUAAUACUUCAUUCUCUUUUUUCUCGAUGAGACUUCUUGGCACAAUUUUGCUUCUCAGCAACCUACCUCUCCAUGGAAAAUGAGUUGCGAUUGAUGGUACUGGAUAUUUUCUAGGAAGCUAAAUAUAGAUAUAUAGCACUCAAUGUCAACGAUAUAUAUAGCAUUAACAGUAUAUGUCUCAAUGCUCAUCAGCUACAAGCAAGGGACAAACACUUACAAUGAAUAACUCACGUCAACAUUCCUAAACAGGACAUAGAAGUGACAGAUCUAUAUAUAGAACACUGCAUAUGAGUCACAAGAAAAGAUAAUACGGGUGCAUAGCAGCUCUUAUAUUACAUAUUACUCAUACCGUUCAAAUUCACUCAGUUGGGAUGGGUGGGAGAAGGAGGCCUCUGGGGUGGCUUGUGCGUGUGAGAAGUGGAAGAAAGUUGAAUGGAAUGAAACUGAAAAACAGGGUAGAAUAGAGGUUUCUUGAAUCUUCUGAAAUCUUUAUUUUUCUGAGAUUUAUUCUCUGUUUUUGUGAGUCGUGACUCUACAUAUAUACAUGUAUUUAAAGUUAGUUAUGCCUUAUAACUAAUUAUCUAACAGUACCAAAACUAAUCAUCUAGUUGCAUGUUUCUAAUUAAUGCUAUUUAGUUACAACUAUAUAUGGCUUAACAUCCUCUCUCAAACUCAAAAGUCUAGCUAGAACAGUGAGUUUGCUUCAUAGAUUGAGAAAUUGUUGAAUAGGUAAGGCUUUGGUAAGAGCAUUAGCAAUCUGGUCAUAAGAAGGAAUGUGUUGAACCACCAAAGUCUUAUUGAGCACCUUUUCCUGAACAAAAUGGCAAUCUAGUUCCACAUGCUUAACUCGAGAAUGAAAAUAGGAUUGGCAGCAAGAAAGGUGGCUGAAAGAUUGUCAUAGAACAAAACAAAAUAGGAGAAUAAGAAGAUGAGAUAGAAAACUCCUGAAGAAGAUGUUGAAUCCAUUGAAGUUCAAAAGCAACAUUUGCUAAGGCCCUAUACUCAGCUUCAUUGCUGGAACGAGACACAACUUUCUGCUUACUGGAGUUCCAGGAGACUAGAUUAGAGCUAAAAAAGAUGCAAUGACCACUUGUACUUCGACGAUCAUCAGGGCAACCAACCCAAUCAACAUCAGCAUAAGCAGUAAGUUGAAAAUCAGGAGAAGAAUAAAAGGAAAGACCAAAGGAAGUAGUGCCCUUAAGAUAAUGCAACAAUCGUUUAACAACUUGCCAAUGAAGAUCAGUUGGUUAUUGCAUGAAUUGGCAAAGUUUAUUGAUAGAGAAAGAGAUGUCAGGCCUUGUAAUGGUACAAUAUUGCAGGGCUUCAACAAUGUUGCGAUAUUGAGAAGGGUCAGCCAAGAGGGAACCUUUAGAGGCAGAUAAAGUGUGAGAGGUAGUCAUUGGUGUAUCAAUAGGUUUAAAAUAUGGAAGACCAGCACGAGUUAACAAGUCCUGAAUAUAUUUGGUUUGGGAAAGAUGAAGAGAAGAUCCUUGCCAACAUACUUCUACACCCAAGAAGUAAUUCAGAAUACCAAGGUCCUUGAGAGCAAACUGAAAGUGUAAAGACGAAACCAUUUGGUGGACUAGCACGGUAUUAAGACCACUAACAAUAAUGUCAUCAACAUAGAUGAGAAUAAUGAUCAUGUCAGUCCCUUUCCGAAGAGGAGCUUGCUUCAGACCCUACAAGGCUUUGCGAAGUUUACAGAAAAAACCGGGUUUAGAAUGAUCAACAAAGCCUGGAGGUUGAACCAUGUAAACCUCUUCUUCUAACUCACCAUUGAGAAAGGCAUUAUUAACAUCUAAUUGUUCCACUAACCAACCAUGAGAAAUAGCAAGAGAAAGAACAAUUCAUAUAGUAGUUGGUUUAACAACAAGGCAAAAGGUUUCAAAAUAAUCAAUACCAUAUGUUUGAUUAAAACCCUUUGCAACUAAGUAGGCUUUAAAACGAUCAAUUGAGCCAUUAGCUUUGAGUUUCAGCUUGUAUAUCCAUUUACAACUAAUAAUGCGUGUAUUAACAGGUUUAGGAACCAAUGUCCAUGUGGAAUUGGUGAGAAGAGCAUCAUACUCAGUCUUCAUAGCAGCUUGCCAAUUAGGAUGCAAUAUUGCUUCUUUGAAAGAGGAGGGUUCGACAACAGUAGUUUGGAUAGCAAGGCUAAAUAUUUUUUUGGGUUUAAAAAUACCAUUUUGGCUACGAGUAACAAUAGUUCGGUUUGGAAGUGAAAGAGGAUCAGUGGAGGAGGCUGGAACAAGGGAUUGUGGUAAAGUAGGAAAGGAAGGUGGAUGAGAUGGAACAAAAUCAGUAGGGACAAUAAUGGGAGAAGAAAAAUUAGGUGGAGAAUGAUGAGGAUUCCUUGAAGAUGGUGUAGGAAUAGAGAGAAUACCAGAAUCAAGAAGUGUUAAAGAAGAGUUGGAUGAUGAUACUGGUUGACAGGAUAAAGACUUUGUUAAAAAUGGAAAUCGAGUUUCAUCAAAUACAACAUGACGAGAAGCAUAUAUCCGAGAGGAAGCCAUAUCCAAACAGAGGAAUCCCUUGUGUUUAGCACUAUAACCCAAAAAACAGCAAACAACAAAUAUAUUUGCUAGCUUGUGAGAAGCAUAAGGGCGAAGAUAAGGAAAACACAAGCAUCCAAAACUUCAAAGAGAUGUAUAAUAAGGUAAACGAUUAUAAAGAACUCCAUAAGGAGAAUUUUGUGAAAGAACAGCAGAGGGAAGGCAAUUUAUGAGAAAAAUGGCAGUUUGAAAUGCAAAUGACCAAUAUUUGAGAGGGUAUACCAGCUUGUAUUAACAAAGAAAGACCAACUUCCACAACAUGACGAUUCUUUCUUUCAACUCUUCAAUUUUGCUAAGGAGUAUAAUGACAAGAGACUUGAUGAAGAAGACCAUUUGUAGCCAAAUAAUUCUGAAAAGCUGAAACUGAAACUCAUCAAAUUGAUUUUUAGUAUCAAAUUUUCUUCAGACUGAACACAUUGAUUUUUAGUAUCAAAUUUUCUUUCAACCAUGGCUUGAAAAUGUUGGAACAUAAGUAAAGCUUCAUCUUUAGUUUCCAAAAGGUACAACCAUGAGAAUAUGCUAAAAUCAUCAAUUAGCAAGAGGAAAUAUUGAGCAUUACCAUUGACAGAAACUAUAGGAGUUGCACCCCAAAGAUCAACAUGGAUGAGACCGAAUGGUUUUAUUGCUCUAGAAGUGGAUAUUUCAAAUGGAAAACGAUGGCUUUUAGCCAACUGACAAGACUCACAUACAGAGUUAUUAUUGUCAUGUUUCAAAGGUAUUUUAUAAAGAGAUAAGAUUUUGGAAACUACAUUAAUAGAGGGAUGACCAAGUCUAUUAUGCCAAAGCCUCAAAGAACCAACGGCUAAAGUACUACUAGUAGAGUAAAAUACUAGUGGAUGACCAACAACUCUUGGUGUAGCAAGAAGUUUAUAGAGACCCUUCUCAAUUUUUCCUUGAAGAAGAGCAAGUCUCGUUUCCUGAUCCUUUACCACAAAAUGAGAAGAACGAAAUUCAAUAAAGGUGCCAUUGUUUGAGUAAAAUCGUUGCACGCUAACUAAGUUGGUGGUAAUAGAAGGAACAUGUAAGACAUCAUUGAAAAACAAAGAACCACUUGAAGAGGCAAGAGAAAAUUUACCAAUAUUUGCAAUGGAUAAACCCUUACCAUCUCCAACAAUUACUUUGUCACCACUGGUAAAUGGAUUAUGGAUUGUUAAAUUGUUAAGAUCAGAUGUGAGAUGAUGGGUAGCCUUUGUAUCAAGAAACCAAUAAGUGUCUCCCAUUGUUGCAGAAGUUGUAGUCAUAGCCUCAGGAUUGUUAGAGGUGGAAUGUUUAGAAUCUUUUGGCUGAUAAUCAGAGUUAAACCGAUACCAGCAUUGUAAAGCGGUGUGUCCGAACUUACAACCGAGAGAAAUAAUCUUUACUUAUUCUCUAAAAACUGUUCUUUAUUCCACACAUUAUUUCUAAAAACUGUUUCUAGAUAACAAUGACAAAAUAGUAUUAGGAAUUUUUAAAAAUAAAAAUUGUUUUUAAAUUACAUGAUCUAUAUCAUUCACAUUUGACCAUUAUAGCUUUGUUCAGGAAAACACUUGAAAGUAACCUUAUCGUGAUAAGAGAUAUAAGUUGGCUGUAGUUUCAAACUGAAAACAGAGGAUGGCAAUAGAAAGCAAAGCAUUAGUUAUCUGCAAUCAGUGGUGAUCAUGCCCCAUGUCAAUUUCGGACCCAUAUCUUAAAACCGUAUAAUUUGCAUUUCAACAUUUCUGAUUUCUCAGAUGUUUCAUACUCCACAGAAGAACAUUGUUUGUGAAAGCAUGCAUUUAUGCUGGAUUUUGGAUGAUGUGGGAACUGGGGCAAGGAUCAUAUGGAAGAGUGGUCGAUUUUUUCUGUACUUUAACAUUUGAAAUAGGAGCAGCACGGGCAUUUGUGGGGCUUAAUUGAUUUUGAAGCCUGAAAUUGCGUUUCUGUCAUUUUGUAAAAAAUAUGGCAGAUUCCAUGCUCUCAUAUGUUUGGUCUGUGGCCAUGUAUAGAUGCCACUUAGUGACCAGUUUGUAACUGUCAAUCAUAGUGUUUUGACUCUGGCUCAACAACAUCAGCCAUUGACGGAUUUUCAUACAUGCAAAUCAAAUAGUCUUCUUCCUCCCUUAGGAAUUUCGGUUUAAAUGUUAUUAAGCAUACAUUUGGCUGACAAUUAUUAACCACUUCAUGAUAUGGUUUCUUACCCUUAAUCAAUGGUUUCUAAGUGAAUAUAUGCAGAAGGAAAUCUGAACUGUAGACAGCAGUAUUGAUAAUUAUCAAUAUUCUUUAUAUAAGAGAAUAAACAACGUCAUAGUGAUCGUCGCCUACAAGAAAGGUACAUUUCCCAACAAGAUGUAGUUGUGACUGGUACAUGGACGUAAUUAACUCGUAGAAAAGGAUAAGACCAGUGCACGGCAGCUCUUAUUUUACAUGCUAAUUAUGCUAACCAAAGUCACUCAGUUGGGAUGGGAGGGAGAUGGAGGUUUGUGCGGUGGCUUGUGGGGCGGAGUUGGUGGCUUCUUUUCAGGAGCUUGUGGCUUUUUCGGAGCUGAAGGAGGCUCAAUCUUAUGAGGCGGCUUGUACGAGUCUUCUUUACUCUCGACAGGAGGGUGGCCAGGGUUGUGACCAUAAUGUGGUGGCUUCUCUCCCUUAGGUGGCUUGCCAACUGGGGUUGGUGGCUUGUGUUCAGGAAGUGGUUUCUCUCCCUUGGGAGGUUUACCAAUUGGGGUUGGUGGCUUGUGUUCUGGGAGUGGUUUCUCUCCCUUGGGAGGUUUAGUGGGUGACUUGUGUUCUGGAGGUGGCUUCUCCACCGGAGGCUUGUGCUCCGGUGGUGGCUUCUUGGUUGGAGGGGGCUUGGGGUAAUCAGCAAGAGAUGGGGGGGUGAGAACCACCACUCCAAGGAACAACACUAGCAAGUAUGUGGGAGACAUUUCUGAGUUUGAGCUGAUCAGAUGAUGCAAAACUAGAAGAAUUACGUGACCUUUUAUAGCAAGUAGCUCCCAAUACCCACAUGACACGUGUUACUGUGACCAUAAAUAUUAUAGGGUCCAUUUGUGCCCUACCGGGUUGAAAACUUGGACGCUUGGCCGAGGACACACCGAACUAUGGAGGACUAUUGACGUGUGAUCACAGCUUUUGGAUUUUUCUUCCUGUGCAGCUGUCUAGCGGUUGGCAUUAUUUUUUUAAUCUUAAAUAAAGGCAUAGUUAUAGAGUACAUUUAUAUAUCUUCAGAUAGCCAUUAAUAUAUUUGAUGAAGAAAGACAAGUGCAUACAACAUGUAUACGGCUUGCUUCAAUCGAGUACAUUUAUGAUCAGUUUUCCAGUGCAAGUAAACCAGUUUUUUGUUCCACAACUAUUUUGGAAUCUUGUUUAUCAGUUUCUAUCAUUAUAAUGUCACAUAGGCUGCAAACUUGGGCACCCAAAGAUCUAGUUGGGCAAAUUUGUUUCAGAAUUUCAAUGGUGGAUUCAGUAAUUGUUAAAAGGUGUUUCUUCAUUAAGGAAAGAGUCCUGUAAAAAUAUUGUUAAAAGGUGUCAUAGAAACUAUAAUAAUUAAAUAACUUCUUUUCCCCGUGGGUGGUGUUUCUUCUGGGGAUACCCAAAAUGAGUUCAGAUUAAAAUUGGUUCGAGUCAAAGCUGUCUCUUUUGUCCAGAAAUCAACUAUUUUGCGCAUUGCAUGAAUCGAUAAAGAAAAAAUGAAAGCCAAAUCACACCUCCCCUGCAAAACCUAAACCCCGGUUGCUAACUUUCUAUGUUUCAGUCCUAUUCAUACAGGAAUAUUGGUUCAAGUUUGAGAAAAAUGGCAACUUACCUAGGGAUUACUUGGUUGUGGUUUGCGACGACUAUUUACGCAACCAACCAUGAGUUUGACUUUAACGUCAUGGGUUGAAGCCUCCUACAAUCGUGUAUGAUAGUUCAAAGCUCGUAGUAGAAAUUAUACAGGAAGGAAGAAACCUCCAAAGCUAGCUCCAAAAGAGAAUUAUCACAUCGAUAGCUCCAGAGAUUCCCAAGGGGACUGAAUCAAAGACAAGUUCCUCACUUUUUCUUCUUUUGAGGCCAAAUAUGAACCAAGGAUCACACGACCUCAUUCAACUUCAUAAGUUUGAUUUCAUGCAGUUGAACACUGGGUGAAGGCCAUGACAAGAAUUGAUUAAAAAAUUCUACCACUGUUUUAAGUAAUGGAAGAUUAUUAUCUCUGAUUGGCACCACAACAGCACAUGCUGCUAGAUCUUUCUAGACACUCCAUGCAAUGAAAGUACAAUGGAUCUUGUAACGAUAGAAACUAAGCCAUGCUACAGUACUAGAUGACGAGGUAAAACUAUUAGACAUGGGUGGCAGCCUAUAUGGGAGGGACACAAGUCUAAUUGAUUUGCAUUUCAGCGUUCUAGAUGGGUAUGUUUUGGAAGAUUUGUUCUGGAAAUACCGCACCAAGUAGGAUUCUUUUUUCUCUUGAGUGGGUCCACUUGCAUGCCAAUUAUCGAGUUGAAAAGUAGAGCACCUACCUCGUGCUCGUGGAACCGAAGGUCAGUGAAGUGGGGCUCCUUUUGGCCUCUUGUGUUUCUGUUCCAACCAAGGCGGCGGAGGGAAAAACAGCAAUAUGUCUCCGCUAAAUAUCAACGCAUGAUAGCGAAUGAGGGAGAAAAAAAGUAAUUGGCAUCUCAAUCUCACAAACUUGGUACAGUAGUGACAUUAAUAGUCUUCCACAUGGUUUUUAUUUUAUUUUAUUUUAUAUUUUAUAUUUUCCAUUUUUUUAUUUUUUUGUAUGUCAAGGCUAAUGAAUAAAAUGCGUUAGCUUGUUUUGUGAUUGGAACUGCAAAUGUCCAAAUUGGAGUUUCUCCAUUUCUCAGUUCGGAUGGUUAACUUUAUAAACAAGAUAUAGGAAACAUGUGAACGUCUUGAGGAACAAUUCGAAUUAUUGAUUAGAACUCCUAGGUUGAGUUCCAAGAUUUAAAUCAGACCCCUCUAGCAGCUUCAGGGGUACCUAGCAAUUAGAACAUAUUAAUGAAGAUUUAGGAUUUAGACUCCGGAAUACAAAUUAAUAUGUAUCUUAUGCUCUGACUAGCUUCCCUGCAUAUGCACAAAAUGGAGAUGACCCAAAAAAUAGCAGAAUCGCCUUAGUUUAUGUGGUUAAGGUGAUUCUCCGGUUAAUAUCCACAUUGGCUCAUUAUGCAAAUCAACUGAGCUAUUUUUUUUUUAAUGUCAAAUAGGAACUCCUAAUUAACCUAACCAUUGGCCUGUGUAAAUUGAUUUCACAUGCACAAUGUUGUAGUAGAAGUCCACAUUUUGAAUUUUAUUUUUGGAAAGGUAAGGAAAAUGAAGCAUUGUGUAAUUAUAAAAAUAACUUCAUUGGAAUUCACAAGGUUCACCCAAAAUGGAGCUACAUCCGUAUUCUAUCUUACAGUAGACUAUAUAGAUUGUACAAUAGUAAAUUGCAAAUACAAUUAAUAAGUCUUGUGUUUCCUUACUAAUAAUCCUUUGACAUAAACAUUGCAGCACUAAGGUCCUCUUGGGCAGACACCUUGCACCCAUGAGAGCACUAAGAGGAAGCAAGGCGGAGUCAUGGGUGCAAUGUCAUGACUUGUUGCACUAAGAGAGGCUUGGUGAUGGCAUAGUGCUGCAGUAGCAAGAAUGUUGCCUUGGCAGGGACACGAUCUAGGGACAGAUGCCAAGAAAGGCUUAGCACUCACAUGAGUUGCACAAAGAUGAAUGAAAUAGAACAUCAAAGAGACAUCUUGGCAAGCUCAAGAAAGACAUGUGGGUUGGUAAAUGAAUGGAUGCAAGAGGCAACAACAUGAGGAGUUUCAAAUGGAUAGGGAAUGAGUCAAAGACAUUUGAAAGCUACAAGUUGGAUUCUAAUUACGAUUGCAAUUUGAGUUUGAGUAGGAGUUUAUAUUAUGAUUGUAAUUGUAGUAUGAGUUGGACUAGGAUUGCUUAUCCCUAGUCAAAAUAGGAGUUGUUCAUGCCACACCCUAUGAAAAGAGUUUGAGUAGGGACUAGGAUUGCUUGCUCCUAGUCAAAUAUGGAGUAGGUGGUGCCACACCUAUAAAAAAAAAAGGGACAACAUGAGAGAGAGAGAGAAUGAAUUCACCAAAGAUAUUGUGGGAGUUUUGCUUUGUUACAUCUUGUAUUAUUAUUUAGAAUAGUAAUAAAAUACAAGUUGGGGCUAGAGCCCCAUAAUCUCGUGUGCCUUUGUGGGUUAUUCUUUAUUUGCCAUCUCGUGUGGAUUGGAUUAGAUUGAUGAGGCGAAAUAUUAUGUGGGAAAUUUAUGUUGGGACACUUACCAUAACCAGGUAAAAUCUACCAAGUCUUUUGUAAUAUCUUCUACAAAUAUUUUAGACCAGUUCUUCACAAAACAUCAUAAUAUGUUUUGUGUUUCUCUUGGAUUUUGAGUUGAAUUGUCUUAGAUCAAUUGAAUGCAUCUCAAUAUUAUUAUCUUGUUUGAAGGCUUGAUGAUUUUCCAUUUAACUUUACUUUCUUUAGGUUAUGCUUGAUUCCUUAAAAGUACUAAGGAAAACAAAAAAUAAAAAAAAAUAAAAAAUGCAGAGGGUUAGGACAUGUGUUAUCUAAUUGUCCUAUCCAAAGAUAUUAAGAAAGUCAUGUAGGAAAGUAAUUGAAAACUAGGUCAAGAAAGGAGCAAAAGGGAAUUGUUUUGGUAUUUUCUUUUUUAUUCUUGAAGGUGGCAGAGCUAAAAUUUGAGAAAUCAAGCAAAACAUACUGAAAUUACAUUGAAAGAAAGAAAAUGGUAGUUAAUGUCUUGCAGUACAUGAUAAGGACUUCAUGCAUGUAGUGUGACGACCCAUGUCUUGGACUGAUGCCACACUCACGGUUACACUUAUACCCUUGGUUCUCUCUUUACUACCUUGGCUAACCUAGAUCAGGCUAUGAGAUAGGCUCCUCACCACACCAUCACUUGCCCAGUAAUUAGUGACAUUUUCAAGCAAUGAGGUAACAUGGUGACACCAAGAGGGUUUAUCCCUCGCCCCAACAAGUCUAGACUCGGUCUCAAAAAAAUGGAGAAAAAUGAGGUGUCGUUAUGCAGAAAUACAACAACCAUGCCUUCCUUAUUACUUAGAUUCAGAAUGUGAAGGUGAAAUUGAGAAACAGAAACUCUUGAAACCAGAAUGAAAAUUGAUACUUUUACGAAGAAUUACAACAUUAGAGGAAGACUACAUUCUUCCUCUAUAUUCCUACGUUUCUACACUACUUCUACUCCACUCCAUAUUUCUACAUACAUCUUUAAUCAGUUUUCCCUCCUUUAUAUAGAGCCAUCUUCACACAAAUUCCGCAAGGUAGAAAAGAGGAAUGAAACUUGGAGCAAGGUUCGACUACUGGUUGUCGCUUGUCAAGGCUGGAAUUGAACUUUUUUUCUUGGCUUUUCUGGGCAUAGGUAGUAACUUGUGGUUCCUUUUUGGAAUGAAAAUGGUACAGCUAGAACAUGUGGCACUCUCUUGUUGGAUUAUGUGUCAAACAUGUGGCAGCCAUCUAGUGGAGAUUAUUUCAAUUUUGGGAUGGAGAGUUGGCAUCCAAUUGCAAAGAAAUAUGACAUCUACCAACAUGCAAUGUAAACCUAUAUAGAUCAUAUGGAGAUAGAGAGGAAACAUAUAGAAAUGGAUAUAUACCUAGAACUAGCUUUUUAUUAAAUGAGACGGAGAGCCAACAAUGAAGGAAAAUCAAAAUUUUUGGCUCAUAUCAAAGAAUUCACAUUGUGUUACCCUAGGUUUUCUUAAAGCUUGCACAAAGCCAAAAAGCACACAAAAAAUUAUAUUUUCUAGCUCUCUACCUUGGAUGGUCUCUUGAUCCUACUUGGAGAUGUGCAUAAAUAAAAGGAUUUGAAAAUGACAAUUGACUAAGUAUGUAGUCAAUCAAUUACUCAUUAAUUGACUAGUUGAUCAAUUAACUUUGCAACAUCAUAUGCAAUCCUAAUAGCUAGUCAUCUAAUCAACUAGGUAGUAAAUCAAUAGGCCAAAAAUAUGUUUAUAAUGACUAUUUUGUACAAAAACCACCUAUAUGGUUAAAUAUAAUGCAUUUCAUUUAUAAAUCUUCUAAUUCUUGAAUAACGAUCCUAUCAUCCUUUGAAAGUUUUUAUUACACCUUUUAUACUUUUGUUCUAAAACUUACACAUGUACAUCACCCUUAAUUGUACCAUGAGAACCUAGCUUUUUUUUUUUUUUUUUUUGUAAUUCAUCAAAGUUAGCUUUUGUAUUCAUUACUGUACUAUUUUUAUUGUAACUUAGAAAGCGAGUGUUUUCAAGUGAGUGAAAUUGACUUAUAAAUAUUGUAAAGAUUCAUUGAUGUGUAUCUUAAACUAAGUGUACAAGUUGAAACAUUUGCUAGUAGAUUUUCUCAAGAUUUAGAAUAGAGCUUGAGGCUAUUGAAAUAGGUGGGGUUGCACCAAACCACAUCACAUUGUUGUUUGCACCUUUUUUUCACUCUCUUUUACUUAGUUGCUCUAUAUUUGUUGUCUAGUAAUAUCCUAUAGGCUUGAUGGGUUAGGGAGCAUCCCUUUGUGAAAAAUUUUCAUUCAAUCCUUAGUUGUAUCACGCAUAUAUAAAAUGCCUCAUUGUUUUAAUGGUAUUCAGUCGUGGCAUCACAGAUAUGGGCAUCUAAAUUUUAAAAGUUUGAAACUUUUAUCUAAAGAAAAUAUGGUGCUUUGCCUUUUUGUAAAGCAUGUUGAUGAAAUCCAUGAGAAUUGUGUACUUGGGAAGCAACAUCGAGAUGACUUUUUUUUUUUUCAUUUUUUAUAAUGCGACACCUAAGUCCGGUUUCUAAAUGCUGAAGUGAAAGGGUAGGUAUGGACCAUUGAAAUCUGAUCACAACUUUUGGCCUUUUCCUUUCUCUGCAGCCAUGUUGUCUCUUUUUUCUUUUGCAUGAUUUUCUUACCUAAACAGAAUCAUAGACUUGUUUAAUCUCUAAAUGGUAUUUCAUCCAGCUUUAAGCUACUGUAUUAUAUCUUGGUGGAGGACUUUUAAGAGUGAAACCGACAUAGAGCACAUGCAAGUGGGUAUAUGGGACAUGAAAUUUCUUCUUAUAAAGACUGCAUGGUUUUUAUAUUAGAGUUGUUGAGGCGCAAUGUAUUUAGCUUGUUUUGCAGUUAAAUUAAUUGGAUAAGUAGACAUUGUCGUUUCUAAAUUUCCCACCUAAGAUAGUGACCUUAUCCUUGACUGCUUGAUGAGAUACACAAACAAUUAUACCUUCAAAAUCUACUGUGAAGUGCUUCAUGUAUGUGUGAAGUAUUAGAAAUUUCUUUCUUGGCAACUUGUUUUUUCUUUGCCCUCUACUGAUAGGUUUGACUCAAAUUAAAUUCCCUGUCAUGCUAAUUAAUUUUCACGUGCAUGCUCAAAAGGAUCACGUCAACUCUGGUUUCUACUAUUCAGGUCCAUUCCCAGAUAAACUGGUUCAAAUUUGAGAAAAUGGCAACAGCCCUUUAGUGAUGUUGGUUUGGAGCCAGUAGCCAAACCCGCCCUGAGCUUUACCACUAAUGUCAAGGGACAAAGCCAUUUGAACAAAAACAAUAGCUUCAAGAGACUGAAUCGUGGAUGAAAUCUGAUCCACAUUUCUUCUCAUUUUGGGAACAAAUGAGAACUUAACUACAAAGAUUCUACUGCCUCAUAGUGCUUUUCCUGAUCUAAGGUUGGUUCGUUUCCCAAAUUGUGAGGUACGUGCCAUUCUCACGCUCAGGAGUGUAUCCACGUGGUGGACAUAAGAUGGUGGCUUAAUAUCUGGUGUCGGUGGCUUUACUUUACUAGGAGAGUAGUGUGUCUUCAUCUCAUUCACUGCCGGAGGGUGGCGUAAGCAGUGACGCUAAGGUGGGGCACAGUCAAUAUCAUUUGCAUUUGACCAUUAUAGUUUUCUCCCGGCUUGAAAGUAACCUUAUCGUGAUAAAGGAUUACUAGCACUAGUUCAGAUGACAGUCAUGUUAAAUUCGGACCAUGUUUGUGUCACAUUAUCAGCAACCAUGUGUUUAUGGUUCAUGCUAUCUGCAACUAAACUUGAUAUAUAACCACGUGAACUUCAAUCUAAAUUCUGGAAGUACUCUUGUGAUAGAUGGUGCCUGUCUGCAGAGUCCAUCAAUUGAAAAAUGGAGUGAGUGUAUCUAUAAGAGGGAAGGCUUGGCAAAUGUUCAGUUUUCUGGGAACUCAACAAGGAUCUAAAAUAGAUUGUUUUCUUUGCUGAUUUCAAUGGUUGAAAUUUGAGAAGAUUGUGUCCACAUAACACAACUAUUACUGGUCCUUCUGUUGCAAUUUAUCCUCUAAGGCUCUAACAUGUCUUCCAAUUCCCACUUCCCUGUUACUCCAGGAAAGCUAUUUCUGUCAUUGUGAAGAAGAAAAGAGAAUGUACAUAUCGAUGGUUUUAAGUGACUGGGGCAUUCAUAUCAGGUGGUCUGCAGCCAUAUAUGCCACUUUGUGAAGGUUGGAACAGUCAAUCACCAGGCUAUAUUAGUGUGGCCCAGCCACUUCAAUCAAGGACAAGUCUUCAUACUUAAAGUCAAAUUCUGCCUUUAGUCUCAUUAUAAAUUGCUGUUUAAAUAUUAAGCAAACAUUUGUUUAAUGCGAUUAAGACAGUACUAACUCAAUACUUGUUCUAUUUUUGGAUGCAAAUGCUUGAUGGUUUCAUCAUUGGAUGGGAUAAAGGUGCAUUCAUGAUUAUGAAUACUUGUAGUUAUAUUUUCAUUCUCUUUUUUCUCAAUGAGACUUGUUGGCACAAUUUUGCUGUUCAGAAACCUACCUCUCCAUCGAAAAUCAGUUGUGAUUGAUAGUACUGGAUAUAUUCAAGAAAGCUAAAUAUAGAUAGCACCAAAUAUUAUCGAUAUAAAUAGCAUUAACAGCGUACGUAUGUCUCAAUGCUCAUCAGCUAUAAGCAACGGGCAAACACUUACUAUGAGCAACUUGCGUCAAAAUUCCAGAAUAGGACAUAGAAGUGACAGAUCUAUAUAUAUAUAGAACACUGCAUAUGAGUCACAAGAAAGGAAAUUACGGGUGCAUAGCAGCUCUUAUUUUACAUCCUACUCAUACUGAUCAAAGUCACUCAGUUGGGAUGGGUGGGAGUAGGAGGUUUGUGGGGUGGCUUGUGCGGAGGAGUUGGCAGCUUCUUUCCAGGACCUGGUUGCUUCUCUGCUGGAGUUGAAGGAGGCUUAAUCUUCCGAGGUGGCUUGUAUGAGUCUUCAGCAUUCUCAGCAGGAGGGUGACCAGGGUUGUGACCAUAAUGUGGUGGCUUCUCUCCCUUAGGUGGUUUGCCAACUGGGGUUGGUGGCUUGUAUGAGUCUUCAGCAUUCUCAGCAGGAGGGUGACCAGGGUUGCGACCAUAAUGUGGUGGCUUCUCUCCCUUAGGUGGUUUGCCAACUGGGGUUGGUGGCUUGUGUUCUGGGAGUGGCUUCUCCCCCUUGGGAGGUUUUUCCAAUGGGGUUGGUUUGUGUUCAGGAGGUGGCUUCUCCACUGGAGGCUUGUGUUCAGGAGGUGGCUUCUCCACCGGAGGCUUGUGUUCAGGAGGUGGCUUCUCCACCGGAGGCUUGUGUUCAGGAGGUGGCUUCUCGAAUGGGGGAUGCUCAGGGUAAUCAGCAAGUGAGGGGUUGGUGAGAACCACCAUGCCAAGCAACAGGACUAGCAAGUAUGUAGGAGACAUCUUUGGGUUUGGACUUAAGACAGUGGAAAACUGCGAGAAUUCUCUAGCCUUUUAUAGCGGGUCGACCCAGUACUCACAUGACACGUGUCAUUAUGACACAUGUGCCAUGGGGUCGAUUUGGGUCCUACAGUGUUGAAAAGUUGGGCAUUUGAGGUGUGAGCACAACUUUUGGCCUUUGCUUUCUCUACAGCCGCCAUGCUUUUCCCUUUUUUCCUUUUCCUUUUGUUUUCCUCCUGCCUCGUGUUCUCAACUAAACACAAUUAGGUUGUUUAAUUGUUAAAUGAGAUUUUUGUCUGUCAAUCAUAUUAUAUCCUAUCAAGAGAGAACAGAGUGUAAUGUAGUACACAUAACACGAGGCAGUAGUAAUUUUAUCAUUUAUUUUUAUAGCUUGGACCACCGCAUUUUUUCUUCUAAAAUAUUCUGUCUUGUUAAGAGACGCAAUAAUACACAAUUUUAUCUGCCAUUCAACAUUUACUGUAAAGUUCUUUUAUCUCUUUGUAGUUCUAGAAAAGUACAAAAUGGAACAUCAUGUAUAUGGUGCCUUCUGUCCUAAAAAAGAAACUGGACAAAUUAUGAACUGCAUGCUAAAAAGAGGCAAAGGAGCUUAAUUCGCAGCAUAAUUAUUUUGGUUUCUAGAGAGCCCGGGGCCUUUUGGUUGGUUUGGGGUCAGAAAAUGAACAUCAUAGGGAUUGUGCCCUUAACUGGCCUUGUUACUACAAAGAAAUUGCCAUAGAAAUUUAUUCCAGGCUGAGUAUCUCCGGAUAGACCCCAGAAAAGAAGAGUCAUAAUGAGAAUCAACCUUUGUUGAGUUUGAUUCCAUGCCUCCAUUGUGUUCAUUUCAUGAAUCUGAUUUGCAUUUAACAUUACAGUUUUGUUCUGGAAACAAUCAAAGGAGCAUCGUUUGCUUCUUGGGUGACCCAUAGUGGUGGGUGGGUCGAUUUGCUUAGUUGAAAAUUGGACAAUUGGCUCCAUCGCCUACCUCUUGGAUUCCAUGCUCGGAUAAAACGACAACAAAUAAAUAUUUAUAACUUACAACUGGGGAAAGGAAAAAAUAGUACUAAAUUCAUGGUACAUGAUAGUGAGAGAAGGGGGUGUUACACUCAGCUAAAGUUCUUUUCUAAAUAUUGCAUGGUGUUUAAUUUUAUGUGUCGGCGCGCGUGUGAAUGGAACCUGCAAAAGUCCAAAUUGGCGUUUCUCCAUUUUCCACAUAGGAUGGUGACGUUAAUAGACAAAGAUACAAUAUCUGUAGACAUUGCUUAAAAAUCGAUGUGAAGUAUUAGAAAUUACAGGCCACUGUACUGGGGGAGCGGCUGCCCCGCCAAAGGAAGAAUGUAGCAAUUUCUUCUGUUAGCCAGGCCUUAGGAUUUAUGCAUGGGAUGCCUAAUAACAAACAGAGAAAAUAUGCUUUUGGGGAAGGUAUCCAACAACAGACACCAUCAUUCAGAUGGUGGGAAGGUAUCCAACAGAUGCCAUCAUUCAGAUGGUAACAUAUAUAUACAUUUAUUAGUGAGUUUUUUUAAUACCUAUAAAAAAAAUAUACACUUUGAUAUUGUGGCUGAAUCCAUUACAUACUCAACUAACCUUGCUCAUUAGGGAUUUGACGUAACAAGGGCAACGUUGCAGUAAAAGCUCGAAACUUUAUGCAGGUGACAUUACAUUUGGUAAAGAAGAGGAAAAUAAGGAAAGCCAUCCAUAAAAGCAAAAUUCCUCAUGGGAUGAAAUUCACAAACUUCAUUUACGUUAGAGUCGCAUCCAGGCAAUUAAUUCCACAUUAGACCGCCUUUUGACAUGUGUACGGAUCUUUUUUCAAAAAUUAUUUAUAAAUAAUUGAUACUUACAAAAAUAAUUUAAGAUUUAUAAAGGAUAAAAAAAUAUUUUCAAAUCUAUGACAAUUUAUAAAAUAUUAAUAAAAAAUUAUCUCUUAAACUUAGUAUAGUUUUAUCGUAUUAAACUUUUAUUUUGAACAAAUAAUUUUAAUCUAAGUUUUAAAUUCUAAAAUUAUUUCCUUAAAAUAAAAUUUUAAAAUUCAACACUUCAAUUGAAAUUGUCUUUUAAAAAAAAUAUCUUCUUAUUUUAAUCCUUAUAAACUAUAGUUGAUUGAAAAUACUAUUGAAGUUCUCUCUUCAAAAAAAGUCUUAUUUUAAUCUUCAUAAAUUGCCCUUGAUUUGAAAAUAAACUUUGGGUUAUCAUAUUUUAAAUAAUAUAUAUAUAUAUAUAUAUAUAUAUAUAUAUAUAUAACAAAUACUCUAUUUUUUUUUUAAAUGAACUAAUUUUAAUUAUAUUUUAUUUUAUUUUUUUAUAUAUUUUUAAUGAUAAACCAAACAUAGAAAAUCAUUUUUCUAAAUAUUUUAAAAUUUCUAAGCAACCAAACAUAAUCUUCAAAAUAAAAGGAGAAUAAGGAGGGACAAGUGAGAAAUGGCGAUUAAAAAAAAGUGUACAAAAGCUCAAUUAAUUUUCUUCUAGUCUUUUAUAUAAAAAAGUAUUGGUAUGUAAAUUAAUAUUUGGAUUUUAAUAGUAUUUUAUUUGUCUUUCUCUAUCUCAUGUAAAAGAGAAUUUAAGAUAUUUCCUAAAGCAAAGCAUUAGUUAUCUGCAAUCAGUGGUGAUCAUGGUCCAUGUCAAUUUCGGACCCAUAUCUUAAAACCGUAUAAUUUGCGUUUCAACAUUACUGAUUUCUCAGAUGUUUCAUACUCCACAGAAGAGUAUUGUUAGUGAAAGCAUUUUGUAACUGUUACUCAUAGUGUUUUGACUCUGGCUCAACAACAUCAGCCAUUGACGGAUUUUCAUACAUGCAAAUCAAAUAGUCUUCUUCCUCCCUUAGGAAUUUCGGUUUAAAUGUUAUUAAGCAUACAUUUGGCUGACAAUUAUUAACCACUUCAUGAUAUGGUUUCUUACCCUUAAUCAAUGGUUUCUAAGUGAAUAUAUGCAGAAGGAAAUCUGAACUGUAGACAGCAGUAUUGAUAACUCUCAAUAUUCUUUAUAUAAGAGAAUAAACAACGUCAUAGUGAUCGUCGCCUACAAGAAAGGUACAUUUCCCAACAAGAUGUAGUGGUGACUGCUACAUGGACGCAAUUAACUCGUAGAAAAGGAUAAGACCAGUGCACGGCAGCUCUUAUUUUACAUGCUAAUUAUGCUAACCAAAGUCACUCAGUUGGGAUGGGAGGGAGAUGGAGGUUUGUGCGGUGGCUUGUGGGGCGGAGUUGGUGGCUUCUUUUCAGGAGCUUGUGGCUUUUUCGGAGCUGAAGGAGGCUCAAUCUUAUGAGGCGGCUUGUACGAGUCUUCUUUACUCUCGACAGGAGGGUGACCAGGGUUGUGACCAUAAUGUGGUGGCUUCUCUCCCUUAGGUGGCUUGCCAACUGGGGUUGGUGGCUUGUGUUCAGGAAGUUGUUUCUCUCCCUUGGGAGGUUUACCAAUUGGGGUUGGUGGCUUGUGUUCUAGGAGUGGUUUCUCUCCCUUGGGAGGUUUAGUGGGUGACUUGUGUUCUGGAGGUGGCUUCUCCACCGGAGACUUGUGUUCUGGAAUUGAUUAAAAAAAUUCUACCACUCUUUUAAGUAAUGGAAGAUUAUUAUCUCUGAUUGGCACCACAACAGCACAUGCUGCUAGAUCUUUCUAGACACUCCAUGCAAUGAAAGCACAAUGGAUCUUGUAACGAUAGAAACUAAGCCAUGCUACAGUACUAGAUGACGAGGUAAAACUAGUAGACAUGGGUGGUAGUUGAUUACUACUCAAAAAGUACUCUUUUAUAGUUUGAAACUAACUGUUUUAAACACUUUUGAGUAGUAGUUAAUAAAUUUUAACUCAAUUGGCACAUUAAGGAACCUAGCAAGGGUUACUAAUAAACUUUUGGCAAGUUUUGGUGUUUUUGGUAGUUAUUCGAUCAUUGAAACAAGCCAAGAAUGAGGGAGAAUUUUGUGAAGUCCAUGGCAAUGCAAGUUAAAGCUCAAAUACACGAAGAAUCCAAGCUUUGGAGCACUACAUAGCCCUUUGCCAAGCCAAUUAGAGAUGCAAGGAACAAAACCAAAGGAAGAAAUCCAACAACCAACAUUUUCGCAUGGUUGUGUGAAAUUUCGCACACCAUGCGAAACCACAAGAGGUAGCCAAAGAAUUUCACAUGGUAUGCGAAAUCUUCUCAUGCACCGACUCCGUUAGAUUUUUAUCUUCAGAUAUUUUGUGUAAUUUCCUAGUUUCUCCUUGUAACCAACCUAGAUAUUUUCUUUUAUAUCUUUUUUUAUAUUUUUUAGGUAACAUCAUAUAUAAGGGGAGAGACAUAAGGAGGAUAUGGAUGUUUUUCAUAGAACACUUGUAAAUUUUCAGUAGUAAGAAAUAUACAAAGCUUUUUGCUAUGCCUUACCUUCUCAUUUUGUUUUCACCUGUCUUUCUAGCCAAACAACCUCUAAGGAUGAUUUCUCAGGGGAUGAGUGGCUAGGUUUUACGUUUCUUGGAGUGAGGGAAGCUAGGUGAAGGACCUGAAUGCAAAGAUGAGAGUUUUCCUUGCUUUAAAUGAAAGUAGUUGUUAAACAUUAAUGGUUUUUAUUUUAAGGUUUAGCUUUAAAUCCCUUAAAAACACCUUGAAUGACCAAUACUUGGUAAGCUUUUCGGAUUCUAUGGAUGCUUAUUGCUAGAUCCAUGGAUGUCUAUUAGUUAUCAUUUACGAGCCUUUGGAAGGUGAUUCAAGGUGAGGGUCUUUAGUGUUUGAAGCCAUUAAUGGGAAGCAAUUACCAUUUUUUCAUGAAUCCUUUGGAUCAAAUCUUAAUUGCUAAAUAUAAAACCGAUUUGGGAAAUAACCAUCCUUUAUGUUAUUAUCCCCAACGCAAGGAGAAGAUCCGGAAUCUUCCCUUUUGUCUAAGGAACCCGAUCCUAGUGACCUAAAGCUCCAAGAGACCUUUUCUUUGUAGUUAACUUCAUUUAUUGUUUUUGCUUAACUUAAAAUCAAUCUUUGCAACCACAAUUCCAUUUUCUUUAAAAGCUAAUUUUUAUAAGGAAAAACACCAUUUUAUUUCCUUCACUAAGUCAACUGUACGAUGAAAACCCAUCCCUGUGGACGAUCCUAGAGCCAUUAUACUAUGUUAGCUAUGCUACCCUAGUGUGAGGUGAUUUAGGUUUUAUAAAUUUUGUUGAUAACACCCAUCUGAGCCAGAAUCAAAUGGCACAACUGAACCAGGGACGAAUCAAAUGGCGCCGCUAUCGAGGAUGGUGCCAAAGUACAUUGACAUGACUUUUGGUGAACACUUGUGAUCUUCAUCACAAGUUUGGUGAUUUUUCUAUUACUAAUUUUUUUCUUUGUUUUUAUUUUAGCUUAUCUUUUAUUUAGUUUUUAGCUAACCUUAACUUUUUCUUAGAAUUGUAUUUCUUCUAUUUUCUUUGUUUUUGUUUCAGUGAUCUUUAGUUGUGCAUGCCCUAUUGGAUAAGAAAUAUUGAGGGAAUACUUGUGAAGAUUGAAAAUCCUCGAGAAACUGAGUUGGAAGUGUGAUUGAACAUCAUGGAUGUUCCACCUGAAGACCAGAAUAGCCAACAUGGUUAAGAGGAUAAUUUCAAAGCAUACCGAUCCAUGAGGGACUGCAUGCAUCCACCUCGUAUGAGUGCACCGUCAUGCAUAGUGCCUCCCACUGAGCAACUAGUAAUCUGACCUCACAUUGUGCCACUCCUACCUACUUUCCAUGGGAUGGAGAGUGAGAAUCUCUACUCGCAUAUUAAGAAAUUCGAGGAGGUUUGUAAUACAUUCCAAGAAGGAGGAGCUUCAAUUGACUUGAUGAGGCUCAAGCUAUUUCCUUUCACUUUGAAGGAUAAGGCUAAGAUUUGGCUUAAUUCUUUAAGGCCAAGGAGUAUCCGAACUUGGACUAAUUUGCAAGCCGAUUUUCUUAAGAAGUUCUUCCUUACCCAUAGGACCAAUGGUUUGAAAAGGCAAAUUUCGAACUUCUCAGCUAAAGAGAAUGAGAAAUUCUAUGAGUGAUGGGAGAGGUACAUGGAAGCUAUUAAUGCUUGUCCUCACCAUGGCUUUGACACAUGGCUCUUAGUGAGUUAUUUUUACGAUGGUAUGUCUUCUUCAAUGAAGCAACUCCUAGAAACUAUGUGUGGAGGAUACUUCAUGAGUAAGAAUCCGAAGGAAGCCAUGGACUUUUUGAGUUAUGUGGCUGAAGUUUUAAGAGGAUGGGAUGAACCAAAUGCUAGAGAGGUGGAAAGAAUGAAGUCUCAACCUAAUGCUAAGGGUGGGAUGUAUGUUUUGAAUGAAGACAUUGACAUGAAAGCAAAGGUUGUAGCUAUGGCAAGGAGAUUGGAAGAGCUAGAAAUGAAGAAGGCACAAAAAGUGGAAGCCAUUUCUGAGACAUCAGUGCAAGCUAUGCCUUGUUCCAUUUGUCAACCUAAUGCUAAGGGUGGGAUGUAUGUUUUGAAUGAAGACAUUGACAUGAAAGCAAAGGUUGUAGCUAUGGCAAGGAGAUUGGAAGAGCUAGAAAUGAAGAAGGCACAAAAAGUGGAAGCCAUUUCUGAGACAUCAGUGCAAGCUAUGCCUUGUUCCAUUUGUCAAUCUUAUGAGUACCUAGUGGAGGAGUGUCCUACAAUUCCAGUAGUGAGAGAGAUGUCUGGUGAUCAAGCAAAUGUUAUUGAUCAAUUCAAGCCUAAUAAAAAUGCUUCAUAUGGCAACACCUACAAUUCAAAUUGGAUGAACCAUCCAAAUUUCUCUUGGAAACCAAAGCUACCUCAAUACACACAACCUGCUCAAGCACCUUAGCAAUCCUCGAAUCUUGAACAAGCUAUUGUGAACCUUAGUAAGGUUGUGGGAGAUUAAAAGUCCAUCAAUGCUCAACUGAAUCAGAGAAUUGACAGUGUAGAGAGUACAUUGAACAAAAGGAUGGAUGAGAUGCAAAAUGAUCUGUCUCAAAAGAUAGACAAUGUCCAAUAUGCAAUCUCAAGGCUUACCAACCUCAACACAGUGCAAGAGAAAGGAAAGUUUAUUUCUCAACCUCAUCAAAAUCCCAAGGGUAUCCAUGAAGUGGAGGCUCAAGAGAGAGAAUCUUCAAAGGUGAGGGAAGUCAAAGCAGUUAUCACCUUGAGGAGUGGUAAAGAGGUUGAUCAACCCACAUCCAAGCCAAAGCAUAAUGAAGAGAGUUUUGUAGAAAAAGAAAAGAGAGGAAAAUAAAGGAAAGAGAAUAGAGAAAAGUACAAAGAAAGAUGACCAUGAGUCUAGUGUGGAUGAAGAGCCCAAGAGGAUAGUGAUCAAGGAAAAUAUGAUGAAGAAACACAUGCCUCCACCUUUCCCCUAAGCUUUGCAUGACAAAAAAGGAACCAAUAAUACAUCGGAAAUUUUUGAAGUAUUGAGGCAAGUGAAGGUCAAUAUCCCUUUGCUAGAGAUGAUCAAACAAGUGCCGACAUAUGCAAAAUUCUUGAAGGACUUGUGCACUGUAAAGAGAGGGUUGAAUGUGAACAAGAAAGCUUUCUUGACCGAGCAAGUGAGUUCCAUCAUACAGUGCAAGUCUCCAGUGAAGUACAAAUAUCCGGGCUACCCUACCAUCUCAGUGAGUAUUGGAGGUACUUGUGUGGAAAAAGCUUUGUUGGACUUGGGAGCAAGUGUGAAUUUGCUACCCUACUCUGUCUAUAAGUAGUUGGGACUUGGAGAGUUGAAGUCAACAUCCAUCACCCUAUCUCUGGCAGAUAGAUCAGUGAAGAUUCCAAGAGAGAUGAUAGAAGAUGUCUUGGUUCAAGUUGACAAAUUCUACUAUCCAGUGGAUUUUGUUGUUCUUGAUACGGAUCCGAUUGUCAAAGGAACUAAUUAUGUUCCUAUCAUACGAAGACCCUUCCUAGCUACAUCAAAUGCAAUCAUCAAUUGUAGGAAUGGAGUCAUGAAACUCACGUUUGUCAACAUGACAUUAGAGCUCAACAUCUUCCAUUUGUACAAGAAGCAUAUCCAUUCAGAAGAAAAAGAAGGUCUAGAGGAAGUGUGCAUGAUUGACACUUUAGUGGAGGAGCAUUGUGAUCGACAAUGCAAGAAGAUUUAGUUGAGAGUUUUGGGGAUCUUGAUGAAGGGUUACUUGAACCCUCAGAUUUGCUUGCUACCCUACUCCAUUGGAGGAAGAGAGAAGAAAUUCUACCCUUAUUCAAUGAGGAGGAGACACAAAGAGCUGCUAAAGAUAAGCCCCCAAAGCUUAUUCUUAAGCCACUACCCACAGAGUUGAAGUAUGCAUACUUGGAAGAAGACAAGAAGUGCACUGUUGUUAUAUCUUUAGCUCUUACCAUUCAUCAGGAGGAUUGUCUACUUGAAGUCCUUAGAAGAAGUAAGAAGGUAAUAGGGUGGCAAAUUUCUGAUUUGAAAGGGAUCAGCCCUUUUGUCUGCACCCAUCAUAUUUACAUGGAGGAUGAAGCUAAGCCAAUUCAUCAACCUCAGAGAAGGUUGAACCCUCACAUGCAAGAAGUGGUGAGAGUUGAAGUUCUUAAGCUACUUUAGGCUGGUAUUAUUUACCCCAUAUCAGAUAGCCCAUGGGUGAGUCCUACUCAAGUUGUGCCAAAGAAGUCGGGGAUCACGGUGGUGCAAAAUGAUAAGGGAAAAGAUGUCUCUACAUGUCUCACUAUAGGUUGGAGGGUGCGUAUCAAUUACAGGAGGUUGAAUGUAGUGACAAGGAAUGACCAUUUCUCGUUGCCCUUUAUUGAUCAAGUGCUUGAGAGGGUCUCUGGGCAUCCUUUUUAUUGUUUCUUGGAUGGCUACUCGAGGUAAUUUAAGAUAGAAAUUGAUGUUGAAGACCAGGAGAAGACCAUUUUCACAUGCCCAUUUAGAACCUAUGCAUAUAGGAGAAUGUCUUUCGGCUUAUGCAAUGCACCCACAACUUUCCAAAGAUGCAUGUUAAGCAUUUUCAAUGAUAUGGUGGAGCAUAUUAUGGAAGUCUUUAUGGAUGAUAUCACCAUAUAUGGAAGUGCAUUUGAUGAAUGCUUGGUCAACUUAGAAGUUGUUCUGAACCGAUGCAUUGAGAAAGACUUAGUGCUUAAUUGGGAGAAGUGCCAUUUCAUGGUACACCAAGGGAUUGUCCUUGGGCACAUCAUCUCCAAGCAAAGCAUUGAAGUUGACAAAGCAAAGGUUGAACUCAUUGUUAAGUUGCCAUUCCCAACAAAUGUCAAAGGAGUAAGGCAAUUCCUUGGCCAUGCCGGGUUCUAUAGGAGGUUUAUCAAGGAUUUCUCUAAGCUUGCAAGGCCUCUUUGUGAAAUAUUGGUGAAGGAUGUUAAAUUCAUAUGGGAUGAUAGAUGCCAAAGGAGUUUUGAAGAAUUGAAGCUAUUUUUGACAACCUCACCAAUAGUGAGGGCUCCCAACUAGCAACUGCCCUUUGAGGUAAAGUGUGAUGUCAAUGACUUUGCUAUAGGAGCUGUUCUUGGGCAAAGAGAAGAUGGAAAACCUUAUGUGAUCUACUAUGCGAGCAAGACAUUGAAUGAGGUGCAAAGAAACUACAUAACCACCGAGAAAGAAUUGUUAGCUGUAGUUUUUGCCUUGGAUAAGUUUCGUGCUUACUUGGUGGGAUCCUUCAUCGUGGUUUUUAUUGAUCACUUUGCUUUGAAGUAUCUAUUGACUAAGCAAGAUGCUAAAGCAAAACUGAUUAGAUGGAUUUUCUUGCUUCAAGAGUUCAAUCUCCAGAUCAAAGACAAGAAAAAAAUGGAGAAUGUGGUAGUAGACCACAUUUCAAGGCUAGCUAUCGCACAUAAUUCCCAUGCUUUGCCCAUUAAUGACGAUUUUCUAGAGGGGUCUCUCAUGUUGGUGGAAGUUGUCCCUUGGUACGCUCACAUUGCUAACUACCUGGUCACAAGAGAAGUUCCAAGUGAGUGGAAAGCACAAGAUAAGAAGCACUUCUUUGCAAAAAUUCAUGCCUACUAUUGGGAAAAGCCAUUUCUAUUCAAGUAUUGUGCGGAUCAGAUAAUAAGGAAGUGAGUUCCUGAAGAAGAGCAACAGGGGAUCCUCAGUCAUUGCCAUAAAAAUGCAUGUGGAUGCCACUUUGCUUAUCAGAAGACAACCAUGAGGGUGCUGCAAUCGGGUUUCUGUUGGCCAUCACUUUUCAAAGAUGCCCACACCAUGUGCAAGAGUUGUGAUCGAUGCCAGAGGCUUGGGAAGUUAUCAUGUAGGAACAUGAUGCCUUUGAACCCCAUUUUAAUAGUUGAUCUUUUUUAUGUUUGGGGCAUUGACUUCAUGGGACUUUUCCCUAUAUCUUUUGGCUACUCUUACAUCUUGGUGGGAAUAGAUUAUGUUUCUAAGUGGGUUGAGGCAGUCCCAUGCAAACACAAUGACCAUAGAGUGGUUCUCAAGUUUCUUAAGGAGAACAUCUUCUCAAGAUUUGGGGUGCCCAAAGCCAUAAUUAGUGAUGGGGGUACUCAUUUUUGCAACAAGCCUUUUGAAACUCUCCUAGCCAAGUAUGGGGUGAAGCAUAAGGUAGCUACACCUUACCACCCUCAAACUAAUGGGCAAGUUGAGUUAGCAAACAAGGAGAUUAAAAACAUAUUGAUGAAGGUGGUGAACACAAACAGAAAAGAUUGGUCAGUCAAGCUCUUCGAUUCACUAUGGUCAUGUAGAACAGCUUACAAGACCAUUAUCGGGAUGUCUCUUUAUCACCUAGUCUAUGGAAAAAAUGCCAUCUCCUUGUGAAAUUGGAAUACAAAGCUUGGUGGUCAAUCAAGAAGCUCAACAUGGAUUUGAGCAGAGCUGGGUUGAAGAGGUUCUUAGACCACAAUGAGAUGGAGGAAUUGAGAAAUGAUGCCUACAUCAAUUCAAAAAUUGUAAAAGAAAAAUUGAAGAGGUGGCAUGAUCAGUUGAUUUCCCGCAAGAAUUUUCAAAAUGGAUAAAGAGUCUUGCUCUAUGACUCUAAACUCCACAUCUUUCCGAGCAAGCUGAAAUCAAGGUGGAUAGGUCCUUUUACCAUUCACCAAGUGCAUUCAAAUAGAGUAGUGGAACUACUCAACUCCAACAACAUCGGGAGCUUCAAAGUGAAUGACCAUUGUCUCAAGCCCUUUGUAGAGUCUUUUUUCUCGCGACAAGGAGGAAUUCAUCCUCCUUGAUCCACAUCAAGCUUGACAAGACCAGUUUUUUUUUAUGGACUUAGUCUUUCUAAAGACUAUCGAGUCCAUAACUUUUUAUUUUAUUUUUUAUUUGAGAGUUUUUCGGUAUUAUUACUUGUUUUGUUUUUUAUUUUUCGUUUUACUUUUAUUUGGUUUGAUUUAACUUAGAUUUUUUAUGAUCAAUUGCAGGGGGGAUUUCAAAUAGAGGAAAAACCAAGAUAAUUCGCACACCCUGCGAAAAUUUCGCAAGGCAUGCGAAAUUUAUGGCUCAUUUCGCAUGGGAUGCGAAAUUUCGCACACCCUACGAACCAAUUUCGCACACUUUGUGAAAAUAAACCAACCCUACGAAAUCAUUUCAAAUACUCUACGAAAUUUUCGCAGAGCAUGUAAAAAAUUUCGCAGACCAAACACCAUUUCGCAUACUAUGCGAAAAUGUAAGGGGUCUACAAAACCAUUUCGCACCUCCAAAGCCAUUUCGCACAUUGUGCAAAAAUGAAAAGUCGCCCUAUCAUCCAUUUUUAAACCCCUUGAGCCCUGAAAUCCCCAUUUCGCAAGCACCCCUGUCCUUGCGAAUCCCUCAUUUUCCUCUGCCACCUUGCGACCUUGUCCCUCUCCAUUUGAUAUCGUGCCCUGCGCACAUCUCAUUUCAAAGACUCGCACUCUGCGCCCUCUCAAAGCACGAACCCAAGGCUCACAUUCCAUUUCCGACAUGGCACAGACCCGAGGAGCCCUUCCCGCCCCUUCAUCGAGACGCACACCAAGGUAGAGAGCCUCUUUUGCUCAGAUGCCAAGUGAUUCUCCAUUUCAGGCCACGGAGGCCCUGCGGAUUCCACAUUCCAAGGGUAGAACAGCCACUGGUCCUUCCUCUUCUAUUCCUCAGCGUAGAUAUGAGACGAGGAGACCACCUACUACACAAAGGGCGACUACUUCGCGCCAUGAGAAUUCGGUACGACACCCUCCUGCCAAGAGGGCCAGGACUUCAGGCCCAGGCGAGUCAUCCAAAGCUUCACAGCCUGAGCCUCCUGCAGAUUCCGAGGUUCCUACUGACAUAUCAUCGGAGUCUAUUAUCAAACGCCCGAUGCUCACAGCACCGCCCAUUGAGGGCAACUCUGAUUGUAGAGCGAGACCUUUCCACUUGGAGCUAUAUUUUAAUUAAGAGGCCAUGCCACAGCAGCCUGAGCUCCAAGACUCUUAUGGCUUACUACAGAGGUACCAUCUUGAGGACCUUAUGACUCCUCGUGAGUUCUUUUAUCCCAGAGUAGCACUAGACUUUUACCAGUCCAUGACUACUCGUGGCGUCCCGAGUCCUACCGCGAUGCACUUCACCAUUAAUGGACGUCAUGGUAUCCUCGAGGCCAGACAUAUUGGAGAGGCUCUACAGAUUCCUUUCGAGCUAGAGGACCCAUCUGUUUUCUGCCAAUGGUCCCCAAUAUCUCAGAGGGACAUGGUCCAUAUUUUAUCCAGGGGGACAUCUACAUAUUCGAUCCUUCUACGGAAGGAGCUUCGACCUGGGAUACUCCUCGUAGAUGUGGUGCUACUUUCCAACCUCUUUCCCUUUUAGCAUUCGAUACAUAGGCGAGGAGCUAUUUUGGACGCUUUAUUCUGUAUAUCAGAGGGCUUCUACUUUGGCCCGCACCACUUGAUCAUGGUUUCCCUCAUCCAUUUUGAGGAGAAGGUCCAUAGAAAGAAGCUUCAGAGGGCGAACACCAUUCCAUUACUAUUCCCGAGGUUGCUCUACUAGAUCUUGGAGUACAUGGGCUUUCCUACUGAGCCUCGGCUUGUGUGCCGCCGCCUUUGUCAAGAGCGAUCCACUCUCGACAAAUGGAAUCAGUUGGCGGGCUAUUCUACACCUCCAGGAGCCCCUCCCAUGGUAGCACCUCUAGUGUCCCCACAGGCAGAGUAGGGCAAGCUCCCGGUAGAGACUGCACCCCUAGUGCCCACACCUGAGGCUACUUCUGCUGUUCCGCCUACGACUCCUACUGUUCCACCAGUUGGUCCUUUUACAUCUGAGUCUUCCAUCAACAUCUCGACUUCGGAGUUUCGCGCCCUUGUGCAUACCUUUCAGACACUCACCACCACACAUACUGCUCUCUUCUAGAAAAUGGCUGAGAUGCGUGCCCAUCAGGACCAGCAGACUACUAUACUCCGCCAAAUUCAACAGCACCUGGGACUUCUGCCUCUGCCUCAGCUUGACCUUCCCACAUCAUCAGAGCCUCUAGCUCCAGUUGAGGAUACUAUUCCACCUGAGGACACUACCACAGUAGAGGUUCAGAUUCCACCACCUCAGGAGGCCACCACAGCUACAUUAGAGGAUGCAUCAUCUCCACCUGAGGCUCCCACUACUUGAUCAUAGGACAUCUCUUUAUCUUAUUGUAUUUACAUAUUAUAUUACUGGAGAUUUGUCUUUGUUUUGAUACUUUAUAUUCUGGCAUUGAAUGUAUUGCCUAAUGAUAUCUCAAUUGUACUUUCUCAUAUUAAUAUAUAGACAUCAAUUUUUUUUAGUAUACUUAGGAUUUUUCUAUUUACUCUACUCAUUACUCUUUUGUUUUUUUUUUUUUACUCAUGUGGUUUCUCCUAUACGACUCAGACUCCAUUUCACUCAGGAGGUACCACUUCUUCCCUUUAUUUUCAAUUGCUCUUGAAACAUUGAGGGCAAUGUUGAUCUUGGUUGGAGGGAGAGUUGAGGAAGGAAGUGAUUACUACUCAAAAAGUGCUAUUUCAUAGCUUGUAAUUAACUCUUUUAAAACACUUUUGAGUAGUAGUUAUCACCUUUUAACCCAAUUAACAUAUUAAGGACCCUUGCAAUCAAUUCUAAUCAAAUUGUGUUAAGUUUUGGUAUUUUGAUAGCUUUUUUAUCACCAAAGCAAUCCGAGAUUGAGGAUAUUUAUUUGGAAUCCAUGGCAAAAGAUGUUUGGACAGGACGUCCGGACACACCAUCGGAGGGCGGCGGAACGUGGGCUGUGGCAGGCUGUCGGAAUGACGUAGCAAGGCUUGUGCACUUUAGCCAAUGAUCGGGAUAACAUAUCCGAAAUUCUGCUCCGCCGACAUUCCACCCGGAUGUCUCACAUCCGGAAUUCUGCUCCGCCGACAUUACACCCAGAUGUCUCACAUCCAAAAUUCUUCUCCGUCGACAUUCCAUCCGAAUAUUUCACAUCCGACGCUUGACGCCGGAUGGGAGAGGAGGGCGUUUCAACUUCCCCGGUCAGACAUAUCCGAAUCCUUUGAUAACGCUUACCCGGAGAGUUUCGCAGCCAUUUUGCACAGUGCCGCGGUGUUCUCUUGAAGCUUCCCGAUAUGUGCGACCGACAUUUUGAGAUAUUUUGCUUUAGAUAUUUGAUGUCUAAAUCCCCAAACUCUCCUUGUAACCCACCAAUUAUAGGAUUCCUUAGUUAUUAAGUUUGGAAAAAUGGUGAAUAACCCCUUAUAUAUAGUUUGCAAUUUUCAUAAAAAAGAUAUGUAGAAUCUCGGGAGCUUGUUCCCAGAGAGACGCAUCCUUUGUACAGUUUUGGAAGGAAGUAAAAUACAGAGCACUUGCUCUGCUUUUCAUAUAUAUUUUUGUUUUCUCGUUCUUUUUAUUUCUAGCCAAUCAAAGUCUGAGGAUUUUUCCUCAGAGGAUGAGAGGCUAGGCUCUUCGUCUCUUGGAGUGAAGAAAACUAGGUAAGUUUCCACAUGCAUAAAUUGAAAGUUUUGUUGUUUUAGUUUUUAAUGAAGAGAAAGUGUGACCCGUUAAUGGUUUUUAUCUUUUUAGUUAACUUAAAACGCCUUUAAAUCACCCGGGCCAACACUUGAUAAGGCAAGUGGUCUCCAUCCAUUGAGAUGCACUAGUUUAUCUCUUGCGAGCCUUUGGGAGGUGGUUUGAAGGUAGGAUUUUCUAGAAUAACCAACACUUGAUAAGCUUUUGGACUCUAAGGAGACAUCCAUUAGUUAUCUCUUGCGAGCUUUUGACGGGUAAUCCAAGGUUAAAGAUCACCUUGAAUGGCAAGUACUAGGUGAGAGGUAUGAGCCAUUGCAAGAUGCAUUAGUGAGAGGGAUUUAGUGUUUGAACCCAUUAAAGGGAAGCAUCUGUACCACACCGGUUCGGGAAAUAACUAUAUGUUAAAUCCCCAAUGAGAGGAAAAGAAACAAGUGACCGGAACUCCCUUUUUGUAUAAGGAACCUGAGCCUAGUGAUCUAAACUCCAAGAAACACUUUUCUUUGUAAGUAAAAUCAGUUACUAUUUUUGGUUAGUUUAAAACCAAACCUUUUUCAUUCAAACAUCUUUAUGUUUUCUUUUAAAGCUAACCUUGAAAUGAAAAGGCACCAAUUCAUAUUUGAAUUAAUAUCAAUUGUGAAGUGAAAACCCAUCCCAGUGAACGAUCCUAGAGCCACUAUGCUAUAGUAGCUUUGUCUUUGCUACCCUAGUUCAUGGUUUAAUAGGUUAUAAAUUUUGUUGAUUACUCCCACAAUCAAAGGAGCACCAGUUGGACAUGAAUCAACUGAGACACUAAUUGGGCACAAAUCAGGAAGUUUUGUUAAUAAUGCUAGGUUAAUUUGUUAAUUUAGUUACUUUCUGCUUAAUUUUAAAAGUUUUCACUUUACUUUCCAUAGUUAUUAAGGAAAAAUUCUCAAAAUGAAAUGGGAGAAAUUGAAUUCUUACAUUUUUACUUGAAUUUUAGAAUUUGUAUUAUGCUUAUUGAAGCUGAUGAAUUAUUGAAACUCCUAUUGAAUUCAACCUUAUUUCUUCCACUUUAAUCUUACCACACACGGUGCACAUUAGGUUCCGAUUAUAAGAGGUGCGUUCUUAGCCUAUUGGAGGUUGGUCAAUUUGUUAAAGUUUGAGAAAGAUCUAGGUUAGGGGAGAGAGAAUAGUCUGACAUACUAUAAUCGAAAACUAAUAAACUUAACACUUAGAUCUUUGUGGAAGAGUAAGGAUUGGACCUUUGGGAGUGGAAAUUCGUUUGAUGCUUAAAUUUGCAUAAUGCUUACACUUUAUAAAUUGUGAUUAGGCAAGAGAUUUGAUGACUCUUGUUCAAGGUUGGGUUUUGCCUCUUUGAUGUUCCAUGAGAGAGUAUAAUCCUCAUCAUGCCACUUGAAAUUUUUUUUGGAGUGAUUAACAUGAUUUUGUAAAUUACUUUACUGUCUAUUUUUUUUUUAUCUCUCCUUCAUUGCUAAUGGACUAGCAAUAUGUCAGUUGAGGGGAGUGAUUACUACUCAAAAAGUACUCUUUUAUAGCUUGAAACUAACUGUUUUGAACACUUUUGAGUAGUAGUUAAUACCUUUUAACUCAAUUGGCACAUUAAAGAACCUAGCAAGGGUUACUAAUUAGUUUUUGGCAAGUUUUGGUGUUUUUGGUAGCUAUUUGAUCAUUGAAACAAGCCAAGAAUGAGGGAGAAUUUUGUGAAGUCCAUGGCAAUGCAAGUUAAAGCUCAAAUACAUGAAGAAUCCAAGCUUUGGAGCACUUCAUAGCCCUUUCCAAAGCCAAUCAGAGAUGCAAGGAAGAAAACCAGAGGAAGAAAUCCAACAAUUAGCAUUUUCGCAUGGCUGUGCGAAAUUUCGCACACCAUGCGAAACCACAAGAGGCAGCCAAAGAAUUUUGCACACUAUGCGAAAUUUCGCAUGGUAUGCAAAAUCUUCUUGUGCACCAACUCCGUUAUAUUUUUAUCUCAAAUAUUUUGUGUAAUUUCCUAGUUUCUCCUUGUAACCAACCUAGAUAUUUUCUUUUAUAUAUUUUUUAGGUAACAUCAUCUAUAGGGGGAGAGACAUAAGGAGGAUAUGGAUGUUUUUCAUAGAACACUUGUAAAUUUCCGGUAGUAAGAAAUAUACAGAGCUUUUUGCUCUACCUUACCUUCUCAUUUUGUUUUCACUUGUCUUUCUAGCCAAACAACCUCUGAGGAUGAUUUCUUAGGGAAUGAGUGGCUAGGUUUUACGUUUCUUGGAGUGAGGGAAGCUAGGUGAAAGACCCGAAUGCUAAGGUGGGAGUUGUCCUUGCUUUAAAUGAAAGUAGUUGUUAAACAUUAAUGGUUUUUAUUUUAAGGUUUAGCUUUAAAUCCCUUAAAAACAUCUUGAAUGGUCAAUACUUGGUAGGCUUUUUGGAUUCUAUGGAUGCUUAUUGCUAGAUCCCUGGAUGUCUAUUAGUUAUCAUUUAUGAGCCAUUGGAAGGUGGUUCAAGAUGAGGGUCUUUAAUGUUUGAAGCCAUUAAUAGGAAACAAUUACCAUUCUUUCAUGAAUCCUUUGGAUCAAAUCUUAAUUGCUAAAUAUAAAACUAGUUCGGGAGAUAACCAUCCUUUAUGUUAUUAUGCCCAACGCGAGGAGAAGAUUCGGAAUCUUCCCCUUUGUCUAAGGAACCCGAUCCUAGUGACCUAAAGCUCUAAGAGACCUUUUCUUUAUAGUUAACUUCACUUAUUGUUUUUUCUUAACUUAAAAUCAAUCUUUGCAACCACAAUUCCAUUUUCUUUGAAAGCUAAUUUUCAUAAGGAAAAUCACCAUUUUAUUUUCUUCCCUAAGUCAACUGUACGAUGAAAACCCAUUCCCAUGGACGAUCCUAGAGCCACUAUACUAUGUUAGCUAUGCUACCCUAAUGUGAGGUGAUUUAGGUUUUAUAAAUUUUGUUGAUAACACCUGUUUGAGCCAGAAUCAAAUGGCGCAACUGAACCAGGGACGAAUCAACAACUUAUAUGGGAGGGACACAAGUUUAAUUGAUUUGCAUUUCAACGUUAUAUAUAGGUAUGUUUUGGAAGAUUUGUUCUGGAAAUACUGCACCAAGUACGAUUCUUUUUGUCUUGAGUGGGUCUACUUGCAUGCCAAUUAACGAGUGGAAAAGUAGGAGCACCUACCUCAUGCUCGCGGAACCGAAGGUCAGUGAAGUGGGGCUCCUUUUGGCCUCUUGUGUUUCUAUUCCAACCAAGGCGGCGUAAGGAAAAACAACAAUAUGUUUGUGCUAAAUAUCAACGCAUGAUAGAUGUUUUUGUUUUUUGGUAUGUCAAGGCUAAUGAAUGAAAUGCUUUAGCUUGUUUUGUGACUGGAACUGCAAAUGUCCAAAUUGGAGUAUCUCCAUUUCUCACUUCGGAUGGUUAACUUAUAAACAAGAUAUAGGAAACAUGUGAACAUCUUGAGGAACAAUUUGAAUUAUUCAUUAGAAGUCCUGGGUUGAGUUCCAAGAUUUAAAUUAGACCCCUCUAGCAGCUUCAGGGGUACCUAGCAACCUAUAGCAUAUUAAUGAAGAUUUAGGAUUUAGACUCUAGAAUACAAAUUAAUAUGUAUCUCAUGCUUUGACUAGCUUCCCUACAUAUGCACAAAAUGGAGAUGACCUAAAAAAAUAGCAGAAUCUAGCUUCCCUACAUAUGCACAAAAUGGAGAUGACCCAAAAAAUAGCAGAAUUUCCUUAGUUUCUGUGGUUAAGGUGAUUCUCCGCUUAAUAUCACAUUGACUCAUUAUGCAAAAUCAACUGAGCUAAUUUUGUUUAUUUAUUUAAUGUCAAAUAGGAACUCCUAAUUAACCUAACCCUUGGCCUGUGUAAAUUGAUUUCACAUGCCCAAUGUUGAAGUAGAAGUCCAUAUUUUGAAUUUUAUUUUUGUAAAGGUAAGGAAAAUGAAGCAUUGUGUAAUUAUAAAAAUAACUUCAUUGGAAUUCACAAGGUUCACCCAAAAUGGAGCUACAUCCGUAUUCUAUCCUGCAGUAGACUAUAUAGAUUGUACAAUAGUAAAUUGCAAAUACAAUUAAUAAGUCUUGUGCUUCCUUACUAAUAAUCCUUUGACAUGAACAUUGCAGCACUAAGGUCCUCUUGGGAAGACACCUUGCACCCAUGAGAGCACGAAGAGGAAGCAAGGCAGAGUCAUGGGUGCAAUGUCAUGACUUGUUGUUGCACCAAGAGAGGCUUGGUGAUGGCAUGGUGUUGCAGUAGCAAGAAUGUUGCCUUGGUAGGGACAUAAUCUAGGGAUAGAUGCCAAGAAAGGCUUAGCACUCACAUGAGUUGCACAAAGAUGAAUGUAAUAGAGCAUCAGAGAGACGUCUUGGCAAGUAAAUGAAUGGAUCCAAGAGGCAACAACAUGAGGAGUUUCAAAUGGAUAAGGAAUGAGUCAAAGACAUUUGAAAGCUACAAGUUGGAUUCUAAUUACGAUUGCAAUUUGAGUUUGAGUAGGAGUUUAGAUUCUGAUUGUAAUUGUAGUAUGAGUUGGACUAGGAUUGCUUAUCCCUAGUCAAAAUAGGAGUGGUUCGUGUCACACCCUAUGAAAAGAGUUUGAGUAGGGACUAGGAUUGCUUACUCCUAGUCAAAUAUGGAGUAGGUGGUGCCACACCUAUAAAAAAAAAGGGACAACAUGAGAGAGAGAGAGAGAGAGAGAGAGAGAGAGAGAGAGAGAGAGAGAGAGAGAAAGAGAUAAUGAAUUCACUAAAGAUAUUGUGGGAGUUUUUCUUUGUUACGUCUUGUAUUAUUACUUAGAAUAGGAAUAAAAUACAAGUUUGGGCUAGAGCCCCAUAAUUAAUCUCGUGUGCCUUUGUGGUUAUUCUUUAUUUGUCAUCUCGUGUGGAUUGGAUUACAUUGACUUAGAGGGCUUCUAAGCACCACCUUUGUGGGUUAUUAUUUAUUUUCCAUUUCUUGUGGAUUAGAUUAGGUUGACUUUGAGGGCUUUUAAGCACCACCUUUGUGGGUUAUUCUUUAUUUUCCAUAUCGUGGGGAUUGGAUUAGGUUGACGAUGAGAAAAAUUAUGUGGGAAAUUUGUGUUGGGACACUUAUCAUAACCAGGUAAAAUCUGCCAAGUCCUUUGUAAUAUCUUCAACAAAUAUUUCAGACUAGUUCUUCACCAUAAACAUCAUAUUGUGUUUUGUUUUUCUCCUGGAUUCUGAGUUGAAUUGUUUCAAGUCAAUUGAAUGCAUCUGAAUAUUAUUAGCUUGUUUGAAGGCCUGGUGAUUUUCCAUUUAACUUUACUUUCUUUAGGUUAUGCUCACUAUAAGAAAAAUGAGAAAUAAUGACGCUUUUUACGCGUUAAGAAAGGCAACAGAUGAUGCUUCUCUAAAGCGUCCUCUUCGGCUCUGUCAUUAUAUGUGUUAGCCAAUAAUGACGCUUCUAGGAAGUGCCAUCUUUGAAUAAUGUUAAUAACGACACUCGUAAAAAGUGUCAUCUUUAAACAUAUUCUGGUCAAAUAAUUUUUACAAAAUUAGUAAUCUUCAAGCCGUUUCUGAAUCAUAUCUGAGCCUAUUUCUGGGGACCAGAAAACCAUCUUUUUUCCAUUCGCCUGAGAGGUCUGAUUAGCAUUUCUGGAAUCAAUCUCUAAACCCAAGCUUCCCUCAUCUACCCAUUUAACCCUCAUGCCCUCCUGUUUGAACAACUUUCCCACUAUAUACACAAAUUUUUUACCUUCUGUUGUUGGUAUUCGACCUCUUCCCAUUCCCAGCACAGAAUCCACCAUUAGUGCCACUUUGUGAAUAAAAUCAUCGAACCAGAUCUUUCGGGCGGAAGAUGAGCUCCAGAGAAAUAAAAUUUUUGGGGUCUUCCCAGCAUGAAAGUCAUAGGUAGCAUUAAUGACAUCAAGAAAUGGGGCACUGUUGAGAAAAAACAUGUUCCCAUCAACCACCCAAGAAUUGUACCAGACUCCAAACACUUCUGGAUUACAUAUGCCUUUACUAAGAUAUAUUUCUUGAUCUCCAUAUCAGAAUCUUGGAGACUCUUCAUUUUAUGAGCUCUGACACUACUGUGAAAUUGGUCCACAUCAAUCACAGGAUGACCCCUUCUAGCAAGAUCAAGCAGGAAGUCUGAAUUCGGGCCCAUAAAAAUGUAGUUCUGAAUAUUGAAACUCUCAAAGUGGCACAACAAAUUCCUUAUGACUCUUUCAGAUGCUCCAAACAGGCUCACAAGUAUAAUGGUAUCCUGUUUUUGCACAGAGUAAAGAAAAUAUCCGAGUUCUUCAAAACUCCUUACAACUAUUCCAGGAUGUACUUCUUUGAAACAGAAAUCGUACCACUUUAGCUUAGUCAGAGGUUGAAUCUAAAAUAACAAAACCCAAACUGAAAUCAAAAUCGAAAUCAACCCUAAUAGAUUUCAGAAACAACAAAUUAAAAGAGUAAAGCACAAAAGGGGGAAAACACAUAUGAAGCAAUCUCCAUACAAGCCCUAACCUUAGAUAAACCCAAAAAAAAAAAUCAAAGCAGAGAGUUACCAUAGAGCAUCUCUGUUUCAAGCUUAGAAAAUGUUUAAUGCCAUUGAUAACUAGUUGGCUAGUGGUGGACUUCAAGCUUCUCUAUUUCGGUGUUAGUAGCUCUCAAUGGCUAUGGUGAGAACAAAGAAAUGAGAGGCUUAGGGUUUGGGAUGUGAGGUUAUUGAUGAUGAUGAGGAUAAAGUUAUGGGCUCUUGGAGGGGUUAGGGAAAUUGAAGAUGGCUGAGAGUAAAGGCUAGGGUUUUUGAGAUAGUUAAUAGCUUUUUAGGGUGUGACUGUCCAUAGAUAGAAGAUAAAUGAGGGUGUGAGAAUUUAUAGAUCUCUAGGUGAUAUGGCGGGUGUGAGAAUGAAAUUUUAGAGGGAAUUGUGUGUUUGGUAGAAAUUUCACACAUGCAUAUAUAAUGUUUCAGAACAUGGCACUUUAAAAAUACGACAAGGAAGAAAUUAUUUAUUGACGCUUAAAUAAAGCGCCAAGGUCUCCAACAUUUUUGCAAUCAAUGACGUUUGUAAAAGGUGCCAUUGAAUAGGAGUGCCAUUGCUUUCCCACAAAGCAUCAUUGUUAAUCAAGCCUUUAAAAAACGCCAAGAUAUGUUGCCACUUAGGUUAAAUAUUGACGCUUUUAAAAAACGCCAAGGAAAAAAACGUCAUUAUUCAUGUUUUUUGUAGUAGUGGCUUGAUUCCUAAAAAGUAAAGGAAAGCAAAAAGUAAAAAAAUAAAAAUGUGGAGAGUUAGGACAUGCGUUAUCUAAUUGUCCUAGUCCCAAAUAUAUUAAGAAAGUCAUGUAGGUUACUUGGAGUAACGAGUCAAGUAAAGCAAGCCUUCUAGUGUUUAAGACAUUAGAUAUUACCGAACUGAUUAUGUCAUUAAUGUAUUGCAUUUGUUGUUUCUAAUAUAUAGAAGAAGAUGAAAUUAUUGGAAUAAGUGGGAAAUAGGAAUAAAUCCAAGGUACCAAAAAGUCACUUUAUCUUAGAUGUUGUUGGAAACAUAAGUGAUUUCACAAUAACGACUAUGAGACAAUCAAGGAUUAAUAAGAUAGACUUUAUAUGAUAUACCUCCCAAUUAGAGCCUAAAAAUAUGGAUGAAGCACUUAGAGAUGAAUCUUCAAUUUUUGUACUAUAGGAAGAAUUAAAUCAAUUUGUUAGCUAUUCUUUGGAUAUUUGAUUCAUCACAAGCUACAAAUCACUUUUGAUGACCAAACACGAAACUAAGAGGAUUGGGCCCAAUUCGAUGCCUAUCAACAAUGAUUUGUAUUCCACCUCAUUAAUUAUUCAAAGUUGGGAAGCUAGGUCUAACCACUUUCUCUACCUGUUCACCCUUAGAGGAGCAGAAGAAAAUUCUAACUUUGGUGCCUAAUGCCUUUGACAAUCUUUCGACAAAGAGAGUUCACUAAUUACUUUGAUUAUUUCUCUGUUGGUCACUGGGGGACAAGACUUUUGUAAUGAAGUCAACUAGAACUUGCCCUUUGAGGGCCAUUCAUGGACGAUAUUACACCAUGAAUUCCCUUAGGUCAUGUUUGGUAUGUGAGAAUGAGGAGUGGAAUGGACAUCUUAUUCAUUUUUUCAUCUAUUCAAAUGUUGGGAUAACUCAAGUGACCAUGAGAAUGAAAUCAAGAAUGAUUCAAGGGAAAUGAAAUCUUACUUAUAAGUGUGAUUUCAAUUAAUCUCUAAUAGAAAUUAUUUUGAAUCAAUAGUGCAAGUUAUUUUUAAAAACAUUUUUCCAAAAUUAAAAAAAUCAAUUUUUUUUUUUUCGAUAAGUUGUUUUUAAAAGGAUUUUUUUUAUUUUGUAAAAAGAAAAUUGUAAUUCAAUUUAUAUAAUAUAAACUAAAUUUUAUUUUAUUCAAAAAGAAAUAAUUUUUUAAUUAUAAAUAAAUUAAAAAUAAAUACUUUUAAUAAAAUAUAAAUAGUAUUAUUAUAAUAAAAUCAUAAAUAAAUUUAAUUUUUUUUAUAAAUAUUAUAAAAAUAUGGAUAUUAACAUUGGAUAAUUGAUUUAUUUUGUUAAAAUAAAAAAUAAUAAUUUUUAAUAUUAUUUUAUGUUAAAUGAAUUUUAAAAUAAAGAAAGUUUAAUUAUUUUAAGGUAUAGAAGAGCCAAAUUUUGCAUUACAUACAUAACAAACAAUAUUUAUUAGAAACAUUUCUCAAGGAGAAUCUUAUUCCAUCUCACAAAGAUACUCGUUUAUUCGAUGUUUGACCAUCCGUAACAAUCAUGUCAAUUCUACUGAUUUAAUAAUUCCUUUACAUUUAUUACUCACUUAUGAACAUGGUAUUGUGAUUUAUUUAUUUAUUUGAUGUAUAAUUAAUUAAUCAAUUUUUUAAAUUUCAAAUUAUUUUUAAAAACUAUUCAUUAAGGAAUUUAAAGCAUUAAUUAUGUCUAUUAUUUUUUAUAGUCAUUAUAUAUAUAUUGAGUUUUAAUUUAUUUUUAAAAAUUAUUAAACUUAUUAAUAAAUUCAAUAUAAAGUCUCGUUUCAUUUGAAAUUCAUUUCUUUAGUGAAAAUUUUGAAAAAAAAAUUGUUAUUUAUUUUACUUUGUUUUAAAAAAAUUGUUUCUAGAGAACAAUAAUCAAAUAAUGGUAUGAAUUUUUAAAAACAAUUUUGUUUUUAAAUCAUAUGCCCAAAUAAUUUUUUUUUAUUUAGCAAAAAACUUUGUUGUAGUAUGUGGCUCAUAUUGAGGGAAAGACAUAUAUGGAGAAAAAUGUGCAAAUGUUGGAGUGGAGCGGAGUGGAAUGACGACAUUUGUCAUUCAAACUUGUAUUUUUAUUGUUAAGGGUGACCGAUAGGUUGGUACGGUUUAGGGGUAUUUUUGGAAUUUCAUUACCUGAGGGUUAGUAUAAAUACCAUUUUAUGUAACCCUAAUUUUACAUAUAAUGUAAGUUUUCUUCCUUGUUCUUGUGGACAUAGGCAAUCCGUCGAACCACGUUAAAUCUGUGUGUUUUUUUUUCUUUUUUCUUUUUCUCUAAUUUCUUCACCAGGAAUCGUUACACUAAGAUCAACAAACUCUCAAAGAUGAUUUUUAAAAUGAAAAAAAUAAUGUAUAGUGUGAGAAUUUUUUAUUUUUUAUUUUUUUAAAAUGAAAAUAAAAAAUUGCUUUAAGGUAAAAGUGUGGAUAUUAUUGUUAAUUUAUUUCAUUUUUCAUUUUCAUUUCCAUUGUUACCUACAAUUGAAAUGGAAACAACUAAUCAUUACAACCUUACAUUCUUAUAUGCAUCCAAAUACAAAAAUUGAAAUCACCAAAUUCAUAUUCAAGGCAAAAUAGGAAUGAAAACAAAUAUUCAUUCUCAUUCUUUAUUCCCACGUGUCAAACAUGACCUCAAAGUUAUAAACAUGAACAAGAAGUCCUUGAAACACCAAUGAUCUCUUCUGGUAUAUAUAUGAGCUUGAUUGACAACUGUUUUAAAUACAGUUUUUUUUUUUUUUGUUUUCAAAAUCAAAACAAAUUUAUUUUUAUUUUUUAUAAAUAGUAGUUUUUUAAUAUUUUUUUUAAACCUUAUUAUGAAAAUAGGAUGUUUUCUAAUAUCAUAUUUUAAUUAUUUUCAAUUAUUUUCCCUUCUUUUAAGGAGGGCUAUUUUAAAAAUAUGAAAAAUGAUACAAAAUAAAGCAUUACAAAUAAAAAUCAUUUUUAAGAAAUAUAUGAAAAUAAUUUGAGAACAUUUGAAGUUCCUUAAUUAAACUUUUGUUCUAGAAAAUGCAAGAAAACUGUUUUUGAAAAUUGUUUUCAUAAUGAUAUGCAUUGAUCGUUUAAAAUUUAAUUACAUGAUAAAAAGACCUAUGUAAAAACCAGAGUUAUAUAAUCAGUCAUAGAUCAAAUCUACUAAAUAUGAAAAGUAAGUACAUAGUUGUAUAUGACUUAGAUGGAGCCUUCUCCGAAUGACAUUCUUUAGUCGGUACUCAUAUUUUUUUGUUUCGUGUCUUCAACAUAACACCUCAUGAUCCUUAAUAAAUCACCUGAAAACUAUAUUAGCACCUUAUUGUUUAAUAUUUCUCUAAAUUUUUUUAUUAAGCAAAUAAAUUCCAAAUUUAAAAUGACAAAUAAAAUUUAUUAAUUUUUAAAAAUAAUUUAAAACUCAAAAACCAAUUUAAUUGAUAUUAAAAGUCAUGAAACUUAAUAAUAUUAGAAAGUCAUGUAUCCAAAUUUAUUUUAAAUGACUUGUUUAAUUUCUUGUUUAUAUAUAUUAUAUUUUUAUAAUUUUUUUUACUAUACAAAUAAAUUUUAAAUUAAACAAAACUUAAUGCGUUGAAUUCAUUAACGAGUCUAAUAAUUUUUAAAAGUUACUUAAAAUUUAAAUACUAAAUCAAUUAGUACCACAAAUUCAUGGAAAAAAAUUGAUUUAUUACUACUAUAUUGUUUCUCUAUUGCAUAGAACCAUUAUUUUUCAAUUUUUUCAUUUGGCAAAUGAACAUCAAAUUAAACAAGACUAAGUGUAUUAAAUUCAUUAAUGGGUCUAGUAAUUUUUUAAAAUAAUUUAAAAUUCAAAUAUUGAUACUCCAAAUUAAACAAGACUUAGGUGGUGUUUGUUUUUUGGUUGAAUAGAAAAAGGUAAAAUAUUUGACUUUUUCUAUUUAGUUAAAAGUAACUUGUUGACAUCGUCCAAUAUAAUUAAAGUAAACCUAUUGAGGGCAAGUUCACUUUAAUUAUGUUGGACGAUGUCAACAGGUUACUUUUAACUCAAUAGAAAAAAUCAAAUAUUUUGACUUUUUUUUUAACUCAAAUAAUAAAUCCAUUAAUACAAAAAAAUUAUGGAUAAUUUGAAACUUUCUUUCUUUUUUUUUUUUUUUUUGCUACACAUAGCUAUAUUUUUAUAAAUUUUAUCAUUAGAGAAAUGGAUUUCAAAUCAAGUGAAACUUUGUAUUGAAUUAAUGGAUUUAACAUUUUUUAAAAAUAAUUUGGAACUAAAAAAAAAAGAUUUAAUUACUAAGAAAAUCAUAGAUCAAAACUAAUAUAUUCUGAUCCAUGAUUUUAUUAUUUUUCCUAUACAUACAAUUAUAUUUUUAUAAUUUUCUCACUAGGUAAAGAUAUUAUAAAUUAAGUGACACAUAAUUAAUAAUUUAAAUUUUUGAAUGAAUCUUUUAAUUUUAGGAAUAAUUUGAAAUUUAAAAAGUUGAUCCAAUUAAUUGUAAAUUAACUUAAAAUAUUAUAAAAUAUUAUGUUCAUAAUUAAGUACUAAAUGUAUAUAUGUAAUGAAAACUUAACUAGUUACAUGUUACAAAAGCCAAAAUUUAUUCAUUCUUUAUUUUAAAUAAAAUAUUAUUAAUAAUUAUUUUUUUUAAAAUAAUAUUUAGUAAUUAUUGUUUUUAAAUUAUUAUUAUUAAUUUUUAAUAAAAAAAUUGCAAAGUUAUUAAUAUCAUUAUAUUUCUAACAUAAAUUUAAAUAGUAUAUUUUUUAAUAUAUAUAUAUAUAUAUAUAUAUAUAUAUAUAUAUAUAUAUAUAUAUAUAUAUAAUUUAUGAUUUCAUUAUAAUAUUUUUAUUCAUGAUUGACGAAAAAUUAUUUAUUGUUUAAUUUAUUUGAAUUGCAAAACUAUUUUUCAAAAUUCAAGCGAGAAAAUAGGCCUGGAUUUGAAUUUCCUGUAGAAGAGAAGGAUGUGGAGAAUAUGUUGGGAGUAUUUGUGGAUAAAGAAAAGGCCAGGGUACUGAGAAAGGAGAGAGAACUUGCUCUUGCCAAAAGAGCCCUGCACAGGUAUUCUACUGAUUCUAAUUAUCGGUUCUUACAUGAUCAGAUUUCAGAUUUAUUUGCUGAGCUUCUGAAAUCUGAUACAGUAUUUAAACUCCGGUGAGCUUUACAAGAUUAGUCUCGCAUCCAAUUCCAAAUGGUGUCCCACAAUUGAUUCUUCUUAUGAUAAAUCCACCUUGAUAUGUGAAAAUAUUGCUCGAAAGGUUUAUCCUCGCGAGGAAUAUCCAGAAUACUAAGGAAUUGAGGAGGCUCACUAUGUUUAUAGAGUCAGGGAUAGGUUGAGAAAACAAGUAGUUGUUCCAUUACAUAAGGCCCUGGAGUUGCCAGAGGUUUUCAUGUGUUCGAACAAGUGGGGAUCACUUCCCUACAACCCUGUGGCUUCAGUGGCCAUGAAAUCAUACAAGAGCCUCUUCUCAAACCAUGAUACAGAGCGGUUUGGUGAGUAUCUUGAGAAAGUGCAAACUGGGAAGGCUAAGAUUGCAGCUGGUGCAUUACUUCCCCAUGAGAUUAUAGCUUCAUUGAAUGAGGAGGAUGCCGAGAGAGUUGCCGAGCUUCAGUGGGCAAGAAUGCUGGAAGAUUGAUCAAAGAAAGGGAGGCUCACAAAUUGCAUUGCAGUAUGUGACGUAUCAGGAAGUAUGAGUGGAACUCCAAUUGAGGUGUGUGUGGCUCUGGGGCAGUUAGUUUCAGAGCUCAGUGAAGAUCCAUGGAAAUUAAGGUAAUGUAAUUACUUUCAGUGCAAAUCCUGAGCUUCACAAGAUCCAAGGAGACAGCCUUGUAUCCAAGACUGAAUUUGUGAGGAUGAUGGAAUGGGGUGCCAACACUGACUUUCAGAAAGUUUUGACAGAAUCUUACAAGUAGCAGUGGAGGGAAAUAUGAGUGAAGAUCAAAUGAUAAAGAGGGUUUUCGUUUUCAGUGAUAUGGAGUUCGAUGAAGCUUGUGGGAGGUAUAACUAUUGUGACUAUGACUAUGAUAUGGAGGAAAUUGACGAGAGUCAGAAGGCAUCUCAGAAGUGGGAGACAGAUUAUGAAGUGAUACAGAGGAAAUUCCAGGAGAAAGGAUACAGAAAAGUUCCAGAGAUAGUGUUUUGGAACCUUAGAAACUCAUCAGCGACUCCAGUGACGGCCACAGAGAACGGGGUGGCCUUAGUAAGCGGGUUUUCAAAGAAUCUGUUGACCUUGUUUUUGGAAGGAGGUGGAAUUCUGAUCCCUCAGGAUGUGAUGGAAUUCGCCAUCUCUGAUGAAGAUUACAAGAAACUUGUUCUAUUUGAUUAAGAUAUCAAGAGAUUUAUCAAUAAUAAUAUAUUUUUUUUCUAUGUGAAAUACAUAUAAUAUUAACUGUGGAGUUAUCAAAGUUCUGGAGGUUUAAUUAUUUCUUCUUUUCAAGUUUUGUUUAUUUAAGGUUUUCUUUGUCUUUGUUAGGAAUUCCCCUUGGGUGGACCCAGCUGGGGAGUUGGAUUGAGGAAGUAAGCAGGCGAACUUGUGUUCUUCUAUGGACAGAGAAAAAAAAUAAAAUAAAAAAAUAAAAAAGGAGGUUAUUUGCAUUUGGAUGUCGUGGUUUGAGGGUACAACUACAAGCUCGAAAUUGUACAUAAUGUGAAAACUCCUGUGUCCAUUGCUGAGAACAGCAUAAAUGAUGGUGAUUUUCAAGUUGUGCCUGGUAUUCUACAGGAUGAAACAAGAAAGGAUCCAGGUGGUAUAUUGAACAAUAUCCCAAUCAUGUUGGUGGCAUCUUUAUUUAGUUAAUGGUAUUCAUUUGGUGGAAGCUGGUUGUUUAUGAUGUUUUUAAUUUUUUUUAACAUGAAGUUCGAUCAAAUACGUAUCUUAGUAUGUUUUGUUUGAGCUAAUUGGCAAAUGCGCUUUAAACAUGGUCACAUGGAUGCAGUUUUAUUUGUGAAAUGAUAAUAGUCGAUUACUUGGUCAGUAAGGUUUAUAUCUCUAACUUCAACAUCUUAUUGUAGUCUUUUAAAAUGUCAAAAGUUUAAUGCUUGAGAAAUUUUGGAAUGGAGACAUUCUAAACAAAGUUAAUAAUCCACAAGACUUGGUAAAACCGAUCAGAUGAUGCUUACGUACAUCAAUGCCUUCUUUAAGCCAUAUCCUAUUUUCAUUGAACGGGAUGUGCCAUCUAGUUUGGUUCUUUAAGCCUCCAAAUCCUAAACCUAGUCUCAAUUUAGAGCAAAUUUAGGGUGCAGGGCCUGCAUGCCUCCCCCUCCCCCUUCCACAAAUAGUAGUGACCUUGCUAUGCCUAUGCAUUGUCAAUGCCUCAUUUUCUAUGGUCUCCAAUGUAAUAUCUUAGUUUCAAUGUCUCUUUCCUUACUAUCUCCAAUGCAAUAGAUUGAUUUCAAUACCUCUUUACAACUAAGACCUCCAAAUUUUCUUGGUUCAAACCUACCAGAAUUUUUCUUCUCCUUUGCUUUCUAUCAAUAUUAGUUCCCCUAAUUUAAUAUAUACUUCUUUAUUACCUUCAACUCUACCUCUCUUUCUUUCUCUAAAAGCUUCCUCAAAGAUUUAAUUGCUUUCUUGCAUGUUUUAAGAAAACAAACAUGCUCAUAUUACAUUACCUCUACUUGAGAUCUACCUUAUACUCUACCUUCUUUCUUUACCUCCUAUAUCAUCUACUACAUUAGCUUCAAAAAUAUUAUUUAGUUUGAUACUAAAUAAGGCUCCUAAUCCUACUCUUCCUUCAACAAACUUUCUUUUUACAAGUUCCUUAAACUUUAUUUUUUAUUUUUUAUUUUUUGGAAAUUCGGGUUAGAAAGAUUCCAUUACUCUUACCUAAUAUUUCAACCAUCAAGUUGAAUCCACUUAUUGCCUAAAUCCAAGGAGUCUGCCCUCCACAAAAACAAGGAAAUUGAUCCCACAAUAACAAGGAGAUUGCCUUCCACAGAAACAAAGAGAUCUCCCUUCACAGAAGCCGAAUACAUUGCAAUCUAUUUUCUUUCUUGUAAGAUCAAAUCUUCAAUCGAGCUCCAUCUUAUGGGGGCAUAUUAGAGAAAUUUAAUAUUAUCCUUAAUUUACAUAUUAAUAUUUAUCUAUUUAUUAUAUAUUGAAUUAAAAUAGAAUAUAGAAUUUGAAUCAUAGUAGAAGUUUACUAUAAGAUUGAAUUACAAUAGUUAAUAGAGUUUAAAUUAUAAUAACUCAAAUACAUUUAUAUAUAUUUGACCUUACGAGAUUUUCUAUUUAUGUAUUUGAACUACAAUCCUUAUGAUCCUUAGGUCUCUAUACCUUCGUGAUGGGCUCCUUGACAUUUCAUAGGUUGUGCUACACAUGCAUUUGAAAUUUAGAGUGCAUUUGACAGUGAUUCUGGGAAGUGUUUUUGGCAUUUCUAACACUUAAAAUUUUUUAUUUUUCAAGUAUUAGAAAUGCUACAAACACUUUUGAAAAUUACUGUCAAACACACUCUUAGGAGCGCAUAUAGUAGAAAACUAGAAAUUGUGGUUUUUUUAGGAUUUACUGUAAUGUCAUUAGGAGGGUAGUAAGUUGAAACUGAGUAUGAAUAAAUAUUUCUUUCUUUGGGAUGUUCUUCUGGUAGGUGCUGAUGAAACUGUUCUUUUUACUGCCAAUGUCACAUAUCAGCCAGAAAUUGAAAAUUUCAGUCAAGGUGUCCUCGGUUUUAGUGGUGAGGAAAGCUAGAAAUUUUAAGGUGAAGUUCUGUUAAAAACCUUAAGUAGCUGGGAUAUCAGGCCUGUUUUGCUUGAAAAAAAAAGUUGCAAGAUAACUCAUAUGCCAAACAGGUUCUGAUAUUGUGAAUCUAUCGGCAGACAUCAGUAAUCUCAUCUUCUGAGAUGGAUGUUGGGGGUGCAUGUGGUGGUGGAGGGGCAAGGUUUCAUUUGGUUUAUUUUGUUGAUGGAUAUUGUCUAGCCCCCUGCGCCAAGUUUGAGGGGUGGUGGGUUGUGAUGGCCCUACAAUUACUAUUAAUUUCUUCCUCUUUUACCGAUUAAAGUGUCCGAACAGUCGAAGUUACCCUUAUGCAUGUCAACUUGAUCACUUACCUCUUCAAUGGAGUUUAUGCUGGUUCAUUUAGGAACUGAUUUUUAUUGUUAUGCAUUCUAUGCUGAUGUUUAGGCCUCUCCAUCAUCACUAUAUACAAAAAUUCUAGGUUGAUACUAUAGGUUGAGAUUUAUUUUUUAAAUAAAAAAUAAUAAAAAUAAAAAUUAUGGUGAUGUUUAGUUGUUUUAUGGAAAAUUUUAACAAGUUAUUUUUGGGCAAGUUUUCAAACAAAAAGAAAAGUAAAAGUUGUUUUGACAAAAACAUAUAGAAAAAAAAAAUCAUAGAAAAGAAAUAAUUUCCCCAUAUUCUAACUUUUUUUAAUUUUUCUCAAUGGGCAAAGGAAUAUCAAAUCAAGUUUGAGUAGGAUUUCUUAAUUUUUAAAAUAACUUACAAUUAAAAAAUUUUGGUGUUUUCAUUUUUGGACAAUUUUUUAUUAAGCAAAUGGACUCUGAGUCAUGCAAGAGAUAUGGUUGAUUAAUGGGUCAAACAAUUUUUUUAAAAUAAUUUAAAACUCAAAUACAUAAUCAAUGUCACAAAAUUUAUAAACAAAAAUAGGUUUAGAGAAGAUCUACACAUAAUUUUACUUUUCUAAUUUUAUUUUAUUUUAUUUUUUUGUUGGAAAAUAGUCUUCAAAUCAUGUAAGAUUUAAUAGGUUAAAUUUGUUAACAAUAAAUUUUAAAUUAUAAAAUAUAAUCUGGAACUUAAAAAUCAAUUCAAGUAAUGCUAAAAAAAAUCAAAUUUGGUAUAGAAUGACUACGUAAAAUUUUUUACAAAACAAAUGAAUUUUAAAUCAAGUGAGAUUUAAUGCAUUAGAUUUUUAUCAAAUAUAGUAAUUUUAAAAUUUAAUUUGGAACUCAACAAUAGACACAAUAAAUACCAAAAAAUAAUGAACCAAAAUUGGUUUGGAAUAACUCCACAACCUCUUUUUUUUUUUUUUGGUGCACACGAAUUUUCUUACUAGGUAUAUUGCUUUCAAAUUGAGAAAGAUUUACUAUUUAGAUUUUUUUUUUUAAUGAGUUUAAUGGUAUUUUAAAAUAAUUCAAAAUUUCAAAAAUUGACUAAUUACUAUUAUAAAUUCAUAAACCAAGACUAAUUCAAAAUGCAUUGGGGGCUAAGGGGGUUGAAAAUAGGGACAAUGGGAUGGGUUUGGGACAUGACACUCAUAUCUCAUUUCCAUUCCAAUUACAUAGUUAUCUCCCAUCCUUAUCCCAAACUUGUGUUGGAGCAAGUUGAUUUGUUCCCAUCUUUGUUGAUGAAAUGACUAAUAACCUCAUCCCCUCCUUAUCUUAGAUGUACAUUUUGUCAAAUUUGAUCAGGUAUGAUUGAUCCAAGCCCUAACCCUAAUUGGUAAUGACUGGAUACUACACCUAAUUGCAUUCUUCUUUCGUCGCAAAAUAAUGAGAUUAUAAUAAUCUAGCAAAUAAGAAAAAAUAGUAUGGAAGUUCAAUUUAACACCAUAACUAUCAAUAAUUUUAAGCUUAUAGAUGACUUAAAUGAUUAAAAACUAAUGCAAAAUACCAAAAAAAAAAGUUCAUAUAAAGAAUUCACAAGAGAACAAAAUGAACAAAAACCAAAUAUGAACAUGGGUCAACAUUAGUUAUGGAUUUGGAUUCCUUUCAAGGCCAAUCUUUGAACCAAGACUUCAUCAAAUCUACUACUUCAAAGGCUUUUGUGUUCUUCUUGGGUUGUGCUCUCAAACAAAGACUUCAAGGUGAUGCUCUAGAUGAUUGCAUUACACAUAUUUAGGGUGGAGAGAUUGGAGAAGCUUGAAGAUGCCAACGAUGGGUACAAUUGAGUGGUCAAUAAGAACAAUGUAGCCUAUGACUAGUUUGAUGUCGUGGUACAAGAGUUUUAGGCAUUGAGGUUAAAGCAAGAGCAACAUGGAAUUGAUUUUGGAGUCUUUCAAUUAGUGUAAAGGAGGAAGAAGUGGUAUUGAUUCUAGAAAUAGGGUUUUAGGUGGUGCGUUAGAGGAUGAAGAAGAAGAAAAAGAAGGAUCUGUUGGAAUUAGUGUGAGUGUGAAGAGAGAAGUAUAUAAAUAAGGGGAAGUAAAAGCAAAGUUCUAAAAGCUAUAUUUUUUUUUAUUGUUGGUGUAUGGUUGCAUGAUUAUCCCUAUAAAUAAUAGGAGUUUUUUUGGUAUUCUACUAGUAGUUGAAGGAUAAUUUCAUAAAUUUAUAUUUAGAGUGGGGUGGGGUGAGUUGUGACAAAAUUCAUACCCGUCCUAAACCUUGGUUCAGAUUUUUAAAAUAUCCUCAAACUUAUCAUAUACCCAACUUUUAUAUUUCAUACUUGUCUUGAUAGAGGCAGGUUAGGCCGGGUUACUUGAGUAACCUACAUAAUUGUCAUCCCUAGUUGAAAUACACUUUUUUGGCAGUGGCCACCAACUGAGCUAGAAGCUUGAUCGAUUGACCUACAAGAUUAGUUCUCAUCAUUUUAAAAAAAGUUUUGGCCUUGGUUGUGAGUGCAAUUGAAUCUAAACUGGCAUUUCCUUAAUGCAUCUACUUCAAUCCUAAAUUUCUUACUUCCUAAGCCUCAAUUGUUGUUAGGAUUUUGGAAAGCCCAUUUCCUUAAAUUGUAAAUUUAAGAAAAAAUAAAAUAAAAGUGAGACAUUUCUUGAUUGAAUAUUGUUAAAGGUCCCUUGGCAUUAAGACUUGGUUGAAGCCUUGGAAGAUUAGUGGAACUCUCAACUUGUGUUUGAAUCUUGAGGAGAGUGGACGUAAGCCAAAAUUUUGUCAAACCAUUAAACAAAUUGAGUUUGAAUCCUCAUUUCUUGAUUUCUUAUUUAUUUGCUUUUUCUUAUUAUUACUUGAAUUGUCAUUUGCAUUCAUUAAUGUUAAAAUUGGUUAUAAUUAACCAACACUAAUUCUCUUUCCCCUUCCCUUUCUUGGGUGUAAACCUAGGUUGGAUUAACUAGAUUAAUUUAUAAAAUCUAUUAAGAUGGUAAAAGAAUAAUUAUUCUUAACACACAUAAGAUCAUCUUCAAUCAAAUGACUCAUUGGCUAAUAUGUUGAAUUUGCUUAUUACUUGCAACUCAAAAUUGUGUUCUAGUUGAUAUGUCAAGUCCCCAGUGUAUGGACAUUAAAUUUGUAGUACGUGAUGGUAAUUAGAUGGUCCAACUCCAAGAAAGUGAUUGAAAACUAGUUCAAGAAAGGUGCAAAAGGGAAUUGUUUUGGUAUUUUCGUUUUUAUUCUUGAAGGUGGCAGAGCUAAAAUUUGUGAAAUCAAGCAAAACAUACUGAAAUUACAUUGAAAGAAAGAAAAUGGGAGUUAAUGUCUUGCAGUAGAUGAUAAGGACUUCAUGCAUGUAGUAUGACCCAUGUCUUGGACUGAUGCCAACUCACGGUUACACUUAUACCCUUGGUUCUCUCUUUACUACCUUGGCUAACCUAGAUCAGGCUAUGAGAUAGGCUCCUCACCACACCAUUACUUGCCCAUUAAUUAGAGACAUUUUCAAGCACUGAGGUAACAUGGUGACACCAAGAGGGUUUAUUCCUCGCCCUCCUCGCCCUCAACAAGUCUAGACUUGGUCUCAAAAAAAUGGAGAAAAAUGAGGUGUCGUUAUGUAGAAAUACAACAACCAUGCCUUCCUCAUUACUUUGAUUCAGAAUGUGAAGGUGAAAUUGAGAAACAGAAACUCUUGAAACCAAAAUGAAAAUUGAUACUUUUACGAAGAAUUACAACAACAUUGGAGGAAGACUACAUUCUUCCUCUUUAUUCCUACAUUUCUACACUACUUCUACUCCACUCCAUAUUUCUACAUACAUCUUUAAUCAGUCUUCCCUCCUUUAUAUAGAGCCAUCUUCACACAAAUUCCGCAAGGUAGAAAAGAGGAAUGAAACUUGGAGCAAGGUUCGACUACUGGCUGUAGCUUGUCAAGGCUGGAAGUGAACCUUUUUUCUUGGCUUUUCUGGGCAUGGGUAGUAACUUGUGGGUUCCUUUUUGGGAUACAAAUGGCUAGAACAUGUGGCACUAUCUUGUUGGAUGAUGUGUCAAGCAUGUGGCAGCCAUCUAGUGGCGAUUAUGUCAAUUUUGGGAUGGAGAGUUGGCAUCCAAUUGCAAAGAAAUAUGACGUCUACCAACAGGCAAUGUAAACCUAUGUAGAUCAUAUGAAGAUAGAGAGGAAAAAUAUAGAAAUGGAUAUAUACCUAGAACUAGCUUUUUAUUAAAUGAAACGGAGAGCCAACAAUGAAGGAAAAUAAAUUUUUUUGGCUUAUAUCAAAGAGUUCACAUUGUGCUACCCUAGGUUUUCUUAAAACUUACUUUUAUGAUAACAAAAAAAAAAAAAAACAUUAUUGUUUAAUCCUUUGUUUUAAACGCAUGUUUAGCAAGUUAUAAAAUGUAAAAAUCUUUCUAAGUUCAAAUAUGAAGAUAUGACAUCAUUUCAAGCAAGAUAGUCUCUAGGAAUUAAUGUAAAGCUAAAUUAAGGUGAAAUUAAAUUAGUUCAAUGCAUUAAUUUAAGAAACUUGACCUAUCAAAAGUACAAAAUUAGAUGAAAUCCAUUUCAAUGGUUAAAAUGAUCAAAAUCAAACUUUUUCUAAGUAUUUUUUAAAAGUAUCAAUAUUGAAAGACAAUUUUAUAUUUAGUCAGAGUUUGGACAAAACCAAAAAGCACACAAAAUCCAAGCGACCAUCUCUAGCUUGGAUGGUCGCUUGAUCUCUAGCUUGUGUACUUGGAAAGCAACAUCGAGAUGAUAUAUAUAUAUAUAUAUAUUUUAUAUAAUAUUGUUUGUCCAAAUUCCCUAAAAAUUAGGCCACCACAUGUUCAUAAUUCUCCCUUCUUGAAUUUGAAAACUCGGACAAUUGGACAAUGCGACACCUAAGUCCGGUUUCUAAAUGCUAAAGUGAAAGGGUAGGUAUGGACCAUUGAAAUGUGAUCACAACUUUUCUCUGUAGCCAUGUUGUCUCUUUUUUCUUUUGCAUGAUUUUCUCACCUUAACAGAAUCAUAGACUUGUUUAAUCUCUAAAUGGGAUUAAUUUCAUCCAGCUUUAAGCUACUAUAUUAUAUCUAGGUGGAGGACUUUUAAGAGUGCAACCGACAUAGAGCACAUGCAAGUGGGUAUAUGGGACAUGAAAUUUCUUCUUAUAAAGAUUGCAUGAUUUUUAUAUUAGAGUUGUUGGGGCGCAAUGUAUGUAGCUUGUUUUGCAGUUAAAUUAAUUGGAUAAGUAGACAUUGGCGUUUCUAAAUCUACUGUGAAGUGCUUCAUGUACGUGUGAAGUAUUAGAAAUUUCUUUCUUGGCAACUUGUUUUUUCUUUGCGGUCUACUGAUAGGUUUGACUAAAAUUAUAUUCCCUGUCAUGCUAAUUAAUUUUCACGUGCAUGCUCAAAAGAAGAGUAUGACCUUAGUGCACCAAAAUCACUUUGAUUAAUUUGUGAUAGGUUUUUGUGCAUCAUGACAUUAGCCUUAUUCAUUUAGAUAAUGUUUAGUUUUUAGAAAGUAUUAAGAAAAGGAAAAUAAAUAUUAAGAAAAAUAUUCUUAUAUUUGAUUGUAUUAUGAAAAAUGUCAUAAAAAAAUCAAAUAUAAUUUAAAUUAAUUAAUAAUUUAUACAUUUUCAAAUUAUUUAAUCUUUAUAUUGAAGAUAUAAUAUAAAUGAAAUGAGUUUUAAGUAUUAUAUAAAAGUGAUUUAUUGAUCUUGCAUAUAUGUAUUUCUUUUUUUUUUCUUCUAUUUUUUUUCUUUAUUUUAUUUUCCUUAUGUUUUCCUCAACAUUUUCCGGAACCAAACAUAGCCUUAGGAAAUCCACAAUUACCUUCAACUGAGUAUAUUCGGUUGUUUUAGCAAUGUUAGGCUGCUAACUUGUGUUGGUACGAACCUGUUAAGCCUAAAGAUGUAAUUAGUUAGGAUAUUCUUUUCCCUCUAGUCUUGUAGCUCCACGUGUAUAGUUGGUUAGGACCUCAUUGUAUAUAAUGCCUGCCCUGUUAUUGUUGAAGACAACAGAGAUAAAUAAUAUUAACAUUUUUCCUCUCAUCUCUCUUUGUUUCCCUCUGUUUUCAUCUCCUCUCUCAUCUUGGUAUCAGAGCCUCCAUGGAUUCUUUCAAAGAAACCUCCGAAUCACCUUCUGCUAGCAUUGUUAAUGUGCAAAACCCAUUAUCUCAGUCAAACAACCUUCCUUCACCAGCAGCCACACCCUCUUUUUCUUUCUUGUCUAUGAAUCAACCUCUCACAGUGAAGCUGGAUAAUGGAAACUACCUCAUCUGGAAGAAUUAGCUUCUGAAUGUCAUCAUUGCGAACAGACUCGAUGAUUUCAUUUAUGGAACUCGACCCUGCCCUCCUUGAUUUCUCAAUCUGCAACAACAAACCCUCACUCCAGAGUACUCGGUCUAGCAGAGAUACAAUCGACUUCUAAUGAGUUGGCUGUACGCAUCCUUGUCCGAAGAUAUAAUGACUCAGAUUGUUGGGUAUUCAACAACUGUGGAGAUUUGGAACGUCCUUAAUCAGAUUUACUCUGCCUCUUCAAUGGCGUGGGUUACCGAGCUUCACACCAAGCUUCAAACGCUCAAGAAAGAUGGACUCUCAGUUGGUGAAUAUAUUCAAAGGCUCAAAUCCAUUUGCAAUAGUCUUGCAGCAAUAGGAGAACUAGUUUCUGAGAAAGACCAGCUUAUCUAUUUGUUCAAUGGAUUAUAUUGUGAGUAUAAUUCUUUUGUUACCUCCAUUCAAAAUCGAUCUGACCAACCAACUAUUGAGCAAAUCCAUAGCCUAUUGCUUAGCUAUGACUUUCGGCUUGAACAACAAAACUCUGUUUCUCUCCAUUAUGCCCAAGUCCGUAUGGCUCAUCUGAACAAGAAACCUUAUAAAUCAACUCCUCAACCUACAUUCAAUCAUAUUCACAUUCAACCUAGAUACUCUUCUCCACCUUUUAAGCCAACCACUAGUCAAUAUCAACCCAGGAUUUUGGGCAAACCACAACCACAACCAUGACAGCCUCAACCUCAAUGGAAACCACAUUUUUCAAUCCAGAAUCAAAAGCCUCAGUGCCAAAUUUGUGGUAAAUUUGGACACACUGCUCUUAUUUGCUUCCAUUGCACAAAUUUGAACUAUUCACCCCAACCUUCUCCUAAAUCUUUCAAUACUGUUCUCACCACAAAUUCCCAGCUCCCUAAUCCUCCAAAAUUUUCUUACCCUACAAUGGCUCAUCCUGCUGCUACGCAUAACACGAUUCCUGAUACAAAUUGGUACAUGGACUCAGGUGCUACACAUCACUUUACUCCGGACAUCAACAUGCUUGACACUGUGACACCAUUUAGUGGUUUAGAACAGGUGACAGUUGGGAAUGGUAAGCAACUCUGUAUCUCACAUCUUGGUACUGCAAAACUACCAUCCUCGUAUUCUCCUCUUGUUCUACAUCAGGUAUAUCACACUCCAAAAAUUUCAAAUAAUCUUAUUAGUGUUAGAAAAUUGUGUUCUGAUAAUAAAGUUUUUGUUGAAUUUUAUGCCACUCAUUUUCUUAUCAAAGAUCAAGUUUCGAAGAGAGUUCUCUUUCAAGGUCAACUUGAUAAUGGCUUAUACAAAGUUCAGUCGUCAUGCUCUCCUUCUACUAUUUCCUUUCAUCCUCAAGUUUUCAUAGCCAACAUCAAGGAUCAAAAUUUGUGGCACAAGAGACUAGGCCACCCAGCUUUAUCUGUUAUUAAUCAAAUCUUGGAUUCUUGUAACAUUGCUCGAACACAGAAAAUUGGUUUUAAUUUUUGUAGUUCUUGUCAAUUAGCAAAAAGCCACAGGCUUCCUUUUUCUCUGUCUCCAUCCAUUGCAGAAAAACCUUUUGAGUUAAUUCAUACAGACCUAUGGGGUCUUUCUCCUGUUCGCUCUAUUUCUGGUGCUCGUUAUUUUUUACUUUUCAUUGAUGAUCAUACUCGUUUUACUUGGUUUUAUUUGCUCAAAACAAAAGAUGAAGCAUAUCCUACUUUUCUCAAGUUUCAAGCUCUCAUUGAAAAUCAAUUUAAUACCAAGAUUAAGGUUGUCCAAUCUGAUUGGGGAGGUGAGUUUCGAUCUCUCUCCAUACUGUUUUCAAAUAUGGGCAUUGUCUAUCGUUUAUCAUGUCCAUACACCUCACAACAGAAUGAGUGGGUUGAGCGAAAAAAUCACCAUGCGGUUGAAAUGGGAUUGUCCUUUCUUGCUCGCUCGGGUAUGCCCUUAUCUUAUUGGCCUUAUGCCUUUCAAACUGCCACUUACCUUAUUAAUCGUCUCUCUACCCCUGUGCUGCACCAUCAAUCCCCUUACUUCGCACUCUAUCACAAAUUCCCAGCUUAUACUCAUCUUAAGGUCUUUGUUCCUCUUGUUUUCCAUAUUUACGCCCUUAUAAUACCCAUAAACUCCAAUACAGGUCACUGGAGUGUGCUUUUCUUGGUUGCAGUUCACACCACAAAGGUUAUCUAUGUCUUGACAUUCAUUCUAGCAGGGUGUAUAUUUCUCGCCAUGUGAUUUUUAAUGAAGAUUCUUUUACAUUCAAGAAUUUGAAAUCUUCUCUCUCUUAGUCUAUUUCUUCUUCCUCUUCUUUAUUAGUUCCUCUGUUCAUUUCCUUGCCUCCCCUCUCCCCAUAUCCUCCUAUUUCUCCAUCUAUAUCUCAUUCUUUUCUCUCUUCUUCUUCUACCUCUAGUACUUGUUCCCCUCUCGUUGCUCCUACCUCUCUUCCUCCCUCUUCACACUUUGUGUCCCAUCUAUUCCACCUCCUUCUCCACCUUCUUCGAGUGUGGACCUGCUUGUACCUUGUGUGAAUACAAAUUUACUUACUUUUUCUCGCACUCACAAUAUUCAUCCUAUGGUGACCAGAUCUAAGGGUUUGUAUCUAUAAACCUAAGUUGCUAUUGAGUGUCUCCAUAGGUUCUCUCACUAAGCCUACUUCCUUUCUUCAAGCUAUUAAAGAUCCUUCAUGGAAGCAAGCCAUGGAAUUGGAGUUUGCUGCCCUUCAACACAACAAGACCUGGCAUCUAGUUCAUUCACCUUCCUCAGGCAAAGUAAUUGGUUGUAAAUGGGUCUAUAAGAUAAAGCUUUAGCCUGAUGGCUAAUUGAGAGAUACAAGGCCCGCUUAGUAGCUUAGGGUUAUCAUCAAACUGAAGGUAUUGACUACUUCGAAACAUUCAGCCUGGUUGUCAAGCCUUCUACUACCGUAUUGUGCUCAGUCUUACUUUUUCCCAGAAUUGGUGUAUUAGACAGCUGGAUGUUCAUAAUGCCUUCUUACAUGGUGACUUAGCUGAAGACGUUUUCAUGGAACAACCACCUGGAUUUGUUGAUCCUCUCUAUCCUACUCAUGUCUGCAAGUUGGAUAAGUCUCUCUACGGUCUUAAUAGUCACCUCGGGCUUGGUAUACUAAGCUGAGUACUUCUCUACUACACUUGGGAUUUGUUACUUCUAAGAAUGACUCUUCCUUAUUUAUUUGUCAUUCGUCUCAUGGGUUACUUCUUGUUCUUGUCUAUGUGGAUGAUAUAAUCGUCACUGGGAGCCACUCUCCUCAAGUUACUCACCUUAUCCAAUAGUUGCAUCAUCAGUUUUCUUUAAAGGAUCUUGGUCAUUUACACUAUUUUCUGGGCUUGGAGGUUCAUCACACCCCUACUGGUAUUCACCUCAGCCAAGCAAAGUAUAUCACUGAUCUCCUUACCCGGGCGGCUAUGUUGGAUGCCAAGCCAUGUCCCACUCCUAUGUCCUCCAACACAUAUCUUUCUCUUCAUGAUGGAGUGGCUCUUGAAAAUGGUUCAGAUUAUUGAAGUUUUGUUGGUGCCCUUUAGUAUUGUACCAUGACACGCCCAGAUAUAGCUUUUGCAGUAAAUAAAGUGUGUCAAUUCAUGCACCAUCCCUCUGAUGUUCACUGGCAGGCUAUAAAACGUAUUCUCCAGUACUUAAAGGGCACAUCUCAUUUUGGUCUCUUCCUACAGCCUUCCUAUGACUUCAACAUCACUUGCUAUACAGAUGCCGACUGGGCUUCCUGCCUUGAUGACAAGUGUAGCACCAGUGGCUACUGCCUCUUUCUUGCCUCUAAUCUGGUUUCUUGGUCAUCUUCCAAACAAAAAGUGGUCUCCCGCUCCAGCGCCAAAUCAGAGUACCGAGGGGUAGCAAAUGGGGCUGCUGAAAUUGCUUGGACUGAAUCUCUUCUUUGUGAACUUUCCACCCACUCGACCUCCCCUCAUUGUCUGUGACAAUAUCAGUGCCACAUACUUAGCUGUCAAUCCUAUUUUGCAUGCCCGCACCAAAACAUGUGGAAAUCGACUAUCACUUUGUCUCGGAACGUGUUCUUCAACGCUCUCUCUCUCUCCAGUUUACACCUUCGGAUGAUCAACUUGCUGAUUGCAUGACCAAGCCUCUCUCCACCCAACGUUUCAUCACUCUACGCUCCAAGCUCACUGUUCUCACUAGACCAAUGAGCUUGAGGGGGGAUGUUAAGCCUAAAGAUGUAAUUAGUUAGGAUAUUCUUUUCCCUCUAGUCUUGUAGCUCCACGUGUACAGUUGGUUAGGACCUCAUUGUAUAUAAUGCCUGCCCUGUUAUUGUAGAAGACAACAGAGAUAAAUAAUAUUAACAUUUUUCCUCUCAUCUCUCUCUCUGUUUCCCUCUGUUUUCAUCUCCUCUCUCAUCUGAACCAAAUGAUCCAUGUUAACCUUGGCUUGGUUUGAUUUGGCUCUAUCUUAGAGAGCUCAAGGAUCACGUCAACUCUGGUUUCUACUAUUCAGGUCCAUUCCCAUAUGAACUGGUUCAAAUUUGAGAAAAUGGUAACAGACCUUUAGUGAUGUUGGUUUGGAGCCAGUUGCCAAACCCGCCCUGAGCUUUACCACUAAUGUCAAGGGAGAAAGCCUUUUGAACAAAAACAAUAGCUUCAAGAGACUGAAUCGUGGAUGAAAUCUGAUCCACAUUUCUUCUCAUUUUGGAAACAAAUGAGAACUUAACUAAGAAGAUUCUACGGCCUCAUAGUGCUUUUCCUGAUCUAAGGUUGGUUCGUUUCCCAAAUUGUGAGAUGCACGGGCCAGACUUCAGAACUCUCACGCUCAGGAGUGUAUCCACGUGGUGGACAUAAGAUGGUGGCUUAAGAUCUGGUGUCGGUGGCUUUACUUUACUAGGAGAGUAGUGUGUCUUCAUCUCAUUCACUGCCGGAGGGUGGCGUAAGCAGUGACGCUAAGGUGGGGCAUAGUCAAUAUCAUUUGCAUUUGACCAUUAUAGUUUUCUCCCGGCUUGAAAGUAACCUUAUCGUGAUAAAGGAUUACUAGCACUAGUUCAGAUGACAGUCAUGUUAAAUUCGGACCAUGUUUGUGUCACAUUAUCAGCAACCAUGUGUUUAUGGUUCAUGCUUUCUGCAACUGAAAUUGAAAUUGAUAUAUAACCAGGUGAACUUCAAUCUAAAUUCUGGAAGUACUCAUGUGAGCGAUGGUGCCCAUCUGCAGAGUCCAUCAAUUGAAAAAUGGAGUGAGUGUAUCUAUAAGAGGGAAGGCUUGGCAAAUGUCCAGUUUUCUGGGAAUUCAACAAGGAUCUAAAAUAGAUUGUUUUCUUUGCUGAUUUCAAUGGUUGAAAUUUGAGAAGAUUGUGUCCCACAUAACACAACUAUUACUGGUCCUUCUGUUGCAAUUUAUCCUCUAAGGCUCUAGCAUGUCUUCCAAUUCCCACUUCCCUGUUACUCCAGGAAAGCUAUUUCUGUCAUUGUGAAGAAGAAAAGAGAAUGUAGAUAUCGAUGCUUUUAAGUGACUGGAGCAUUCAUAUCAGGUGGUCUGCAGCCAUAUAUGCCACUUUGUGAAGAUUGGAACAGUCAAUCACUAGGCUAUAUAUUAGUGUGGCCCAGCCACUUUAAUCAAGGACAAUUCUUCAUACUUAAAAGUCAAAUUCUGCCUUUAGUCUCAUUAUAAAUUGCUGUUUAAAUAUUAAGCAAACAUUUGUUUAAUGCGAUUAAGACAGUACUAACUCAAUACUUGUUCUAUUUUUGGAUGGAAAUGCUUGAUGGUUUCAUCAUUGGAUGGGAUAAAGGUGCAUUCAUGAUUAUGAAUACUUGUAGUUAUAUUUUCAUUCUCUUUUUUCUCAAUGAGACUUGUUGGCACAAUUUUUCUGUUCAGAAACCUACCUCUCCAUGGAAAAUAAGUUGUGAUUGAUAGUACUGGAUAUAUUCAAGAAAGCUAAAUAUAGAUAGCACAAAAUAUUAUCGACAUAAAUAGCAUUAACAGCGUACGUAUGUCUCAGUGCUCAUCAGCCAUAAGCAUGGGGCAAACACUUACGAUGAGCAACUUACGUCAAAAUUCCAGAAUAGGACAUAGAAGUGACAGAUCUAUAUAUAUAGAACACUGCAUAAGAGUCACAAGAAAGGAAAUUACGGGUGCAUAGCAGCUCUUAUUUCACAUACUACUCAUACUGAUCAAAGUCACUCAGUUGGGAUGGGUGGGAGUAGGAGGUUUGUGGGGUGGCUUGUGCGGAGGAGUUGGCAGCUUCUUUCCAGGACCUGGUGGCUUCUCUCCCUUAGGUGGUUUGCCAACUGGGGUUGGUGGCUUGUAUGAGUCUUCAGCAUUCUCUGCAGGAGGGUGACCAGGGUUGUGACCAUAAUGUGGUGGCUUCUCUCCCUUAGGUGGUUUGCCAACUGGGGUUGGUGGCUUGUGUUCUGGGAGUGGCUUCUCCCCCUUGGGAGGUUUUUCCAAUGGGGUUGGUUUGUGUUCAGGAGGUGGCUUCUCCACUGGAGGCUUGUGUUCAGGAGGUGGCUUCUCCACCGGAGGCUUGUGUUCAGGAGGUGGCUUCUCCACCGGAGGCUUAUGCUCUGGUGGUGGCUUCUCCACCGGAGGCUUAUGCUCUGGUGGUGGCUUCUCGAAUGGGGGAUGCUUAGGGUAAUCAGCAAGUGAGGGGGCGGUGAGAACCACCAGGCCAAGCAAGACCACUAGCAAGUAUGUAGGAGACAUCUUUGGGUUUAGACUCAGAUGGUGCAAAACUAGGAGAAUUGUCUUUUAUAGCGGAUCGCACCCAAUAAUGAAAUGACACGUGUCUUUAUGACCCAUGUGUAAUGGGGUCGAUUUGGGUCCUACAGUGUUGAAAACUUCGACAUCCACUUUUGGCCUUUUGCUUUCUCUACAGCCGCCUUGCUUUUUCCCUCUUUCCUUUUGUUUUCCUCCUGCCCCAUUCUAUCAACUAAACACAAUUAUGUAGUUGUUUAAUUCUUAAAUGAGAUAUUAUCCGUCAAUCGUAUCAUAUUUUAUCAACAGAGAACGGAGUGCAAUGUGGCAAUCCAAAGAAAGAAGAUCCAUAAUGCAGCUGUAAUUUUAUCGUUUACUUUUAUCUCUUGGACCACUGCAUUUUUGUUAAGAGGUGCAAUAAUACACGUCUUUAUCUGCCAUUCAAUGUUUACAGUAAAGAGAGGGCACAAAACUCUUCACUGCUCUGCAUGUGUCCCAAAAAUGCAAUUGGACAAAUUAUGAUUUGCAUGCUAAAAAGAGGCAAAUGAGGUUAAUUCGCACCAUAAUUAUUUUGUUUUCUGGACCCCGGGGCCCUUUGGUUGGUUUGGGGGUCAGAAAAUGAACAUCAUAGGGGGUUUUUCCCUUAUGUGCAUUUGUAUCUGAUGGCUUUAACUCGCCUUGUUACUACAAAGAAAUUGUCACAUAUAGGAACUUAUUCCAGGCUGAGUAUCUCCGCAUAGACCCUAUAAAAGAAGACAAGUCAUAAUGAACAUCUAACCUUUGUUCAAUUUGAUUCAAUGCCCCAUUGUGUCCACCUCACAAAUCUGAAUUAUUAUAUCCAUUGAAUACAUAAAUUAAUGAAGAAAAUAUGAAACCCAAGAUACAUCUCUGCACAACCUCAACCCUGGUUGCUAUGUUUCCCUUCUAUUCACAUGAGGAUAUUGAUUACGGAAUAGGGAAACCUAGCAAGGGUUUACUCGGCUCUGGUUUGAUGCUAAUUGCCAAACUUGCAACAAGCCCUGAGUUUGAAGCUCACAGAAGAUGUUAUACAGGCAGGGAAAAACCUUCAGAGUUCGCUGCCAAAGAUAAUUAUUAAGGAGAUAUCACCAAGAGAAUUCCAAGGAGUCUGAAUCAAAGACAAAUUGGUCGUUCGUGGAGGUUCUUACUUUCUUUUGGGUAUAACUCACUGAGGGCACUGUCUUUUUUAUUUUCAUUUCACAUUUAGAGUUCUGUUCUGGAAACAUAUAAAAGGAGCAUCAGUUUGUUCUUGGGUAACCCAUAGUCGUGAGUGGGUCCAUUUGCAUGCUACUUAGUUGAAAAGUUGGACCAUUUGCUCCGACGCCUACCUCCUGGAUUCCAUGCUCGGAUAAAACAAGAAUAAAAAAAUAUUUAUAAUUUACAAAUGGGGGAAAGAAAAAAAUGUCAACAACAAACUAGGAAAAAAGAGUAGUAAAAUUCAUGUCACAUGCUAGUGAGAGAAGGGGUUGUUACACUCACUCGAAGUUCUUUUCAAAAUAUCGCAUGGUAUUUUAUUUUAUGUGUGAGCGCAGUUGUGAAUGGAACGUGCAAAAGUCCAAAUUGGUGACCUUUAAUAAAUAUUUAAAACAAAAAACGAAAAAAAGGAGGGAAAAGGGAUCAGAAAAGAUAAAACAAUGUGUACAAAAGCUCAAUUAGUUUGCAAAUUACUGUUUGGAUUUUGAUAGUAUUUUAUUUGAUGUAAAAGAGAAUUUAAGAUAUUUCCGAAACAAAAGCAUUAGUUUGCUCCAUGUCAAUUUCGGCAUUUCUCAUAUGUUUCACACAUACACAGAAGAGCAUCGUUUUUUAAAGCAUGCAUUUAUGUUGGAUUAAUUUGGAUUUUGUGGGAACUGGGGCAAGGAUCACAUGGAAGAGAGGUUGACUUUUUUCAGUACUUCAAUGGUUGAGACAGGUGAAGGCCUGAUUGAUACUGAAGCCUGAAAUUGCGACUCCGUCAUUUGUCAAAACAUAUGACAGCUUCCAUGCUCUCGUUUGGUUGCAUUGUUCUGUGGUCAUGCAUACAUGCCACUUAGUGAUCAGUCUGUAACUGUCAAUCAUUGGGCUUUGACUGAACAACAUCAGCCAUGUAUAAAUACUUGCAAAUCAAACGGUCUUCUUCCUCCCAUAAGGAAUUUCGGUUUAAUUAUGAAGCAUGCAUUUGGCUGACCAUCAUAAACCACUUCUUUAAAUUGAUGAAUGAUAGUUUUUCAUUCAUUCUUUCAUUCGUUCAUAUACAGAGUAUAUAUAGAGGGUAAUCAUCAUUCUAAGAAUGGGAAAGAAUGAUACAAGGAAAUAAUGAUAUAAAGAAAUAACAACUAAUAUUCUAAUAUCUCAACUUUCCUAAUAUCUAAACAUUCCUAAUAUCUCAACACUAAAUGAUAUAAAGAAAGAAUGAUAUAAGGAAAGCAUUCCUAAUAUCUCAACACUCCUCCUCAAGUUGGUGCAUAGAUGUCAAACAUGUCCAACUUGUCUAAAAAUUUUGAGAACAGUUGACUUGAGACAUCUUUGGUGAGGAUAUCGGUCAAUUGAUCUUCUGAUCGAAUCUUAGGCAAUUCCACAAUCUUAUCAUCCAACUUUUCCUUAAUGAAAAAUCUAUCCAUCUCGACAUGCUUUGUACGAUCAUGUUGUACUAGAUUAUGAGCAAUGUCACAUGCUGCUUUAUUGUCACAAAACAAUCGGAUUGGUUGCCUAGAUAGGUAACCUAAAUCCUAUAAGAGGAGUCUUAGCCAUAAUGCCUCACAAAGUCCUAAAGUCAUACCUCUAAAUUCCGCUUCUGCACUUGAACGAGCGACGACAUUUUGCUUCUUACUUUUCCAUGUCACAAGAUUACCACCUACAAAGGUAAAGUAACCAGAUGUAGAUCGCCUAUCAUCCACUGCACCGACCCAAACAGCAUUAUACUUCUAUACUCUGAUGAUCAACAUUUUUAGCGAACAAAAUUCCCUUCCUAGGAGCAUUCUUCAAAUACCUCAAAAUACGCAUGACUACAUUCAUAUGUUGCUCUCCAGGAUUAUGCAUGUAUUGACUCACUACACUCAAUGUAUAAGCAAGAUCUAGUCUUGUAUGAGCUAAGUACAUUAAUCUCCCCACAAGUCUCUGGUAUCUUCCCUUAUCGAUUGAUACUUGAUUAGGCUCAACACACAAUUUCAGACCUUCUUCUAUUGGUGUAUUAAUAGGUUGACAUCCCGACAUUCCAGUUUCCUGUAGAAGAUCUAAGGCAUACUUUCUUUGAGACAGAAAAAUUCCUUCACUUGAUCGAGAAACUUCAAUCCCAAGAAAGUAUUUCAGACGACCAAGAUCUUUCAUUUCAAAUUCUCUAGAUAGAUACUUUUGCAAAGCUUUUCUUUCUUCAGGAUCAUUUCCUGUAACUACAUGUCAUCCACAUAUAUCAUAAGUGUCGUAAUCUUACCAUGUUGCUUUUUCAAGAACAAAGUGUGAUUUGAAUUACUUUGAUGAUAGCCAAAAGCUCUCAUUGAUUUUGUGAACCUUCCAAACCAUGCUCUCGGGGAUUGCUUCAACCCAUACAAUGACUUCUUCAAUUCGCACACCUUCUGACAUUGCUUUUCUGACACCAUGCAUCCUGGUGGAAGAUCCAUAUAUACUUCUUCAGAUAAAUCGCCAUGCAGAAAGACAUUUUUUACAUCGAACUAUUGUAAUGGCCAAUCUAGGUUUGCAGCUAAAGACAAUAAUACUCGAACUGUGUUGAUCUUAGCUACAGGUGCAAAUGUCUCUGUGUAGUCAAUUCCAUAAGUUUGAAUGUACCCACUAGUCUUGCUUUAAAUCGUUCAAUACUACCAUCUGCCUUGUACUUCACAGUAUAGAUCCAACGACACCCAACUAGCUUCUUUCCUGGUGGACAUUCUACGAGUUCCCAUGUUUCAUUUUUCUGCAAUGAUUUCAUCUCUUCAUUCAUGGUUGCUUUCCACUUUGGAUCAGCUAAAGCUUCCUGCACACUAUUAGGAAUAGCUACAGUAGAUAAUUGAUUUACAAAUGACUUAUUUGAUUCAGACAAACCAUGGUGUGGACCCGCAUUUUUCACGUGCGCCUCUACUCGAUCGGCGAGACUCGCUUUCUAUUUGUGAAAAAUUAAUUUUAGAAAAGUUGGAGUCGCCACCUAUUUUAUUUUUAUUUUGAAGGGAAAAUAAAACAAGAAAGAAAAACCCUAAAAAGUGACUCCAUAGUUUUGGAAAAAGCAUGUCUUUGGGAAACCUGAGUCUAGGUCCGGGGAUCAUGUUACUUAUUGGGAAGGUACCUCUAGGAGGUAGCACCCCUCUAAGCCUUAUGAAGGUCUCUACUAACUAAAUUAAGGGAAGUGUGGCAAUAAAUCGAUUGAUCAUAGAUACCUAAGUAGACUAGGUGAUUUUAAAGUGUGGCAUGUCAAACACAAUCAAAUUGCAAUAAAGGAGAGUUAGGGCGCGUACCUGAACCGCUUCUCAAGCGCUAUCAUAAAACAUCAAUGGUUAAUUUAAAUAAUAUAUCAUCCAGCAUGUAUUUUAUUAGAAAUAAUCAAACAAUGAAACAUGUAUAUCAGAACACUCAAGCAUUAUUAGACAUAAGCAUUAUUUCACUAUUCACAGAAUUCAGAAAGUAGGUGAUAGAGGACAUACCUGGAUAGCAUAGAUAAUUUGUAAUGUGCUUCCUCAAGUUGUAAGGGGUUAGAUAACAAAUAAUAAAAUAUAGAAAUCCUAGCAUGCUCGUUAUCUAAUUAGCAUAGCAAAAGUGAUCACAGUAUACAGAAUCAUCAAUUAUCACAUACAUCUUGUAUAUAAUUCCUAAAAAAAAUAGAUAGACAUGAUUUCAACAAGUGUCAAAUGUGGCAACAAAAAUAAAUUUUGAAAAGAUUUUCUUAUGUAGGGGUUUCACCAAUUCCCCAAAUUAAUAUACACGAAUUUAGCUUAGAAUUAUCCCAUUUAUUUGGGACUACAAGCUUUGAUUCGUGUUUUUGUUCAAAACCAAAAAUUUUUGUUGAAAAUCAAGAAGGAUGCGAACCGAACAAGAUAUGGUUGCAUAUUAUUUUUAAAUAAAUAAAUAAAUAAAUAAAGGAGAUUUUGAUCCUGAGGACUUUAAUGAGUUUUUUUUUUUAAAAUAGAUUUUUAAAAUGAUUUUUUUGAGAAAAGUAUUUUAUUUUAAAAUAAAAGGGAUUAAUUUGGGAAAAAAAUAAAAUAUAAGAAAUAAAAUACCAAACAAAACAAAAAUGAAACCUCAAAGUAAAAUUUUUUUAGUAAUUAACAAAAAUGAUAAUGGUGAUGGUAGAGGGCAAUCUUCAUGAUUUUCCAAUGGCCUCAGAAAGAAAAUCAAAUUAAAUGAAGGAUCACUAACAGGCAAGACAUUCUAAAUUAGACAAACUAACAAAGUAUCAAUUCAUGAACUAACCGCUAGGAUUUUGAAAGCAUAUAAGCUAAGAUAAGGGUGAUCAGGAACUAAUAUUAAUGAUUUUGAAAUAAAAACUAAAAAAAAGGAUCAAUUCGGGUAAGGAACUAAAAUUAUAAAAGUACCUAAACUAAUUAUGACGAGUUUGACUAAAUUAAACUAAAAACAUGAACUUUCAAACAUAGAAUUAAUUUUACUAAUGAACCAAAGCAAACUAAAAAUAUGUACUUUCAAGCAUAGAAUUAAUUUUAUUGAUGAACUAAACUAUAACAAAUAUCUAAACUAAAUAUAAUGAAUCAAAUUAAAUUAAAGCAACUUAAAAACGCAAACUUUCAAACAUAGAAUCAAUUUUAUCAAUGAAUUAAAACUAUAAAUGUAUUUGAACUAAAUAGAUGAAUCAAACUAAAUCAGAGCAAAAUUAAAAAAAAAAAAGAACUUUCUAACAUGAAAUCAAUUUUAUCAACAAAUAAAUGAAUGAAUAACAAGUAAUUAAAAGAAUAGCUACUACAUGAAUAACUGAAUGAAUAAAAUUCAAAUGUUUUCAAUCUGAAGCAAUCAAUCAAAAUUAAAUAGGGAUCAAAUCAAAAUAAUCGAAAUCGGAAAAACAAUAUGCAAUCUUUCUAAAGGUUUAACCAGACAAUUGAAUUAAAAUUAUGAAUAGAAUAAAUUAAUAAACCAAAUCGAAACCUAAAUUGUACCUAAAAAGAUUAAUUAAUUAAACUAAGAAAUCAAAAUCAAUAACAAAACUAAACUAAGGAGUAAAUUAAGACAAGACUAAUUAAAUUAAACUCACAAACACGUUUUAACUAUCAUAUGGAUUAAAACAAAAUUAGCAUGGACUUAUGAAUUACGAACAAAAAUAAUCAAAACUAUUUUAAAAAACUCACCUCUAUUAUAAGAAAAAAUCUGCCUUUGAUGCGUUGAGGUGGCUCCCCUCUCUGUGUGGAUCUCUCUGCUCCCCAGAAAAAAAAUGUCUCUUCCUCCGUUCUCUUUUGUUUCAGCAAAAUAAUAUAUCCCCUGCUGUGGAUCUCUCUACUCCCAGAAAAUAAUAUAUUCUCUCCGUGUCCUAAAGUGGACCUAGGGUGCCUAAGUGGACCUAGGGUGCCUAAAUGGGCCUAGGGUGCCUAAAUGGGCCAAGUGUAUCUAAAUAGGCUUAGGGUGCCUAAGUGGGCCUAAGUCUAAGUGAGCCUAAGUCUAAAUCAAGACUACCAAGGAUCAUAAUAAGGGGUUAGGCAAUCCCUUAACCAAAGUCUCCAAGGUGGCUAAAAAAAAGUAAGUAGUAUGAGUAGCUAUGGGUCACCAAGGAACUACUGUGGAGCAUUGAAAACGAAUUUAAAGACAUGUGCCAAAGGGACAAAAUUGAGGGUCUACAGAUGGUUAGACACAUAGUUGCUCAUGGGAUAUUUGACUUUGGUAAACAAUUCAGAUUCAUAUGUGGGUUUAGGAAUACCUUUAUUAUGACGGUGUGGUAAUCGUUUCAUGAAUGGAUCAGGUUGCAAAUUAAGAACACCCUCAGCAAACAACGAUUGGUUUGGUAUUUCAGUGAAGACAUCUUCGAACCCAAAUUGUUGACCACUCAUAUCCAACUCACCCGCUUCCUGGUUCACUAGUUCAGAUUGUCCAAAUUCAUCAUUCUCAUAGAUAUGAUAAUCAUAAUCGAGAGUCUGAAUUUCCUUAUGGUACUCCCCCUGAAGUUCAGACUUAGAUGAAAAAUACAUCGAAUAUUCAUGAAACAGCNNNNNNNNNNNNNNNNNNNNNNNNNNNNNNNNNNNNNNNNNNNNNNNNNNNNNNNNNNNNNNNNNNNNNNNNNNNNNNNNNNNNNNNNNNNNNNNNNNNNNNNNNNNNNNNNNNNNNNNNNNNNNNNNNNNNNNNNNNNNNNNNNNNNNNNNNNNNNNNNNNNNNNNNNNNNNNNNNNNNNNNNNNNNNNNNNNNNNNNNNNNNNNNNNNNNNNNNNNNNNNNNNNNNNNNNNNNNNNNNNNNNNNNNNNNNNNNNNNNNNNNNNNNNNNNNNNNNNNNNNNNNNNNNNNNNNNNNNNNNNNNNNNNNNNNNNNNNNNNNNNNNNNNNNNNNNNNNNNNNNNNNNNNNNNNNNNNNNNNNNNNNNNNNNNNNNNNNNNNNNNNNNNNNNNNNNNNNNNNNNNNNNNNNNNNNNNNNNNNNNNNNNNNNNNNNNNNNNNNNNNNNNNNNNNNNNNNNNNNNNNNNNNNNNNNNNNNNNNNNNNNNNNNNNNNNNNNNNNNNNNNNNNNNNNNNNNNNNNNNNNNNNNNNNNNNNNNNNNNNNNNNNNNNNNNNNNNNNNNNNNNNNNNNNNNNNNNNNNNNNNNNNNNNNNNNNNNNNNNNNNNNNNNNNNNNNNNNNNNNNNNNNNNNNNNNNNNNNNNNNNNNNNNNNNNNNNNNNNNNNNNNNNNNNNNNNNNNNNNNNNNNNNNNNNNNNNNNNNNNNNNNNNNNNNNNNNNNNNNNNNNNNNNNNNNNNNNNNNNNNNNNNNNNNNNNNNNNNNNNNNNNNNNNNNNNNNNNNNNNNNNNNNNNNNNNNNNNNNNNNNNNNNNNNNNNNNNNNNNNNNNNNNNNNNNNNNNNNNNNNNNNNNNNNNNNNNNNNNNNNNNNNNNNNNNNNNNNNNNNNNNNNNNNNNNNNNNNNNNNNNNNNNNNNNNNNNNNNNNNNNNNNNNNNNNNNNNNNNNNNNNNNNNNNNNNNNNNNNNNNNNNNNNNNNNNNNNNNNNNNNNNNNNNNNNNNNNNNNNNNNNNNNNNNNNNNNNNNNNNNNNNNNNNNNNNNNNNNNNNNNNNNNNNNNNNNNNNNNNNNNNNNNNNNNNNNNNNNNNNNNNNNNNNNNNNNNNNNNNNNNNNNNNNNNNNNNNNNNNNNNNNNNNNNNNNNNNNNNNNNNNNNNNNNNNNNNNNNNNNNNNNNNNNNNNNNNNNNNNNNNNNNNNNNNNNNNNNNNNNNNNNNNNNNNNNNNNNNNNNNNNNNNNNNNNNNNNNNNNNNNNNNNNNNNNNNNNNNNNNNNNNNNNNNNNNNNNNNNNNNNNNNNNNNNNNNNNNNNNNNNNNNNNNNNNNNNNNNNNNNNNNNNNNNNNNNNNNNNNNNNNNNNNNNNNNNNNNNNNNNNNNNNNNNNNNNNNNNNNNNNNNNNNNNNNNNNNNNNNNNNNNNNNNNNNNNNNNNNNNNNNNNNNNNNNNNNNNNNNNNNNNNNNNNNNNNNNNNNNNNNNNNNNNNNNNNNNNNNNNNNNNNNNNNNNNNNNNNNNNNNNNNNNNNNNNNNNNNAACCAAAGGAAGCAUGUUCCAGACGUCGAUGCCACAACCAAAUUUCAGACUUUUUCUUCUCCUCCUUAGAUCCAUCUGCCAUCAAGGCUUGUUGCAACUUAUUUGAAUCCUUUGAUUGCAAGUCCAAGUAUAGAGUUUCCCCCGCUUAAUACGACAACCAAUCGUCUGUCUUGUUUGAAUGUCCUUAAUCACACAAAAUUCAGGCCAAAAAAUGACAAUACAAGAUAAGGCUGCAGUGAUUUGAGAAACUAACAAAAGAUUGUAAUCUAAAGAUGGAACAACUAAAACAGAAUCCAAAUUCAAAGUAUCAGUAAGAGUUAAGGAUCCUUCCCCAAUGACUGGGGUUGUGUUACCAUUGGCUGUGGAAACAAUUUUUUGUGAGGAAGGUCUAAGGGGUGAAACCUGUCUAGAAUCAAAAGUCAUAUGAUCUGUAGCACCAGAAUCAAUUAUCCAUGCACUAUUAAUAACAGGUGUAAAAGUAUUUAAAAACUUACCACAAUGAUCUGUAGCGGCUACUAAUGCAGAGACUUUCUCAACAACAUUAGUCUUUGUUUUUAUUUCGGUAACAGUUGCAAUCAAGGUUUUCUUGGAAUUCUUCUUCCGUUGAUCACGAUUAUUAUCAUUAAUAACAAAGUGUUGAUAGCCUAAACAUGAUCUAAAGGUCCAUGGUGCAAACCCUCGGUUCCUCAUUGUUUUCCUGGUCAUACCAAGAGUUGUUGCUUUGAAAUUGUGGGAUAUCCAGACUGGUGGGAUCAGUUUUAUUGCAGUGAGUGCAUUUGAAUGUUGACUUAUCAAUAUUAGGGCUUGUCUUCGGAUGGUUGAUUGCUGUUGGACUACCAUAGCGACAAAAUAUCCAGGAUUUCAAUUCCAGGGCUCUGAUACCAUCUUCAAAUUGAUGAAUGAUAGUUUUUCAUUCAUUCUUUCAUGUACAGAGUAUAUAUAGAGGGUAAUCACCAUUCUAAGAAUGGGAAAGAAUGAUACGAGGAAAUAAUGAUAUAAGGAAAUAAUAACUAAUAUCCUAAUAUCUCAACUUUCCUAAUAUCUCAAUAUUCCUAAUAUCUCAACUUUCCUAAUAUCUAAACAUUCAUAAUAUCUCAACACUAAAUGAUACAAGGAAAGAAUGAUAUAAGGAAAACAUUCCUAAUAUCUCAACACCACUUCAUGAUAUAUAUAGUUUCUUACCCUUAAUCAAUGGUUUCUAAGUGAAUUUAUAUAGAAAGAAAUCCAAACUGUAGACAGCAGUAUUGGUAACACUCAAUAUUCUGUAUAUAAUAGAAUAAAUAGCGUCACAGUGAUCGUCGCCUACAAGCAAGGUACAAAUACCACAAAGAGUGACCCACAUAGACAUUCCCCAACAAGAUGUAGUAGUGACUGACACAUAGCCACAAUUAACACGUAGAAAAGGAUAAGACCGGUGCACAGUAGCUCUUAUUUUACAUACUACUUAUGCCAACCAAAGUCACUCAGUUGGGAUGGGAGGGAGAUGGAGGUUUGUGCGGUGGCUUGUGGGGCGGAGUUGAUGGCUUCUUUCCAGGAGCUUCUGGCUUUUUCAUCGGAGCUGAAGGAGGCUCAAUCUUAUGAGGCGGCUUGUACGAGUCUUCUUUGCUCUCGAAAGGAGGGUGGCCAGGGUUGUGACCAUAAUGUGGUGGUUUCUCUCCCUUGGGAGGUUUACCAAUUGGGGUUGGUGGCUUGUGUUCUGGGAGUGGUUUCUCUCCCUUGGGAGGUUUAGUGGGUGACUUGUGUUCUGGAGGUGGCUUCUCCACCGAAGGCUUGUGCUCCGGUGGUGGCUUUUUGGUUGGAGGGGGCUUGGGGUAAUCAGCAAGAGAUGGGGUGGUGAGAACCACCAGUCCAAGGAACAACACUAGCAAGUAUGUGGGAGACAUUUUUGAGUUUGGGCUGAUCAGAUGAUGCAAAACUAAAGCAUUACGUGACCUUUUAUAGCAAGUAGCUCCCAAUACCUACUUGACACGUGUUACUGUGACCCAUAAAUAUUAUGGGGUCUAUUUGUGCCCUACCGGGUUGAAAACUUGGACAAUUGGGCAAGGACCCGCCUGACUAUGGAGGACUACUGAGGUGUGAUCACAGCUUUAGGAUUUUUCUUCCUCUGCAGCCGUCUUGCCGUUGGCAUGAUUUUCUUAAUCUCAAAUAAAGGCAUAGUUAUAGAGUUGUUUAAUCUCUAAAUGGGAUUUUAUAUAUCUUCAGAUAGCCAUUAAUACAUUUGAUGAAGAAAGAAAGACAAGUGCAUACAACAUGUAUACGACUAGCUUUCAUGGAGUUCAUUUAUGAUCAGUUUUCCUGUACAUGUAAACCAAGAUCAUAUAUGUUUUUGUUCCACAACAAUUUUGGAAUCUUGUUUAUCCGUUUUUAUCAUUAUAAUGUCACAUAGGCUGCCAACUUGGGCGCUAAAUUAAAGAUCCAGUUGGGCAAGUUCGUUUCAGAAUUUCAAUGGUGGAUUCAGGAAUUGUUUUAUAAGAUAUGCAAAAUAGUAGAGGGAUGAAUAGUGUUUCAUUAAGAAAAGAGCCCUGUAAAAAUAUUGUUUAAAGGUGCCAUAGAAACUAUAAUCAAUAAAUAACUUUUUUUCCCCAUGGGUGGUGUUUCUUGUGGGGAUCAGUGACUGGUUUGAGUCAACGCCGUGUCUCUUUAGUCCAGAAAUCAACUAUUUUAUGCAUUGAAUACAUCAACAAAGAAAAUAUGAAAGCCAAAUGACACCUCCCCCGCAAAAACUAAACCCUGGUUGCUAACUUUCUAUGUUUCAGUUCCAUUCACACAAGAAUAUUAGUUCAAGUUUGAGAAAAAUGGCGACUUACCUAGUGAUAACUCGGUCUUGGUUUGCGAUUUGACUUUAACGUCAUGGGUUGAAGCCUCCUACAAUCAUCGUGUAUGCUAGUUCAAAGCUCGUGGAAGAAGUUAUACAGGGAGGGAGAAACCUCCACAGCAAGCUCCAAAAGAGAAUUAUCACAUUGAAAGCUCCAGUUGAACACUGGGUGAAAGCCAUAACAAGAUUGGUUUUCUAUCGCUCUUUUAAGUAAUGGAAGAUUAUUAUCUCUGCUUGUCACUACAACCGUGCAUGCUGCUAGAUCUUUCUAGACACUUCAAACAGUGAAACCAAGUAUGAUUCUUUUUCUCUUGAGUGGGUCCACUUGCAUGCCAAUGAACGAGUUGAAAAGUUGGACAAUUGGCCACAGCGCGCACUUACCUUCUGGAACCGAAGGUCAGUGAAGUGGGGUUCCUUUUGGCCCCUUGUGUUUCUGUUCCAACCUACUCCAGGAACCGAAGUUCAGUGAAGUGGGGCUACUUUUGGCCUCUUGUGUUUCUGUUCCAACCAAACAAAAAUGGGAGGGAAAAAUAGCAUUAUGCUUGUGCUAAAGAUCAACGCAUGAUAGCUGAAUAAGGGAGAAAAAGGCAUUGCUAUCUCAAUUUCAUAAACUUGAUAAGUAGUGACAUUAAUAGUCUUCCUCAUAGAUGGAUACAUGGUUUUAUUUUAUUUAUUUAUUUUUAUUUUUUUGUUUUAUGUCAAUGCUAAUGAAUGAAGUGCAUUAGCUUGUUUUGUGACUAGAACUACAAAUGUCCAAAUUGGAGCUUCUCCAAUAUAUUUCUCAGUGAGUUAUUGAUUAGAACUCUUGGAUUGAGUUCCAAGAUUUGAAUCAGACCCCUCUAGCAGCUUCAGGGGUACGUAGCAACCUAUAGCAUAUUAAUGAAGACUUAGGAUUUAGACUUAGGAAUACAAAUUAAUAUGUACCUCAUGCUCUGACUAGCUUCCCUGCGUAUGCACAAAAUGGAGAUGACUCCCAAAAAAAUAGCAGAAUCGCCUUAGUAUGUUUUUGUGGUUAAGAUGAUUCUCCACUUUAUAUAUCCACAUUGGUUCAUUAUGCAAAUUAAUCAACUAAGCUAUUUUUAUUUUUUCUUAAAUGUGAAAUAGGAGCUCCAAAUUAACCUAACCAUUGGCCUGAUUGAAUUGAUUUCACUUGCAUAAUGUUAUAGUAGAAGUCCGUAAUUUGAAUUUUAUUUUUGCAAAAGGUAACGUAAAUGAAGCAUUGUAAUUAAAUUUAUUUGUAAUUACAAACUAAUUUUAUUUUAUUAAGAAUUAAUUUAAUUACUCAUUUAAAAUAAAAAUCAGUUAUACUUUUACCAAGAUGAUAAUAUUCAUAUUUUUCUAGUUAACAUAUAUAAAAUAGUACACUUUUUCAUAUAAAAAAAUAAUUUAUGAUUUAUUAUAAUGUUACUAUUCACAUUUUACUAAAUUGAUGGUACAUGAUAGUGAGAGAAGGGGGUGUCACACUCAGCUAAAGUUCUUUUCAAAAUAUUGCAUGGUGUUUAAUUUUAUGUGUCGGCGCGCGUGUGAAUGGAACCUGCAAAAGUCCAAAUUGGCGUUUCUCCAUUUUCCACAUAGGAUGGUGACGUUAAUAGACAAAGAUACAAUAUCUGUAGACAUUGCUUAAAAAUCGAUGUGAAGUAUUAGAAAUUACAGGGCACUGUACUGGGGGAGCGGCUGCCCCGCCAAAGGAGGAAGAAUGUAGCAAUUUCUUCUGUUAGCCAGGCCUUAGGAUUUAUGCAUGGGAUGCCUAAUAACAAACAGAGAAAAUAUACUUUUGGGGAAGGUAUCCAACAACAGACACCAUCAUUCAGAUGGUGGGAAGGUAUCCAACAGAUGCCAUCAUUCAGAUGGUAACAUAUAUAUACAUUUAUUAGUGAGUUUUUUUAAUACCUAUAAAAAAAAAUAUACACUUUGAUAUUGUGGCUGAAUCCAUUACAUACUCAACUAACCUUGCUCAUUAGGGAUUUGACUUAACAAGGGCAACGUUGCAGUACAAGCUCAAAACUUUAUGCAGGUGACAUUACAUUUGGUAAAGAAGAGGAAAAUAACGAAAGCCAUCCAUAAAAGCAAAAUUCCACAUGGGAUGAAAUUCACAAGCUUCAUUUACGAUAGAGUCGCAUCCAGGCAAUUAAUUCCACAUUAGACCGCCUGUUGACAUGUGUACCAAUCUUUUUUCAAAAAAUAUUUAUAAAUAAUUGAUACUCACAAAAAUAAUUUAAUAUUUAUAAAGGAUAAAAAAAUAUUUUCAAAUCUAUAACAAUUUAUAAAAUAUUAAUAAAAAAUUAUCUCUUAAACUUAGUAUAGUUUUAUCAGAUUAAACUUUUAUUUUGAACAAAUAAUUUUAAUCUAAGUUUUAAAUUCUAAAAUUAUUUCCUUAAAAUAAAAUUUUAAAAUUCAACACUUCAAUUGAAAUUGUCUUUUUAAAAAAUAUCUUCUUAUUUUAAUCCUUAUAAACUAUAGUUGAUUGAAAAUACUAUUGAAGUUCUCUCUUAAAAAAAAGUCUUAUUUUAAUCUUCAUAAAUUGCCCUUGAUUUGAAAAUAAAUUUUCAGUUAUCAUAUUUUAAAUAAUAUCUAUAUUUAAAAUACUCUAUUUAAAAAAAAAUGAACUAAUUUUAAUUAUAUUAUAUUUUAUUUUUUUAUAUAUUUUUAAUGAUAAACCAAACAUAGAAAAUCAUUUUUCUAAAUAUUUUAAAAUUUCUAAGCAACCAAACAUAAUCUUCAAAAUAAAAGGAAAAUAAGGAGGGACAUUUGAGAAAUGGCGAUUAAAAAAAAGUGUACAAAAGCUCAAUUAAUUUUCUUCUAGUCUUUUAUAUAAAAAAGUAAAGGAAUUGAAAAGUAUUGAUAUGUAAAUUAAUAUUUGGAUUUUAAUAGUAUUUUAUUUGUCUUUCUCUAUCUCAUGUAAAAGAGAAUUUAAGAUAUUUCCUAAAGCAAAGCAUUAGUUAUCUGCAAUCAGUGGUGAUCAUGCCCCAUGUCAAUUUCGGACCCAUAUCUUAAAACUGUAUAAUUUGCAUUCAAACAUUACUGAUUUCUCAGAUGUUUCAUACUCCACAGAAGAGCAUUGUUUGUGAAAGCAUGCAUUUAUGUUGGAUUUUGGAUGAUGUGGGAACUGGGGCAAGGAUCAUAUGGAAGAGUGGUCGAUUUUGUUCUGUACUUUAACAUUUGAAAUAGGAGAAGCUCGGGCAUUUGUGGGGCUUAAUUGAUUUUGAAGCCUGAAAUUGCGUUUCUGUCAUUUUGUAAAAAAUAUGGCAGAUUCCAUGCUCUCAUAUGUUUGGUCUGUGGCCAUGUAUAGAUGCCCCUUAGUGACCAGUUUGUAACUGUCAAUCAUAGUGUUUUGACUCUGGCUCAACAACAUCAGCCAUUGACGGAUUUUCAUACUUGCAAAUCAAAUAGUCUUCUUCCUCCCUUAGGAAUUUCGGUUUAAAUGUUAUUAAGCAUACAUUUGGCUGACAAUUAUUAACCACUUCAUGAUAUGGUUUCUUACCCUUAAUCAAUGGUUUCUAAGUGAAUAUAUGCAGAAGGAAAUCUGAACUGUAGACAGCAGUAUUGAUAACUCUCAAUAUUCUUUAUAUAAGAGAAUAAACAACGUCAUAGUGAUCGUCGCCUACAAGAAAGGUACAUUUCCCAACAAGAUGUAGUUGUGACUGGUACAUGGACGCAAUUAACUCGUACAAAAGAAUAAGACCAGUGCACGGCAGCUCUUAUUUUACAUGCUAAUUAUGCUAACCAAAGUCACUCAGUUGGGAUGGGAGGGAGAUGGAGGUUUGUGCGGUGGCUUGUGGGGCGGAGUUGGUGGCUUCUUUUCAGGAGCUUGUGGCUUUUUCGGAGCUGAAGGAGGCUCAAUCUUAUGAGGCGGCUUGUACGAGUCUUCUUUACUCUCGACAGGAGGGUGGCCAGGGUUGUGACCAUAAUGUGGUGGCUUCUCUCCCUUAGGUGGCUUGCCAACUGGGGUUGGUGGCUUGUGUUCAGGAAGUGGUUUCUCUCCCUUGGGAGGUUUACCAAUUGGGGUUGGUGGCUUGUGUUCUGGGAGUGGUUUCUCUCCCUUGGGAGGUUUAGUGGGUGACUUGUGUUCUGGAGGUGGCUUCUCCACCGGAGGCUUGUGCUCCGGUGGUGGCUUCUCCACCGGAGGCUUGUGCUCCGGUGGUGGCUUCUUGAUUGGAGGGGGCUUGGGGUAAUCAGCAAGAGAUGGGAUGGUGAGAACCACCACUCCAAGGAACAACACUAGCAAGUAUGUGGGAGACAUUUCUGAGUUUGAGCUGAUCAGAUGAUGCAAAACUAGAAGAAUUACGGGACCUUUUAUAGCAAGUAUCUCCCAAUACCCACAUGACACGUGUUACUAUGACCAUAAAUAUUAUAGGGUCCAUUUGUGCCCUACCGGGUUGAAAACUUGGACGCUUGGCCGAGGACACACCUGACUAUGGAGGACUAUUGACGUGUGAUCACAGCUUUUGGAUUUUUCUUCCUGUGCAGCUGUCUAGCGGUUGGCAUUAUUUUCUUAAUCUUAAAUAAAGGCAUAGUUAUAGAGUUGUUUAAUCUCUAAAUGGGAUUUUAUAUAUCUUCAGAUAGCCAUUAAUAUAUUUGAUGAAGAAAGACAAGUGCAUACAACAUGUAUACGGCUUGCUUCAAUCGAGUACAUUUAUGAUCAGUUUUCCUGUGCAAGUAAACCAGUUUUUUGUUCCACAACUAUUUUGGAAUCUUGUUUAUCAGUUUCUAUCAUUAUAAUGUCACAUAGGCUGCAAACUUGGGCACCCAAAGAUCUAGGUGGGCAAAUUUGUUUCAGACUUUCAAUGGUGGAUUCAGUAAUUGUUAAAAGGUGUUUCUUCAUUAAGGAAAGAGUCCGGUAAAAAUAUUGUUAAAAGGUGUCAUAGAAACUAUAAUAAAUAAAUAACUUCUUUUCCCCAUGGGUGGUGUUUCUUCUGGGGAUCAGUGACUGGUUAGGGUCACCCAAAAUGAGUCCAGAUUAAAAUUGGUUCGAGUCAAAGCAGUCUCUUUUGUCCAGAAAUCAACUAUUUUGCGCAUUGAAUGAAUCGAUAAAGAAAAAAUGAAAGCCAAAUCACACCUCCCCUGCAAAACCUAAACCCCGGUUGCUAACUUUCUAUGUUUCAGUCCUAUUCAUAUAGGAAUAUUGGUUCAAGUUUGAGAAAAAUGGCAACUUACCUAGGGUUUACUUGGUUUUGGUUUGCGACUAUUUACGCAACCAACCAUGAGUUUGACUUUAACGUCAUGGGUUGAAGCCUCCUACAAUCAUGUAUGAUAGUUCAAAGCUCGUGGAAGAAAUUAUACAGGAAGGAAGAAACCUCCAAAGCUAGCUCCAAAAGAGAAUUAUCACAUCGAUAGCUCCAGAGAUUCCCAAGGGAACUGAAUCAAAGACAAGUUCCUCACUUUUUCUUCUUUUGAGGCCAAAUAUGAACCAAGGAUCACACGACCUCAUUCAACUUCAUAAGUUUGAUUUCAUGCAGUUGAACACUGGGUGAAGGCCAUGACAAGAAUUGAUUAAAAAAUUCUACCACUCUUUUAAGUAAUGGAAGAUUAUUAUCUCUGAUUGGCACCACAACAGCACAUGCUGCUAGAUCUUUCUAGACACUCCAUGCAAUGAAAGCACAAUGGAUCUUGUAAUGAUAGAAACUAAGCCAUGCUACAGUACUAGAUGAGGGGGUAAAACUAGUAGACAUCUUUCUAGACACUCCAUGCAAUGAAAGCACAAUGGAUCUUGUAAUGAUAGAAACUAAGCCAUGCUACAGUACUAGAUGAGGUGGUAAAACUAGUAGACAUGGCUGGCAGUUGAUUACUACUCAAAAAGUACUCUUUUAUAGCUUGAAACUAACUGUUUUAAACACUUUUGAGUAGUAGUUAAUACCUUUUAACUUAAUUGGCACAUUAAGGAACCUAGCAAGGGUUACUAAUCAACAUUUGGCAAGUUUUGAUGUUUUUGGUAGCUAUUUGAUCAUUGAAACAAGCCAAGAAUGAGGGGGAAUUUUGUGAAGUCCAUGGCAAUGCAAGUUAAAGCUCAAAUACAUGAAGAAUCCAAGCUUUGGAGCACUUCAUAGCCCUUUGCCAAGCCAAUCAAAGAUGCAAGGAAGAAAACCAAAGGAAGAAAUCCAACAAUCAGCAUUUUGGCAUGGCUAUGUGAAAUUUCGCACACCAUGCGAAACCACAAGAGGCAGCCAAAGAAUUUCGCAUGGUAUGCGAAAUCUUCUUGUGCACUGACUCUGUUAGAUUUUUAUCUUCAGAUAUUUUGUGUAAUUUCCUAGUUUCUCCUUGUAACCAACUUAGAUAUUUUCUUUUAUAUCUUUUUUUAUAUUUUUUAGGUAACAUCAUAUAUAAGAGGAGAGACAUAAGGAGGAUAUGGAUGUUUUUCAUAGAACACUUGUAAAUUUUUGGUAGUAAGAAAUAUACAAAGCUUUUUGCUCUGCCUUACCUUCUCAAGGGAUGAGUGGCUAGGUUUUCUUGGAGUGAGGGAAGCUAGGUGAAGGACCUGAAUGCAAAGGUGGGAGUUUUCCUUACUUUAAAUGAAAGUAGUUGUUAAACAUUAAUGGUUUUUAUUUUAAGGUUUAGCUUUAAAUCCCUGAAAAACACCUUGAAUGGCCAAUACUUGGUAAGCUUUUUAGAUUCUAUGGAUGCUUAUUGCUAGAUCCAUGGAUGUCUAUUAGUUAUCAUUUACGAGCCAUUGGAAGGUGAUUCAAGGUGAGGGUCUUUAGUGUUUGAAGCCAUUAAUGGGAAGCAAUUACCAUUUUUUCAUGAAUCCUUUGGAUCAAAUCUUAAUUGCUAAAUAUAAAACCGGUUUCGAGAGAUAACCACCAUCCUUUAUGUUAUUAUCCCCAACGCGAGGAGAAGAUCCGAAAUCUUCCUUUUUAUCUAAGGAACCCGAUCCUAGUGACCUAAAGCUCCAAGAUACCUUUUCUUUGUAGUUAACUUCAUUUAUUGUUUUUGCUUAACUUAAAAUCAAUCUUUGCAACCACAAUUCCAUUUUCUUUAAAAGCUAAUUUUUAUAAGGAAAAACACCAUUUUAUUUCCUUCACUAAGUCAACUGUACGAUGAAAACCCAUCCCUGUGGACGAUCCUAGAGCCACUAUACUAUGUUAGCUAUGCUACCCUAGUGUGAGGUGAUUUAGGUUUUAUAAAUUUUUUUGAUAACACCCAUCUGAGCCAGAAUCAAAUGGCACGACUGAACCAGGGACGAAUCAAAUGACGCCGCUACCAAGGAUGGUGCCAAAGUACAUUGACAUGACUUUUGGUGAACACUUGUGAUCUUCACCACAAGUUUGGUGAUUUUUCUUUUACUAAUUUUUUUUAUUUUAGCUUAUCUUUUAUUUAGUUUUUAGUUAACCUUAAAUUUUUCCUAGAAUUGUAUUUCUUUUGUUUUCUUUGUUUUUGUUUCAGUGAUCUUUAGUUGUGCAUGCCCUAUUGGAUAAGAGAUAUUGAGGGAAUACUUGUGAAGAUUGAAACUCCUCGAGAAACUGAGUUAGAAGUGUGCUUGAACAUCAUGGAUGUUCCACCUGAAGACCAGAAUAGCCAACAUGGUUAAGAGGAUAAUUUCAACACAUACCGAUCCAUGAGGAACCGCAUACAUCCACCUUGUAUGAGUGCACCGUCAGGCAUAAUGCCUCCCACUGAGCAGCUAGUAAUCUGACCUCACAUUGUGCCACUCCUACCUACUUUCCAUGGGAUGGAGAGUGAGAAUCCCUACUCGCAUAUUAAGGAAUUCGAGGAGGUUUGUAAUACAUUCCAAGAAGGAGGAGCUUCAAUUGACUUGAUGAGGCUCAAGCUAUUUCCUUUCACUUUGAAGGAUAAGGCCAAGAUUUGGCUUAAUUCUUUAAGGCCAAGAAGUAUCCAAACUUGGAUUGAUUUGUAAGCCGAGUUUCUUAAGAAGUUCUUCCCUACCCAUAGGACCAAUGGUUUGAAAAGGCAAAAUUUGAACUUCUCAGUUAAAGAGAAUGAGAAAUUCUAUGAGUGUUGGGAGAGCUACAUGGAAGCUAUUAACGUUUGUCCUCACCAUGGCUUUGACACAUGGCUCUUAGUGAGCUAUUUUUACAAUGGUAUGUCUUCUUCAAUGAAGCAACUCCUAGAAACUAUGUGUGGAGGAGACUUCAUGAGUAAGAAUCCGGAGGAAGCCAUGGACUUUUUGAGUUAUGUGGCUGAAGUUUCAAGAGGAUGGGAUGAACCAAAUGCUAGAGAGGUGGGAAGAAUGAAGUCUCAACCUAAUGCUAAGGGUGAGAUGUAUGUUUUGAAUGAAGACAUUGACAUGAAAGCAAAGGUUGCAGCUAUGGCAAGGAGAUUGGAAGAGCUAGAAAUGAAGAACAUACAAAAAGUGCAAGCCAUUUCUGAGACAUCAAUGAAAGCUAUGCCUUGUUCCAUUUGUCAAUCUUAUAAGCACCUAGUGGAGGAGUGUCCUACAAUUCCAGCAGUGAGAGAGAUGUUUGGUGAUCAAGCAAAUGUUAUUGAUCAAUUCAAGCCUAAUAACAAUGCUUCAUAUGGCAACACCUACAAUUCAAAUUGGAGGAACCAUUCAAAUUUCUCUUGGAAACGAAAGCCACCUCAAUACACACAACCUACUCAAGCACCUUAGCAAUCCUCGAAUCUUGAACAAGCUAUUGUGAACCUUAGCAAGGUUGUGGGAGACUUUGUGGGAGAUCAGAAGUCCAUCAAUGCUCAACUGAAUCGGAGAAUUGACAGUGUGGAGAGUACAUUGAACAAAAGGAUGGAUGAGAUGUAAAAUGAUCUGUCUCAAAAGAUAGACAAUGUCCAAUACGUAAUCUCAAGGCUUACCAACCUCAACACAGUGUAAGAGAAAGGAAAGUUUCCUUCUCAACCUCAUCAAAAUCCUAAGGGUAUCCAUGAAGUAGAGGCUCAAGAGGGAGAAUCUUCAAAGGUGAGGGAAGUCAAAGUAGUUAUCACCUUGAAGAGUGGUAAAGAGGUUGAUCAACCCACAUCCAAGCCAAAGCAUAAUGAAGAGAGUGUAGCAGAAAAAGAAAAGAGAGGAAAAUAAAGGAAUUAGAAUAGAGAAAAAUACAAAGAAAGAUGACCAUGAGUCUAGUGUGGAUGAAGAGCCCGAGAGGAUGGUGAUCAAGGAAGAUAUGAUGAAGAAACACAUGCCUCCACCUUUCCCCUAAGCUUUGCAUGACAAAAAAAGAACCAAUAAUACAUCAGAAAAUUUUGAAGUAUUGAGGCAAGUGAAGGUCAAUAUCCCUUUGCUAGACAUGAUCAAACAAGUGUCGACAUAUGAAAAAUUCUUGAAGGACUUGUGCACUGUAAAGAGAGGGUUGAAUGUGAACAAGAAAGCUUUAUUGACCGAGCAAGUGAGUUCCAUCAUACAGUGCAAGUCCUAGUGAAGUACAAAGAUCCGGGUUGCCGUACCAUCUCAGUGAGUAUUGGAAGGACUUGUGUGGAGAAAGCUUUGUUGGACUUGGGAGCAAGUGUGAAUUUGCUAUCCUACUCUGUCUAUAAGCAGUUGGGAUUUGGAGAGUUGAAGCCAAUAUCCAUCACUCUAUCUCUAGCGGAUAGAUCAAUGAAGAUUCCAAGAGGGAUGAUCGAAGAUGUCCUGGUUCAAGUUAACAAAUUCUACUAUCCAGUAGAUUUUGUUGUUCUUGAUAUGGAUCCGGUUGUCAAAUGAACUAAUUAUGUUCCUAUCAUACUUGGAAGACCCUUCCUAGCUACAUCAAAUGCAAUCAUCAAUUGUAGGAAUGGAGUCAUGCAACUCACAUUUGUCAACAUGACAUUAGAGCUCAACAUCUUCCAUUUGUACAAGAAGCAUAUCCAUCAGGAGGAAAAAGAAGGUCUAGAGGAAGUGUGAAUGAUUGACACUUUAGUGGAAGAGCAUUGUGAUCGAGAAUGCAAAAAGAUUUAGUUGAGAAUUUUGGGGAUCUUGAUGAAAGGUUACUUGAACCCUCAGAUUUGCUUGCUACCCUACUCCAUUGGAAGAGAAGAGAAGAAAUUCUACCCUUAUUCAAUGAGGAGGAGACGCAAAGAGCUGCAAAGGAGAAACCCCCAAAACUUAUUCUUAAGCCACUACCCACAGAGUUGAAGUAUGUAUACUUGGAAGAAGACAAGAAGUGCCCUAUUGUUAUAUCUUCAACUCUUACCAUUCAUCAGGAGGAUUGUCUACUUGAAGUCCUUAGAAGAUGUAAGAAGACAAUAAGGUGGCUAAUUUCUUAUUUGAAAGGGAUCAGCCCUUUAGUCUGCACCCAUCAUAUUUACAUGGAGGAUGAAGCUAAGCUAAUUCAUCAACCUCAGAGAAGGUUGAACCCUCACAUGCAAGAGGUGGUUCGAGCUGAAGUUCUGAAGCUACUUCAGACCAGUAUUAUUUACCCCAUAUCAAAUAGCCCAUGGGUGAGUCCUACUCAAGUUGCGCCAAAGAAGUCUGGGAUCAUGGUGGUGCAAAAUGAUAAGGGAGAAGAUGUCUCUACACGCCUCACUACAGGUUGGAGGGUGUGUAUCAAUUACAGGAGGUUGAAUGCAGUGAUAAGAAAGGACCAUUUCUCAUUGCCCUUUAUUGAUCAGGUGCUUGAGAGGGUCUCUGGGCUUUUUUUUUUAUUGUUUCUUGGAUGGCUACUCCGGGUACUUUCAGAUAGAAAUUGAUGUUGAAAACCAAGAUAAGACCAUUUUCACAUGCCCAUUUGGAACCUAUGCAUAAAGGAGAAUGCCUUUCGGCUUAUGCAAUGCACCCGCAACUUUCCAAAGAUGCAUGUUAAGCAUUUUCAGUGAUAUGGUGGAGCGUAUUAUGGAAGUCUUUAUGGAUGAUAUCACCAUUUAUGGAAGUGCAUUUGAUGAAUGCUUGGUCAACUUAGAAGCUGUUCUGAACCGAUACAUUGAGAAAGACUUAGUGCUUAACUGGGAGAAGUGCCAUUUCAUGGUACACCAAGGGAUUGUCCUUGGGCACAUUAUCUCCAAGCAAGGCAUUGAAGUUGACAAAGCAAAGGUUGAACUCAUUGUUAAGUUGCCAUCCUCAACAAAUGUCAAAGGAGUAAGGCAAUUCUUUGGCCAUGUCGGGUUCUAUAGGAGGUUUAUCAAGGAUUUCUCUAAGCUUGCAAGGCCUCUUUGUGAAAUAUUGGUGAAUGAUGUUAAAUUCAUAUGGGAUGAUGGAUUUGAAAGGAGUUUUGAAGAAUUGAAGCUAUUUUUGACAACCGUACCAAUAGUGAGGGCUCCCAACUGGCAACUGCCCUUUGAAGUAAUGUGUGAUGUCAAUGAUUUUGCUAUAGGAUUUUUUCUUGGGCAAAGAGAAAAUGGAAAACCUUAUGUGAUCUACUAUGCGAGGAAGGCAUUGAAUGAGGCACAAAGAAACUACACAACCACCGAGAAAGAAUUGUUAGCUGUAGUUUUUGCCUUGGAUAAGUUUCGCGCUUACUUGGUGGGGUCCUUCAUCAUGGUUUUUACUGAUCACUUUGCUUUGAAGUAUCUGUUGACUAAGCAAGAUGCUAAAGCAAGGCUGAUUAGAUGGAUUCUCUUACUUCAAGAGUUCAAUCUCCAUAUCAAAGAUAAGAAAGGAGUGGAGAAUGUGGUAGCAGACCACAUUUCAAGGCUAGCUAUCGCACAUAAUUCCCAUGCUUUGCCCAUUAAUGACGAUUUUCUAGAGGGGUCUCUCAUGUUGGUGGAAGUUGUCCCUUGGUACGCUCACAUUGCUAACUACCUGGUCACGGGAAAAGUUCCAAGUGAGUGGAAAGCACAAGAUAAGAAGCACUUCUUUGCAAAAAUUCAUGCCUACUAUUGGGAAGAGCCAUUUCUAUUCAAGUAUUGUAUGGAUCAGAUAAUAAGGAAGUGCGUUCCUGAAGAAGAGCAACAGGGGAUCCUUAGUCAUUACCAUGAAAAUGCAUGUGGAGGCCACUUUGCUUAUCAAAAGACAGCCAUGAGGGUGUUGCAAUCGGGUUUCUGUUGGCCAUCACUUUUCAAAGAUGCCCACACCAUGUGCAAGAGUUGUGAUCGAUGCCAGAGGCUUGGGAAGUUGACACGCAGGAACAUGAUGCCUUUGAACCCCACUUUAAUAGUUGAUAUUUUUUAUGUUUGGGGCACUAACUUCAUGGGACCUUUCCCUAUGUCUUUUGGCUACUCUUACAUCUUGGUAGGAGUAGAUUAUGUUUCUAAGUGGGUUGAGGCAGUCCCAUGCAAACACAAUGACCAUAGAGUGGUUCUCAAGUUUCUUAAAGAGAAUAUCUUCUCAAGAUUUGGGGUGCCCAAAGCCAUAAUUAGUGAUGGGGGUACUCAUUUUUGCAACAAGCCUUUUGAAACUCUCCUAGCCAAGUAUGGGGUGAAGCAUAAGGUAGCUACACCUUACCACCCUCAAACUCAUGGACAAGUUGAGUUAGCAAACAGGGAGAUUAAAAACAUAUUGAUGAAGGUGGUGAACACAAACAGAAAAGAUUGGUCAGUCAAGCUUCUUAAUUCACUAUGGGCAUAUAGAACAACUUACAAGACCAUUCUCGGGAUGUCUCCUUAUCGCCUAGUUUAUGGCAAAGCAUGCCAUCUCCCUGUGGAAUUGGAAUACAAAGCUUGGUGGGCAAUCAAGAAGCUCAACAUGGAUUUGAGCAGAGCUGGGUUGAAGAGGUUCUUAGACCUUAAUGAGAUGGAGAAAUUGAGAAAUGAUGCCUACAUCAAUUCAAAAAUUGCAAAAGAAAAAUUGAAGAGGUGGCAUGAUCAGUUGAUUUCCCGCAAGGAUUUUCAAAAUGGACAAAGAGUCUUACUUUAUGACUCUAAACUCCACAUCUUUCCGGGCAAGCUGAAAUCAAGGUGGAUAGGUCAUUUUACCAUUCACCAAGUGCAUUCAAAUGGAGUAGUGGAACUACUCAACUCCAACAAUAUCGAGAACUUCAAAGUGAAUGGCCACCGUCUCAAGCCCUUUGUGGAGUCUUUUUCUCACAACAAGGAGAAAUUCAUCCUCCUUGAUCCACAUCAAGCUUAACAAGACCAAUUUUCUUGAUGGACUUAGUCUUUCUAAAGACUAUCGAGUCCAUAACUUUUUGUUUUAUUUUUUAUUUGAGAUUUUUUCGGUAUUGUUACUUGUUUUGUUUUUUAUUUUUCGUUUUAAUUUUAUUUGGUUUGAUUUAACUUAGGUUUUUGAUGAUCAAUUACAGGGGGGAUUUCAAAUAGAGGAAAAACCAAGAUAAUUCGCACACCCUACGAAAAUUUCGCAAGGCAUGCGAAAUUUAUGGCUUAUUUUGCAUGGGGUGAAAAUUUUCGUACAUCUUACGAACCAAUUUCGAACACUUUGCGAAAAUAAACCAACCCUGCGAAAUCAUUUCGAUUACUCUACGAAAUUUUCGUAGAGCAUGCGAAAAAUUUAGCACACCAAACACCAUUUCGCAUACUAUGCAAAAACCUAAGGGGUCUGCGAAACCAUUUCGCACCUCCAAAUCCAUUUCGCACAUUGUGCGAAAACCAAGAGGCGCUGUGCGAAAAUGAAAAGUCGCCCUGUCAUCCCUUUUUAAACCCCUCGAGCCCUAAAAUCUCCAUUUCGCAAGCACCCCUGUCCUUGCGAAUCCCUCAUUUUCCUCUACUACCUUGCAACCUCGUCCCUUUCCAUUUGAUAUUGUGCCCCGCGCACAUCUCAUUUCAGAGACUCGCACUCCGCGCCCCCUCAAAGCAUGGACUCGAGACCCACCUUCCAUUUCCGACGUGGCACGGACCCAAGGAGCCCUUUCUGCCCCUUCACUAAGACACACACCAAGGCAGAAAGCCUCCUUUGCUCAAGUGCCUAGUGAUUCUCCAUCUUAGGCCUCAGAGGCCUCGGAGGCCCCGUGGAUUCCACCUUCCGAGGGUAGAGCAGCCAUUGGUCCUUCCUCUUCUACUCCUUAGCGUAGAUACGAGACGAGGAGACCACCUACUACACAAGGGGCGACUACUUCGAGCCUUGAGAAUUCAGUACGAUGCCUUCCUGCCAAGAGGGUCAAGACUUCAGGUCCAAGUGAGUCAUCCAGAGCUUCAUAGCCUAAGCCUCCUGUAGAUUCCAAGGUUCCUACUGACAUAUCACCGGAGUCUAUUAUCAGAAGCCCGAUGCUCAUAGCACCGCCCAUUGAGGGCAACUCAGAUUAUAGAGCGAGAUCUUUCCACUUGGAGCUAUAUUUUGAUCAGGAGGCCAUACGACAGCAGCCUGAGCUCCGAGACUCUUAUGGCUUACUGCAGAGGUACCAUCUUGAGGAACUUAUGACUCCUCGUGAGUUUUUUUAUCCCAGAGUAGCACUAAACUUUUACCAGUCCAUGACUACUCGUGGCGUCCCGAGUCCUACCACGAUUCACUUCACCAUUGAUAGACGUCAUGGUAUCCUCAAGGCCAGACAUAUUACAGAGGCUCUACAAAUUCCUUUCGAGCUAGAGGAUCCAUCUGUUUUUCGCUAAUGGUCCCCAGUAUCUCAGAGGGACAUGGUCCGUAUUUUAUCUAGGGGAACAUCUACAGAUUCGAUCUUUCUACGGAAGGAGCUUCGACCUGGGAUGCUCCUCUUAGAUGUGGUGCUAUGCUCCAACCUCUUUCCCUUACAACAUUCGGUACAUAGGUGAUGAGCUAUUUUGGACGCUUUAUUCCGUAUAUCAGAGGGCUUCUACUUUGGCCCGCACCACUUGAUCAUGGUCUCCCUCAUCCACUUUGAGGAGAAGGUUCAUAGGAAGAAGCUUCAGAGGGUGGACACCAUUCCAUUACUAUUCCUGAGGUUACUUUGCCAGGUCUUGGAGUACAUGGGCUUUCCUACUGAGCCUCGGCUCGAGCUUUGCCGCCUUUGUCGAGAGUGAUCCACUCUCGACAAAUGGAAUUAGUUGGCGGGCUAUUCUGCACCUCCAGGAGCCCCUCCCAUGGUAGCACCUCCAAUGUCCCCACAGGCAAAGUAGGGCGAGCUCCCGGCAAAGACUGUACCACCAAUGCCCACACUUGAGGCUAUUUCUGCUGCUCUGCCUAUGACUCCUACUGUUCCACCAGUUGGUCCUUUUACAUCCGAGCCUUCCAUCACCAUCUCGGCUUCGGAGUUUCGCGCCCUUGUGCAUACCUUUCAGACACUCACCACCACACAUACUCCUCUCUUCUAGCAAAUGGUUGAGAUGUGUGCCCAUCAGGACCGGAAGACUACUAUACUCUGCCAAAUUCAGCAGCACCUAAGACUUUUGCCUCAACCUCAACCUAACCAUCCCAUAUCAUCAGAGCCUCUAGCUCCAACUGAGGAUACUAUUCCACCUGAGAACACUACCACAGUAGAGGUCCGGUUUCCACCACCUUAAGAGGCCACCACAGCUACAUCAGAGGAUGUGUCAUCUCCACUUGAGGCUCCCACUACUUGAUCAUAGGACAUAUCUUUAUCUUAUUGUAUUUACAUAUUAUAUUACUAGAGAUUUGUCCUUGUUUUGAUACUUUAUAUUCUGGGAUUGGAUGUAUUGCCUGAUGAUAUCUCAAUUGUACUUUCUCAUAUUAAUAUAUAGACAUCAAUUUUUUUUAGUAUACUUAGCAUUUUUCUAUUUCCUCUACUCAUUACUCUUUUGUUUUUUUUUACUCAUGUGGUUUCUCUUAUACAACUCAGACUCCAUUUCACUCAGGAGGUACCACUUCCUCCCUUUAUUUUCAAUUGCUCUUGAAAUAUUGAGUGCAAUGUUGAUCUUGGUUGGGGGGAGAGUUGAGGAAGGAAGUUUUGUUAAUAAUGCUAGGUUAAUUUGUUAAUUUAGUUACUUUCUGCUUAAUUUUAAAAGUUUUCACUCUACUUUCCAUGGUUAUUAAGGAAAAAUUCUCAAAAUGAAAUGGGAGAAAUCGAAUUCUUGCAUUUUUACUUGAAUCUUAGAAUUUGUAUCAUGCUUAUUAAAGUUGAUGAAUUAUUGAAACUCCUAUUGAAUUCAACCUUAUUUUUUCCACUUUAAUCUUACCACACACGGUGCACAUUAGGUUCCAGUUAUAAGAUAAAAAACUAUCUCACCCCCUAAACUUAGAAAAAUUUACACUUGGUACCUUUGACAUCGUUUUAAUAGUGUUGGGACACCUUAUAAAAGGCCAAUGAGCCUUUAAAAAAAAAAAAAAAAAAAAAAAGAGAAAGAACAAAGUAUUGCACUUGCCUUGAAACCUGAGCAAGAUCCGAGGGGUAUACAGUGAAAGUCUUUAAAACCUGGUGCCCUAAGCCUUGAUUGGUUGGGAGUCACCGACCUCAAUGCUCGUUAUAAGGGUGAAUAGGUGGAGUUUAACAUAUUGUAGGUGCUUGGGUAUUGAAUUUCAAUCUCAAAAGUCCGGGAAAAAAUCUAAGGAGUUAGUGGUCAAAAGAUCCUUAAAGCUUGAUGCCCUAAACCUUGAUUGGUUGAGAGUCAUUGAUGGAUCCCCGCUACAUGGACAUUUUAGAAAACAAUACCUUUAGCAUUGCACGCCUACAAUGAAAAAAAAAUGUGAAAUAAAAGAGGUGCGUUCUUAGCCUAUUGGAGGUUGGUCAGUUUGCUAAAGUUUGAGAAAUCUAGGUUGGGGGGAGAGAAUAGUCCGACAUACUAUAAUAAAAAACUAAUAACCUUAACACUUAGAUUUUUGUGGAAGAGUAAGGAUUGGACCUUUAGGGGUGGAAAUUCUUUUGAUGCUUAAAUUUGCAUAAUGCCUACUCUUUAUAAAUUAUGAUUAGGCAAGAGAUUUGAUGACUCUUGUUCAAAGUUGGGUUUUUCCUCUUUGAUGUUCCAUGAGAGAGUAUAAUCCUCAUCAUGCCACUUGAAAUCUUUUUGGAGUGAUUAACAUGAUUUUGUAAAUUAUUUUACUGUCUAUUUUUCUUUAUCUCUCUUUUAUUGCUAAUGGACUAGCAAUAUGUCAGUUGGGGGGAGUGAUUACUACUCAAAAAGUACUCUUUUAUAGCUUGAAACUAACUGUUUUAAACACUUUUGAGUAGGUGUUAAUACAUUUUAACUCAAUUGGCACAUUAAGGAACCUAACAAGGGUUACUAAUAAGUUUUUGGCAAGUUUUGGUGUUUUUGGUAGCUAUUUGAUCAUUGAAACAAGCCAAGAAUGAGGGAGAAUUUUGUGAAGUCCAUAGCAAUGCAAGUUAAAGCUCAAAUACAUGAAGAAUCCAAGCUUUGAAGCACUUCAUAGCCCUUUGCGAAGCCAAUCAGAGAUGCAAGGAAGAAAACCAGAGGAAAAAAUCCAACAACCAGCAUUUUCGCAUGGCUGUGCGAAAUUUUGCACACCAUGCGAAACCACAAGAAGUAGCCAAAGAAUUUUGCACACCAUGCGAAAUUUCGCAUGGUAUACGAAAUCUUCCUAUGCACCAACUCCGUUAUAUUUUUAUCUUCAGAUAUUUUGUGUAAUUUCCUAGUUUCUCCUUGUAACCAACCUAGAUAUUUUCUUUUAUAUCUUUUUUUUAUAUUUUUUAGGUAACAUCAUAUAUAGGGGGAGAGACAUAAGGAGGAUAUGGAUGUUUUUCAUAAAACACUUUUAAUUUUCUGGUAGUAAGAAAUAUACAAAGUUUUUUGCUCUGCCUUACCUUCUCAUUUUGUUUUCACCUAUCUUUCUAGCCAAACAACCUCUGAGAAUGAUUUCUCAGGGGAUGAGUAGUUAGGUUUUACGUUUCUUGGAGUGAGAGAAGCUAGGUGAAAGACCCAAAUGCUAAGGUGGGAGUUGUCCUUGCUUUAAAUGAAAGUAGUUGUUAAAUAUUAAUGGUUUUUAUUUUAAGGUUUAGCUUUAAAUCCCUUAAAAACACCUUGAAUGGCCAAUACUUGGUAAGCUUUUCGGAUUCUAUGGAUGCUUAUUGCUAGAUCCAUGGAUGUCAUUAGUUAUCAUUUAUGAGCCAUUGGAAGGUGGUUCAAGAUGAGAGUCUUUAGUGUUUGAAGCCAUUAAUGGGAAACAAUUACCAUUUUUUCAUGAAUCCUUUGGAUAAAAUCUUAAUUGCUAAAUAUAAAACUGGUUCGGGAGAUAACCAUCCUUUAUGUUAUUAUGCCCAAUGCAAGGAGAAGAUUUCGAAUCUUCUCAUUUGUCUAAGGAACCCGAUCCUAGUGACCUAAAGCUCCUAGAGACCUUUUCUUUGUAGUUAACUUCAUUUAUUGUUUUUGCUUAACUUAAAAUCAAUCUUUGCAACCACAAUUCCAUUUUCUUUAAAAGCUAAUUUUUAUAAGGAAAAGCACCAUUUUAUUUCCUUCACUAAGUCAACUGUAUGAUGAAAACCCAUCCCUGUGGACGAUCUUAGAGCCACUAUACUAUGUUAUCUAUGCUAUCCUAGUGUGAGGUGAUUUAGGUUUUAUAAAUUUUGUUGAUAACACCCGUCUGAGCCAGAAUCAAAUGGAACCACUGAACCAGGGACAAAUCAACAGCCUAUAUGGGAGGGACACAAGUUUAAUUGAUUUGCAUUUCAGCGUUAUAGAUAAGUAUGUUUUGGAAGAUUUGUUCUGGAAAUACUGCACCAAGUACGAUUCUUUUUCUCUUGAGUGAGUCCAUUUGCAUGCCAAUUAACGAGUUGAAAAGUAGGAGCACCUACCUCGUGCUCAUGGAACCGAAUGUCAGUGAAGUGGGGCUCCUUUUAGCCUCUUGUGUUUCUGUUCCAACCAAGGCGGCGUAGGGAAAAACAACAAUAUGUCUGUGCUAAAUAUCAACGCAUGAUAGAUGUUUUUUUUUUUUUUUUUGGUAUGUCAAGGCUAACGAAUGAAAUGCAUUAGCUUGUUUUGUGACUAUAACUGCAAAUGUCCAAAUUGGAGUAUCUCCAUUUCUCACUUCGGAUGGUUAACUUUAUAAACAAGAUAUAGGAAACAUGUGAACAUCUUGAGGAACAAUUCAAAUUAUUCAUUAGAAGUCCUGGGUUAAGUUCCAAGAUUUAAAUCAGACCCUUCUAGCAGCUUCAAGGGUACUUAGCAACCUAUAACAUAUUAAUGAAGAUUUAGGAUUUAGACUCCGGAAUACAAAUAAAUAUGUAUCUCAUGCUUUGACUAGCUUCCCUACAUAUGCAUAAAAUGGAGAUGACCCAAAAAAAAUAGCAGAAUCUAGCUUCCCUACAUAUGCACAAAAUGGAGAUGACCCAAAAAAUAGCAUAAUCGCCUUAGUUUCUGUGGUUAAGGUGAUUCUCCGCUUAAUAUCCACAUUGACUCAUUAUGCAAAAUCAACUGAGCUAAUUUUAUUUAUUUAUUUAAUGUCAAAUAGGAACUCCUAAUUAACUGAUUACUGUCGAAAAGUGCUAUUUUGUAGACCUAAUUAUAAGGGUUUUAAGCACCUUUGAGUAGUAAUCAUAUUCAUUUAACCUAAUUAAUUCAUUAAGCUCCUUAGUAAUUAGUUCUAACCAUUUUUAGUGGCAAGUUUACAUGUUUUUCAUCAGCUUAUGAACCAAUUCAAGCAUGCCAAUUGAUGGAGGAGCUACUUGGGCGAGUUAAGCAAGGAUUUUGGACGUUUACAGGCUUGAAUUUCAAGUGGAAACACGAGCACAAGCAAUGGGAACACCAUUUCGCAAGGGGAGGCAAUUCACCUUGCCAAAUGACCAAUUUCGCAAGGGGAUUUUCCUCAUGGUGCAAAAUUUGGUCAUUUCGCACCAUGAAGAAACCACCUUGCAAAAUUUCGCAAGGUGGAUUUAGGCACCUUGCGAAAUGCCAAAUUUCACAAGGUGGCUUUUCACCUUGCGAAAUUUGGACCUUUCAUCUUCCCCCCUUGCGAAAUGCCUUUGAAAUCCCCUGUUUUGAGACGCUGUUGAUGAUAUUCCACUGCCGGUUCUCCAAGAUAUUUUGCUUGACUUUUAGCUUUAUAAAUACCUAUUUUACCCUUGUAAUCAACCAAUGAAAAGGUUGCUUUUGUAAUAGCUCUUGUAAUUUAGCUUUUUAUUGUCUUUAAAUAGAGGUGAAGAGCCUCAGACACGAUCAUCUUGUAACCUGUAACUUUAUAAGUUAUAAGAGCACUUUUGUUCAUACGCUUCUUUUCUCUUUUCUUUCUCAUUUUCUUAGUAGCCAAACAUCCUUGGAGGAUGAAAUCCCCAAGGAUGAGAGGCUAAAACCUUUUAGUUUCUUGAAGUAAUGGAUGCCAUGUGAAGCUCCCGUGUCAGGAUGGAGAUUUCCAAGCCAUAAAUGUAAGUAGCUGAGCGUCAUAAAUGUUUUCAUUCAAAGUAAAGCUUUUAAUCCCUCUGACUUGCUUUGAAUGGCCAAUACUUGAUAACCUUUUGGUCUCAAUGGAUUCUUAUUGUUAGAUCCACUGACGUUCAUUAGUUAUCUCCUACGAGCCAUUGUAUUGCAAGUCGAGGAGAUGACCUAUACCAAUAAAAGAGCAUUUAUGAGGUUCAACUACCCUUUUUGUAAGUUUUCAAGGACUAAAACUCAGUUGUUAAACUCAUACCGGUUCGAGAAGUAAGCAUCACCUUAGUUGCUUCCCCAACUCGAGGUGAAAAGUCCCAAAAUCUCCAUUUUUACACAGUGAGUUAAGCAUGGCUAUCCAAAGCUUUAAGAAACUUCUUUUUCCAUCUUUUAACCUAUUUUCAUGUUAGUUUAGUUUACAACACCUUCAUCUUUUUAUGUUUUCAUCUUAACCUAAUUUUUAUUAAGAAAAGUUCACUCCAUCCUCCGAACUUCACCAGUUAAAGUAAAAACCCUUCCCAGUGUUCGAUCCUAGAGCCACUAUGCUAUAGUAGCUUUGCUACUUUAGUGUAAGGACCUUAGGUAUAAAUUUUGUUGAUACCCUUACAUGCCAAGCUACCAAGAGUCGGGUUAUCAUUAACCUAACCAUUGGCCUGUGUAAAUUGAUUUCACAUGCACAAUGUUGUAGUAGAAGUCCAUAUUUUGAAUUUUAUUUUUGUAAAGGUAAGGAAAAUGAAGCAUUGUGUAAUUAUAAAAAUAACUUCAUUGGAAUUCACAAGGUUCACCCAAAAUGGAGCUACAUCUGUAUUCUAUCCUACAGUAGACUAUAUAGAUUGUACAAUAGUAAAUUGCAAAUACAAUUAAUAAGUCUUGUGCUUCCUUACUAAUAAUCCUUUGACAUGAACAUUGCAGCACUAAGGUCCUCUUGGGAAGACACCUUGCACCCAUGAGAGCACUAAGAGGAAGCAAGGCAGAGUCAUGGGUGCAAUGUCAUGACUUGUUGUUGCACCAAGAGAGGCUUGGUGAUGCCAUGGUGUUGCAGUAGCAAGAAUGUUGCCUUGGCAGGGACACGAUCUAGGGAUAGAUGCCAAGAAAGGCUUAGCACUCACAUGAGUUGCACAAAGAUGAAUGUAAUAGAGCAUCAGAGAGACGUCUUGGCAAGUAAAUGAAUGGAUCCAAGAGACAACAACAUGAGGAGUUUCAAAUGGAUAAGGAAUGACUCAAAGACAUUUGAAAGCUACAAGUUGGAUUCUAAUUACGAUUGCAAUUUGAGUUUGAGUAGGAGUUUAGAUUUUGAUUGUAAUUGUAGUAUGAGUUGGACUAGGAUUGCUUAUCCUUAGUCAAUAUAGGAGCGGUUCGUGUCACCCUAUGAAAAGAGUUUGAGUAGGGACUAGGAUUGCUUACUCCUAGUCAAAUAUGGAGUAGGUGGUGCCACACCUAUAAAAAAAAGGGACAACAUGAGAGAGAGAGAGAGAGAGAAAGAGAGAGUGAAUUCACUAAAGAUAUUGUGGGAGUUUUGCUUUGUUACGUCUUGUAUUAUUACUUAGAAUAGGAAUAAAAUACAAGUUGGGGCUAGAGCCCCAUAAUUAAUCUCGUGUGCCUUUGUGGUUAUUCUUUAUUUGUCAUCUCGUGUGGAUUGGAUUAGGUUGACUUAGAGGGCUUCUAAGCACCACCUUUGUGGGUUAUUAUUUAUUUUCCAUCUCUUGUGGAUUAGAUUAGGUUGACUUAGAGGGCUUCUGAGCACCACCUUUGUGGGUUAUUAUUUAUUUUCCAUCUAUUGUGGAUUAGAUUAGGUUGACUUAGAGGGCUUUUAAGCACCACAUUUGUGGGUUAUUCUUUAUUUUCCAUAUCGUGUGGGUUGGAUUAGGUUGACAAGGAGAAAAAUUAUGUGGGAAAUUUGUGUUGGGACACUUACCAUAACCAAGUAAAAUCUACCAAGUCCUUUGUAAUAUCUUCAACAAAUAUUUUAGACUAGUUCUUUCAGUUAGUGUAAAGGAGGAAGAAGUGGUAUUGAUUCUAGAAAUAGGGUGUGUGUAUUUGAACUACAAUCCUUAUGAUCCUUAGGUCUCUAAACCUUCGUGAUGGGCUCCCUGACAUUUCAUAGGUUGUGCUACACAUGCGUUUGAAAUUUAGAGUGCGUUUGACAGUGAUUCCGGGAAGUGUUUUUGGCCUUUCUUACACUUGAAAAUUUUUAUUUUUCAAGUAUUAGAAAUGCUACAAACACUUUUGAAAAUUACUGUCAAACACACUCUUAGGAGCGCACAUAUAUAGUAGAAAACUAGAAAUUGUGGUUUUUUUAGGAUUUACUGUAAUGUCAUUAGGAGGGUAGUAAGUUGAAAUUGAGUAUGAACAAAUAUUUCUUUCUUUGGGAUGUUCUUCUAGUAGGUGCUGAUGAAACUGUUCUUUCUACUGCCAAUGUCACAUAUCAGCCAGAAAUUGAAAAUUUCAGUCAAGGUGUCCUCUGUUUUAGUGGUGAGGAAAGCUAGAAAUUUUAAGGUGAAGUUUUGUUAAAAACCUUAAGUAGCUGGGAUAUCAGGCCUGUUUUGCUUGAAAAAAAAAGUUGCAAGAUAACUCAUAUGCCAAACAGGUUCUGAUAUUGUGAAUCUAUCGGCAGACAUCAGUAAUCUCAUCUUCUGAGAUGGAUGUUGGGGGUGCAUGUGGUGGUGGAGGGGCAAGGUUUCAUUUGGUUUAUUUUGUUGAUGGAUAUUGUCUAGCCACCUGCGCCAAGUUUGAGGGGUGGUGGGUUGUGAUGACCCUACAAUUACUAUUAAUUUCUUCAUCUUUUACCGAUUAAAGUGUCCGAACAGUCGAAGUUACCCUUAUGCAUGUCAACUUGAUCACUUACCUCUUCAAUGGAGUUUAUGCUGGUUCAUUUAGGAACUGAUUUUUAUUGUUAUGUAUUAUAUGCUGAUGUUUAGGUCUCUCCAUCAUCACUAUAUACAAAAAUUCUAGGUUGAUACUAUAGGUUGAGAUUUAUUUUUUAAAUAAAAAAUAAUAAAAAUAAAAAUUAUGGUGAUGUUUAGUUGUUUUAUGGAAAAUUUUAACAAGUAAAAGUUAUUUUUGGGCAAGUUUUCAAACAAAAAGAAAAGUAAAAGUUGUUUUGACAAAAACAUAUAGAAAAAAAAAUCAUAGAAAAUAAAUAAUUUCCCCAUAUUCUAACUUUUUUGAAUUUUUCUCAAUGGGCAAAGGAAUAUCAAAUCAAGUUUGAGUAGGAUUUCUUAAUUUUUAAAAUAACUUACAAUUAAAAAAUUUUGGUGUUUUCAUUUUUGGACAAUUUUUUAUUAAGCAAAUGGACUCUGAGUCAUGCAAGAGAUAUGGUUCAUUAACCGGUCGAACAAUUUUUUUAAAUUAAUUUAAAAGUCAAAUACAUAAUCAAUUUCACAAAAUUUAUAAACAAAAAUAGGUUUAGAGAAGAUCUACACAUAAUUUUACUUUUCUAAUUUUAUUUUAUUUUAUUUUUUGUUGGAAAAUAGUCUUCAAAUCAUGUAAGAUUUAAUAGGUUAAAUUUGUUAACAAUAAAUUUUAAAUUAUAAAAUAUAAUCUGGAACUCAAAAAUCAAUUCAAGUAAUGCUAAAAAAAAAUCAAAUUUGGUAUAGAAUGACUUUGUAAAUUUUUUUACAAAACAAAUGAAUUUUAAAUCAAGUGAGAUUUAAUGCAUUAGAUUUUUAUCAAAUAUAGUAAUUUUAAAAAUAAAUUUGGAACUCAACAAUAGACACAAUAAAUACCAAAAAAUAAUGAACCAAAAUUGGUUUGGAAUAACUCCACAACCUUUUUUUUUUUUUUUUGGUGCACACGAAUUUUCUUACUAGGUAUAUUGCUUUCAAAUUGAGAAAGAUUUACCAUUUAGAUUUUUUUUUAAUGAGUUUAAUGGUAUUUUAAAAUAAUUCAAAAUUUAAAAAAUUGACUAAUUAAUAUUAUAAAUUGAUAAACCAAGACUAUUUCAAAAUGCAUUGGGGGCUAAGGGGGUUGAAAAUAGGGACAAUGGGAUGGGUUUGGGACAUGACACUCAUAUCUCAUUUCCAUUCCAAUUACACAGUUAUCUCCCAUCCUUAUCCCAAACUUGUGUUGGAGCAAGUUGAUUUGUUCCCAUCUUUGUUGACGAAAUGACUAAUAACCUCAUCCCCUCCUUAUCUUAGAUGUACAUUUUGUCAAAUUUGAUCAGGUAUGAUUGAUCCAAGCCCUAACCCUAAUUGGUAAUGAGUGAAUACUACACCUAAUUGCAUUCUUCUUUCAUUGCAAAAUAAUGAGAUUAUAAUAAUCUAGCAAAUAAGAAAAAAUAGUAUGGAAGUUCAAAUUAACACCAUAACUAUCAAUAAUUUUAAGCUUAUAGAUGACUUAAAUGAUUAAAAACUAAUGCAAAAUCCUAAAAAAAAUAAAAAUCAUAUAAAGAAUUCACAAGAGAACAGAAUGAACAAAAACCAAAUAUGAACAUGGGUCAACAUUAGUUAUGGAUUUGGAUUCCUUUCAAGGCCAAUCUUUGAACCAAGACUUCAUCAAAUCAACUACUUCAAAGGCUUUUGUGUUCUUCUUGGGUUGUGCUCUCAAACAAAGACUUCGAGGUGAUGUUCUAGAUGAUUGAAUUACACAUAUUUAGGGUGGAGAGAUUGGAGAAGCUUGAAGAUGCCAACGAUGGGUACAAUUGAGUGGUCAAUAAGAACAAUGUAGCCUAUGACUAGUUUGAUGUCAUGGUACAAGAGUUUUAGGCAUUGAGGUUAAAGCAAGAGCAACAUGGAAUUGAUUUCGGAGUCUUUCAGUUAGUGUAAAGGAGGAAGAAGUGGUGUUGAUUCUAGAAAUAGGGUUUUAAGUGGUGCGUGAUUACUACUCAAAAAGUGCUAUUUGAUAGCCUUUAAUUAAUCCUUUUUAACACUUUUGAGUAGUAGUUUAGGCCUUUUAACUCAAUUGGCAUGUUAAGGAUCCUUUAAAGCAAUUUUGAUCACUUUGUGCAAGUUUUGGUGUUUUUGUUAGUAUUUUGAUCACCAAAGCAAGUCAAGAAUGAGGAGAACUAUGAGGAAUCAUGGGCAAAGCUUAGAAUUCAAUUGCCAAGAGUGAAUCCGGAUUGCAAGGAGAAAAAGCAAAGAGAAUCUGUCAUGAAGCCUAUUCUUGAUGACAGUCGUAGCAGCCACUUUUGGAGCACUUUCUGAAGUCCAAAUGAUGCAAGCUAUAUACCAUUUCAAAGAUCAGGAAGUCAACAAUCCAAUGCUUCAAACGGUGCGCGAUUCGGAGUUGAAACGAAGAAGUUGCAGCCAUUACAAGCCAGUCACUCUAAAGUGUUGCGGAAUCAGCCUUUUGUUGCGAGAAUUUCGCAGCACUUUUGUACAGUAAGGUGUUUCUCCUUCUGACGAUGCACGAACCAUGCCGCGAGAGGGAAGCUAGGAACUUCAAGAUGGAAGCCAACUUUGCAGCCUGGUGAAGAUAGCUUGGUCUUGCGAAAUAAUUUCGCAGCCCUCUUGGGUGUCUGCGAAAUUUCGCAGGCACCACUUUUUUCCUGCGAAAUGGCUCCGGAAGCCUCCCGAAGCUUGCUACCGACAUUGGGAGAUAUUUUCCAUUAGAUUUUUGUUGUCUAAAUUCCAAAAUACUCCUUGUAAACCACCAAUUACAUGAUUCCUUAGUUUUUAAGUUAGUAAAAAGACCAAAUAUCUAUGUAAUAAUUAGUUUUAUAUUAGUUUGCUAUAAAUACCUCUCGGGAGCAUGUUCUCAGAGAGGAGUUCCUUCUGUAACCAUUUUGGUAAGCAAGUAAAGUCUUUUCUUUCUACUGCCUUACCUUCUCACUUUGUAUUUUCAUUUUAUUUCUAAGUUAUGAAUUCUCUGAGGAGCUUUCCCCAGAGAAUGAGUAACUAAACCUCCAAUUCCUUGGAGCUAAGGUUGCCGGGGAAGGUUCCAAGUGCAAGAAUGCAAAGCUCUGUGGUUUUAGCUAGUAAUGAAGAGGAAGUGAAAUCCUUUAGUGAUUUCAAUGUUUUUAGUUAACUUAAAACACCUUGGAGUCACCUGGGCCAACACUUGGUAAGGCAAGUGAUUUCCAACCGUGGAAAUGCACUAGUUUACCCCUUGCGAGCCUCUGGUAGGUGACUUCAAGGUAGGAUUUUCUGGAAUUACCAACACUUGGUAAGCUUUUGGACUCCUAGGAGACAUCCAUUAGUUAUCUCUUGCGAGUUUGUGAAGGGGAAUCCAAGGUUAAAGAUCACCUUGAAUGGUAAGUGCUCGUGAGAGGCAUGAACCAUUGCAAGUUGUAUCAGUGAGAGAAUUAAAGUGAAAUCUAAUUGAAGGAGUCUCUGUACAUCACCGGUUAGAGAAUUGACUAUAAGUUGAAUCUCUAAUGCGAGGAAAUGAACCAUCUGACCGGAGCUAUGUCUUUUGCAUGAGGAACCACCCCAGUGAACCUAAAUCUCCAAGGAAUGCUUUUCUUCCUAAAUUAUUCCAAACUUCUGUUAAGUUAGUUAGUUUAAGUCUAAACCUUUACCAAUCAAACUUUGUGUUUUAUUUCUUAAGCUAACCGUGAAAUGAAACAAAACCAAUUCACUUGGAAUUGGUAUCCUUGAUUGCUUGCAAAUCAUUCCCAGUGAACGAUCCUUAGAGCCACUAUACUAUAGUAGCUUUGUAUUUGCUACCCUAGUGUAUGGUGUUAUAGGUAUAAAUUUUGUUGAUCACUUCCUCAAUCAAGGAACACCAGCUGAACACAAAUCAGCUGAGACACCAAUUGGGCAUGAGUCAAAUGGCGCCGUUGCCGGGGAAUGAGUGUCAAGAUCAUUGUGAUACCAUUUUUGAGCACUUGUGAUUUUCAUCACAAGUUGGUAAAGUUUCUUUCACUUUACUAAUUUUCAUUCUCUCUUUGUUUAUUUACAAUCUAAGUUUAUCUUUUUAAAAUUUAGUCUAGUUUAAUUUUGCUAUUGUAGCCUUGUUUCUCUUGUUGUCCUCUGUUCUUGUUGUCCUCUGUUUUCAUUUUAGUUGCAGCUGAAUACUAGUUGUGUAUGCCAAAGUGGAUACGAGACAUUGGAGGUAGGCUUAUUAAGUGUGAUACACCUCAGAGAGGAGAAUUGGAAGUAAUCUUGAAUAUCAUGGAGGCUGCACCUGAAGAUCAGCAUAGUCACCAAGGUCGUCAAGACAAUCUCAAUGAAUUCAGAUCAAUGAGGGACCGUAUGCAUCCACCUCGUAUGAGUGCACCAUCAUGUAUAGUGCCCCCUACAGAGCAACUAGUGAUCAGACCAUAUCUUGUUCCACUUCUACCAACUUUCCAUGGGAUGGAAAGUGAGAAUCCGUAUGCACACAUCAAGGAAUUUGAAGAUGUUUGUAAUACAUUCCAAGAGGGAGGAGCUUCAAUUGAUUUGAUGAGGCUUAAGUUAUUUCCUUUUAAUUUAAAGGAUAAGGCCAAAAUUUGGCUUAAUUCUUUAAGGCCAAGGAGUAUCCGCUCUUGGACUGAUUUACAAGCUGAAUUCCUCAAGAAAUUUUUUCCUACUCAUAGAACAAAUGGCUUGAAAAGGCAAAUUUCAAACUUCUCAGCUAAAGAGAAUGAGAAAUUCUAUGAGUGUUGGGAAAGAUACAUGGAAGCUAUAAAUGCUUGUCCUCACCAUGGCUUUGAUACUUGGCUACUGGUGAGUUAUUUUUAUGAUGGUAUGUCCUCCUCAAUGAAGCAACUCCUCGAGAAAAUGUGUGGAGAAGAUUUCAUGAGCAAAAAUCCAGAGGAAGCUAUGGAUUUCUUGAGCUAUGUAGCUGAUGUUUCAAGGGGAUGGGAUGAACCAACUAAAGGAGAAGUGGGAAAGAUGAAGUCUCAGUUGAAUGCUUACAAUGCAAAGGCUGGGAUGUAUACUUUAAAAGAGGAUGAUGACAUGAAAGCAAAGUUGGCAGCUAUGACAAGAAGAUUGGAGGAGCUGGAGCUGAAAAGAAUGCAUGAAGUGCAAGCUGUUGCUGAAGCACCAGUGCAAGUGAAGUUGUGUCCCAAUUGUCAAUCGUUUGAACAUUUGGUAGAGGAAUGCCCUGCAAUUUCAGCUGAAAGGGAAAUGUAUAGAGAUCAAGCAAAUGUUGUUGGACAAUUCAGGCCCAAUAACAAUGCUCCUUAUGGAAAUACCUACAAUUCAAGUUGGAGGAAUCAUCCAAAUUUUUCAUGGAAGGCCAGAGCAACUCAAUACCAACAGCCGGAUCCACCAUCUCAACAAUCUUCAAGUAUUGAACAAAUAAUAGCUAAUCUCAGCAAGGUAGUGGGAGAUUUUGUGGGAAAGCAAGAAGCCACCAAUGCUCGAGUGGAUCAAAGAAUGGACAGAGUGGAUCAAAGAAUGGACAGAAUGGAGAGUAUGUUGAACAAAAGAAUGGAUGGAAUGCAAAAUGAUAUGAAUCAAAAAUUUGAUAACAUCCAAUAUUCAAUUUCAAGGCUUACAAAUUUGAAUACACUGCAAGAAAAGGGAAGAUUUCCUUCUCAACCUAACCAAAAUCCCAAAGGUGUCCAUGAAGUGGAAAGCCAUGAGGGAGAAUCAUCACAGGUGAAAGAUGUGAAAGCUUUGAUCACUCUAAGGAGUGGUAAGAAAAUUGAGCAGCCAACACCCAAGCCACAUGUUGAGAAAGAAGAAGAGAUGAAGAAAGGGAAGGAAAUGGAAGAUAAAGGCAGUGAGAUCAGUGAAGAAAAGAAGGACUCUGAUGCAACAAUGAAAGUAAUUCCAGAGAAGGAGCUUCUGAAGGAAGAAAUGCUGAAGAAAUCAACUUUUCCACCUUUUCCUCAAGCAUUACAGGGGAAAAAGGGGGUUAGAAAUGCAGCUGAAAUCCUAGAAGUAUUGAGGCAAGUGAAAGUUAAUAUUCCACUGCUGGAUAUGAUCAAACAAGUUCCAACGUAUGCAAAAUUCCUAAAGGACUUGUGUACUAUCAAAAGAGGGUUGACUGUAAACAAGAAAGCCUUCUUGACUGAGCAAGUAAGUGCAAUCUUACAGUGUAAGUCUCCUUUGAAGUACAAAGACCCUGGAAGUCCUACCAUUUCAGUCAUGAUUGGAGGAAAGGUAGUGGAGAAAGCCUUGCUAGACUUGGGAGCAAGUGUGAAUUUGCUUCCAUAUUCUGUCUACAAGCAACUGGGACUUGGAGAGUUGAAGCCAACAGCAAUCACUUUGUCUCUGGCAGAUAGAUCAGUGAAAAUUCCAAGAGGGGUAAUUGAGGAUGUAUUGGUUCAAGUAGAUAAUUUCUACUAUCCUGUAGAUUUUGUUGUUCUUGAUACAGAUCCUACUGUAAAGGAAGCUAAUUUAGUUCCUAUCAUCCUUGGAAGGCCAUUUCUUGCAACUUCAAAUGCAAUCAUCAACUGUAGAAAUGGGCUUAUGCAACUCACUUUUGGUAACAUGACACUGGAUCUAAAUAUUUUCUAUAUGUCUAAAAAGCAAAUCACUCCAGAAGAAGAAGAGGGUCCAGAAGAGCUAUGUAUUAUUGAUACUUUGGUGGAGGAGCACUGCAAUCAACAUAUGCAAGAUAAGUUGAAUGAAAGUUUUGUGGAUAUUGAGGAAGGUUUUUCUGAAUCUCCUAAUGGGCUUGCUACUCUACAAAGUUGGAGAAAGAUAGAAGGAAUUCUACCUUUGUUCAAUGAAGAAGAGGAGGCAGCUGUUGAAAAAGAAAUUCCAAAACUCAAUCUGAAGCCUUUACCUAUGGAGCUGAAAUAUACAUAUCUUGAAGAAAAUAAUCAAUGUCCUGUCGUAAUAUCUUCAUCUCAAACCAAGUCUCAAGUGAAGGAUGCAAGCUUCAAAUGGGAUCCGGGCAAACUGAAUCAGGAAGGGCAAAAAGUUUUGAUGUAUGACACAAGACUCCAUAUCUUUCCUGGGAAGCUCAAGUCAAGGUGGAUUGGUCCAUUUGUUAUUCACCGAGUAUAUUCCAAUGGAGUGGUGGACUUAUUGAAUUCCAAUGGCAAGGACAGCUUUAGAGUCAAUGGAUAUCGUCUUAAGCCGUUCAUGGAGUCAUUCAAAUCAGAAAAGGAGGCAAUCAACCUCCUUGAACCUCAAAAAGCCUAAGUGAAAUGGGUUUGCUGGACGUGGUUUUACCACAGUCCAAAAAUUUUUGUAAAUUUUGUAAAUUUUCAAGUUGUUUCCAUGCUUUUAAUCUUAGUUUUUGAUUUUAAAUCAUGUUUUUAGGUGUGUUUUAAUCGUUUUAUAUGAUCCCAGGCGGAAGAAAUUUCAAGGGGAUUGAAAAGAAAAAAAUCGGGUCGAAAUUGGAGCCGAAACAGAGCAAAAACAGGGGAAAAACAGAGCUCUGCGAAAUUUCGCAGGGUGAAGGAAACUUCUGCGAAAUUGGCAUUUUGCUGCCAAACCAUUCCGCAGCACUGUAGAAGCCUCUGCGAGUGUAUUUCGCAAUUGCGAAAGUGGAUUUGGCACACGAGUGCCACUUCGCAGCACAGUGACAUCAAUUUCGCAGCUGCGAAACUCACUGCGAAGUUGCUGCGAAAAUGGCAAGUUGCUGCGAAAUUGGCGUUUUGUUGCGAAACGUAAUCUGACCCCUGGGCUUCCGUUUUUCCUAUUUAUACCUGUCAAAAGUGCUGCGAAAAAGGUUUCAAAAAUUAGAGCACCAUUCUCGCAGCCCUUUCAUCUUCUUCGCCAAGCCACGCCGUCCGUUUCUCCGGUCGUCUUCUCCGUUUAGCAGCGCCGGCCAAAGAUCGAUAGCCCAAAAAUGGCACGAACGCGAGGGGCAAAGUCUUCAUCCCCUUCGAACCGCAAAAGGAGUCUGCGAAAGGAGCCAAGUUCAGGCUCUGUUCCAGAACCUGCUCCAAAGCCUUCGCCGUCGAGACCACAACCUUCUCCAGUGAAGCCGGCGCCACCAAAGCCGCCGGCAAGGCGAUAUUUAACCAGGUCAGGUGGUCAGCCAUUGAAGAAGAAAGCCAGAGUUGAGAGCUCUGAACCAAUCGAUUUGACUGAGCAAUCCCCUGAGAAAUCACCAAAUCCUUCACCGGUACAAAUUCCAGUGCCAUCACCGGUUCCCUCGCCAAUUCCCUCACCAGAAGCAACUCCAAUUCCAUCGCCGGUACCAUCUCCGGCACCCCAAGAAAAAGCUCAGGAGCCUCAAGCGCCAAUUCCAGAGCCCCAAAUUGCAGCUGAAGCACCUCUGGAAGAAGUGAUCCGAAGGCCAAUGCUGCCUCAGCCCCCAAUCGAAGGAAACCUGGAUUGCCGAACUCGGGCAUUCCAUUCUGAGCUUUGCUUCGAUUUAACAGCAUUCAGAGUGAGGCCAGAGCUUGCCCAAUCCUUCCAACUGCUGAGGAGAUAUCAUAUGGAGCAUCUGCUAGCUCCAAGGGAUUUUUUCUAUCCCCGGGUAGUCACGGAUUUCUACCAAACCAUGACAACCAAAGAAGUAAGAAAUCCAACUCUGAUUCAUUUCAUAAUUGAUGGAAGGCAUGGUAUUUUGGGAGCAAGACAUAUUGCUGAAGCCCUGCAAAUUCCUUUUGAGCCAACUCAAUUCGACAAUUUUAAAGCUUGGACAAAUCCUACUGAGUUAGAGAUGGUUAGCACACUAACCAGAGGAGCUGCAAAUCGAUCGCAUUUGUUGAGGGGGGAGCUACCUCCAGUUAUGUUUUUGAUUGAUGCCUUUUUGAGGCAUAAUAUCUAUCCCCUGCAGCAUUGGACCCAAAGAAGGGGAAUUCUCCUAGAAGCCUUGUACAAAAUGUCUGAAGGAUUCUUCUUUGGGCCUCAUCAUCUGAUCAUGGCAGCCCUUCUAUACUUUGAGGAGAAGGUUCACAAGAAGAAGCUUCAAAGAGCAGAUUGCAUUCCACUCCUCUUCCCAAGGCUGCUAUGCCAAGUUUUGGAGCAUCUCGGAUACCCCUCUGAGCCUCAGCAGGAAAGAAAGAGAAUAUGCCGUGAGCCUUUUACCCUUGAUAAAUGGAAUAAUAUGACGGCCUACAAAAUUGAUCAGCCUGGGCAGCCUCAGCCAGCAGCAAGGAGAGUCUCCCCAAGACAUAUACCUGAAGGUAUAACACUUGCUACUCCUGCCAUCCCUCGAGCUCCACCAGCUGCACCUGCUCCAUCACAGCCAUCCACAUCAGCUGAGCCGAGGAUGGCCAUCCCUAUAUCCGAAUAUCGAGAGCUGUGCCGUGCAUUGGAGACUCUUACAGCUUCUCAGAGCAAUCUUGCUCAGGAGUUGGCAGCCAUUAAAGCAUGCCAGGAGCAGAUGUUAGCCUCUCAGACUCAACAAGCUGCCAUCCUAAGGCAGCUUCAAGUCCAUUUCGAUCUGCCACAAGCUGUAGAGCCCUCUAUUCCUACUCCACCAGAGCCACACUCUCAGCCUUCAGAGUCUCAUCCUCCAGAACCCGAAGCACCAGCUGAUCCACCUACUGAGGAGGCAGAUCCUUCUGCCUAGCACCAUCACCCCCCUCAUCAGACAUUAUAUAUAUAUUUGCUGUUUAUGUUUUUAUGCAUGUUUGUUUUGUUUUAGUUGAAAAGAAAUCCCAGUAUUUUGGUACUAUAUAUGGGAUUCCUUGUGUUACUUGUCUUUAGUAUUGUAAUCACAUGAACUCAAAGUAAUACAAGUUGACUAUUUCUUGUUAAAAGUUAGCAUUAAAGUUUCCUUAUUUCCUUUUCUCACAUAUUCUAUUCUUUUUGAAACAUGUGGUUUUCCCCAAUCAAUAUUCGAAUUUGAUAUCAGCAUGGAGGUACCACUUCCUCCCUUUUAUUACAGUCACUCAAAUCACAUUGAGGACAAUGCUCAGUUCGGUUGGGGGGUAUGAGGAAGGAAGUAUUCUAAACCUUUUUGGUAUUGCAAUUAUAUUGGUUAAUUAGUUGUAGAUUUUACUUUUUACUAGUGUUACUCUAUUCUCCAUGAAUUUUGAGGAAAAAUUUUCAAAUUAAACCAAGAGAAAUUGAACUGUUGUUUUUCACUUGACUUAGAGUAUGGAUUAUGCUUACUAAAGUGGUUCAAUUGUUGAAACUUCUACUGAAAUUGAAUUGAGUUCUUCCACUUUAAGCUAUCCACACACUGUGCACAUUAGUUUCCGAUUAUAAGAUGAAAAGCUAUUUCCCUCUUGACUUAGUAUAUUUUUGGGACUUGGUAUAUUUGACCUCAUUUGAUAAAAAUUGAAACACCCUGCAAAAGGCCAAUGAGCCUUUGAAAUAAAGAAAGUUGUUUGCUUGCCUUGAAACCCGAGCAAGGUCUGAGGGGUAUAUGGUGAAAAUCUUUAAAGCCUGGUGCCCUAAGCCUUAAUUGGUUGGGAGUCACCGACCUCAAUGCUCGUUACAAGGGUGAAUAGGUAGAGUUAGCAUAUGGUAGAUGCUUGGGUAUUAGAAAUUCAUUCUUAAAAGUCCGGGGAAAAAUCCGAGGAGUUAGUGGUUGAAAGAUCCUUAAAACUUGGUGCCCUAAACCUUAAUUGGUUGGGAGUCAUCGAUGGACCCCCAUUACAUGGACAAGUCAGAAAGAGUACCCCAUAAAGCUACCUUAAAAAAAAAAAAAAAAAAAAAAAAAAAAAAAAAGAUGAAAGUGUGUUCUUUUCUUAUUGAUUUUGGUCAGUUUGCUAAAGUGUUGAAAAGAGAUAGGUUGGGGGGUGAGAUUAGUAGCAUAUUAUUCUCGGAACCUAAGGAACCAAUACACAUAGAUUUUUGUGGAAGAUUGAAGUUUAGUUCUUAGAAAAUGAAAUGAUUUUAAAACUUCAGUUUGCAUAAUGCACUCCCUUGAUUGACAGUGUUUAGCAUAGGUGUUAUGACUCUUGUUGAGAUUUGGGUUUGUAUUUCUUUAAUGAUUCAUGUGAGAAAUAGAUCAUCAUGCCACUUGAGAAUUAUUUUCCUUUUAGCAUGAUGUUGUAAAUUUUAGAUUAGUUUGCUAUUUAUUUUUUAUUUUCUCUCCUAUAUUGCUAAGGGACUAGCAAUAUGUCGGUUGGGGGGAGUGAUUACUACUCAAAAAGUGCUAUUUGAUAGCCUUUAAUUAAUCCUUUUUAACACUUUUGAGUAGUAGUUUAGGCCUUUUAACUCAAUUGGCAUGUUAAGGAUCCUUUAAAGCAAUUUUGAUCACUUUGUGCAAGUUUUGGUGUUUUUGUUAGUAUUUUGAUCACCAAAGCAAGUCAAGAAUGAGGAGAACUAUGAGGAAUCAUGGGCAAAGCUUAGAAUUCAAUUGCCAAGAGUGAAUCCGGAUUGCAAGGAGAAAAAGCAAAGAGAAUCUGUCAUGAAGCCUAUUCUUGAUGACAGUCGUAGCAGCCACUUUUGGAGCACUUUCUGAAGUCCAAAUGAUGCAAGCUAUAUACCAUUUCAAAGCUCAGGAAGUCAACAAUCCAAUGCUUCAAACGGUGCGCGAUUCGGAGUUGAAACGAAGAAGUUGCAGCCAUUACAAGCCAGUCACUCUAAAGUGUUGCGGAAUCAGCCUUUUGUUGCGAGAAUUUCGCAGCACUUUUGUACAGUAAGGUGUUUCUCCUUCUGACGAUGCACGAACCAUGCCGCGAGAGGGAAGCUAGGAACUUCAAGAUGGAAGCCAACUUUGCAGCCUGGUGAAGAUAGCUUGGUCUUGCGAAAUAAUUUCGCAGCCCUCUUGGGUGUCUGCGAAAUUUCGCAGGCACCACUUUUUUCCUGCGAAAUGGCUCCGGAAGCCUCCCGAAGCUUGCUACCGACAUUGGGAGAUAUUUUCCAUUAGAUUUUUGUUGUCUAAAUUCCAAAAUACUCCUUGUAAACCACCAAUUACAUGAUUCCUUAGUUUUUAAGUUAGUAAAAAGACCAAAUAUCUAUGUAAUAAUUAGUUUUAUAUUAGUUUGCUAUAAAUACCUCUCGGGAGCAUGUUCUCAGAGAGGAGUUCCUUCUGUAACCAUUUUGGUAAGCAAGUAAAGUCUUUUCUUUCUACUGCCUUACCUUCUCACUUUGUAUUUUCAUUUUAUUUCUAAGUUAUGAAUUCUCUGAGGAGCUUUCCCCAGAGAAUGAGUAACUAAACCUCCAAUUCCUUGGAGCUAAGGUUGCCGGGGAAGGUUCCAAGUGCAAGAAUGCAAAGCUCUGUGGUUUUAGCUAGUAAUGAAGAGGAAGUGAAAUCCUUUAGUGAUUUCAAUGUUUUUAGUUAACUUAAAACACCUUGGAGUCACCUGGGCCAACACUUGGUAAGGCAAGUGAUUUCCAACCGUGGAAAUGCACUAGUUUACCCCUUGCGAGCCUCUGGUAGGUGACUUCAAGGUAGGAUUUUCUGGAAUUACCAACACUUGGUAAGCUUUUGGACUCCUAGGAGACAUCCAUUAGUUAUCUCUUGCGAGUUUGUGAAGGGGAAUCCAAGGUUAAAGAUCACCUUGAAUGGUAAGUGCUCGUGAGAGGCAUGAACCAUUGCAAGUUGUAUCAGUGAGAGAAUUAAAGUGAAAUCUAAUUGAAGGAGUCUCUGUACAUCACCGGUUAGAGAAUUGACUAUAAGUUGAAUCUCUAAUGCGAGGAAAUGAACCAUCUGACCGGAGCUAUGUCUUUUGCAUGAGGAACCACCCCAGUGAACCUAAAUCUCCAAGGAAUGCUUUUCUUCCUAAAUUAUUCCAAACUUCUGUUAAGUUAGUUAGUUUAAGUCUAAACCUUUACCAAUCAAACUUUGUGUUUUAUUCCUUAAGCUAACCGUGAAAUGAAACAAAACCAAUUCACUUGGAAUUGGUAUCCUUGAUUGCUUGCAAAUCAUUCCCAGUGAACGAUCCUUAGAGCCACUAUACUAUAGUAGCUUUGUAUUUGCUACCCUAGUGUAUGGUGUUAUAGGUAUAAAUUUUGUUGAUCACUUCCUCAAUCAAGGAACACCAGCUGAACACAAAUCAGCUGAGACACCAAUUGGGCAUGAGUCAGUGCGUUAGAGGAUCAAGAAGAAGAAAAAGAAGGAACUGUUGGAAUUAGUAUGAGUGUGAAGAGAAAAGUAUAUAAAUAAGGGGAAGUAAAAGCAAAGUUCAAAAAGCUAUAUUUUUUUAUUGUUGGUGUAUGGUUGCAUGAUUAUCCCUAUAAAUAAUAGGAGUUUUUUGGUAUUCUACUAGUAGUUGAAGCAUAAUUUCAUAAAUUAAUAUUUAGAGCGGGGUGGGGUGAGUUGUGACAAAAUUCAUACCCGUCCCAAACCUUGGUUCAGAUUUUUAAAAUAUUCUCAAACUUAUCAUAUACCCAACUUUUAUAUUUCAUACUUGUCCUAAUAGAGGCACGUUAGGCCGGGUUACUUGAGUAACCUACAUAAUUGUCAUCCCUAGUUGAAAUACACUUUUUGGCAGUGGCCACCAACUGAGCUAGAAGCUUGAUUGAUUGACCUACAAGAUUAGUUCUCAUCAUUUUAAAAAAAGUUCUGGCUUUGGUUGUGAGUGCAAUUGAAUCUAAACUGGCAUUUGCUUAAUGCAUCUACUUCAAUCCUAAACUUCUUACUUCUUAAGCCUCAAUUGUUGUUAGGAUUUUGGAAAACCCAUUUCCUUAAAUUGUAAAUUUAAGAUAAAAUAAAAUAAAAGUGAGACAUUUCUUGAUUGAAUAUUGUUAAAGGUCCCUUGGCAUUAAGACUUGGUUGAAGCCUUGGAAGAUUAGUGGAACUCUCAACAUGUGUUUGAAUCUUGAGGAGAGUGGAUGUAAGCCAAAAUUUUGUCAAACCAUUAUACAAAUUGAGUUUGAAUCCUCAUUUCUUGAUUUCUUAUUUAUUUGCUUUUUCUUAUUAUUACUUGAAUUGUCAUUUGCAUUCAUUAAUGUUAAAAUUGGUUAUAAUUAACCAACACUAAUUCUCUUUCCCCUUCCCUUUCUUGGGUGUAAACCUAGGUUGGAUUAACUAGAUAAAUCUAUUAAGAUGGUAAAAGAAUAAUUAUUCUUAACAUACAUAAGAUCAUCUUCAAUCAAAUGACUCAUUGGCUAAUAUGUUGAAUUUGCUUAUUACUUGCAACUCAAAAUUGUGUUCUAGUUGUGUCAAGUCCCCAGUGUAUGGACAUUAAAUUUGUAGUACGUGAUGAGUAAUUAGAUGGUCCAACUCCAAGAAAGUGAUUGAAAAGUAGUUCAAGAAAGGUGCAAAAGGGAAUUGUUUUGGUAUUUUCGUUUUUAUUCUUGAAGGUGGCAGAGCUAAAAUUUGAGAAAUCAAGCAAAACAUACUGAAAUUACAUUGAAAGAAAGAAGAUGGGAGUUAAUGUCUUGCAGUACAUGAUAAGGACUUCAUGCAUGUAGUGUGACCCAUGUCUUGGACUGAUGCCAACUCACGGUUACACUUAUACCCUUGGUUCUCUCUUUACUACCUUGGCUAACCUAGAUCAGGCUAUGAGAUAGGCUCCUCACCACACCAUUACUUGCCCAUUAAUUAGAGACAUUUUCAAGCAAUGAGGUAACAUGGUGACACCAAGAGGGUCUAUUCCUCGCCCGGAACAAGUCUAGACUUGGUCUCAAAAAAAUGGAGAAAAAUGAGGUGUCGUUAUGUAGAAAUACAACAACCAUGCCUUCCUCAUUACUUAGAUUCAGAAUGUGAAGGUGAAAUUGAGAAACAGAAACUCUUGAAACCAAAAUGAAAAUUGAUACUUUUACGAAGAAUUACAACAACAUUAGAGGAAGACUACAUUCUUCCUCUUUAUUCCUACAUUUCUACACUACUUCUACUCCACUCCAUAUUUCUACAUACAUCUUUAAUCAGUCUUCCCUCCUUUAUAUAGAGCCAUCUUCACACAAAUUUCGCAAGGUAGAAAAGAGGAAUGAAACUUGGAGCAAGGUUCGACUACUGGUUGUAGCUUGUCAAGGCUGGAAGUGAACUUUUCUUGGCUUUCUGGGCAUGGGUAGUAACUUGUGGGUUCCUGUUUGGCAUAAAAAUGGCUAGAACAUGUGGCACUAUCUUGUUGGAUGAUGUGUCAAGCAUGUGGCAGCCAUCUAGUGGCGAUUAUGUCAAUUUUGGGAUGGAGAGUUGGCAUCCAAUUGCAAAGAAAUAUGACGUCUACCAACAUGCAAUGUAAACCUAUGUAGAUCAUAUGAAGAUAGAGAGGAAAAAUAUAGAAAUGGAUAUAUACCUAGAACUAGCUUUUUAUUAAAUGAAACGGAGAGACAACAAUGAAGGAAAAUAAAAUUUUUUGGCUUAUAUCAAAGAGUUCACAUUGUGUUACCCUAGGUUUUCUUAAAACUUACUUUUAUGAUAACAAAAAAGAAAAAACCAUUAUUGUUUAAUCCUUUGUUUUAAACGCAUGUAAGGUGUAAUUAAGUUAGUUCAAUGCAUUAAUUUAAGAAACUUGACCUAUCAAAAGUACAAAAUUAGAUGAAAUCCAUUUCAAUGGUUAAAAUGAUCAAAAUCAAACUUUUUCUAAGUAUUUUUUAAAAGCAUCAAUAGUGAAAGACAAUUUUAUAUUUAGUCGGAGUUUGGACAAAACUGAAAAACACACAAAAUCCAAGCGACCAUCUCUAGCUUGGAUGGUCGCUUGAUCCCACCUAGAGAUGUGCAUGAGUAAAAGGAUUUGAAAAUGGAAAUUGACUAUGUAGUCGAUCAAUUAACUUUGCAACAUCAUAUGCAAUCCUAAUUGCUAGUCAUCUAAUCAAUUAGGUAGUCAAUCAACAGGCCAAAAAUAUGUUUAUAAUGACUAUUUUGUACAAAAACCACCUGUAUAGUUAAAUAUAAUGCAUUUCAUUUAUAAAUCUUCUAAUUCUUGAAUAACGAUCCUAUCAUCCUUUGAAAGUUUUUAUUACACUUUUUUUACUUUUGUUCUAAAACUUACACAUCACCCUUAAUUGUACCAUGAGAACCUAGCUAUUUUUUAUUUUUUUUUUUGUAAUUCAUCAAAGUUAGCUUUUGUAUUCAUUGUUGUAUUAUUUUUAGUAUAACUUAGAAAGCUAGUGUUUUCAAGUGAGUAAAAUUAACUUGUAAAUAUUGUAAAGAUUCAUCGACAUGUAUCUUAAACUAAGUGUACAAGUUAAAACAUUUGCUAGUAGAUUUUCUCAAAAUUUAGAAUAGAGCUUGAGACUAUUGAAAUAGGUGGGGUUGCACCAAACCACAUCACAUCGUUGUUUGCACCUUUUUUCACUCUCUUUUACUUAGUUGCUCUAUAUUUGUUGUCUAGUAAUAUCCUAUAGGCUUGAUGGGUUAGGGAGCAUCCCUUUGUGAAAAAAUUUUAUUCAAUCCUUAGUUGUAUCACGCAUAUAUAAAAUGCCUCAUUGUUUUAAUGGUAUUCAGUCGUGGCAUCACAGAUAUGGGCAUCUAAAUUUUAAAAGUUUGAAACUUUUAUCUAAAGAAAAUAUGGUGCUUUGCCUUUUUGUAAAGCAUGUUGAUGAAAUCCAUGAGAAUUGUGUACUUGGGAAGCAACACCGAGAUGACUUUUUUUUUUUUUUUAUAAUAUUGUUUGUCCAAAUUCCCUACAAAUUAGGCCACCAGAUGUUCAUAAUUCUCCCUUCUUGAAUUUGAAAACUCGGACAAUUGGACAAUGCGACACCUAAGUCCGGUUUCUAAAUGCUAAAGUGAAAGGGUAGGUAUGGACCAUUGAAAUGUGAUCACAACUUUUCUCUGUAGCCAUGUUGUCUCUUUUUUCUUUUGCAUGAUUUUCUUACCUUAACAGAAUCAUAGACUUGUUUAGUCUCUAAAUGGGAUUAAUUUCAUCCAGCUUUAAGCUACUAUAUUAUAUCUAGGUGGAGGACUUUUAAGAGUGCAACCGACAUAGAGCACAUGGAAGUGGGUAUAUGGGACAUGAAAUUUCUUCUUAUAAAGAUUGCAUGAUUUUUAUAUUAGAGUUGUUGAGGCGCUAUGUAUUUAGCUUGUUUUGCAGUUAAAUUAAUUGGAUAAGUAGACAUUGGCGUUUCUAAAUCUACUGUGAAGUGCUUCAUGUACGUGUGAAGUAUUAGAAAUUUCUUUCUUGGCAACUUGUUUUUCUUUGCGGUCUACUGAUAGGUUUGACUAAAAUUAUAUUCCCUGUCAUGCUAAUUAAUUUUCACGUGCAUGCUCAAAAGAAAAGUAUGACCUUAGUGCACCAAAAUCACUUUGAUUAAUUUGUGAUAGGUUUUUGUGCAUCAUGACAUUAGCCUUAUUCAUUUAGAUAAUGUUUAGUUUUUAGAAAGUAUUAAGAAAAGGAAAAUAAAUAUUAAGAAAAAUAUUCUUAUAUUUGAUUGUAUUAUGAAAAAUAUCAUAAAAAAAUCAAAUAUAAUUUAAAUUAAUUAAUAAUUUAUACAUUUUCAAAUUAUUUAAUCUUUAUAUUGAAGAUAUAAUAUAAAUGAAAUGAGUUUUAAGUAUUAUAUAAAAGUGAUUUAUUGAUCUUACAUAUAUAUAUUUCUUUUUUUUUUCCUUCUAUUUUUUCUCUUUAUUUUAUUUUCCUUAUGUUUUCCUCAACAUUUUCCGGAACCAAACAUAGCCUUAGGAAAUCCACAAUUACCUUCAACUGAGUAGAUUCUGUUGUUUUAGCAAUGUUAGGCUGCUAACUUGUGUUGGUACGAACCUAUUAAGCCUAAAGAUGUAAUUAGUUAGGAUAUUCUUUUCCCUCUAGUCUUGUAGCUCCACGUGUACAGUUGGUUAGGACCUCAUUGUAUAUAAUGCUUGCCCUGUUAUUGUAGAAGACAACAAAGAUAAAUAAUAUUAACAUUUUUCCUCUCAUCUCUCUCUGUUUCCCUCUGUUUUCAUCUCCUCUCUCAUCUUGGUAUCAGAGCCUCCAUGGCUUCUUUCAAAGAAACCUCCGAAUCACCUUCUGCUAGCAUUGUUAAUGUGCAAAACCCAUUAUCUCAAUCAAACAACCUUCCUUCACCAGUAGCCACACCCUCUUUUUCUUUCUCGUCUAUGAAUCAACCUCUCACAGUGAAGCUGGAUAAUGGGAACUACCUCAUAUGGAAGAAUUAGCUUCUAAAUGUCAUCAUUGCUAACGGACUCGAUGAUUUCAUUGACGGAUCUCGACCCUGCCCUCCUCGAUUUCUCGAUCUGCAACAACAAACCCUCAAUCCAGAGUACUCAGCUUGGCAGAGAUACAAUCGACUUCUGAUGAGUUGGCUGUACGCAUCCUUGUCCAAAGAUAUAAUGGCUCAGAUUGUUGGGUAUUCAACAGCUAUGGAGAUUUGGAAUGCCCUUAAUCAGAUUUACUCUGCCUCUUCUAUGGCGCGGUUUACUGAGCUUCGCACCAAGCUUCAAACGCUCAAGAAAGAUGGACUCUCAGUUGGUGAAUAUAUUCAAAGGCUCAAAUCCAUUUGCAAUAGUCUUGCAGCAAUAGGAGAACCAGUUUCUGAGAAAGACCAUCUUAUCUAUUUGUUCAAUGGAUUAGAUUGUGAGUAUUAUUCUUUUGUUACCUCCAUUCAAAAUCGAUCUGACCAACCAACUAUUGACAAAAUCCAUAGCCUAUUGCUUAGCUAUGACUUCCGGCUUGAACAACAAAACUCUGUUUCUCUCCAUUCUGCCCAAGUCCAUAUGGCUCAUCUGAACAAGAAACCUUAUAAAUCAACUCCUCAACCUACAUUCAAUCAUAUUCACAUUCAACCUAGAUACUCUUCUCCACCUUUUAAGCCAACCACUAGUCAAUAUCAACCCAACAUUUUGGGCAAACCACAACCACAACCAUGACAGCCUCAACCUCAAUGGAAACCACAUUUUUCAAUCUAAAAUCAAAAGCCUCAGCGCCAAAUUUGUGGUAAAUUUGGACACACUGCUCUUAUUUGCUUCCAUCACACAAAUUUGAACUAUUCACCCCAACCUUCUCCUAAAUCUUUCAAUACUGUUCUCACCACAAAUUCCCAGCUCCCUAAUCCUCCAAAAUUUUCUUACCCUACAAUGGCUCAUCCUGCUGCUACGCAUAACACGGUUCCCGAUACAAAUUGGUACAUGGACUCAGGUGCUACACAUCACUUUACUCUGGACAUCAACGUGCUUGACACUGUGACACCAUUUAGUGGUUCAGAACAGGUGACAGUUGGGAAUGGUAAGCAACUCUGUAUCUCACAUCUUGGUACUGCAAAACUACCAUCUUCGUAUUCUCCUCCUGUUCUACAUCAGGUAUAUCACACUCCAAAAAUUUCAAAUAAUCUUAUUAGUGUUAAAAAAUUGUGUUCUGAUAAUAAAGUUUUUGUUGAAUUUUAUGCCACUCAUUUUCUUGUCAAGGAUCAGGUUUCGAAGAGAGUUCUCCUUUAGGGUCAACUUGAUAAUGGCUUAUACAAAGUUCAGUCGUCAUGCUCUCCUUCUGCUGUUUCCUUUCCUCCUCAAGUUUUCAUAGCCAACAUCAAGUAUCCAAAUCUGUGGCACAAGAGACUAGGCCACCCAGCUUUAUCUGUUGUUAAUCAAAUCUUGGAUUCUUGUAACAUUGCUCGAACACAGAAAAUUUGUUUUAAUUUUUUAAAUUCUUGUCAAUUAGCAAAGAGCCACAGGCUUCCUUUUUCUCUGUCUCCAUCCAUUGCAGAAAAACCUUUUGAGUUAAUUCAUACAGACCUAUGGGGUCUUUCGCUCGUUCGCUCUAUUUCUGGUGCUCUUUAUUUUUUACUUUUCAUUGAUGAUCAUACUCGUUUUACUUGGUUUUAUUUGCUCAAAACAAAAGAUGAAGCAUAUCCUACUUUUCUCAAGUUUCAAGCUCUCAUUGAAAAUCAAUUUAAUACCAAGAUUAAGGCUGUCCAAUCUGAUUGGGGAGGUGAGUUUCGAUCUCUCUCCAUACCGUUUUCAAAUAUGGGCAUUGUCUAUUGUUUAUCGUGUCCAUACACCUCACAACAGAAUGGGCGAGUUGAGCGAAAAAAUCGCCAUGCGAUUGUCCUUUCUUGCUUGCUCUAUGCCCUUAUCUUAUUGGCCUUAUGCCUUUCAAACUGCCACUUACCUUAUUAAUCGUCUCUCUACCCCUGUGCUGCAUCAUCAAUCCUCUUACUUCGCACUCUAUCACAAACUCCCAACUUAUACUCAUCUUAAGGUCUUUGGUUCCUCUUGUUUUCCGUAUUUGCACCCUUAUAAUACCCAUAAACUCCAAUACAGGUCACUAGAGUGUGCUUUUCUUGGUUACAGUUCACACCACAAAGGUUAUCUAUGUCUUGACAUUCAUUCUAGCAGGGUGUAUAUUUCUCGCCAUGUGAUUUUUAAUGAAGAUUCUUUUCCAUUCAAGAAUUUGAAAUCUUCUCUCUCUCAGUCUAUUUCUUCUUCCUCUUCUUUAUAAGUUCCUCUGUUCAUUCUCUUGCCUCCCCUUUCCCCAUCUCCUCUUAUUUCUUCAUCUAUACCUCAUUCUUUUCCCUCUUCUUCUUCUACCUCUAGUACUUGUUCCCCUCUCGUUGCUCCUACCUCUCUUCCUUCCUCUUCACACUCUGUGUCUCCAUCUAUUCCACCUCCUUCUCCACCUUCUCCGAGUGUGGACCUGCUUGCACCUUGUGUGAAUACAAAUUUACAUACUUCUUCUCGCACUCACAAUAUUCAUCCUAUGGUGACUAGAUCUAAGGUUUGUAUCUAUAAACCUAAGUUGUUGUUGAGUGUCUCCAUAGGUUCUCUCACUAAGCCUACUUCCUUUCUUCAAGCUAUUAAAGAUCCUUCAUGGAAGCAAUCCAUGGAAUUCGAGUUUGCUACCCUUCAACACAACAAGACCUGGCAUUUGGUUCCUUCACCUUCCUCAGGCGAAGUAAUCGGUUGUAAAUGGGUCUAUAAGCUAAAGCUUCAGCCUGAUGGCUAAAUUGAGAGAUACAGCCUGCUUAGUAGCUAAGGGUAUCAUCAAAUUGAAGUAUGGACUACUUCGAAACAUUCAGCCUGAUNNNNNNNNNNNNNNNNNNNNNNNNNNNNNNNNNNNNNNNNNNNNNNNNNNNNNNNNNNNNNNNNNNNNNNNNNNNNNNNNNNNNNNNNNNNNNNNNNNNNAGCUUCAGCCUGAUGGCUAAAUUGAGAGAUACAAGGCCUGCUUAGUAGCUAAGGGUUAUCAUCAAAUUGAAGGUAUUGACUACUUCGAAACAUUCAGCCUGAUUGUCAAGCUUUCUACUAUCUGUAUUGUGCUCAGUCUUACUUUUUCCCAGAAUUGGUGUAUUAGACAGCUGGAUGUUCAUAAUGCCUUCUUACAUGGUGACUUAGCUAAAGACGUUUUCAUGGAACAACUGCCUGGAUUUGUUGAUCCUCUCUAUCCUACUCAUGUCUGCAAGUUGGAUAAGUCUCUCUACUGUCUUAAAUAGUCACCUCGGGCUUGGUAUACUAAGCUGAGUACUUCUCGCUACACUUGGGAUUUGUUACUUCUAAGAAUGACUCUUCCUUAUUUAUUUGUCAUUCGUCUCAUGGGUUACUUCUUGUUCUUGUCUAUGUGGAUGAUAUAAUCGUCAUUGGGAGCCACUCUCCUCAGGUUACUCACCUUAUCCAACAGUUGCAUCAUUAGCUUUCUUUAAAGGAUCUUGGUCCUUUACAUUAUUUUCUGGGCUUGGAGGUUCAUCACACCCCUACUGGUAUUCACCUCAGCCAAGCAAAGUAUAUCACUGAUCUCCUUACCCGGGCGGCUAUGUUGGAUGCCAAGCCAUGUCCCACUCCUAUGUCCUCCAACACAUAUCUCUCUUUUCAUGAUGGAGUGGCUCUUGAAAAUGGUUCAGAUUAUCGAAGUUUUGUUGGUGCCCUUUAGUAUUGUACCAUGACACGCCCAGAUAUAGCUUUUGCAAUAAAUAAAGUGUGUCAAUUCAUGCACCAUCCCUCUAAUGUUCACUGGCAGGCUAUAAAACGUAUUCUCCGGUACUUAAAGGGCACAUCUCAUUUUGGUCUCUUCCUACAGCCUUCCUAUGACUUCAACAUCACUUGCUAUACAAAUGCCGACUGGGCUUCCUGUCCUGAUGACAAGUGUAGCACCAGUGGCUACUGCCUCUUUCUUGCCUCUAAUCUGGUUUCUUGGUCAUCUUCCAAACAAAAAGUGGUCUCCCGCUCCAGCGCCGAAUCAGAGUACCGAGGGGUAGCAAAUGGGGCUGCUGAAAUUGCUUGGACUGAAUCUCUUCUUUGUGAACUUUCCAUUACUCCCCCUCCCCUCAUUCUCUGUGACAAUAUCAGUGCCACGUACUUAGCUGCCAAUCCUAUUUUGCAUGCCCGCACCAAACAUGUGGAAAUCGACUAUCACUUUGUCACGGAACGUGUUCUUCAAUGCUCUCUUUUUGUCCAGUUUACACCUUCUGAUGAUCAACUUGCUGAUUGCAUGACCAAGCCUCUCUCCACCCAACGUUUCAUCACUCUACGCUCCAAGCUCACUGUUCUCACUAGACCAAUGAGCUUGAGGGGGGAUGUUAAGCCUAAAGAUGUAAUUAGUUAGGAUAUUCUUUUCCCUCUAGUCUUGUAGCUCCACGUGUACAGUUGGUUAGGACCUCAUUGUAUAUAAUGCCUGCCCUGUUAUUGUAGAAGACAACAGAGAUAAAUAAUAUUAACAUUUUUCCUCUCAUCUCUCUCUCUGUUUCCCUCUGUUUUCAUCUCCUCUCUCAUCUGAACCAAAUGAUCCAUGUUAACCUUGGCUUGGUUUGAUUUGGCUCUAUCUUAGAGAGCUCAAGGAUCACGUCAACUCUGGUUUCUACUAUUCAGGUCCAUUCCCAUAUGAACUGGUUCAAAUUUGAGAAAAUGGUAACAGACCUUUAGUGAUGUUGGUUUGGAGCCAGUUGCCAAACCCGCCCUGAGCUUUACCACUAAUGUCAAGGGAGAAAGCCAUUUGAACAAAAACAAUAGCUUCAAGGGACUGAAUCGUGGAUGAAAUCUGAUCCACAUUUCUUCUCAUUUUGGAAACAAAUGAGAACUUAACUAAGAAGAUUCUACGGCCUCAUAGUGCUUUUCCUGAUCUAAGGUUGGUUCGUUUCCCAAACUGUGAGAUGCACGUGCCAGACUUCAGAACUCUCACGCUCAGGAGUGUAUCCACGUGGUGGACAUAAGAUGGUGGCUUAAGAUCUGGUGUCGGUGGCUUUACUUUACUAGGAGAGUAGUGUGUCUUCAUCUCAUUCACUGCCGGAGGGUGGCGUAAGCAGUGACGCUAAGGUGGGGCACAGUCAAUAUCAUUUGCAUUUGACCAUUAUAGUUUUCUCCCGGCUUUAAAGUAACCUUAUCGUGAUAAAGGAUUACUAGCACUAGUUCAGAUGAUAGUCAUGUUAAAUUCGGACCAUGUUUGUGUCACAUUAUCAGCAACCAUGUGUUUAUGGUUCAUGCUUUCUGCAACUAAAAUUGAUAUAUAACCAGGUGAACUUCAAUCUAAAUUCUGAAAGUACUCAUGUGAUAGAUGGUGCCCGUCUGCAGAGUCCAUCAAUUGAAAAAUGGAGUGAGUGUAUCUAUAAGAGGGAAGGCUUGGAAAAUGUUCAGUUUUCUGGGAAUUCAACAAGGAUCUAAAAUAGAUUGUUUUCUUUGCUGAUUUCAAUGGUUGAAAUUUGAGAAGAUUGUGUCCACAUAACACAACUAUUACUGGUCCUUCUGUUGCAAUUUAUCCUCUAAAGCUCUAGCAUGUCUUCCAAUUCCCACUUCCCUGUUACUCCAGGAAAGCUAUUUCUGUCAUUGUGAAGAAGAAAAGAGAAUGUACAUAUCGAUGCUUUUAAGUGACUGGAGCAUUUAUAUCAGGUGGUCUGCAGCCAUAUAUGCCACUUUGUGAAGAUUGGAACAGUCAAUCACUAGGCUAUAUAUUAGUGUGGCCCAGCCACUUUAAUCAAGGACAAGUCUUCAUACUUAAAGUCAAAUUCUGCCUUUAGUCUCAUUAUAAAUUUCUGUUUAAAUAUUAAGCAAACAUUUGUUUAAUGCGAUUAAGACAGUACUAACUCAAUACCUGUUCUAUUUUUGGAUGCAAAUGCUUGAUGGUUUCAUCAUUGGAUGGGAUAAAGGUGCAUUCAUGAUUAGGAAUACUAGUAGUUAUAUUUUAAUUCUCUUUUUUCUCAAUGAGACUUGUUGGCACAAUUUUGCUGUUGAGAAACCUACCUCUCCAUGGAAAAUAAGUUGUGAUUGAUAGUACUGGAUAUAUUCAAGAAAUCUAAAUAUAGAUAGCACAAAAUAUUAUCGACAUAAAUAGCAUUAACAGCGUACGUAUGUCUCAGUGCUCAUCAGCUAUAAGCAUGGGGCAAACACUUACUAUGAGCAACUUACGUCAAAAUUCCAGAAUAGGACAUAGAAGUGACAGAUAUAGAACAUUGCAUAUGAGUCACAAGAAAGGAAAUUACGGGUGCAUAGCAGCUCUUAUUUUACAUACUACUACUCAUACUGAUCAAAGUCACUCAGUUGGGAUGGGUGGGAGUAGGAGGUUUGUGGGGUGGCUUGUGCGGAGGAGUUGGCAGCUUCUUUCCAGGACCUGGUUGCUUCUCUGCUGGAGUUGAAGGAGGCUUAAUCUUCCGAGGUGGCUUGUAUGAGUCUUCAGCAUUCUCAGCUGGAGGGUGACCAGGGUUGUGACCAUAAUGUGGUGGCUUCUCUCCCUUAGGUGGUUUGCCAACUGGGGUUGGUGGCUUGUAUGAGUCUUCAGCAUUCUCAGCAGGAGGGUGACCAGGGUUGUGACCAUAAUGUGGUGGCUUCUCUCCCUUAGGUGGUUUGCCAACUGGGGUUGGUGGCUUGUGUUCUGGGAGUGGCUUCUCCCCCUUGGGAGGUUUUUCCAAUGGGGUUGGUUUGUGUUCAGGAGGUGGCUUCUCCACUGGAGGCUUGUGUUCAGGAGGUGGCUUCUCCACCGGAGGCUUGUGUUCAGGUGGUGGCUUCUCCACCGGAGGCUUAUGCUCUGGUGGUGGCUUCUCGAAUGGGGGAUGCUUAGGAUAAUCAGCAAGUGAGGGGGCGGUGAGAACCACCAGGCCAAGCAACACCACUAGCAAAUAUGUAGGAGACAUCUUUGGGUUUGGGCUCAGAUGGUGCAAAACUAGGAGAAUUGGCUAGCCUUUUAUAGCGGAUCGUACCCAAUAAUGAAAUGACACGUGUCAUUAUGACCCAUGUGUAAUGGGGUCGAUUUGGGUCCUACAGUGUUGAAAACUUCGACAUCCACUUUUGGCCUUUUGCUUUCUCUACAGCCGCCUUGCUUUUUCCCUCUUUCCUUUUGUUUUCCUCCUGCCCCAUUCUAUCAACUAAACACAAUUAUGUAGUUGUUUAAUUCUUAAAUGAGAUAUUAUCCGUCAAUCGUAUUAUAUUUUAUCAAGAGAGAACGGAGUGCAAUGUGGCUGUAAUUUUAUCGUUUAGUUUUAUCUCUUGGACCACUGCAUUUUUGUUAAGAGGUGCAAUAAUACACGUCUUUAUCUGCCAUUCAAUAUUUACAGUAAAGAGAGGGCACAAAACUCUUCACUUCGCACCAUAAUUAUUUUGUUUUCUGGACACCCCGGGGCCCUUUGGUUGGUUUGGGGGUCAGAAAGUGAACAUCAUAGGGGGUUUUUCCCUUAUGUGCAUUUGUAUCUGAUGGCUUUAACUCGCCUUGUUACUACAAAGAAACUGUCACAGAUAGGAACUUAUUCCAGGCUGAGUAUCUCCUCAUAGACCCUAUAAAAGAAGACAAGUCAUAAUGAACAUCUAACCUUUGUUCAAUUUGAUUCAAUGCCCCCAUUGUGUCCAUCUCACAAAUCUGAAUUAUUAUAUCCAUUGAAUACAUAAAUUAAUGAAGAAAAUAUGAAACCCAAGAUACAUCUCUGCACAACCUCAACCCUGGUUGCUAUGUUUCCCUUCUAUUCACAUGAUUUGAUGCUAAUUGCCAAACUUGCAACAAGCCCUGAGUUUGACACCUAGUAUCGAUGGGCGAAUUUAAAGUCUCCUCCAAACAUAUAUUCCACAGCUUGAAGCUCACAGAAGAUGUUACAGGCAGGGAAAAACCUUCAGAGUUCGCUACCAAAGAUAAUUAUUAAGGAGAUAUCACAAAGAGAAUUCCAAGGGGUCUGAAUCAAAGACAAAUUGGUCGUUCGUGGGGGUUCUUACUUUCUUUUGGGUAUAACUCACUGAGGGCACUGUCUUUGUUAUUUGCAUUUCACAUUUAGAGUUCUGUUCUGGAAACAUAUAAAAGGAGCAUCAUUUUGUUCUUGGGUAACCCAUAGUCGUGAGUGGGUCCAUUUGCAUGCUACUUAGUUGAAAAGUUGGACCAUUUGCUCCGACGCCUACCUCCCGGAUUCCAUGCUCGGAUAAAACAAGAAUAAAAAAAAUAUUUAUAAUUUACAAAUGGGGGAAAGAAAAAAAUGUCAACAACAAACCAGGAAAAAAGAGUAGUAAAAUUCAUGUCACAUGCUAGUGAGAGAAGGGGUUGUUACACUCACUCGAAGUUCUUUCCAAAAUAUCGCAUGGUAUUUUAUUUUAUGUGUCAGCGCAGUUGUGAAUGGAACGUGCAAAAGUCCAAAUUGGCGUUUUUCCUUUUCCCGUGUAGGAUGGCGACCUUUAAUAAAUAUUUAAAACAAAAAACGAAAAAAAGGAGGGAAAAGGGAUCAGAAAAGAUAAAACAAUGUGUACAAGAGCUCAAUUAGUUUGCAAAUUACUGUUUGGAUUUUGAUAGUAUUUUAUUUGUCCAUCUAUAUUUGAUGGAAAAGAGAAUUUAAGAUAUUUCUGAAACAAAAGCAUUAGUGUAAAACUAAAUUAAGGUAUAAUUAAGUUAGUUCAAUGCAUUAAUUUAAGAAACUUGAUCUAUCCAAAGUACAAAAUUAGAUGAAAUCCAUUUCAAUGGUUAAAAUGAUCAAAAUCAAACUUUUUCUAAGUAUUUUUUAAAAGCAUCAAUAUUAAAAGACAAUUUUAUAUUUAGUCGGAGUUUGGACAAAACCAAAAAGCACACAAAAUCCAAGCGACCAUCUCUAGCUUGGAUAGUCACUUGAUCCCACCUAGAGAUGUGCAUGAGUAAAAGGAUUUGAAAAUGGAAAUUGACUAAAUAUUUAGUUGAUCAAUUAAAUUUGCAAUGUCAUAUGCAAUCCUAAUAGCUAGUCAUCUAAUCAAUUAGGUAGUCAAUCAAGUGUUUGUAAUGACUAUUUUGUACAAAAAACCACAUGUAUAGUUAAAUAUAAUGCAUUUCAUUUAUAAAUCUUCUAAUUCUUGAAUAACGAUCCUAUCAUCCUUUGAAAAUUUUUAUUACACCUUUUUUACUUUUGUUCUAAAACUUACAUAUCACCCUUAAUUGUACCAUGAGAACCUAGCUAUUUUUUUUUUUUUUGUAAUUCAUCAAAGUUAGCUUUUGUAUUCAUUGUUGUAUUAUUUUUAGUAUAACUUAGAAAGCUAGUGUUUUCAAGUGAGUAAAAUUAACUUGUAAAUAUUGUAAAGAUUCAUUGAUAUGUAUCUUAAACUAAGUGUACAAAUUAAAACAUUUGCUAGUAGAUUUUCUCAAAAUUUAGAAUAGAGCUUGAGGCUAUUGAAAUAGGUGGGGUUACACCAAACCACAUCACAUCGUUGUUUGCACCUUUUUUCACUCUCUUUUACUUAGUUUCUCUAUAUUUGUUGUCUAGUAAUAUCCUAUAGGCUUGAUGGGUUAGGGAGCAUCCCUUUGUGAAAAAAUUUCAUUCAAUUCUUAGUUGUAUUACGCAUAUAUAAAAUGCCUCAUUGUUUUAAUGGUAUUCAGUCGUGGCAUCACAGAUAUGGGCAUCUAAAUUUUAAAAGUUUGAAACUUUUGUAAAGCAUGUUGAUAAAAUCCAUGAGAGUUGUGUACUUGGGAAGCAACAUCGAGGUGACUUUAUUUUUUUUUCCUUUUAUAAUGCCACACCUAAGUCCGGUUUCUAAAUGCUAAAGUGAAAGGGUAGGUAUGGACCAUUGAAAUGUGAUCACAACUUUUGGCCUUUUCCUUUCUCUGCAGCCAUGUUGUCUCUUUUUUCUUUUGCAUGAUUUUCUUACCAAAACAGAAUCAUAGACUUGUUUAGUCUCUAAGCUACUAUAUUAUAUCUCGGUGGACUUUUAAGAGUGCAACCGACAUAGAGCACAUGCAAGUGGGCAUAUGGGACAUGAAAUUUCUUCUUACAAAGAUUGCAUGAUUUUUAUAUUAGAGUUGUUCACGUGCAAUGUAUUUAGCUUGUUUUGCAGUUAAAUUAAUUGGAUAAGUAAACAUUGGCAUUUCUAAAUCGACUGUGAAGUGCUUCAUGUACGUGUAAAGUAUUAGAAAUUUCUUUCUUGGCAACUUGUUUUUUCCUUGCCAUCUACUGGUAGGUUUGACUAAAAUUAUAUUCCCUGUCAUGCUAAUUAAUUUUCAUGUGCAUGCUCAAAAGAAGAGUAUGACCUUAGUGCACCAAAAUCACUUUGAUUAAUUUGUGAUAGGUUUUUUUGCAUCAUUUAGAUAAUGUUUAGUUCUAAGAAAAAUUUAUAUAAAAAUGGUUUAUUUAUCUUACAUAUAUAUAUAUAUAUAUAUAUUUUUUUUUUUUUCAUUUUUUUUUCUUCUAUUUUAUUUAUUUAUUUUAUUUUCCUUAUGUUUUCCUCACAUUUUCCGGAACUAAACAUAGUCUUACGAAAUCAACAAUUGCCUUCAACUGAGUAGAUUCUGUUGUUUUAGCAAUGUUAGGCUGCUAACUUGUGGUGGUACGAACCAAAUGACCCAUGUUAAUCUUGGCUUGGUUUGAUUUGGCUCUAUCUCAGAGAGCUAAAGGAUCACGUCAACUCUGGUUUCUACUAUUCAGGUCCAUUCCCAGAUGAACUGGUUCAAAUUUGAGAAAAUGGUAACAGACCUUUAGUGAUGUUGGUUUGGAGCCAGUUGCCAAACCCGCCCUGAGCUUUACCACUAAUGUCAAGGGAGAAAGCCAUUUGAACAAAAACAAUAGCUUCAAGAGACUGAAUCGUGGAUGAAAUCUGAUCCACAUUUCUUCUCAUUUUGGGAAAAAAUGAGAACUUAACUACAAAGAUUCUACUGCCUCAUUCAUAGUGCUUUUCCUGAUCCAAGGUUGGUUCGUUUCCCAAAUUGUGAGGUGCACGUGCCACUCUCACGCUCAGGAGUGUAUCCACGUGGUGGACAUCAGAUGGUGGCUUAAUAUCUGGUGUCGGUGGCUUUACUUUACUAGGAGAGUAGUGUGUCUUCAUCUCAUUCACUGCCGGAGGGUGGCGUAAGCAGUGACGCUAAGGUGGGGCACAGUCAAUAUCAUUUGCAUUUGACCAUUAUAGUUUUCUCCCGGCUUGAAAGUAACCUUAUCGUGAUAAAGGAUUACUAGCACUAGUUCAGAUGACCGUCAUGUUAAUUCGGACCAUGUUUGUGUCACAUUAUCAGCAACCAUGUGUUUAUGGUUCAUGCUAUCUGCAACUAAACUUGAUAUAUAACCAGGUGAACUUCAAUCAAAAUUCUGGAAGUACUCUUGUGAUAGAUGGUGCCUGUCUGCAGAGUCCAUCAAUUGAAAAAUGGAGUGAGUGUAUCUAUAAGAGGGAAGGCUUGGCAAAUGUUCAGUUUUCUGGGAAUUCAACAAGGAUCUAAAAUAGAUUGUUUUCUUUGCCGACUUCAAUGGUUGAAAUUUGAGAAGAUUGUGUCCACAUAUCACAACUAUUACUGGUCCUUCUGUUGCAAUUUAUCCUGUAAGGCUCUAACAUGUCUUCCAAUUCCCACUUCCCUGUUACUCCAGGAAAGCUAUUUCUGUCAUUGUGAAGAAGAAAAGAGAAUGUACAUAUCGAUGCUUUUAAGUGACUGGAGCAUUCAUAUCAGGUGGUCUGCAGCCAUAUAUGCCACUUUGUGAAGGUUGGAACAGUCAAUCACUAGGCUAUAUAUUGGUGUGGCCCAGCCACUUCAAUCAAGGACAAGUCUUCAUACUUAAAGUCAAAUUCUGCCUUUAGUCUCAUUAUAAAUUGCUGUUUAAAUAUUAAGCAAACUUUUGUUUAAUGCGAUUAAGACAGUACUAACUCAAUACUUGUUCUAUUUUUGGAUGCAAAUGCUUGAUGGUUUCAUCAUUGGAUGGGAUAAAGGUGCAUUCAUGAUUAUGAAUACUUGUAGUUAUAUUUUCAUUCUCUUUUUUCUCAAUGAGACUUGUUGGCACAAUGUUGCUGUUCAGAAACCUACCUCUCCAUGGAAAAUAAGUUGCGAUUGAUAGUACUGGAUAUGUUCAAGAAAGCUAAAUAUAGAUAGCACAAAAUAUUAUCGAUAUAAAUAGCAUUAACAGCGUACGUAUGUCUCAAUGCUCAUCAGCUAUAAGCAUGGGACAAACACUUACUAUGAGCAACUUACGUCAAAAUUCCAGAAUAGGACAUAGAAGUGACAGAUCUAUAUAUAUAGAACACUGCAUAUGAGUCACAAGAAAGGAAAUUACGGGUGCAUAGCAGCUCUUAUUUUACAUACUACUACUCAUACUGAUCAAAGUCACUCAGUUGGGAUGGGUGGGAGUAGGAGGUUUGUGGGGUGGCUUGUGCGGAGGAGUUGGCAGCUUCUUUCCAGGACCUGGUUGCUUCUCUGCUGGAGUUGAAGGAGGCUUAAUCUUCCGAGGUGGCUUGUAUGAGUCUUCAGCAUUCUCAGCUGGAGGGUGACCAGGGUUGUGACCAUAAUGUGGUGGCUUCUCUCCCUUAGGUGGUUUGCCAACUGGGGUUGGUGGCUUGUAUGAGUCUUCAGCAUUCUCAGCAGGAGGGUGACCAGGGUUGUGACCAUAAUGUGGUGGCUUCUCUCCCUUAGGUGGUUUGCCAACUGGGGUUGGUGGCUUGUGUUCUGGGAGUGGCUUCUCCCCCUUGGGAGGUUUUUCCAAUGGGGUUGGUUUGUGUUCAGGAGGUGGCUUCUCCACUGGAGGCUUGUGUUCAGGAGGUGGCUUCUCCACCGGUGGCUUGUGUUCAGGAGGUGGCUUCUCCACCGGAGGCUUAUGCUCUGGUGGUGGCUUCUCCACCGGAGGCUUAUGCUCUGGUGGUGGCUUCUUGAAUGGGGGAUGCUGAGGGUAAUCAGCAAGUGAGGGGGCGGUGAGAACCACCAGGCCAAGCAACACCACUAGCAAAUAUGUAGGAGACAUCUUUGGGUUUGGGCUCAGAUGGUGCAAAACUAGGAGAAUUGGCUAGCCUUUUAUAGCGGAUCGUACUCAAUAAUGAAAUGACACGUGUCAUUAUGACCCAUGUGUAAUGGGGUCGAUUUGGGUCCUACAGUGUUGAAAACUUCGACAUCCAGUUUUGGCCUUUUGCUUUCUCUACAGCCGCCUUGCUUUUUCCCUCUUUCCUUUUGUUUUCCUCCUGCCCCAUUCUAUCAACUAAACACAAUUAUGUAGUUGUUUAAUUCUUAAAUGAGAUAUUAUCGGUCAAUCGUAUUAUAUUUUAUCAAGAGAGAACGGAGUGCAAUGCAGCUGUAAUUUUAUCGUUUACUUUUAUCUCUUGGACCACUGCAUUUUUGUUAAGAGGUGCAAUAAUACACGUCUUUAUCUGCCAUUCAAUGUUUACAGUAAAGAGAGGGCACAAAACUCUUCACUGCUCUGCAUGUGUCCCAAAAAUGCGAUUGGACAAAUUAUGAUUUGCAUGCUAAAAAGAGGCAAAUGAGGUUAAUUCGCACCAUAAUUAUUUGGUUUUCUGGACACCAUAAAAAGAUGUUAUACAGGCAGGGAAAAACCUUCAGAGUUAGCUACCAAAGAUAAUUAUCAAGCAGAUAUCACCAAGAGAAUUCCAUAGAGUCUGAAUCAAAGACAGAUUGCUCGCUCGUGGGGGUUCUUACUUUCUUUUGGGUAUAACUCACUGAGGUCACUGUCUUUUUUAUUUGCAUUUCACAGUUAGAGUUCUGCUCUGGAAGGUUUGUUCUGGAAACAUAUAAAAGGAGCAUCAUUUUGUUCUUGGGUAACCCAUAGUCGUGAGUGGGUCCAUUUGCAUGCUACUUAGUUGAAAAGUUGGACAAUUUGCUCCGACGCCUACCUCCUGGAUUCCAUGCUCGGUAAAACAAGAAUAAAAAAAAAUAUAUAAUUUACAAAUGGGGGAAAGAAAAAAUGUCGGAAAAAAUAGUAAAAUUCAUGUCACAUGCUAGUGAGAGAAGGGGUUGUUACACUCACUCGAAGUUCUUUUCAAAAUAUCGAAUGGUAUUUUACUUUAUGUGUCAGCGCAGUUGUGAAUGGAACGUGCAAAAGUCCAAAUUGGCGUUUUUAUUUUUCCCAUGUAGGAUGGUGACCUUUAAUAAAUAUUUAAAACAAAAGACGAAAAAAAAAAGGAGGGAAAAGGGAUCACAAAAGAUAAAAUAAUGUUUACAAAAGCUCAAUUAGUUUGCAAAUUACUGUUUGGAUUUUGAUAGUAUUUUAUUUGUCGUUCUAUAUUUGAUGUAAAAGAGAAUUUAAGAUAUUUCCGAAGCAAAAGCAUUAGUUUGCUCUGUGAUGUCCCACAUCGAAUAGGGGAGAAAGUUUCUGGCGCUAUAUAUGUAGAGGCUCCUCUUAACCAAGUAGAUGCGUUUUAAAACCAUGAGGGCCCCCUUAGGUCCAAAGCGGACAAUAUCUACAUGAUUGGGUGUAAGUCAUUACAAAUGGUAUCAGAGCCGAUCCCCGACCCCGGUGUGGGGGUUUGUUUGGCCCUGUAAGGGGUGUUUGUCUGUUUGACCCCACAAUCCCAUGGGACACAACGAGGACGUUGUGUCUGCAUGGGGGGGCGUUUGUGAUGUCCCACAUCGGAUAGGGGAGAAAGUUCCUAGUGCUAUAUAUGUAGAUGUUUCUCUUAACCAAGUAGAUGCAUUUUAAAAUUGUGAGGGCCUCUUUGGGCCCAAAGCGGACAAUAUCUACAUGGUUGAGUGUAAGUCAUUACAUGCUCCAUGUCAAUUUCAGCAUUUCUCAUAUGUUUCACACAUACACAGAAGAGCAUCGUUUUUUAAAGCAUGCAUUUAUGUUGGAUUAAUUUGGAUUUUGUGGGAACUGGGGCAAGGAUCACAUGGAAGAGAGGUUGACUUUUUUCAGUACUUCAAUGGUUGAAAUAUGUGAAGGCUUGAUUGAUACUAAAGCUUGAAAUUGCGACUCUGUCAUUUGUAAAAAAAUAUGACAGCUUCCAUGCUCUCGUUUGGUUGCAUUGUCCGGUCGAGAGGUGCAAAAAGCAUUCUCUCUCUUCUAAUAGUCUUUUCGUUUAAAUCAAGGGAUUUGCCUUCCCGGUCGAGGUCCAAUAGAGGGUAACGGUCACCUACUAAACAUUAAAUGCUCCAACAACUAGUGAACUGAUCGACCCCAGCUCGACUAGUUGAGGUUACUUUUUGGUUUUCUUGUCUCCCGAGGUUAGAAACCUAUAAAUAGAGAGCUUCACUUCAUUUAUGAGUAAGAGAACACCUAAAUUUAUUUGUUUACCUACUUGUUUUUGCCAUAAAAGCUCUCAUUUCUUUUCUUGGUGUAUUAAAUCUCCAUUUGCAUAUCCUUUAGUGCACCUUUGUGAUUCAUUCUAGCCUUGAGUUGUAUUUAAGCCUUUGUUGAGCUAGGUUGAGAGUUUCAUACUUGUUUAUUGAGUGUUAAAGCCUUCAAGUGAGUUAAAACUUGAAGAGAUUGUGUAAGAGCCCAUUGGAGUCGGAAUCCAAGUGUAAAGGUGAUUAAAAGCUUGGUUGAAGCUUCAAGUUAGUGGAACUCUCACUCGGUUAUGAGCUUGAGAAGAGUGGACAUAGACAAGGCAGUGUCGAACCACUAUAAAAUCUGAGUUUGAUUUCUCUAACCUUAUCUCUUUAUAUUUGCUUCUCUUGUGCUUAAAUUUUUUGUGUUUAAAAAGAAUUUUUAAAAACUCAAUUCACCCCCUUCUUGGGAGUUUUUCUCUUUUAAGAUCAGCUUUUAUUUUCUCAAUUGGUAUCAGAACUAUGCCUCUUGUUUAAGACUUAAUCGUCUAAGAGGAAAUGGCUAAUCCAUCAAGUUCAUCUCACAUUGAAAGUUUUGCAACCAAUAGACUUCUUUUUUUUUUUUUGCGGGAACUGAUUAUCCCUAUUGGAAAACUAAAAUGACUUGGUUUUUACAAUCAAUUGAUUUAGAUGUAUGAGAUGCCAUUGAAGAUGACCUAACUUUUCCUUCAAAACUAGUUGAUGGAGUCAUGGUUCCAAAACCUAAGCAAGAAUGGGAUGAGCGUGAUUGAAGAAAUUUUCAAUUAAAUGCUAAAGUCGUUUAUACUUUGCAAUGCUCUAUGGACAGAAAUGAAUAUAAUAGAAUAUGUCAAUGCAAAUCGGUUAAAGAAAUUUGGAGAUUGCUUGAAAUAACUCAUAAAGGAACAAAUCAAGUUAAAGAGUCAAAAAUCAAUUUACUUGUUCAUAGAUAUGAAUUGUUUUUUAUGAAAGAUAAUGAAACUAUUGUUAAGAUGAUCACUAGGUUCACCAACAUUGUUAAUGGUCUUAAAGCCUUGGGAAAGACCUACAAGGAAUCCGAAAACGUGAUGAAGAUCUUGAGGUCACUUCCAUCAAAGUGGCAUACCAAGGUCACCGCAAUUUAAGAAGCAAAAGACUUGAUCAAGCUACCUUUGGAGGAGUUCAUAGGGUCAUUGAUGACAUAUGAAAUCAAUUUGGCAAAGAAGUAACAAAAAGGUGAAGACAAAAAGAAGAAGAACAUAACUCUCAAAGCUACAACUAAGGAAGAAGAAGUUGAAGAAGAAAAACAAAUUGAAGAAGAUGAAGAUUUAGCCCUCAUCACAAGAAAGUUCAACAAAUUCAUGAGGGGUGAAAGGUUUAGAAGAAGAAGGUUCACUUCUAGAAGAGACUUUUCUAAAAAGGAAUCUUCAUCUAAUGGUGACAAAAAGAGAUGGGAAGAGAAAAGAGACUUGGUGUGUUUCAAGUGCAAGAAACCGGGACACAUUAAAUAUGAUUGUCCUCUCUACAAAAGUGAAGUCAAGAGGAAAAAGAAUAAGGCAAUGAUGGCCACUUAGAGUGAAAGUGAAGAUGAAUCAUCCGAAGAAGAAAAUGAGAAAGAAGUGGCAAACAUGUGUUUCAUGGCAAUAGAUGAACUUGAUGAGGUAAAAUCUAACCUUAGUGAUUAAGAUAUACAUGAUGCAUUUGAAGAAUUGUAUGAGGAUUUUUAAAAACUUAGUUUGAAAAAUAUUUCUCUUAAAAAGAAAGUUCAACAACUUGACAAAGAACUUAGAGAAGUAAAAGAAAAAUUUUCAAAUGUUAAAGUUUCUAAAACUCAUCUUGAAAAAGAAAAUGAGAUUCUAAGAAAGAAAAAUGAAUAGUUGAACUCCUCUCUUUCAAUCUUUUCUUCUAGACAAAAAUCUUUUGAAAUGAUUCUAACUAGCUAAAAAUGUGUUUUUGACAAACAAGGGUUAAGAUUUAAAUCUUCAAAAAAUCAAAAGUAUUUUAAAAACUAUUUUGUAAAGGAAUCCACAAGUGCAAGUCCUUCCACUACUUGCAACUUUUGUGGAAGAGAAUGGCACAUUAGUAGUACGCCCUUUAAGAAAUGGUUCUCAAAAGAAUUUAAAUGCAAAAACUAAAAAAGAUUUGGAUUGAGAAAUCCAAGGUCACUAACCCUCAAGGACCCAAAAAGAUAUAGGUACCUAAAUCAACUUGAGUUUUAUGUUGUAAGGUUCAAAGAAUGAUAAGUGGUUCUUAGAUAAUGGUUGCUCAAGACACAUGACCGGAGAUGAAUCCAAGUUUGCUUUUCUUAAAAAGAAAAAUGGAGGAUAUGUUACCUUUGGAGACAAUGCAAAAGAAAGGAUGAUUGGUCAAGGCAACAUUGGUAAUGGCACAUCCUCUCUCAUUGAAAGUGUUUUAUUAGUAGAUGGUUUCAAACAUAACCUUUUAAGCAUUAGUCAAUUUUGCGACAAAGGUUUUUAAGUGAUUUUUUAAGCAUCUCAUUGCAUCAUCAAGGAUAUUCAAAAUGAUAAAACCAUUUUCAUGGGCCAUAGAUGUGAUAAUGUUUAUGCUAUAAAUAUUUCAAAAUAUGAUGGCCAUGAUAGAUGUUUUUCAAGCAUGCAUGAUCAAAGUUGGUUGUGCCAUAGGAGAUUGAGACAUGCUAACAUAGACCUCAUUUCCCAACUCAACAAAGAUGAACUUGUUAGAGGCCUUCCCAAAAUAAUUUUUUAAAAAGAUAAAGUUUGUGAAGCUUGUCAAGUGGGAAAGUAAAUCAAAAACUCUUUUAAAAACAAAAACUUCAUUUCCACAUCUAGGCCACUUGAGUUGUUGCAUAUGGAUUUAUUUGGUCCCUCUAGGACACCAAGUCUUAGAGGAAAUUCUUAUGCAUAUGCUAUUGUGGACGACUUCUCUAGAUACACAUGAGUCUUGUUUUUUAGUCAAAAGAAUAAAGUUUUUUAUGAGUUUUCAAAGUUUUGCAAUAAGAUUCAAAAUGAAAAAGGUUUUUCAAUUACUUAUAUAAGAAGUGAUCAUGGGAGAGAAUUCGAAAAUAUUGAUUUUGAAGAGUAUUGCAAUGAGCAUGGAAUUGACCACAAUUUUUUGGCUCUUAGAACUCCUCAACAAAAUGGGGUAGUUGAAAGGAAAAAUAGAACUCUUCAAAAAAUGACAAGAACCAUACUAAAUGAAAACAACUUACCAAAAUAUUUUUAGGCCAAAACGGUUAACACUUCUUGUUAUGUUUUAAAUAGAGUAUUAUUGAGGCUCAUACUUAAGAAAACUCCCUAUGAGCUUUGGAAAAACAAAAAACCCAACAUUAGUUAUUCCAAAGUCUUUGGAUGCAAUAUUUUAUAAUAAACACCAAAGACAAUCUUGGAAAAUUUGAUGCAAAAUUGGAUGUUGGAAUUUUCCUUGGUUACUCAACUUCAAGUAAAGCUUUUCGAGUUUUAACAAAAGAACCAUGGUUGUAGAGGAGUCCAUCCAUGUUAUUUUUUAUGAAUCUCCAAGAAAGAGAGAGGAUUGAUGAUGAUUUAGGUUUGAAGACCUCUAUAGGAAGAUUGCAAAUCGAAGAUAGAAGACAACAAGAAGAAAAUGGAGAGAAUCCAAAGAAAGAAGGAUCACCAUUGGCACUACCCCCUCAUCAACAAGCGCAAGGUGAAUCAAGUCAAGAGCUUCCUAAAGAAUGGAAGUUUGUCAUCAAUCACCCACAAGAUCAAAUUAUAGGCAAUCCAUCUAGUGGGGUAAGAACUAGAUCCUCUCUUAGAAAUAUUUGCAAUAAUCUAGCUUUUAUCUCUCAAAUUGAGCCUAAAAAUAUAAAUGAUGUUUUAGAUGAUGAAAAUUGGAUAAUUGCAAUGCAAGAAGAGUUAAAUCCAUUUGAAAGAAGUGGAGUAUGGGAAUUAGUACCAAGACCUUCAAAUCAAAGUGUUAUUGGAACUAGAUGGAUCUUUAGAAAUAAAAUGGAUGAAAAUAGCAUAAUUGUUAGAAAUAAAGCAAGAUUGGUAGCCCAAGGUUUUAAUCAAGAAGAAAUGAUAGAUUAUGAAGAAACCUUUGCCCCCGUAGCUAGGUUGGAAGCCAUUAGGAUGCUACUUGCCUUUGCAUGUUUUAAAGACUUUGUUUUAUAUCAAAUGGAUGUGAAAAGUGCUUUUUUAAAUGGUUUUAUAAAUGAAGAAGUAUAUGUUGAACAACCACCCGGUUUUCAAAGUUUCAACUUUCCUAACCAUGUUUUUAAACUUAAAAAGACACUUUAUGGUUUGAAACAAGCACCUAGAUCAUGGUAUGAAAAAUUGAGUAAAUUUCUUUUGAAAAAAAUGUUUUAAAAUGGGAAAAAUUGACACAACUCUUUUUAUAAAAACCAAAGAAAAUGAUAUGCUCUUAGUUCAAAUAUAUAUUGAUGAUAUCAUUUUUGGUGCUACUAAUGUCUCUCUUUAUGAAGAAUUUUCUAAGUGCAUGCAUAGUGAGUUUGAAAUGAGCAUGAUAGGAGAACUCAACUUCUUCCUUGGACUUCAAAUCAAGCAACUAAAGGAAUGAACCUUCAUCAAUCAAGCAAAGUAUAUAAGAGAUCUUCUCAAAAGGUUCAACAUGGAAGAAGCCAAAACAAUGAAGACUCUAAUGAGCUCAUCCAUUAAGCUUGAUAAGGAUGAGAAAGGUAAAUCCAUUGACUCUAUUAUGUAUAGAGGCAUGAUAGGUUCUUUGCUCUAUUUGACCACUAGUAGACCUUACAUUAUGUAUAGUGUGUGUUUGUGUACUAGAUUUCAAUCUUGUCUUAAAAAAUCUCACUUAAGUGUCGUGAAAAGAAUCCUCAAAUAUUUGAAAGGGACAAUGGACAUAGGCUUAUGGUAUCCUAAGAGUGAUAACUUUGAAUUAAUUGGUUUUUUGGAUGCUGAUUUUGUCAGUUGUAGGGUUGAAAAAUAAAACACUAGUGGCACUUUUCAUUUCUUAAGACACUUACUUGUCUCAUGGCAUAAUAAGAAGCAAAAUUUGGUAGCUUUGUCAACAGCAGAAGCUAAAUACAUAGCAACUGGUUUAUGUUGUGCACAAAUCCUUUGGAUGAAAUAAACACUUAGUGAUUUUGAUUUAUCUUUUGAGCAUAUUCCUAUUAAAUGUGAUAAUAGUAGUGCCAUAAGUAUAUCAAAAAAUCUCGUGCAACACUCUAGGACUAAGCAUAUAGAGAUUAGACAUAAUUUUCUUAGAUAUCAUACACAAAAGGAUGAUAUAACACUUGAAUUUGUAAGCAUAAAAGACCAACUUGCCGAUAUCUUUACAAAACCUCUAAGAACAUUUUGUUGAUAUUAGAGGACAAUUAGGAGUGAUUUCUUUAUGAUCUAAUGUGAUGAAUUCUUGAUGAAUAUACUUUUUGAUUGCAUGAAUUUCAUGUCAUAUAUGCAUCAUAUAGAAAUAUACUUAGAUAAUGGUCAAAUUUCGACCAAAAAUCAAAAUUCCCAUGGCAUUAGGCAUAAAAAUUUUGGAAUUUCAACUGAAAAUGGUAGGAGGAGGAUCACAAAAUGAGAAAGUAUGCAAAAAUUGAAAAAUCAAAACGUUGACCAAGCGGUCAAUCGGACUAGACCGAUCGACUAGUUUGUCGAGAUUUAGGAUUUUUAAGAGACUCCAACGCUUCAAUUUUUGCACCGUUCUCCUCUAUUUCUUCACGGUUUCUCUGAUUUUGUCUUUUAGAGACUAAUUUGAGUGCGUUUUGGAUCAAUUGAAGCAUUUUGGAUUGGAUUUUAGGAAGAUUGAAAGUUAAGGUUUCGGAUUUGGGUCGCCUUCUCUUCCUCUCGCGUGUCACAAUCAGCUUUAGCAUUGUUCUCUUUCCAUUUUCACACACCUAGGGUUUCAGUUGUGAGCAUCUCUCUCUCUUUACCAACCACUACUCCCUUGCUUCUUCCAUAUGGCUCCUAGGCGAGAGUCCGCUACUUCUAGGGCACAAGGCAAGCACCCAACUGAGUCGUCUCAGUCAAAGGCACGUCGAAAAGUGAGAUUUGACAUUGCCUUGUUCAGUUCCAUGGAGGACUACCAACUAUACAAGCAACACUUUGCUUAGAGACGAGUAGUUCCCAAGAGAAAUAUUAAUUUUCCUCAACUUCAGCAUUUCGAAUUUAAGGGUCUAUUUACUAGGAUGGUUGGUUGUCUAUUGUCACAAUUUCGGAGCCGGUUUUCCUGACCUUAGUGCGAGUUUUUUACUCGAGGGCGACUUAUGGCAUGGGUGGCAUGAUCAUUUCUACUGUUGGAGGAGUUGAGAUCUGUCUGGACCCAGAGAGCAUCUGCCAUAUUUUCGAUAUUGCUCUGGUUGGACUCAAAGUAUACAAGUCCAAAAUGUGGCCCAUUGUGCCAGGAUUUGAGCUUAGAGAGGUCAUUCAGAGGAUUUGUGAACUUCCAGACGCCCAGGAGAUGGGCAAACCAUUGCCACACAGUUUGACGGUCAUCAACAGGGUGCUACACCAUAUAUUGUGCUCUAUCUUUCUACCACGAAGUGGACAUUGAGAUGAGGUCUCUUAUUAUGAGGCAUUCCUUAUUGACUCCAUUCUAACGGAGAGACGAAUUCAUCUACUAUGUCAUCAUUCACUAAGCCUCCUCACAGUGACAUACCACCUCAUCAGGCACCUCUUGCUCCUGACCAUGCUCCAUUGAUGGAUUUAUUUACUCAUAUUAGCUCUCUAGGCACUCGCAUGAAGGAGUUUGUUGUAGUUAGUGAUACAUGGUUCUACUCCAUAGAGGAUCGCAUGGAUCAGUAUCAGACUGGCUUCACGUCACAGUUUGAGUAUCUCCAAUAGAGGAUUGAGCAUAUUGAGGAUCACUUGAGCAUGAGAAGAUGAUGGCUUUUCUAUGCUCUGUGUUUCCACCUCCACCUCGUCAACCUUGAUUUCUUAGAGACCCAUUGUUUUCAUUUUGUAAUGUUGCCAAAAGGGGGAGAUAUUUAGGAUCUAGGACUCUAUAGGAGACUUACAUGCAUAUCAUUUUCAUAUCAUUGUUUGGAUCGUACAUAUUGGAUAGUGAUACUUUUUACUUAUAUAUGAUAUGCCUAUAUGUUUCAUGUCUUACAUUGUUUCUUAUUGCAAAUUAUCUCUAACAUGUCUUGAUUAUCUUUUUUUUAACUUCAUAAAUUUUGAUUGUUAACCCAUGAUUGGUUUGAGGGGAAGAUUCUUCUUCUCCUAGAUAACCAAGGUUUGUCAUCAUAAAAAAAUUGGAGAUUGUUAGCCCAAGGGUUCUCCUAAUCAUGUUUUGAUGAUAACAAACCAUGCUUAAGUUACUAAUUGGUUUGAAUUAUAAAGAAUUUCAAGUGUUAAUUUGAAAAUUCAUCAAAGAACCUAAUGGAUGCAAGAUCAAGAUUUUUGGAAGACCUUUAAUCAUAAGAAACAUAUGUAAGAUGAAUGCAUGGGUGCACUUAAGAUUUGCAUAUCAUUUCAUGCAUAUUUGGAAAACACGGUUUAUGCUUUAAAGUUACAUUUCCAUCAAAAUUUGAGAUCCAUCAAAUGAACCUUAGGAAAAAUGUUUUAAAAUUGGCAUAUAAUUUUACCUAAAGACCUUGCCUAAGUGUUAGAAGCAAAAGGACAAAAAAAAUAUAGGUUUUCUGGUCAAAAAUGGUGAACCAGUCAAGGCAUUGUCUAAAUCAGCUCAAUCGGCCAAGGUACCGGUCGAUCGGUUUCCCUUUCCCUGUCGAGAUCUAGUCAAGAGGUACAAAAAUCACAAUCUCUGUCUCUUUCUCUCUUUGUCUAUCUUCCAGUAGUCUUUCCUUCCCGGUCGAGGGAUUUGCCUUCCCGAUUGAGGUCCGAUUGAGAGUAAUAGUCACUUGCCAAAUAUUAAAUGCUCCAACAGUUAGUGAACUGGUCGACCCCCACCUUGCCCAGUUGAGGUUACUUUUUGGUUUUCUUGGCUCCCGAUGUUAGAAACCUAUAAAUAGAGAGUUCCACUUCAUUUAUGAGCAAGAGAACACUUGCAUUUAUUUGUUUACCUACUUGUUCUUGCCUUAAAAGCUCUCAUUUCUUUUCUUGGUGCAUUAAAUCUCCAUUUUGAUAUCCUUUAGUGCACCUUUGUGAUUCAUCUUAGCCUUGAGUUGUAUUUGAGCCCUUUUUUUAGCUAGGUUGAGAGUUUCAUACUUGUUAAUUGAGUGUUAAAGCCUUCAAGUGAGUUGAAACUUGUAGAGAUUAUGUGAGAGUCGAUUGGAGCCGAAAUCCAAGUGUAAAGGUGAUUAGAAGCUUGGUUGAAGCUUCAAGUUAGUGGAAUCCUCACUCAAUUAGGAGCUUGAGGAGAGUGGACGUAGCCAAGGAAGUGUCGAACCACUAUAAAAUUUGAGUUUGAUUUCUCUAACAUUGUCUCUUUAUAUUUGUUUAUCUUGUGCUUAAAUUUAUUGUGUUUAAAAAGAAUUUUUAAAUACCCAAUUCACCCCCCUCUUGGGUGUUUUUCUCUUUUAAAAUUAGCCUUUAUUUUCUCACAAACUAUUGUAGUAUAGUGGUUUUUAGGUGUCAUCCAUUAGGAUGAAUUGUUCUCGGUAAUUAAGGCGUGAAUGAGAGGAGAAUUAAUGAUUGUGAUUAAGUAAAAUUGAUUUGAAAAUUCAUGGUGAAAAAUCAAUUUAACAAUGGUUUCUAAUUGAGAAAAACAAUGAAAUGUGAAAUAAAAUAAAAUUAAUAGGAAAUGAAAUUCUCGAAGUUAGAAUUUUCUAAAAAACAAAUUCCAUGGUGAAUGGAUGUUGAGAUCUAAUUUUCAUCAAGUUAGAUUGAAAACCGAAAUUUUCAUAUAAACUGAUUUUUUAUUUAGUUUUAGGUCUAGAUUUAAUUUCCCUUAAAAUUAGGUUAUUUAAUCCAAGAAAUCAAUUCAAAUCAUAUAUUCAAUUCAUCUUAAAUUAUCUUCCAAUUAUUCACACAAUGCAACUAUUCAAUCUCAUCAAAUCUAGCUUUUAAGAAUUUAAUGAAUCUACCUAGUUUGCAUUGUAAUAGUCAUCCAUGACAAUUUGAAGAGAAAAAUAAUUCAAUUAAUCAAUCACUUGGAUCAAAUUACCUUUGCAAUUAAAGUUCAUUUCUCUAAUUCACCACAGAUUUUGUCUCUAGAUCCUCCUUUCUCAAAGAAAAAUGAGAUUUAGCCACACAUGAUUGGAGAUUUGGUCUCAUAAGGCAUGUUUAGCUAGUGAUAAAAUGAGAGAAAAUAAAGAAAAAUAGAGAAUUCGAUUAAGAAAGAAAAUCUAAAAAAUUCUACAAUUAGAAAUGUCCAAAAAGCUUUUUCAUGAGAAAAUCAAGUUUCUAUUUAUAGGCCAAGGUCAAGUGGACACUUGACAUCAUCUAAGAGGUCUUCCGGAAGCUUCUUCAUCAAGAAAUCUGGAGUUUAAUAAUAAAAUGGUCAUUUCACAAGAGCUCAAACAAUUUCGCAUGAUUAUGUGAAAUAAAAAAUGCAACAACAGCAAUUUACAUCUUCUUGGAGCAUUUCGCAUGACUGUGUGAAAUUUUCACAUGAUCAUGUGGAAUCGACUUGACAACUCUCAUUUAGCCUACAACAUAAUUCCACCUUUUGGUCCAUUUUUCAUAGUCAUGCGAAAUGGAAAUAUUUGAUUUUUAAGUUUUCUUUUGUCAUUUCUUUCAUUUCCUUCUCUUGAUUCCACUUCAACUACCUCCGAAUCCUGGUCCAAACCAAUUGCAUUACUUCUUUCAUUAUGCAUUUGGAUCAUCAUCAACAUUAUUUGUUCUCUUCAAUUUGAUUCAUCUCUUUUGUCACCAAUUUAUCAAAAUCAUACCUUGAAAUGACUCCAAAACUUCAUAAAACUUGUUAGUAACUCUUGCAAGGGCAACAACAUAUUAAUUAAGUGUUUUAGGCAUAGUUACUACUCAAAAGAUGCGAAACUCAUGAUAAUUAUUAUAUAAAAUAUGCUCUUUUUGAGUAGUAAUCAACUUUCUUGCAUAAGCAGACCUUUUAGGGUGGAGUACUAAAGACCAAUAUGCUUGUCCUUGUUGUAAUAAAGAAACUUGCUCUUAUUGAUUGCACCAUGGGAGAAAAUUUUGCUACAUGAGUUAUCAUCAAUUUCUUCCCACCAAUCAUAGAUUUAGACGUGACAAGAGGCCUCUUAAUGGCAAGGAGGAACUGACACUCACACUUAUACAAUUAUCGGGCAUUGAUGUGUUGCAACAAUUAGAAUAACUUACACCAAUUAUGUUGGGGAAGUCACAAAAGGCAAACAUGAAAACUAAAAGGAAAAAAGAAAAAUGUUACAUAUCACCACAACUGGAAAGAAAAAAGUAUUUACUUUCAUUUGCCAUAUUGGAAAGCACUUAUUUUACAUCAUAAUAAUUUAGACAUAAUGCAUAUUGAGAAAAAUGUGUGACAAUAUAAUUGAGACAUUGUUCAGUAUUGACGAAGAAACAAGGACAACCUAAAUAGUCAUCUCGAUUUACAAGCUCUAACUAUUAGAAAUGAGAUUCACCCAAUAGAAAGCAGGACCAAAUUUAUUUUGCUUGCAACAUGCUACUCACUCACCCCAAAUGAGAUUAAGGAAUUUUGCAAGUUUUUGAAAUCAAUAAAGGUCCCCAAUGGCUAUUCUUUCAAUAUCUCUCGUUAUGUGCAACUCAAUGAAAGGAAGAUAUAUGAGCUCAAAUUGUAUGAUUGUCAUGUCCUAAUGCAACAACUUCUCUCACUUGUAGUUCGUGGAGUUCUACAUAAGAAUGUUUGUGGAGUUAUCAUAGAAUUGCGUAAUUUUUUCAAGCAAUUGUGCUCAAAGGUGUUAGAAACAAAUCACUUACACCAACUUGAGAACAAUAUUAUUGUCAUACUAUGUAAAAUGGAGCAAAUAUUUCUUCCAUCAUUCUUUGAUAUUAUGGUGCAUUUACUUGUGCAUCUAGUAAGGCAAAGGUUGCAAGACUUGUGCAAUAUUGUUGGAUGUACCUAAUUGAACGAUAUUGUUAUAAUUUCAUAUGAAUCAUUUAAUUUUAUUUUAUAUUAUGUUCAGUUCAUUAACAUGUACAUUGGUCUACAUAUGGAUGAUGAUAGGUACCUAAGCACUUUAAAGUCAUAUGUGCGUAAUAGAACUUUUCUAGAAGGUUCUAUUGUAGAAAGGUACCUUGCAAAAGAAUGUACAACAUUUUAUUCUAGGUACUUGAAUGAUGUGGAAAUAAAGUAUAAUCACAAUGAUAGAAACUUUGUUGGUUUCAACACUAGAGGAGAUGAAAGGGGUUAUCUUUAAACAUAUUGGACAUGCAUUGGGAAAGCCCAUAUUUCAUUAACUUAGUUCAAAAGAGUGGUCACAAGCACAUUUAUAUGUGUUGACAAAUUGCGAAGAUGUCAUACCAUUCAUUGAGUAAAAAAUUUAUUUGAAUUUUAAUUAAAGCUCUAGUUUAUAUCCUUAAUCAAUGUUUUUUAAAUUCACAAGGAGCACAAGCAAACCAUCAAGGCUAGACCACAUAUACGUGUUUGAGACGUAGAUUUAAUUCAUAACAAGGAAUUUAUCAAGUGGUUUGAAAGACAUGUAAGUAUAUUCCUUAUUAUAAGGGAUUUAUUUCACAUUAUGUUUAUAUUGAAUCCAAACCUAUUAUUGAAUUGUAGGUUGAACAAUUACAUAAUGAAGGUCAUAUAUCUGAACACCUUCUCACAUUAUCAUGUGUUCCAAAUUCAUUAGUUACAUGCUUCAAAUGAUAUAUUGUCAAUGGAUUUAGAUCCCACAUUAAAGAACGUGAUAAAAAAGUUUUUAAAAAAAGACUCAGAAUAAUGGAAUUGUUGUAGUUGCAAAAACGUCAAGCUUUACAAGUGCAUGUGAUAUGAGUCCAAUUAUUAGUGAUGCUCUCUACUAUGGUGUUCUAACUAAAGUUGUUGAGUUACAUUAUCUUGGUGAAAAUAAGGUUGUUUUAUUCGAGUUUGAUUGGUGGGAUGUUACAAAUAUUGGAAAAUUGAUAAAAGAUGAUGAGUACAAUUACACAUUUGUUAACUUUGCAUGAAUUCUAACCACGAACGAACGAUUUGUACUUGCAUCUCCAGCAAAGUAAGUGUUCUAUGUGAAGAAUGCGAAUGAAUCAGAUUGGCAUACUAUCAUGGAGAUGCAACCUCAAGACCUCUAUAAGAUGAACGGGAUAGGAUCCAAUGGUGAUUUUGAACCAUUUCAACAAAGUGAACUACAUGAUCACUAAUAUAUCUCAGAUUUAGUUGAUGAAGAUAUAAUCAAGUGGAACAAAAGUGAUGUUUUAGGACUAAUCAUCCUAAAAAAUAUUGUAGUUUCUUAAAAAAAAAAUGAAAAUGAAGAAGAUAAUUGAACCUUUGUCAUACUUUAAAAAGCAACUAUGCAUUGUUCAUUUUGUAUGUUUUGGUUUUCUUCAUUUAAUUUCCUGAUUUUUGUGAUUCAAUGUCAUAUUAUUGAUCUUGAAAUAUUUUUCUAAUUUUUCAUUCUACGAUGGUUUCAACAAGGAUGACAUCAAGUCAAAAAAGGAAAUGUGGUCCCACACACAAUAUUGCAUUACAGGGAUUAAGGUCAGGGAAGAAGGUAAAAGUUGCAUUUAAUGAGUACAAUCAAUUGGUUAAACAGAAAAAUGGAAAACACUUAUCGAGCUACAUAGGGACACUUGUAUCUAACCAACACAAUGUACCUCUCCAAGCUAGUGAUUGGAAAAAUGUUCCAAAUGAUGCAAAAGAGAAAGUAUGGCCUUUGUUUUGGUAUGUUGUAUUUCUCACUAUAUGAUGUCAUUUCACUGUUAUUCUAUUUUGUGACUAACGUUUGAAUCAUAUGUAAGAAAAAUUUGAAGUAGAUAAAGACUGAAAAGAUUACAUGUUGGGUAUAGCCUCAAAUAAAUAUAGAAGCUAUAAAAAUAUGAUGAAUGCAAAAUACUAUGACCCUUGGCAUAAGGAUGCAUGAGGAGAGGUUAAUACAUAAAUCACCAUUUGUCUCUGAUGUUGAUUGGAAGUGGCUUGUCUCUGAUGCAUAAACCAAAUCCCCCACUGAAUGUUUGAUAUUUGAUAGCAGGAAAAACACACCCGCAGCUAUACACCUCCAUCAUUCAGAUAAUUAUAGUGGGGGAGAUGAUUCAUGGUUGCCCUUAUACCCUUUAUUUGCACCAUCUAUUGAGAUUCUUUAUCAUGGCCAGGUUUUACUGCAGCAAUAAGAUAUGGUGGCAACAAUUUUAUCUAUAGGUGCGGUUCCAGACCGCCUCCAUAGGUGCGGUUCCUGACUGCCUCCAUAGGUGCCUCUUCUUGUAAUGUUUGUUCUGGGAAUUACACUUGAAAGCCUUAUCGUGAUAAGGGAUUACAAACACUAGUUCAGAGGACAGCCAUGUUAAACUUCCACUAUGUUUGUGUCACAUUAUCAGCAGCCUAGUGUUUAUUGGUCAUGCUAUCUGCAACUAAUAUAACCCGGUGAACUUCAAUCUAAAUUCUGAAAGUACUCAUGUGACAGAUGGUGCCUUUCAGCAGAUAUCAUCAAUUUAAAAGUAGUGUGUGUGCCUAUAGGUGGGAAGGCCUUGGCAAAUGUUCAGUAUUCCGGUAAUUCAAGAAGGAUAUAUCUAAAAUAGAUUUUCUUCUUGCCCAUUUCAAUAGUUAAAAUUUGAGAAGAUUGUGUCCACAUCACACAAAUAUUAUUGGUCCUUCUGUUGCAAUUUACCUCUGAACAUGUCUUCCAAUUCCCACGGUCCUGUUACUCCAGGAAAACUAUUUCGGUCAUAUUGAAAAAAAAAAUAUUAAAGAAGGUACACAUGCUUUUAAGUGGACUGGGGCAUUCAUAUCAGGUGGUCUGUAUCCACAUAUGCCACUUCGUGAAAGGUGGAACAGCCUAAUCACUAGGCUAUUUAGUGUGGCCCAGCCACGUUAAUCAAGCACAAGUCUUCAUACUUAAAGUCAAAUGGUGUCUUUAGUCUCAUUACACAUCGCUAUUUGAAGAUUAACUCAUCACUAGUGUAAUGCGAUUAAGACAGUCCUAACUCAAUAUUUGUUCUAGUUUUGGAUGCAAAUGCUUGCUGGUUUCAUCAUUGGAUGGGAUAAAGGUGCAAUCAGGACUAUGAAUACGUGCAGUAAUACUUCAUUCUCUUUUUUCUCAAUGAGACUUCUUGGCACAAUUUUGCUGCUCAGCAACCUACCUUUCCAUGGAAAAUCAGUUGUGACUGAUAGUAAUGGAUAUAUUCUAGAAAGCUAAACAUAGAUAGCAUUCAAUAUUAUCGAUAUAACAUUAACAGCGUAUGUCUCAAUGCUCAUCAGCUACAAGCAAUGGACAAACACUUUGAGUAACUCACAGCAGUCAAAAUUCCUAAACAGGACAGACGUGACAGAUCUAUAUAUAGAACACUGCAUAUGAGUCACAGGAAAAGAUAAUACGGGUACAUAGAAGCUCUUAUUUUACAUAUUACUCAUACUGAUCAAAGUCGCUCAGUUGGGAUGGAUGGGAGAAGGAGGUUUGAGGGGUGGCUUGUGCGGGGAAGUUGGCAGCUUCUUUCCGGGAGCUGGUUGCUUCUUUGCUGGAGUUGAAGGAGGCUUAAUCUUCCGAGGUGGCUUGUAUGAGUCUUCAGCAUUCUCAGCAGGAGGGUGACCAGGGUUGUGACCAUAAUGUGGUGGCUUCUCUCCCUUAGGUGGUUUGCCAACUGGGGUUGGUGGCUUGUUUUCUGGGAGUGGCUUCUCUCCCUUGGGUGGUUUGCCAACUGGGGUUGGUGGCUUGUGUUCUGGGAGUGGCUUCUCCCCCUUGGGAGGUUUUUCGAAUGGGGUGGGUUUGUGUCCUGGUGGUGGCUUCUCUCCCUUGGGAGGUUUACCAAUUGGGGUCGGUGGCUUGUGUUCUGGGAGGGGCUUCUCUCCCUGGGGAGGUUUAGUGGGUGGCUUGUGUUCUGGAGGUGGCUUCUCCACCGGAGGCUUAUGCUCUGGUGGUGGCUUCUCGAAGGGGGGAUGCUCAGGGUAAUCACCAAGUGAGGGGGUGGUGAGAACCACCAUGCCAAGCAACAACACUAGCAAGUAUGUAGUAGACAUCUUUGGGUUUGGACUCAGACAGUGCAAAACUACGAGAAAUCGCUAGCCCUUUAUAGCGGCUCGGACCUAAUACUGACAUAAUAUAAAAUAAAUAUUAUAUUUUAUCAAGAGAGAACAGAGUGUAAUUUUAUCAUUAAUACCGAUCGAGGCCAAAGAAAGAAGACCCAUAAUCCAUUUCCCACAAGCAUACACAAUGCAGCUGUAAUUUUAUCAUUUACUUUUAUCCCUUGGACCACUGCAUUUUUGUUGAGAGACACAAUAACACAUUUUUAUCUGUCAUUCAACAUUUACAGUAAAGAGAGGGCACAAAACGCAAUUAGAUAAAUUAUGUUUUGCCUGCUAAAAAGAGGCAAAUAACUUUAUUUGCAACAUAAUUAUUUUGGUUUCUAGUGACCCCGGGGCCUUUCGGUUGGUUUGGGAUCGGAAAAUGAACAUCAUAGGGGGGGUUGUGCCCUUAUGGGCAUAUAUAUCUGAUAGCUUCAACUGGCCUUGUUCCUAGAAAGAAAUUGCCAAAGAUAUAAACUUAUUCCAGGCUGAAAGUAGAUGAGAGUCAUAAUGAACAUCAACCUUUGUUCAGUUUGAUUCAAUGCCCCCAUAGUGUUCAUUUCACAGAUCUGAAUGAUUAUAUCCGUUGAAUACAUAAAUUAAUGAAGACAAAUAUGAAACCCAAGAUACAUCUCUGCAUAACAACCCCAACCCUGGUUGCUAUGUUUCCCUUCUUCUAUUCACAUGAGGAUACUGGUUAUAAUUGUCAAACUUGCAACAAGCCCUUUGACACCUAACGUCAAUGGACGAAUUAAAAGUCUCCUUCAAACGUCUAUUUCACAGCAUGAAGCUUAUAAAGGAUGCUGACAACCUUCAGAGUUAGCGACAAAAGAUAAUUAUCAAGGAGAGAUAGUUCCAUGAGAAUUCCAAGGAGUCUGAAUCAAAGACAAAUUGCUCACUCAAGGGUUCUUAUUUUCUUUUAGGUACAAAUCUCUUGAGUGUUGUUAAAGAAACACGUCACUGUCAUUUUGAUUUGCAUUUAACAUUUCACUUUUGUUCUGGAAGGUUUGUUCCGGAAACAUAUCAAAUGAGCAUCAUUUUCUUCUUCGGUGACACAUGGUCGCGAGUACGUGGGUCCAUUUUCAUGCCACUUAGUUGAAAAGUUGGAAAGAAAAAACAUGCCAACAAGAAGAUAGUGAGAGAAGGGGCACUUCAAGCCUUUAACAUGAACAAACAGUAAAUAAAAGAUGUUUCUCCACUCAUAAAAGUGUGUUAGAUAGCAAUAUAACGAAUCACAUCCAAAAUCUUUACUAGGCUCAAACAUAAAGAAGACUCAUUUUUAAGAAAAGAUAAAAAUGGCAUUGUCUGAUAGUAUCCAAUACACGAGAUGGCACUUAAUUUGUACAAGAUCUGUCAAUGCUGACGCACAUUUUCUGAUUAAAAAAAAACUGAUCAGUCAAAAGCAAUGAAGAGAAGUGAUGACAAUGAAUGAUGCUUCCAAUAUUUUCACCCCUUAUAGUGUUCUUCAUGAUUCAGAUAUAUAAUUGGAAAUAGAACAACCCUAUGCCAUACAUUCGUCUAAGUAUGGUGUCUAAUUUUUUGUGUCAGCGGUUGCGAAUGGAGCGUGCAAAAGUCCAAAUUGGCGUCUCUCCAUUUCCACAUAGGAAGGUGACCUUUAUUGACAAAUACCCAAUAUUUGUAGACAUUCCUUAAAUAUCAUAACUUCUUGUUGAUUUGAAAAUCAUUUUUCAACUACCAUGUUUUAAUAAAUAUUUUUUAAAAUGUAUUUUUAUCAAAGUCCACCAUGAUGGAUAAUAUUCACCAUGCAAUAAUUAAUAAAGUACAAACUAAGCGAAAUGAAAAGCAUUUUCUUUGCUUUGAGUUGAUUUUGGUUGCAUUGAGUUGAUUUUGGUUUCAUGGUUUUUUCAACUCUUAUUUUGAUUGGAAGAUGUCAAGAAAAGAAAACAUAAAGAAAAAUUAAAAGGGAAAAAAGAAGAAAAAUAAAAAAAAAUAGAUUUAAAAGUUAAUAAAUUAUUUUUUAUAUUUAUUUUAAUUCAUUUCACUUAUUUUUCUUUUACUAUAUAAAAUUUAAAUAAUUUAAAUUUUAUAAUUAAUUUAAUUACAUUUCAUUUUCUUCUAUAUUUAAAUAUUGGAAAAAUAUUUUACUUAAUAUUUUUUUCUUUAAUUUCUUUGGCAUUUUGGGAACCAAACUUAGCCUUUAAAAUAAAAAACAAAAAAAAAAUGAAAAUAAGGAGGGAAAAGUGAGAAAAGAUAAAAACAAUAUGUAAAGGAUUUGAAAAGUAUUAGUUUGUAAUUACUAUUUGGAUUUCAAUAGUAUUUUAUUUGUCUUUCUAUAUUUCAUGUAAGAGAGAAUUUAAGAUAUUCCCCAAGGCAAAGCAUUAGUUACCUGCAAUCAGUGGUGAUAAGGCUCCAAGCCAAUUUUGGGCCCCAUAUCUUAAGACAGUACAAUUUCCAUUUCAACAUUUCUGAUUUCUCAGAUGUUUCACAUACCACAGAAGAACAUUGUUUGUGAAAAUAUGCAUUUAUGUUGGAUUUUGUAUGCUGUGGGGACUGGGGCAAGGAUCAUAUGGAAGAGUGGUUGACUUUUUCUGUACUUUAACGGUUGAAAUAGGAUAAGCACGGGCAUUUGUGAGGCUUAAUUGAUUUUGAAGCCUGAAAUUGCGUUUCUGUCAUUUUGUCAAAAAAAUGGCAGAUUCCAUACUCAUAUGUUUGGCCUGUGGCCAUGUACAGAUGCCAUUUAGUGACCAGUUUGUAACUGUCAAUCGUUGCGUUUUGACUCUGCCUCAACAACAUCUGCCAUUGACGGGUUUUCAUACUUGCAAAUCAAAUAGUCUUUCGUCCCAUCAGGAAUUUCGGUUUAAAUAUUAUUAAGCAUACGUUUGGCUGACAAUCAUUAUCCAGUUCAUGAUUUGGUUUCUUACCCUUAAUCAAUGGUUUCUAAGUGAAUAUAUGUAGAAGGAAAUCCGAAGUGUAGACAGUAGUAUCGAUAACUCUCAAUAUUCUCUAUAUAAUAGAAUAAACAGCGUCAUAGUGAUCGUCGCCUACAAGCAAGGUACAAAUACCAAAACGAGUGACUCACAUAGACAUCUCCCAACAAGAUGUAGUAGUGACUGACACAUGGACACAAUUAACUCGUAGAAAAGGAUAAGACCAUUGCACAGCAGCUCUUAUUUUACAUACUACUUAUGCUAACCAAAGUCAAUUAGUUGGGAUGGGUGGGAGAUGGAGGUUUGUGCGGUGGCUUGUGGGGCGGAGUUGAUGGCUUCUUUCCAGGAGCUUCUGGCUUUUUCAUCGGAGCUGAAGGAGGCUCAAUCUUAUGAGGCGGCUUGUAUGAGUCUUCUUUACUCUCGACAGGAGGGUGGCCAGGGUUGUGAUCAUAAUGUGGUGGCUUCUCUCCCUUAGGUGGCUUGCCAACUGGGGUUGGUGGCUUGUGUUCAGGAAGUGGUUUCUCUCCCAUGGGAGGUUUAGCAAUUGGGGUUGGUGGCUUGUGUUCUGGGAGUGGCUUCUCUCCCUUGGGAGGUUUAGUAGGUGACUUGUGUUCUGGAGGUGGCUUCUCCACCGGAGGCUUGUGCUCCGGUGGUGGCUUCUUGGUUGGAGGGGGCUUGGGGUAAUCAGCAAGAGAUGGGGUGGUGAGAACCACCAGUCCAAGGAACAACACUAGCAAGUAUGUGGGAGACAUUUUUGAGUUUGGGCUGAUCAGAUGAUGCAAAACUAAAGCAUUACGUGACCUUUUAUAGCAUGUAGCUCCCAAUACCCACUAAGUAUUGUGGGGUCCAUUUGUGCCCUACGGGGUUGAAAACUUAGACAAUUGGGCAAGGACCCACCUGACUAUGGAGGACUAGUGAGGUGUGAUCAUAGCUUUAGGAUUUUUCUUCCUCUGCAGCCGUCGUGCCGUUGGCAUGAUUUUCUUAAUCUUAAAUAAAGGCAUAGUUAUAGAGUUGUUUAAUCUCUAAAUGGGAUUUUAUAUAUAUCUUCAGAUAGCCAUUAAUAUAUUUGAUGAAGAAAGAAAGACAAGUGCAUACAACAUGUAUACGACUAGCUUUCAUGGAGUUCAUUUAUGAUCAGUUUUCCUGUACAUGUAAACCAGGAUCAUAUAUAUGUUUCUGUUCCACAACUAUUUUGGAAUCUUGUUUAUCAGUUUUUAUCAUUAUAAUGUCACAUAGGCUGCCAACUUGGGCGCUAAAAGAACCAGUUGGGCUAGUUCGUUUCAGAAUUUCAAUGUGGAUUCAGGAAUUGUUUUGUAAGAUAUGCGAAAUAGUAGAGGGAUGAAUAGUGUUUCAUUAAUAAAAGUGUCCUGUAAAUUAGAAGGUGUCAUAGAAACUAUAAUCAAUAAAUAACUUUUUUUCCCCACGGGUGGUGUUUCUUGUGGGGAUCAGUGACUGGUUUAGGUUCACCCAAAAUGAGUUCAGACUAAAAUUGGUUUGAGUCAAUGCCGUGUCUCUUUUUUCCAGAAAUCAACUAUUUUAUGCAUUGAAUAAAUCAUACAAAGAAAAUAUGAACGCCCGCAAAACCUAAACCCUGGUUGCUAACUUUCUAUGUUUCAGUUCUAUUCACGCAAGAAUAUUAGUUUAAGUUUGGGAAAAAUGGCAACUUACCUAGUGAUUACUUGGUUUUGGUUUGCGACUAUUUACGCAACCAACCAUGAGUUUGACUUUAACGUCAUGGGUUGAAGCCUCCUACAGGAAGGGAGAAAGCUCCACAGCUAGCUCCAAAAGAGAAUUAUCACAUUGAUAGCUCCAGAGAUUCCCAAGGGGACUGAAUCAAAGACAAGUUCCUCACUUUUUCUUCUUUUGAGGCCAAAUAUGAACCAAGGAUCACACAACCUCAUUCAACUUCAUAAGUUUGAUUUCAUGCAGUUGAACACUGGGUGAAGGCCAUGACAAGAAUUGAUUCAAAAAUUCUAUCACUCUUUUAAGUAAUGGAAGAUUAUUAUCUCUGAUUGGCAUCACAACAGCACAUGCUCCUAGAUCUUUCUAGACACUCCAUGCAAUGAAAGCACAAUGGAUCUUGUAACGAUAGAAACUAAGCCAUGCUACAGUACUAGAUGAUGAGGUAAAACUAGUAGACACGGGUGGCAGCCUAUAUGGGAGGGACACAAGUCUAAUUGAUUUGCAUUUCAGCAUUAUAGAUAGGUAUGUUUUGGAAGAUUUGUUCUGGAAAUACCGCACCAAGUAGGAUUCUUUUUCUCUUUAGUGGGUCCACUUGCAUGCCAAUUAACGAGUUGAAAAGUAUGAGCACCUACCUCGUGCUCGUGGAACCGAAGGUCAGUGAAGUGGGGCUCCUUUUGGCCUCGUGUAAACUUGAUUCAGAAGUGAAGUUAAUAGUCUUCCAUUCAGAUGGAUACAUGGGAAUUUUUCUCUUUUAUUUAUUUAUUUAUUUUUUUUUUGUGUGUGUAUGUCAAAGGAUAAUGAAUGAAGCGCGUUAGCUUGUUUUCUGACUGGAACCGCAGAUGUCCAAAUUGGAGUUCCUUCAUUUCUUACUUAGGAUUGUUACAUGUAUAAACAAGGUAUAAGAAAUAUGCCAACGUGUCUUGAGGAGUUAUUGAUUAGAAAUAACAAGUCACCCGACUGUAGAGUUCCAAGAUUUGAAUCUUCAGACCCUAUAGCAGCCUCUGGGGUACGUGGCAUCCUAUAGCAUAUUAAUGAAGGCUUUUUCGAUUUAGACUUCACAAUACCAAUUAAUAUGUAUGCACAAAAUGGAGAUGACCCCAAAAAAAACAGAAUCGCCAUAGUUUAUGAGGUUAAGGUGAUUCUCCACUUAAUAUCUACAUUAGCUAAUUAUGUAAAUCAAAUGAACUUCUAUUUUUCCUUUUUUUUUUUGGUUUAUGUCAAAUAGUAGCCCAUAAUUAACCCAACCAUUAGCCUGUUUGAAUUGAUUUCACAUGCACAAUGUUGUAGUAGUUCAUAUUUUGAAUUUUAUUUUUACAAAGGUAGUUAAGGAAAAUGAAGUAUAAUAAUUAUAAAAGCAGACUAUAUACACUACAAUAAUUGUUAGAAUGGUAUCUCAAAUUCUAAUUUAAAAUAUUAUUUUUUGUAAAAGAAAUAUUAUAUAGAAUAUUUCCUAAUUUUAUAAAUGAUUAUAAUUAGAUCUUUAUAAAAUAAGGAAAGUUGGUAAGAAUAUCUUUAUAAAUAUUUUAGGUCAUGAGAGAAAGAAAUGGGAUAAAAAUGUGAUGAAGAGGUGAAAUAAGAGAGUUGAUUAGGAUAUAGAUGUGAAGAAGAAAGGGAUUCAAUAUAUAUAUAUCUUUCAAUUACCACAUUAAAACCCUGUGAACCUUUUAUAUGGUUUACUUUAUUUUUAUAUUCCUCCUUUAAUAUAUUUACAUUAAUGCUUCCAUUGGCACAACAAUAACGAAUUACAAAUACAAGCAACAAGUCCCAUGUUUUAUUACCAAAAGCAGGUAAAAUCCACCUAAUAUAUUACAAUAUAUUCAUCCAAUAUUUUAGACCAAUUCUUCACCAUAAAUAUCAUAAUGUGGCUUUUGUUCUUUCUUAAAUUUAAAUUGAAUUGUCUUAUAUCAAUUUGUUUGUGAUUUUUUCAUUAACUUCACUUUCAUUUGGUUAUCUUUGGUUUUUGAAAAGUAUUAAGGAAUUAAUUAACAAAAUAAUGUUAAGAAAAAUAAUUUUCUCUCUUUUGAUUUUGAUUUUGUAGUAGAAAAAUAUAAUUAAAAUUAUUUAAAAAGUAUGUAAUUUUAAAUUAUUUAAUAUUUAGAUAAAAAAAAUAAGUCUAAUGAGUUUAAAAUAACAUAUAAAAAUAAUUUAUUUAUUUUAAAUUUAUUUUUUAUUUUCCAUUAUGUUCUCUUUCUCUUUUACUUUUUCAUAUUUUUUCUUACGAAGAAUCAAACACAACCUCAUAUUAUAUGUCAAGUGUUUGUCUAUAUUUGAGCAAUGUUAGAUACGGCCAUGGAUUCAUCAAACUAAACUGAUUUUAAUAGAUACUUCACAAAUUGAUUUAUACACUAAAUCAUUGGAUAGCAAUGAUGCAUUGGAAUUAAACGUAGGAUGAAGCUCGAAGAACACUGUUUGUGUAACAACAUAUUUAUGAAAUUAUGCAAAGGAUGAGCUUCGGGGUAGUAGUACAAGGUCAUUAAUGGAGAGCCGUGUUAAACCUUGAUUGUGAUUGGAUUCCGUUAUCAGCAACAGCAACCUUGUUUGUAACCUUGAAAGUCAUUCUGUCCACAUCGAAACUCCAAUUUGACGUUUGUAAUUACCAUUCCUGGAGUGUUCCUUGAUUGAAAUUUAAAUAAUAAUUGCGGCCCACAAGGAAUAUUUUCGAUUCUGUGGGAAUUUGACAAGGUUUGUUAGAGAAGACUGGUGACAUGUUGACUUCAAUGGUUCAAAUAGGAGACGUAUGUGGAUUUGGGGGGUUUAAUUGAAACUGAGUCCCUAUGGCUUUUUAAUAUUUGCAUUGAGCAGUCUCCAUGUGACUUCCUAAUUCCCACCAACCCUCCUGUCCAUGCUGUGAAACUAAAUUGUAAUUUAUCAGCCUUUGUCAAUGGUUUCUAAAUUAAAGAUAUAGACCAUGCAUGUACUUUAAUAAAAGCAAAUCUAAAGUGUAGAUAGCAGCAAUGGUGACACCCAAUAUUCUCCAUAAAAUAGAAUUAGAAUAAGCAGUGUUACAUUGUUCAUGAUCACCUACAAGCAUACAAGAACUUCCAUGAAUAACUCAUAGCAAUUGCCAACAGGGCGUCGUAGAGACUCAUACAUAGAACACUAUCCACCCAGAGGAAAGGACAAGACCAGUGCGCUGCAGCUCUUAUUUUUCACAUGUAUACCACCACUCGUAAUAACCAAAUUCACUCAGUUGGGAUAGGUGGGAGAUGGUGGUUUGUGGGGUGGCUUGUGGGGAGGAGUUGGAGGAGGCUUUAUUUUCUGAGGCGGCUUGUAUGAGUGUGCAGGAGGAUGCCCGGGAGUGUGACCAUAAUGUGGUGGCUUCUCUCCCGUAGGUGGUUUGCCAAAUGGGCUUGGUGGCUUCUCUCCCUUAGGAGGUUUACCAAUUGGGGUUGGUGGCUUGUGUUCUGGGAGUGGUUUCUCUCCCUUGGUAGGUUUGCCAAUUGGGGUUGGCGGCUUAUGUUCUGGGAGUGGCUUCUCUCCCUUGGGAGGUUUGCUAAUUGGGGUUGGCGGCUUAUGUUCUGGGGGCGGCUUCUCUCCCUUGGGAGGUUUGCCAAUUGGAGUUGGCGGCUUAUGUUCUGGGAGUGGCUUUUCUCCCUUGGGAGGCUUGCCAAUUGGGGUUGGCGGCUUAUGUUCUGGGGGUGGCUUCUCUCCUUUAGGAGGUUUGCCAAUUGGAGUCGGCGGCUUAUGUUCUGGAAGUGGCUUUUUUCCCUUGGGAGGUUUGCCAAUUGGGGUUGGCGGCUUAUGUUCUGGGGGUGGCUUCUCUCCCUUGGGAGGUUUGCCAAUUGGAGUCGGCGGCUUAUGUUCUGGGAGUGGCUUCUCUCCCUUGGGAGGUUUUGUUGGUGGCUUGUGUUCUGGAGAUGGCUUCUCCCCUGGAGGCUUGUGCUCCGGAGGUGGCUUCUGAAAUGGCGGGGGCUUGGGGUAAUGAGCAAGAGAUGGAGUACUGGUGAGAACCACCAUUCCAAGCAACAAUACUAGCAAGCAUGUGGGAGACAUCUUUGAGUAGUUGUAGCUAAGAUGGCGCAACACUGUAGGCAUUGGGUGGCCUUUUAUAAAGGGCUGGACCCAACAGCCAUAUGACACGUGUCAUGAUGACAAAUGA
rnacentral:lncRNA from 1 species